GGACAAUAAUCAAUUUCAUCACCAGUCACGCGUUUAAAGGGCUGCAUUUUUUGCAUACUGAGAUAUCGACAUUCUGAAUCUGAUUCGCCAAGAACAAUUUCAUUCAUGAUAAAAAUGUUCUCCCUUUGAAUUUCUCUCACGCACAGGUCAUAUAUUAGAUCAUGAACGUUACAUGAUCUAAUUUUUGUUCCAUCUAGAUUUUUCUUGCAGACAAGAACUAACAUCUAUCGACAAGCUCUUGCAAACACUUCUCAGCUUCUCCUUCCAAAUCAUUUUCCAACUUCAGGAACCCCUCAGCAAUCCAUGAUCUCACCAAUCUCUUCACUGGAAUCUCACUGUCUUCUGGAAAAAUUCUGAAAUGCAGAAGACAAGUCUUUAGAUCGCUAGUCAAGUGAUUGUAACUCAACCCAAGCACACGUGAACAUCGUUCAUCAGGAUCAUUUGUGACAAAUGACUUGACAUCUUUAGCAACAAUUUCCCAGUUUUCUAUUGCCCUUUUAGAUUUGAGAAGCCCAGCAACCACCGCUAUAGUUAGAGGUAACCCGUGACAUUUCUCUGCAAUUUGCUUCCCAAUAGUCUCGAACCCAGAUGGUAAUGCUUCAUUUGCAAAUGCUACGAUUUUAAAAAGGUUCCAACUCUCAUCCGGACCCAUUAAAUUCAUCUGCAAAGAGAAUCAUCUCUGUACCAGCAUCACGAGCUACUUCAGUAUUACGGGUCGUCAAUAAUAUUCCACUCCCCUUGUUUUCACUUGGAAAACAUAGUCUCACGACAUCCCAUGCUUCCCUUUUCCAGAUAUCAUCCAAUGCAAUUAAAUAUCUCUUACCCUUUAAACUCUUUUGUAGCAUGUUUGCAAGCUCUUCUUCAUUGUUCAUGUCAAAUGUGUCACUCUUAGUAGAACACAGAAGGCUCAAUAAGAUUUCCUUUACAUUGUACUGUUGCGAAAUAGUAGCCCAAGCACAAACAUCAAAAUUAGAACAAAUGCACGCAUCAUUAUAAACUUCAUUCGCUAAGAUUGUUUUACCUAUGCCUCCCAUCCUGAAUCGGGAUGACUUUGGGUUCACCAGAGUAGCUUCUAGUAAGAUGCUCUACCAACCGUUCCCUUUGAUCAUCACGUCCAACCAUAUUGUUCUUAACCUUCAGAAUAUCUUUCGAUGAUCUUGGAAACUCUUGAACCGUUGAUUCCUUUGAUGAUUGUUUGCCUUUAUCUUGAAUCUUUAUCGACUCUUUCCAAAUACGAUCAAUCUCCUCUACUACUUGUUGCAGGCUUUGACAAAACCUUCGGCGCGCCUUUUUUUUCUGGCUUUUAUUUUCUCCCAGUACAGUUCCUGUUAGUCUCAGUUGAAUUGUGUAUUCAACAGCAAUUGCAACUUCUUUUACCUCUACUUCAAAAUCUGUCAUUUCUCCAGAAACAUUGUUUUUCUCAAAGUUCUUGAGAAAUACUUCCAGGGAACUAACUUUUUCUUGAGGAGUGCAAAAUUCUUCUCUGUGAUCACAGGAUAGAGACCGCAUCGGCGAAUUGGAUGUCAAGAGCGAUUCUAUUGUUCUCAUAAGAGAAGCCACACUUGCAUGAGCCAUAUCUAAUGUAUUCUCAUUUUUGUCCCUUGUGACUAUGACCUAAAAGCUGCAGGGUUGCAAGAGCCAAGAGGUCAAUGGUUUACAAAUAACGAGAUGCACAGAUUUGCAGAAAAGGCACGCAUAGACUAAAUAAGAUCAGGUAAUGUAUUUGCCUUAAUCAUAGCUAUAAAAGGGUAACAGUGAGUUUAGUCCCAAAAUCAGUAGCUUUAGCUAAUUUAACUCCCAGUAUGCAAAAUAGAUUGUGGUUCAAAACUCCGCUUUGCUUACCUAGGUAGUGUUUUCAACGUUGCUGGAACUCUUUUAAGAAGUUUUCAUACCCGUGUCAGAUCCUUAAAAAAAUGCACAACUUUUGAAGGAUCCAACAUGUAAUCAACGUUAUUUUUGAGGAGUUCGAGCGACAUAACUAUAUAUAUAGUACAAAGAGCUAAGUUAUAUAUUUGAUAAACCACUACAAGUGUUGUUUUGCUCUGAAACUUUAACCAAAUGAGAGAGUAAUUAAGGGAAACUAACCUUUCAAUGGCAGAUCAUACAACUUCAAAUAUCUCUUUCAAAUAUCACUGAAAGAGAUAUUUGAGAAAAGGAUAGAAGAAAUGCAAUAUUAUAAGUAACAAUAAACAAAUGUGUAAAGAACAACAGAUAGAGUACUGAGUACCUAACCAAGAUAAAAUUUGAGUGGCUGAAAUGAUCUGCAGAAUUUAUCAGCCCAAACAGUCCCUUAACUUUACAUAGUAUGUUCACUUAGGUCCCUGUAAUAAAAUGUUGAACAUAAAUCGUCCUUUAUCUCUGCUAAAAGGGUGCACUUUGAAAAAAAUGUAGUGCUUUAUACACGUAGUGGGAUCUGGAGAAAGUAGAGUAUACGCAACCUUACUGCUAUCUUAGAGAUAAAGAAGAUGUUUCUAAUAGACCCUUGGCAAAAGAUAAACAGUCGAGAAAUAGAUGCCCCUUUAAUUACAAUAUAGAGAAAUUACAUCUCCUUGAAAGCUAGAGAAUAACGCUAAAACAUAGUAUUAUAACGAUACAAUUUAAAGUUUAAACAGUAAGAACUAUGAUGAAAUCCUUGAACUUCAAUCUUUCUAGCUAUAUUCCGAAAUGAACUUUCAAUAAUUGUUUUUAAUACUAAAACAUACAUUUUGUUAAGGUCAGUGAACCGAGAGGUGUCGACUUAAUUAGUGAGUUAUUCAGUUAAGAGCUAUGUCCUGCUUUCUUUAUUAGUUGUCAUAUUUUUUUCCCUAGCGUUUUCCCCCAUUUUAUAACUAAUCUGAUUGGCAUAAUACAUAAACAUUGCCCUUUUAACUUGACACCAAAUCACAUCUAUAACCUCCAACUUUGGGUACGUACAAAUCAAAACUUAAACUUGUAUAAAGUUGAACAAAUUGACACACACAUCCUAUGUGGAAUAAUACAUGUAGGACGCUGUAUAGGACAAAAAUUGGCCACGUAAGACACCACAUAAGACAUAUGUAGAACAAAAAUUAGCCACAUAAGACCUCCCCAAUUUGUUGUACCAAACACAACUUUUGUGUUAUAUUAGCUGUCAGCCACUAAUAUUUUGUGGACUAGUAAGUCAAUAAAGAAAUAAUAAGAUAAGAGAGGAGGAUCAAAAUAUUGAGGGAAUCACACGAGUGUCACAUGUAAUGGACAGCUGUCAGUUAGCUAUCAUUGAUUACUGGUUUUGUAAGUUAGAAUAGUGGGAGCUUGCUUUAUAUAUACACACACUAAACUGUAUAUUUGUAGUAGCGGUUAUUGAUGAAAUUAAAAAAACUUUCCCAUCUCUCUCUCUUCUGUUACUUUGGCAGAGUUCAUGGUGAAAGCUUAACAUGGUAUCAAAGCCAAGCGAUUAAGCUCUGCAUUUCUUUUUUCUUUCAUUUUUUAGAAGCAAUUGUAGGAUUUCUCUAGGACAAUUGUAGAUCAACAAUGGUGGAAAUCUGUUAGAGUACGCAUCCUAGUAAUUGCCUAUCUGUGGAACAAGUAAGUAAACGUGGUUCACAGAAGUAAACUGAACACAGUCUUUAAGCGUGGAAAACACCCGGCUCAAGAAAGUUGAAAAAAACCACGACUUGUACUUCUAUAGGAUUUAACCCAACUUCACUAAAAUACUUGACCCUCAACAAUCAACAAAAUUACAAGACUUCUUGUAACCUAGGGAUUUAAACUUCUAACUCCUAUCACUACAAAAACACUAAUCUUCCCAAGAUAAGUUUUCCCAAAUCUUCGAGUUCUCAAACUUGAAGACAACAACUCCUAACUCAGUUUAUAGAUUACUGAGACUAGAAUCAAUGACUCAUUACAAUACAAGAACCUAACUACUACACUGUUUAUGACCUGUUAAGUAAGAGACUAGGUUCUUCUUCAAGUAUGUGAACUGACAUGCUGAUUGUUCAUUAACUUUUCAGCGUGUGCGUGAGUGCUGGAUUUGAGUCACGUUUGUUGUAUUUAAGCCAACCUAUUAUAGAAUCCUUUUUUAUGUUCAAUUCUUUCUUCCAGUAGAACUCUAUCAGUUAGCACUUUUCCGUUUUGCUGCCGCCUCACCUCUCCUAGAUUUGAUAGAACUCUUUUACUUCAAAUCCUCUUCUUACUUAACUCCUUAUCAACUUAACUUCUUCAAGACUUCUGGUCUGAUCUGACUCAGCUUCUGAUGUAAUCAAUGUUAUCUAUGCUUGUCUUGAACGCAGAAUCACAUCAUCCAGACUCCUGUGCUAGCUAGACUAUUUCAUCUUGACUGGACCAUCUUCUUCAACACGUUUCAUUCACAUGUCUAUCAUCAAAACUCCUCGUGCCUUAACAAAAUCAAAAUUGACAACACUCAUCCACUGUUCGUGAAUCCAUCCGAUACUCCAGGUUCCGUUAUGGUUCCCUUUCAACUCACAGGAGCUGAGAACUAUGGAUUAUGGAGGAGAUCGAUGUUUAUAUCACUUCAGGAAAAGAGGAAGUUAGGGUUUCUGUCGGGUACAUGUACAAGGGAUUCAUUUGAGAAGGGAUUGUAGGAGCAUUGGGAUACGUGCAACACAAUAGACCUCUCAUGGAUCAUGAACACUGUAUCACCAAGCUUAAUGAGUUGAAUCAUGUAUGUGUCGAAUGCUCACCUGGCUUGGGAGGAUCUGAGAGAACGAUUUGACAAGGUCAAUUGCUUGAGAAUUUUUCAACUACACAGGGAAAUUACAACAACUACUCAAGGUUUGGAUACUGUUUCUGUUUAUUUUACCAAGUUAAAGGAGUUGUGGUCAGAAUUUAAUGCAAUGGCUCCUUUGCCCAAUUGCGGUUGUCCUAAGUCCAAAAAUUAUGUCAAACAUCUUCAGCAACAACGCUUGCUUCAGUUCCUUAGUGCUUUGAAUGAAUCUCACACCCAAUCGAGGAGGCAAAUUCUUAUGCAAUCGACCGAACCCACACUGAAUCAGGCUUAUGCUCUAAUCAUGGAAGAUAAAAGUCAAAGAUCUUUGUACAAUGCAGGAGCACCUUUUGGAGAUGCAAAUGAUAUUUCAGCAAUGUGGAGUGUUGCAGGUCCCCGCCCUCCUCUUUCUUACCAACCAAAUUCCAAGCCUAAAUGCAAUUGGGAUGAGCAAUGCAAUUUUUGCAAAAUGAAAGGACAUAGAGCUGAGAAAUGUUAUCAACUUAUUGGAUAUCCAGGUGACUUUAAAAGAAAAAGGAAGCCUGUGGUGAAUAAUGUGGUUUAUGGUUCUCAACAGCCCCAAUUUUUGGGAUACCAACCUCCUUCAUAUAGGGGAAGUCAACAAUAUACUCAAUCUUCUUAUGGAGAUUUUUCCCCACAACAACCAUAUGGAAAGAUUUUGACAAUUCUCUUGCCGGGCAAAGUUCUACAGUUGUGACAGCAGGACAUGGUUUAGGUGGACAUCUUCCUAUACCUAGAGUCAGUAAUACUAGUGGUGGUGGUAAUUUUUCUCUUGGCCAGCAUUCGGAGGGUGCUGUAGAGUUUUCUGGAACUGGCCAUGCAGCAGGGCUUCCACCAGCAGUGAUCAUAGUGACUUUUACACCGGAACAGUAUACACAGGUGCAAAAGCUCUUUCAAAGCAACACAUCUGGGCCAUCAACAAUAUUGCAGGUAUUAUUUCUGCUUUUGUGGCUAGUAGAUAUACUGAUGAUUUGAUCAUGGACACAGGCGCAACCAACCACAUGAUGUGUAAUCCUCGAGUGUUAACCACCAUUACUAAGAAGAACACAACAUGGGCUGAUAGUAUUCAUUUACCAAAUGGUAGUACUAUACCAAUUUUGCAUGUUGGUAACUUUAGUUUGGGACAAGAAGAGAUUUCCAAUGUCCUGUGUGUUCCCGACUUUAAAGUGAAUUUACUUUCGGUGUCAGCAUUGACUAGAGAGUUAGGAUGCUUCAUGAAGUUCUAUCCUGAUUAUUGCUUAUUGCGGGACCUUCACACUGGGAUGGUGAAGGGGACUGGUAUAGUGGUGAAUGGAUUAUACUAGUGGGAUCAUGAUCCAUGGCAACAAAUGAAGUACUCAGUAGCUCUUAGCACAGUUGAUAUGAAUGAUCUUUGGCAUCAAAGGCUAGGUCACAUACCUCAUAAAGUGCUACAACAGAUGCAUGUAAUAAAUCACAAUAGUAUGAGUAAUACCAAACUAUGUCCGUUUUCUCCAUUAGCUAAACAAACCCGACUUCCAUUUCCUCAAAGCACCACCAGAGCAAGUAAGGUGUUUGAUCUGGUUCAUGGAGAUGUAUAGGGGCAUUAUAAGGUACCUAUCCAUAAUGGAAAUAGAUUUUUUCUUACACUCGUAUAUGAUUGUAGUAGGUUUUUCUGGACCUUCUUGCUGAAAUUUAAGAGUGAUGUUCCGGUUAUCUUACAGAAUUUUAUGCAAUUAGUUCAUACUCAAUUUGAUAGUACUGUUAAGGUGUUUCAAAGUGACAAUGGGUCAGAAUUUUUCAAUUCUUUUUGCAAAGAUUUAUUUACAACAUCAGGUAUUAUCCAUCAGAGUUCUUGUGCUUACAUACCCCAACAAAAUGUGUUGGUGGAAAGGAAGCACCGACAACUCUUGGAAGUGGCCAGGGCCAUCAGGUUCCAAGCAGAUAUUCCCUUGAAGUUCUGGGGUUUGUGUGUCCAAAAUGCUGCAUAUUUGAUUAACAGGAUCCCAUCUACAGCUUUACUGGGCAAAUCUCCAUUUGAAGUUUUUCAUGGGAGAAAGCCUAAUCUACAGCAUCUCAAGGUGCUAGGGAGUUUGUGUUAUUUUACGAAUGUGGUGCACAAGAAUGAUAAGUUUGGUGCUCGAGCUGUGGAGGCUUUUCACAUAGGAUAUUCCACCACACAAAAGGGUUAUAAACGGUAUGAUAUUGCUAAUGAAACUUUCUUUGUCAGCUGAGAUGUCACUUUCAGGGAAGAAGUGUUUCCUUUCAAGUACAACCAUCCGGAUUCAAGACCUCAAUCAUUCCAACCUAUAGAUGUGACUGUUGAUCCUUUUAUUGUGACAACUUAGGUUUCAGCAUCUUUGGAUGCCCCCUCACCUGUUUCUGCAACAGCCUCACCUUAUUUGAGGACUCUACAAUCCCAGAUGUUGGCAUGACUCCUACUCUAGUAGAUACAUGUGAUAUUUGUGUUCCUAAAGCUAUAACAGGGGGAGUUGAUUCUCCUCAGCAGGUUUCCAAAUUUAGACAGUCUGCCAGGCAAUCUAAGCCUCCAGCGUGGUUACAUAACUUUGUCCAUAGCUCUUCCAAAGUUGUUUCUUCCAGUUUUGCUUACCCGAUAUCCAACUAUAUGUCUUAUGCUGCUUUAUCAGACUUUAUGCAAUUUUUCUGCUGUCAAGGAACCUGAUUCUUAUGAAGAAGCUUUACAUCAUCCUGAAUGGGUAGAGGCCAUGAAUCAGGAGCUACAAGCACUUAGUGGCAAUCAAACUUGGGAUUUAGUCCCACUCCCACCUGACAAGAGGGCUAUUGGUUGCAAGUGGGUAUUUAAAACCAAGUUUAAUGCUCAAGGCUUGGUUGAUAGAUACAAGGCAAGGUUGGUGAAGGGUUACACCCAAUAGGAGGGACUUGACUACCAGGAGACCUUUUCUCCUGUAGUCAAGAUGGUAACCGUAAGGGCUGUUCUAUCUAUUGCAGCUAUGAGAACCUGGAAGUUGCACCAAAUGGAUGCCUUCAAUGCUUUCCUCCAAGGGGACUUAGUCGAAGAUGUUUACAUGUCUCCACCCCCUGGUAUUUUCACCAAGGGGGAGCAUUCCUUAGUCUGUAAACUCAAAAAAGCUCUUUAUGGCUUGAAGCAAGCCUCAAGACAAUGGAAUUUAAAGAUUUGUGAGGCUCUUAUCUCUUCCAGUUUUGUUCAAAGUCAUCAUGACUAUUCUCUGUUUGUUAAGAAGUCUGGUAAUGAUUUGGUUCUAAUUUUGGUUUAUGUUGAUGACCUCCUUAUUACUGGUUCUUCUUCUUCUCUUAUUGAAGAAGCUAAGUGUAUGCUUCAACUCCAUUUCAAUAUCAAGGUCUUGGGGGAGAUGAAGUACUUCCUUGGUCUUGCAAUUGCUAGAAGCAAGCAAGGGAUCUUGGUUUGUCAGAUGAAAUUUGAACUAGACAUGAUUGCUGAUGUGGGACUUGCUGGUUCAAAACCUUCCGGUCACCUUUGGAAUAGAAUCGGAGGUUAACUAGUAUAGAAUUUGAUCAUGGUAGUAAGAUUACUUCUCGGGAUGAAUUACUUACAGAUCCCAGAAGUUAUCAGAAGCUAGUUGGGAAGUUAUUAUAUUUGACAAUGACCAGACCUGAUAUCAGCUUUGCUGUUCAAAAUUUAAGUCAAUUCAUGCAUAAUCCAAAGAAGUCACACAUGGAAGCAGCCUUAAGGGUGGUCAGGUACUUCCAUGGUGAAUGCUUAACACAAAACAAAUAGCAUUGGGAACAAGUAGAGUUAAGUGUCAUGUAGAUUCCUUCUAGAAUAAGUUUUAAUUCUAUUCAUGGAGAUUCCGUAACUAUUCUAAACUUGGAAAGUUCAAACACAAUUUGGAUUAUUUUUGAAAAUUAGAAGAAGUUAAUAUUUCAUUAUGUAGCUUGUACCAAACAACAUUGGCAUAAAAGCAGUGCAGACUGAAGUUGCCUAAUUUCUUAGUUUUUAUCUCACCCUUUUUGCAACUUUGUCUAUCAGAAUCUUCCCUCACCAUACCCCACUUUGUAAGAUUACAUUAGUUAUUUUGUUGUUUUGUUCUUUUUGCAACAUUGCGAAUCGUGUUAUUUUAACACAAUUGUCCUCCUACAACUUGCAGUUUUCAAGUCUUAAUUGCAUUUGGAAGCAGCAGAAUAGAUAUGGCCUCUCUUAUAAGAACAAUGGAACUGCUAUUGACAUCCGAUUCGCCAAUGCUGUCAGUAACUUAUGCUGUUGAUGUGUUUGUCUUUGAAGCAUUACGGUCUCAACACCAUAGCCAGUGUAAUCUCACAAGCUGCGCAUUGAGGUCUUUGCAAAAGGAUUUACUAUAAUGUAUGAACAGACUAAAAUUUAUAUUGGAAGGAAGUGAUUCUUGCACAAAGAAUGGUAUUGUAGUCAUACAACUCAUAAGUAAUGUUAAGGAGUUUAUGAAACAAUAUUGUUACAUGUACAUUUAUUUUCAAGAUUCAAUGUUAUAAAACUUUUAUAAGUAUCGACAAUUCCGGUGCACUAGAGCUUCCCUGUUACACCUCACAUUUUUAGUUUAGUUUAAGUCCUAGUUGUAAGUUGAGGUGUUAUGGCUUCAUAAUUGAGCUUGUCGUUAUUCAAAGUUAGUUAAAAACAAAAUUGGAUUGAUUUGUAUAAGAUUAGGAGGUUAUACAGGCGUAAAACAGUACCUUACUUCUGCAACAUAGCAAGAGAAUUAAGAGGUCAGCAAGCAAAGAGCCACUGCUCAUUUAUUUACCAAGUCCCUUUAAGGGAAAUUUUGUCUUUUCCUUUUAAUUUAUUCCAAUUGAUUAAAUCCUCAUUCUUCAGGUUCCAAGCGUUACUUUUUUUUAAUAGCCGAGGCGUUAUUCUGAAAAAUCCCCUCUGUUUCCAUCAGUUUUGUGCGUUAAACAAGUCCUCCUCUUAUCCUCAAGUUCACACCUCAAGUUUACACGAUAAAAAGCUUCACUUUCCAAACAGUUUACAUAGGUUUUCCAUCAGCAAAUAUCCAUAUUCCUCCUAUCAAUUUCAACUCCAAGAAACACAAGGGAAUUGAUCGAGAAUCAAGUACAAAUUUCUUCGUCCGAUGUCAAGUUCUUUCAACAUUUAAGAGGUAUGUAGGACCAUUCCUUACUCUCGUUUCUGGAUGUUUUACUGUUAACCAAUUCAAAUUGCUCUAAAACUAUUUAGGUAUUAAAGGAAUUUCUACAAUCUUAUCAAUGAAAUUAAAUGGUUUAAUAGUUGUUGGAUGUGUAAAGAUAACUCUUUGUAUCAUGUUCUUCCUUUCUGAAUAAUGUGAGUUCCAACGACCCUCGUGAUUUGAUGUUCGAAUCAUAGAUGUUUUUGGCAAUAACUGUGAAAGAUUUACAAUCUACAAAGUCAAGAGAUUACACCUAGAGAGCACCCCAUUAUUUAAAAGAAGUGGGAGAAAACUAAUUACAUAAUCUGUUGAUCAAAGAUGACCUCUCCCAGUUAUUUUUUAAUUUCCAAGCAUAUCUACUCUUUCUUUGAAGUGUCGCAGCCUUGUAGCUGCAAUAUGAUUCUUUACUUUCUUUCCCAAUUNNNNNNNNNNNNNNNNNNNNNNNNNNNNNNNCUGCUGAAACGUUCAGACAACAAAAAGAUAACAAACUGUUACAUCGCUAAUUCAAAUAUAUCCUACUCCAUUAUUAAGUAAAUAAAUUACACAGUAUGUAAGAGCAGCAUCCUCUUCAAGGUAUUUCUCUUAAGCCGUUCAAGGAAGCCUGCCGUUUUGCCACUACUCUGUCUCUUUAAACACAAAUAACAAUUUCUAGGCAGACUCUGGAAAUGACCAGCCUGUAAAAUGAUCUUGUUCCUCACCAUAUGACGACAUACGUCACCAAUCUUCCAUGUCAAAAUCUCAGUCAAGCCAUUAAGCCACGUGGAAGCAUUACAUAUUGACACAUGUCAGUUUAGUUAAUUAGUUAGGAAAUAGUUGUUAAGUCAGUUGGUUUAAAAAUUUUGAAUUCAAACUUUCAGUUAAUUUUAUAUUCAUUUGUUGUUUUUAAAAUAUCAAAUUCAAAUUAUUAGUUAAUUUGUGAAUUUUAAUUUUUUGUCUUGAAUUUGGUAUAUUAGUUGGUUAUAAUUGCUACCCUUUACACUAUACAAGGAAUUAGUUAGGUUAGUUAUGACAUAUUACUUAUACUUUUUAAAAUAUUGUUAAUUUUAAAAACUGUCAUAACAGCUUUCUCAUAAGUAGCAUAUCCCGUAUUAAUUUAAAGUUCAAAUUCAAAUAUUGGAUAACAUGACAGCAUCUCAGCAGAUGCACAUUUCCCUCAAUAUUGGGUUACUUUUUUUUUUUUUAAAAAAAAAAAAACAUUUUUAACUUUCUUUUUUAUAAAAAAUAUUAUCACAAUAUAUCGUCAGCAGUUUAACAUAUGUGUUAGUACACAACUACUCUUCCAUCUUAUCCAUAACUUCCCCUAUUAUAUCUCAUCAUCCAAAACCUAUACUACUUCCAUAUAACUCCUUAUAUAGGGUAAAAUACUUCAAUUAUGCAAAUCUCUUUCAACAUUCUCCAAAUACUGACGUCCUUUAAAAAAAUUGUCAGAGUUCAUCAGCAAUAUCACAAUUCAAAAAAUGCGAUGGAAAACACUUAUCUUUGCAUUAACCAGACGUUUGAAUUUGACAAAGAUCGCCUUAAUCGUCGCAGUUAUUCUAUUAUUCAGGUACGUAUGUUUGAAUUUUCUCUUUGUGUAGAUUAUAUACUUUCUAAGUUAGAAAUUGUUGUCUGUAGGCAUGCGUUGUUGUACUUUAUAAUAUUGACUUUGAUGUUAUGAUUCAUCAAUGUUGUUGGUUAUUUUUUUUUAGUUAAAUUAUUUUUCUCAGAGAAUCAUUUGUACAUUGUGAAUGGUUGGAUGUGCCAUUGGAUUUCAAAGUCAUACUCUGUGUGUUUGAUUUCUCCCAAGUGGAACUACAAUCAUUCGAUGAAAUAAGUGGAAACAUUCUUUGAUUGAUUCUGUGUAUCAGGACGGUUCAAAGCUUUGAAUUUUGUGUUUUGGCAAUUCAUUUUUGGUGUUGCUUUUGGAGUUUGGAACUAAGAUCGAAAUUGGUUGAUUUUCAGAAGCAACAGGGCAAUGUAGUGGCUGUUGCUCUGUAUUAUCACUCGGGAAAUUCCAGCCCGACUGGUAAUGGGGAGGUUCUGUCAUGGUGCAAUGACUUCUGUCAGCCUAAUUUAAUCAUUUUCCCUCUAAGACACAUUUUUUCUCUGUUAACUCUUUUCAUCUCUUGACUAUCUCAUUAGAUUAUGAAGUUAAUAAAACACAUUAAUGGAGUAGAUUUUCAUAAAUUCAUCAAAUAUGUGAUACUAGAAAGGGAAGUAAGCAAGAAACUACUGAUUUCCUCUCCCAAAUAUAUUUAGUUUGUACUAUGUUAUGUAUAUUACCUUGUCUAUUAUCAAGUUUACAUGGUUAUAUGCUGCUAUUUCUGCGUCAAAUUUAAGUCUGAUGUAAAUUUAUCAAGUUUUGCUCUUAAAUUUUGAAGGUUCUUUAGUAGUAUGUUACUAAUUGAGGGAGGAAUCUACAAAUUGAUUUUAAAAUAAUAAGUCUUCCAGUAUAAAUCAAGUAUAUUGCUGCAGUUUGAAGGUAGAUUCUUUCUCUUAUUUUGUCGGUUGAACUUACUAUAUAGUAAUAGAAACGAAAACUUUAUUAUUUUACGUGUUGAAGAAGAAGCAGAUAAGUGUUGCUUAAUGAUGCCUCAAAAAUCAAACUUAUUAUAUAGUAAUAGACAUCAAAACUUUAUUAUUGUACAUGUUGAAGAAGACGCAGAUAAGUUUUGUUUAAUUAUGCCACAAAAAUCGAAUAGGUAAUAGAUUUUAUACCCAAUUGUGGAUAGCAGAAGCAUUCGAAAGAAGAAGUUCAACAAACAAACAAACAAAAAGAAAUAGUGAGAAUUUUCAGGUAUUGUGCAUUUUAUUUCUUCGCAAGUAUUUUAUCGUUCUUUGUUGAAAUUGUUGUAUUGUAAGCUUGUGGUUUUGUACAUUUUACUUUGGAUUUUGCAAUUCAGUAAUGCGUUUGAUUAUACUCUUUGUUUAUUUGGGAAAUCCCUUUUUUGGGUUCUUGGAAUUUGGAAUGAAUUAGAAGCAAUAUUCCAAUGCAGCAGCUAUAGCUUUGUACAACUACCUGGGCAAUGCCAGCCCUGCUCAUGAUAUGGGCGACAUGCUUUCAUUGCUAUGUUUCUUCAGUCUGCACAUCGGAACAUUUGUCCUCUCAAACUCUAAUUUUGACUACCUUCUUUAUAUAAAAAUUAGUUUUUCAUAAGAGGAAUACAUAUAGUGGAAGAUAGAAAGUCGGAGGCAUUACAACAGAAAAUUGAUCAUGCUUACUUAACUUCAAAGGUUGUUGUAGGAAGGUGCUUAUUUUUCUCCAAUACUCCCUUUUCUCUUAAUACACUACAGUUUUGAAGAUGGUUACAACUUACCUACUUAUCCUUUUUUGUUGCAAUUGAAGGAGUUCUCAAAUACGCAGUAUUGCAUUUCUUAGGUCACCUAAUUUUGAGUAUUUGUAUUUUUCUUAGCUGUUUAUGUAAUCAAUGAUCUACUGAUGAGCCCAUCUUUCAAAGCCUUGGUAUGGGCCUUGCCAUCAAAUUGAAAUAACUGCUACUCUUUUGAGGAAAACGUUGUUCCGAUUAGUCUCAUUCAUGUGAAUAGGUUCCUUCUCUCUUGCACUAUUACUUAUAUAUCAAUUUUGCACAGUUUCUGAUUAAUAGACUUGCCUAUGCUAAUGCUAUCAUUCUAUUUACAGCUUACUAUGUGGUUGUUGAUGAGUCAGUUGGAAGACAAUUUGCAAUAGUCUUUUUGGAGCGUGUUAAGAUGAUUUUGGGUCAAACUAUGGGGAUGAAAAUGUUGUAACAACUCAUCCAAAUAACCUGAACAAGGAAUUCAGGUAAUUUAAAAUUAAAAUUUACUUUAGUAUUAUGUAAGGGCAGAAGGCAGAAUUUUCUAUUAAGUCAUUUAAUUGCAGUAUUCUCUUAAGUAUAUUCCUAAGUUUAUGAAGCAUAUGUAGUAUUGUGCUGUGAAGAAGUAAUUGUUGCGUUCUAUGACUUUUUCAGAGUGGGAAUGAUGCCUCUCAGUGACACUGAAAUUGGUGAAUCGCAUAUUGCUAGCACCAUCUAUGAUACUUUGCCACUGUUUUUUUUUUUUUCACUAACACCUUCAAGAUUGAGCUCUCCAACCCUCCCUCUGUGUUCUUGUGGGUGUUCAAUAAAAUUCCAAGCUCAUUUUAAAAGAAUCACAUGUUUUAUGUCUUUAUAGUGUUGAGGAGGUCAGAAUGGCUGGAAAAAGUUGAUUUUUGGGGUUGGAACUCAGAAAACGGUGGAGCUACAGCAACAAGAUUGCAAUAGCUGCAAAGUACAUGAAAUAUAGGGACUCUAAACAAUCGGUUGGGGUUAGACUUAAAGAUCUUCUUGAUCGAAUGAUCCUUGAAGAAAGCAUAGGCCGAAUAAUUUUGAUUGAUAAGACUGAAUCUAUAAUUAAAAUCAUGAAGCACUACUAUUAUGUCGGAACAUUUUUAAAUCUUUAAAAUACAGCCAUUUCCAUAUUUUUAAUUUAUUUAUGGUACAUUUUGUUUGCAUGUAUUUGUUCUUCUAUGGUUGGUUUUCUUAAUUUUUGGAGAUUCGAUAAUGUUAUUCUAUAUGAAAUAGUAAUCCGUGUUUACUUGGAUUACUACUUAAGUUACAUCUUAUAUCUAUAUAGUUUAUAUAAUUUGCAUAUUUGUUUCCAAUUUUUUUUUGUUUCAUUUUAAUUUCCUUAUUAGUUAUUGUGUGUUACUUUUCUCAUAGUUGUUUUUCGUAUAAUAGUCAUUGCUACUAUGACUUUUGUGUUGAUUAAACUUCAAUCGCCAAUAAAUGAGUUUUCUUUAUUCGAUGUGCAACAGUUUUCGAUCAAAUUAUAUAAGAAAGAUAAUUUUUUGAAAAUUUAUGUCUUUCACCAAUUAAUCAUUUUUUCUUGAUUAAAAAAAAGUUGAGAUAUGAUUUGGGAAGCGAUAUCUACAAGAUAGUUUUGUAUUUAUUUUGUUCGAGACAAAACAUAAUACCUAUGGCAUUUGAAUGUAGAUUAAUUUUAGGAGGUUCAAAUUCUGAGAUUUCAAUAAAUUGUAUGGGGUAUAAAUCAGCCACAAUUAAUAAUGCAAUAUGAAAUAAAACAGUUAUUUUGAUAAUGAUUGUACAUGAUAAAAGUGUUGGUGGAUUUCUUUCUUGGAAGUUAUCCGCGCAUCGCGCCGGUACGUAUACUAGUUUCUAUUAAAGUUAUAAGAUAUAAUUUAUGAAACUCUUAAAAGUAUAAUUCUUGUUCCAUAAUCCAUAAGAAGGUAACCUUCCCAUAACAUUCGUAAAGAUCUUUGCACUGUGAUGAAUACAUUAUGAAUUUGCAAGUCUUAAUAUAAUAAUACCAACUUCCCAGGAAUCCUCAUUGACCUAAUAGAUAAUAAUAUGAACAUGAAUAUUUUUACAAGAAUGGUUCCAAUCAUGUACAUGAAUUAUAUCAUAUCGAACCAUGAAAUUACCUAUCACGACUCUCCAAUAUUGAUAGUAUUAACUCAUGAAUAUGAACCUAUUAUGGUUAACUCUCGGUAUGAGCCUAAAGUGGCUAUACAUAAUUAUGAGCUUAAAAAGGCUAAACCACGAGCAUGAGCCUAAAAAGGCUAAACUAUGAACAUGAACAUAACAAGACGAACAUUUUGAUCAAUAACUAAUCAGAUAAAUAAGACAAUGUCAUGAGCAUAAGGGAGUUAGUUAGCAGACCGUGAAGGCAUAGGUUGACGACAAAUACCCGAAACUAUGUUUACCGACAUAGGAUAGAGAUCAUUCCGCUAGUCGGAUACUCUCUUUUCUUUCAUGUGUCCCGAAAAGGGGAUAACCAUGGAUACUUGCUAGCAAAUUAUGUCAUGUCACGUCCUAUGCCUGGCAAGGUAUAGGAUGGCUUAGCUGAUCCGGCCAAGAUCCGACUCCAUGCACUCACAUGGUGGUUUAUGACGGUUCACUACUUUCUCCCACAAAUAAUAAAAGGAAUUUAGAUCUACUUAGCUUAUUCACUUAUAAAUUUAGUUUACAUUCUUGUUCCUUUCCAGAUUCCUUCUCGUAAAUCUAAAUUUUGUAGUUACUUCUGAUCUCUUGUUUUACUACCCUUCUGCAACGGUUUUACAUACCAAUACAUUCCACAUAUUGACCGUCUUUGGUGCUACAUAGUUUCAUGAUGUAGGUUAUGGCUCUCAAGUCCGUGGUCAGGUGCCUUAUUAGGGUUCCUAACUUCUGCUAUUGGUGAGCCUCUUUCCUACCAGGAGGCUGGAUGAGAUAUGAUGAUUUUUUUUGUAUUUUAUUUCUUUUCAGUAUUAGAACUUAUUAGAGGCUUCACAGGCUGGUAUAGUUGUCAAACAAAAUUUUUAAUUUCUAUUCUUUAUCAUGACUGUUAUUAUUGUAUAAAGUUAAGUGGUGUUAAUAAACCUUGAUGAUAAUAUUUUGCCUUUAAGAAAUCUUAUUUCAAUCUCAUAUUGGUUUAGUUAUACUCUUUCAUGUUGGUUGUAUUCUCAUGUUUUGUGAUAGAAAGUUCGCUCAUACUGGCAGUAGUAUCGGGUGCGUGUAACGUCUUGGGCCUCAGCUUGGGGAGUGACAUUCCCCUAUUCGCGGGAUUUAGAAAAGGAUUGGAUAACAAGUAUCAUCAUGGAUUUUGUUAGUGGUUUGCCUCAUACUUCUCAUAGUUCUGAAGGUAUUUGGGUCAUCGUGGAUCGGUUGACCAAGUCAUCACAUUUCAUUCCUAUUCAAAUGCCCUUCAAUGCCGAGAUGUUUGACCCAUAUAAAUGUGCAUCUAUUGUACAUGAAGGCCCGGAAUGCCCUUCUCUAUCUGGUAAUCAUGCACAACAUUCAUAUAAUAAAGAAGAUGCAGAAACAUAAUCUGCUAUGGAAACAUGGUCAAAUCUAAAUUCAACAUAAGUAUGGAAACUAUAAAUCAACUACAUCUAAAUAACAUCUGACUCAGUCUGUGAAAUCUCUACUACAUGAAAUCUAACAACUGUCUGAAACUGGGACAAGGCUUUAGUAGGCCAAAACUGAAAUAAGUGACAUAAUCAAAGAAGACAGGCCUUCUGGAAUAGAGAAGGCUCACCACUGCAAAAUUUGAUCAGCUGUCUGAAUUAUCUACUGCUUAUCUGGACCUCUAGACUGAGUCUCAGAACUGAGAAAUAUGUAUUACUUUUGCCCUAGGUAGUAUACCCUACAACUAUAAAAAAUUCCAGGGUCUAUAUGAAAACUGCCAUUAACUCAGCAGUGAAGCCCCCAACCCAAGUGUGCCGCAAGAGUCAGAGACUCUGAAUCUACUACACCACACAACCGUCGCCAACGUACAAUAAUAAUCUACCUGUAUCGACAAAUAUGAUUUCAGGCCAAGAGUUGCUUGAACUCGCGCCUUCUUCGGGUAACCACCUAACCCUCUUUAAGCCCUUUUUUAAAAAUCUAUCAAAAUAUACAAUCUCUGAAAAUAUGCUCUAGAAACAUAAUCUAUUAUGAUAUAAAUACAUAUGGUAUCUUCAUACCAUUGACUUGCAAGUCACAUCUCUGAGCCAUUAUUAGUCUAUCAUAAAUCUCUGUAUUUAAAACACAAGUUUUGAGACCAGCAAUUCAAUAAUUCAAUUCAAUGAAUCUUUUUUUUUUCAAACCUCAUGUAAACACAUGCAAUUCUUUCUCAUACACACAAGAACAUAUUGGUAUCAACAAACACCCUCUCAACAAUUCCAAAUCAUGUUCAAAUGCCAGGAUAUUACAAAAACAUCUUUCAAAUCCCAAAACCAUAAUCUUUAAUUCAAUACAAGAGAGGGAGUUCAUAAUUUAUGCUCUCAACAAUCUUAAAUCUCAAAUUCAUACAUAUACAUAUAUAUGUAAAUCAAUUUAGGGAAAAAUACCACAAGGCUAAAGCAAUAGUAGCAUUGAAACUUUCGAAAUGCAUAAUUAAUAAUAUAGUUUUCAAAGCCCCCAUAAAAUACCUGCAUCAAAACCUUUAAAUCAUGCUUUAAAAAUUUCAAGCCAUGUAGUUUUUAGGAUAAAACCCUCAUACCCCAACUACGAAGAAUAAGGGAUGAUCCAUUAAGCCUACGGUUUGAGGAUUCCAAAUCUUCAGUCAAUUUUGAAAAGCCAUGGUUGAAUCUUGAGUUUCUUCGAUAAGAAGUAUAUGAACUAGGGUUUUUGUUUUGAGGAAAAUCUUGAGAAUGUCAUAUAUUCUACUUGUAGAGAUCUUAAUCUACUUUUUGGACAUUUUAAGAUGCUUGGAAAAAUUCCAAAUUAUCCUUGUUAACUUCUGAACGAAGCUGGAAAAAAUUAAACUGGAAACCCGAUUUUAGAGGCCACCGCGAUGCGCCACUAUCGCGGUGGCUCACUGGAAAUUGACGAAUGGGAGUUUGGGAUCCUCCAUGACACUCCAAUAUUGCUAGGUCCCACUGGAAUUUGAGAAUUUCUAAUUAAACCCUCUCUGUGACGCGCUAAACACUAGAAUGACAAUGUUUUACGACUAGCACAAAAAAUAGCCAUAACUUCUUCACCGAGUGUCUGAUUUGGACGAAUCUUAUAUCGACAGAAAGCUUAUUCAAUCAUCUACGAAAUAAAAAGUUUAAAUAUAAGAGAUUCCACCGGGAAAAAUCAUAAAUCAUUCUAGAAGACAAGGCUUGAUCUUUUAGGGAUAGAAUUUAGCUAAGAAAACUUCAGGGCGUUACAAUAUCCUCCCUUUGGGAACAUUCGACCCCUAAUGUUGACGCGGGAUACAAACAAGAAUAAUUUCAAGAAUACUAAGGUAUCAAUAGAAUAAAGCAAGGAUUGUACCUUCCAUUUCUUCAUCCAUUGGAUAAAAAAGUUUUGGGUAUCUAACUCUCAUGUCAACUUCUGAUUCCCAAGUCGCUUCUUUAAUUUUCUAGUUUCUCCAUAACACUUUAACUGAGGCUAUCUGUUUGUUCCUCAAUCUUCUAUAUUGGCAAUCCAAAAUCUCUAUAGGCUCUUCUUCAUAGGAUAAGGAGUCUGUCACUUUGAUUUCUUUGACAGGAAAUACUAAAGAAUGGUCUCCAAUACACUUCUUCAACAUAGAUAUAUGAAAUACCGGAUGAACCGAACCCAAACUAACUGGCUCAUAUGUUAUUCCAACUAUACUUCUCACAAUAUAAUAUGGUCCUAUAUAGCGAGGACUCAGCUUACCUUUCUUCUUGAAUUGCAUGACUCCCUUCAUGGGAGAACCAUGAUAAAUACCUAAUCUCCAACCUCAAACUCUAGAUCUCUUCUCCUAACAUCGGCGUAGGACUUCUGACGACUCUGAGCUUUCUUAAGUCAUUCUCUAAUGACUUUCACAUCCUCUAUUGCCUGAUGAACCGGAUGAGGCCCAAAUAUCUGCGUCUUACCUACUUCAUACCACCCUAUUGGUGACCUACAUCUUCUUCUAUACAAUGCCUAAAAUGGUGUUAUCUUAAUCCUGGAAUGGAAACUAUUAUUAUAUGCGAACUCUAUCAAUAGCAUGUGUUCUACCCAACUACCUUUAAAAUCAAUCACGUAGGCCCUCAGAAUAUCCUCAAGGGUCUAGAUGGUGCGAUCAGCUUGCCCAUCUGUCUGACGGUGGAAAGUCAUGCUCAAAUUCACUGGGGUACCUAAACCCUUUUGAAACAAUCUCCAAAACUAUAAAGAAAACUGUUUACCUUUGUCAGAUAUGAUGGACACAGGUGCCCCAUGCAAAUGAACUAUUUCUGCAAUGAACAAUUUGGCAUAAUCCUCUCCCGAAUAAUUUGUCCUAACAGGUAGAAAGUGAGCUGACUUGGUCAACCUAACUACAAUCAACUAAAUGGAAUCAUACUAGUUUUGGGACCUCAGAAGUCUUGUAAUGAAGUCCAUAUUAAUCAUCUCCCACUUCCACAAAGGCAAAGCUAUCUCUUGAGAAGAACCACCUGGCCUCAAAUGUUCCAAUUUAACUUGUUGAAAAUUCAAACACUUGGCAACAUAGUUAGCCACAUCACGCUUCAUAUUAUUCCACCAAUAAAUGGUUUUCAAAUCCUGAUACAUCUUAGUAGAGCCAGGGUGAACAACAUACCUCGACGUGUGAGCUUCAUCAAGGAUCCUCUUCCUCAAACCAUCUACAUCUAGCACACACAACCUACCCUGGUAUCUCAAAACACCAUCACCACCAAUUUCAAAAGGCAAUACCUUUUGUUAACCCACAUUUUUCUUGAUCUGCAUCGAGAUGGGAUCUUCAACCUGGUUCUCUUUAACUUCGACACAAAGGGAAGAUUUAGCUAUCCCAUGAACAACCACUCCUCCAUCCUCAUAAUACAAAAUUUGCACUCCUAGAUUUGCAAGUCGGUAAAUAUCCUUCACCAUCUCCCUCUUUUCUUUCCCCACAUAAGAAAGAAUGCCUAUAGAUAACUUGCUGAGGGAGUCGGCUACCACAUUCGCCAUGCCCGGAUGAUAGUACAGGCUCAUGUUAUAGUCUUUUAAAAGUUCCAACCAUCCCCUCUGCAUGAGAUUCAAUUAUUUUUGCUAGAAAACAUACUAUAAACUCUUGUGGUAAGUAAAUAUAUCAAUAUGUACCACAUACAAAUAGUGCCGCUAGAUCUUAAGUGCAAAAACUGUAGCUGCUAACCCCAAAUCAUGAGUAGGGUAGUUCCUUACCGUGCUGCAUAAGGACACACCCAAGUCCCACACAGGGCGCAUCACAGUAUACAACAAAACCUUCUGUACCCUCCGAAAGAGUCAGAACAGAAGCAGUAGUCAACUUGUCUUUCAACUUCUCAAAGCUAUUCUCACAAGAGUCAGACCACAAAAACUUCACCUUUUUCUGAGUCAACUUAGUAAUUGGUGCAGCUAUGGAAGAAAAAACUCUCGAUGAAUCUUCUAUAAUAACUUGCCAAACCCAAGAAGCUCCUAAUAUCGGUUGGAUUCGUGGAUCUGGGACAUUUUAUCACAACCUCAAUCUUUUAAGGAUCAACCUUAAUCCCCUCACUAGACACAAUAUAGUGCAAGAAUGCAAUAGCUUUCAACCAAAAUUCACACUUGGAAAAUUUUGGAUACAAUUUAUGAUCUUUAAGGGUCUGAAGGAUGAUUCGGAGGUGAUCGGCAUGGUCCUCCUCACUCUUAGAAUAUACAAAAAUGUCAUCAAUGAAUACAAUGACAAACAGAUCCAAAAACUAAUGGAAAACCCUAUUCAUUAGAUCCAUGAAAGCUGCAGGGGCAUUAGUCAACCUGAAGGACAUGACUAAGAAUUCAUAAUGGCCAUAUCUGGUUUGGAAAGCUGUUUUGGGAAUAUCUGACUCUUUAACUUUCAACUGGUGAUAUCCCGAACAAAGGUCUAUCUUUGAAAAAUAUUUAGCACCCUGAAGUUGAUAAAAAAGAUCAUUAAUACUAGGAAGGGGAUAUUUAUUUUUAAUCAUGACCUUAUUCAACUGGAGGUAAUCUAUGCACAUACGAAGGGAACCAUCUUUCUUUCGCACGAAAGGUACAGGUGCACCCUAGGGAGACAAACUAGGGUGGAUAAAACCUUUAUCUAGAAGAUCUGCUAGUUGUUCUUUCAAUUCUUUUAGCUCUGCAGGAGCCAUCCUAUAUGGCAGAAUAGAAAUAGGAUGGGUAUCUGGUAAUAAAUUAAUACCAAAAUCUAUUUCCCUAUCAGGUGGUAUUCCUAGGAGAUCAUCUGGAAAGACUUUUGGGAAUUUAUUCACUAUGGGGACAGACUGAAGAGGGAGACUUUCAGCACUAGAAUCUUUAACCCGAAUAAGAUGAUACAAGAAAACUUUGGAAAUAAGUUUACGGGCCCUGAGAUAAGAUAUGAAAUGCCCUCUAGGUGAUAGAGAAUGUCUCUUCUAUUCUAUCACCGACUCAUUCAGAAAAGAAAAAUGACUCUUUGGGUCCUACAAUUCAAGGUGGCAUAGCACGAAUGGAGCCACUCCAUCCCAAAGAAGGCAUCCAAAUCAACCAUAUCAAGUUCUAUGAGAUCUGCCUCAGUAUCCCAGCCAAAAAUAGACAUAACACAAUUUCUAUACACCCUACUAGACACUACAAAAUCUCCCACCGGGGUGGAAACUGAAAAAGUUCAGCAAUCACCUCAGGCUUAAACCCAAAACCAACAGCCACGUAUGAGGUCACAUAAGACAAGGUAGAGCUGGGAUCAAGUAAUACAUACAUAGCACGGGAAAAGAUUUGCAACAUGCCGGUGACUAAAUCUGGUGAGGAAUCUACCUCCUGGCGGUUGGUCAAAGCAUAAAACCGAUUUUGACCAUUUCCGGCAGCUAAAGUGGAACCCUUCUGAGGUGGUGGCGCAGAUGAAUUCGCUUGCGGCUUGGCUCCUCCAACAUUAAUCUUUGCUGCCGGACAGUCUCUCUGGAUAUGGCCUGGCUGGCAGCAUGAAUAACACACCAAAGCGCCAAACUAACAUCUCCCUGGAUGAUUCCUCCCGCAUCUCCCACAGUGAGGAUAGGACCGAGAGGUCUGGGCUACACUUCCUUGCGACUGCAUACCUUACAUCCUCGACCCCUGACUAGACUGAAAAUUUUGGGUGUGCUGCUCAGCUGUGGGUCUGGACACUGGAGCACUACUACCGACUGUGCAUUACCCCAAUUCUUUUUCUUUAGCCAUUUGCCGCCGCAAUUACUGCUCUGCUAUUGUGUAUGACCCUGGUCUAUACUUUGGCUCUCUUUGCCUGCCUGUCCUUUUCCUUAGAUUCGGAUAUCUUCUUUUUCUUCUGCUCAACUUGCUGUAUGUAGACUGACAGUCUAGCAAAGUCCAUAUCCCUGUUCAGCAUAACUCCCUGACACUUAAGCACCAGAACAUCUGAAAGGCCGGAAAUAAACUUCCUCAUUUGGGCCCUCAUACUACUCGUCAUCUCAGGAGCAUAAUGGGCCAUCUGGUUAAAAUUUAAAGUAUCUUCUUGAACACUCAUCUUACCCUAUUUAAGGUUCAUGAAUUCCUCAGCUUUAGCUUCCCUCAGCUCCAGAGGAAAGAAUCGGUCAAGCAAAGCUUCUACAAACUCGUCCCAAACUGUGGGCUUAGCACUGUCACCCUUUGUAUCAUACCACUCGUUGUACAAUUGGUUCGCUACAUCCUUUAGCCGGUAUGCUGCUAGCUCAACAACCUCUACCUGAUCAACAUGCAUUACUUUGAAAAUCUUCUCCAUUUCGUCUAUGAACUCCUGCGGGUCCUUUUCUACCUUAGCGCCAGAUAACUUGGGCGGGUUCAUUCUUAUGAACUAGCCCACUCUAGUAACUUCAGAAGUAAUAGACGCAGACCAAGUAUCCUCUAACCUCUGAGUCUGUGCAGCUCCUAGCUAUGCAAGCAUGUGAAUAGAUUGUCUGAAUUCAGCAUUAGAAACCUCUUCUUCAUGAGGCUGAGAGCGACUGGACCCCAUCCGAGGAGCUCUAGGAGGACUAGUUGGUAUAGGAGGUACUCCCAGAGUAGGAACAGGUUCUUGGGUAUGAGCUCUAUUACGGGUCCGCAUCCCAUGGGUAGGAUGGACUUCAUCAUCCUGAGCAUUAACGUUCGUACGACGCGGAGGCAUCACUGGGUUUUUGAAAAGCAAGUGGUUAUUGAUUAGGGGAGAGAUUAGACUUUGAUGCACGAACUAAAUAAUGAACAAGAGGAAUAUUCUUAAAUACCUAGUAGCCUUCUGCUUGUAAGUGUGGCGCACUACACACCCAUAAACAAAACUCUACCCGACGCGAUUUCGCAGAUACCUUGGGACCAUAAACUGUGCUUUGAUACCAAGUUUGUCUCAACCCAAACUAAGGCCUGGCCGUGAAAGACAUACCGAGCCUCUAUCUGGUAAUCAUGUACAACAUUCAUAUAAUAAAGAAGAUGUCGAAACUUAAUCUGCUACGGAAAUAUGGUCAACUCAGUCUGCGAAAUCUCUACUACAUGAAAUCUGACAACUGUCUGAAACUGGGACAAGGCACCAGUAGACCAAAACUAAAAUAAGUGGCAUAAUCUGAGAAGACAGGCCUUCUGGAAUAGAUAAGGCUAACCACUGCACAUUCUGAUCAGCUGUCUAAAUUACUUAUCUGGACCUCUAGACUGAGUCUCAGAACUUGAGAGGUAGGGGGGAGGUAGUCAAUACAGAUGUACUGGUACGCAAAGCAUAUCCAAAAUAAUCAUUUAUAAAUCAACAUAUAUGAGAGCAAUUUAAAACAGUUCAUAAGUAUAUCAUGUAGUAAGAAUUCACAUGGGCAUUUUAAAGACUCUGUAAAAAUAAUCUCCGUUCUGAGAAAUCUAUGUUACUUCUGCACUAGGUGGUAUACCCUACAAAUCUAAAAAAUUCCAUGGGCUAUAUGGAAACUAUCAAUAACUCGGCCGCGAAGUCCCCAACCCAAGUGUGCCACAAGUAUCGGAGUCUCCGAAUCUACUACGCCACAUGGCCGUCGCCAGCAUACAAUAAUAAUCUACCCGUAUCGGCAAAUAUGGUUUCAGGCUAAGAGUUUAUUGAACUUGCGCCUUCUCCGGGUAACCACCUAACCCUCUUUAAGACCCUUUUUAAAACACUAUCAAAACAUACAGUCUCUGAAAACCUAAUAUUUUAUGGCAUAAAUACAUAUUCUGUUAUGGAAUAAAUAUAUAUGGUAUCGUCAUACAAUUGACUUGCAAGUCACAUAUCUGAGCCACUAUUAGUCUAUCAUAAAUCUCUGUAUUCAAAACACACAUUUUGAGACCAGCAUUUCAAUAAUUCAAUUCAAUGAAUCUUUCUUUUUUCAAACCUCAUGUUAACACAUGCAAUUCUUUCUCAUACACACAAGAACAUAUUGAUAUCAAGAAACACCCUCUCAACAAUUCCAAAUCAUGUUCAAAUGCCAAGAUAUUGCAAAAGCAUCUUUCAAAUCACAAAACCAUAAUCUUUAAUCCAAUACAAGAGAGGGAGUUUAUAAUAUAUGCUCUCAACAAUCUUAAAUCUCAAAUUAAUACAUAUACAUAUAUAUGUAAAUCAAUUUAAGGGAAAAGAACACAAGGCCAAAGCAAUAGUAGCAUUGAAACUUUUGAAAUGCAUGAUCAAUAAUAUAGUUUUCAAAACCCCCAUAAAAUACAUGCAUCAAAUCCUUUAAAUCAUGCUUUAACAAUUUUAAGCCCAUGUAGUUUUUAGGAUAAACCCAACGUACCUCGACUAUGAAGAAUAAGGGAUGAUCCUUUAAGCCCACGGUUUGAGGAUUCCAAAUCUUCAGUCAAUUUUGAAAAUUCACGGCUGAAUCUUUAGUUUCUUGGAGGAGAAGUAUAUGAACUAGGGUUUUUGUUUUGAGGAAAAUCUUGAGAAUGUCAUAUAUUCUGCUUGUAGAGGUCAUAAUCUACUGUUUGGACGUUUUAAGAGGAUUGAAAAAAGUCCAAAUUACCCUUGUUAACUUCUGAAUGAAGCUGGAAAAAAUUAAACUGGGAACCCGAUUUUAUGAGGCACCGCGAUGCGCCACUAUCGCGGUGGCUCACUGGAAAUUGACGAAUGGGAAUUUGGGAUCCUCCACAAUGCGCCACUAUCGUGAUUUCCAACUGGAAUUUGACAAUUGCUAAUUAAACCCUCUACGCGACGCGCUAAACACCCGAAUGACAAUGUUUUAUGACUAGCACAUAAAAUAGCCAUAACUUGUUCACUAGUUGUCCAAUUUGGACUAAUCUUAUAUCGACAGAAAGCUUAUUCAGUAAUCUGCGAAAUGAAAAGUUGAAAUCUAAGAGAUUCCACUGGGAAAAAAGUAUAAAUCAUUCAAGAAGUGAAGUCUUGAUAUUUUAGGGACAAAAUUUAGCUAUGAAAAACUUUGGGGCCUUACUAUAGCCUUACCUAGCUUUUUUCUCAGUGAUUCUUUAGCCAUGAUUCAUUUUGGCUAAGCUACGCAAAAAGUUUAGUUUAACUAUGACCCUUGCCAGCUCUGCGCCAAUUUUGAGAAGCUCUUUAGUAAACAAUUCCUUCUUUUUUACACGACUCGAGCAACAUAUAUAGGUUAGAAAAGAAGUGGAUCGGGUUUGAUCCAAGCCGAUCCACUUGCUGGGUUACUUCACCACCUUGGGAGAAGAUGAUUAUAAAUAUUUAAAUUGCUACAAAAAUUCCUUUUCCUUUUAUAUUUCAAGUUUAAUCAAUGGCAAGAAGAAGUUGCAGAUCAAAAGCGCAAUCUACCGAUUCACGUGAACUCAAUAGCUUUUGCUCAAACCCACUAAUACUUGGUUAAACCUAAAAAGUGCUUGCAGAAACAGCCUCUCUAUCUCUAUAGAGUAAGGUCUGCAUACGCUCUAACUUCCUUUCCUAGACCCCUUACGUGUGAGAUUUUGCUGUAGAUGUUGUUGUUGUUGUUUUCAAUUGUUGAGUGUCUAGUGACUAAACUUCAUUGAUUUACAGGAGAUUAUUAUUGUGUUUGCAGAUAUUGACUGACUACAACUGGUUUCCUUGAUGCUUGUUUUCCUUUAUCUUGAAUCUUUGGUGACUCGUUCUGGACACGGUCAAUAUCCUCUGCUGCUUGUUGUCGGCUAUCAGUAAGCCUCUCAUGUGCUCUUACCCUCUGGAUAUCCUCAUUUGCCAUUACAACUUCUGUUACGCUUAGUUGAAUUGUACGUGCAACAACAUUUACAACUUCUUUUAUCUGCACUUCCAAAUCUGUCAUUUCUCUAGAAACAUUGCUUUUCUCAAAGUUCUUGAGAAAUACUUCCAGGGAACAAACUUUUUCACGAAGAGCAAGAAAUUCUUCUCUGUGUUCACUAAUUAGAGAUUGCACUGGCAAAUUGGAUGUCACGACCAAUUCCAUUGUUCUCUUAAACCAUAUCUUUACUCUACAGUUUUAACAAAGAUUCCAUGUAUCUACAGUUUGUGAAACUAGUGCAACACAUUUUUUAACAACGCUCAAGAAGUUAAAGCUGGUUGGAACUCGUCUAGCAUGGGAGGACUUGAAUAUCAUAGGCCAAUAGCCUAACCUCGAGGUGCUGAAGCUGAAACCAAAUGCUUGUCGUGGCCUAGAAUGGCGUCCAAUUGAAGGAGGAUUUCGUAGGUUGAAGUUUUUGCUAAUUGAAAGUACAAAUCUGAAAUGUUGGCAAGAUUUCCUUUGCAUCGUGUUAUUGAGAUACAGUAGCCCAAGCAUGGACAUCAAAGCAAUGUAGAACGGAUACGUCAUCGUAAACUUCUUUCGCUAAAGUUGAAUUGCCAAUGCCUCCCAUACCGAUGAUUGGGAUGACCCUGAGUUCACCAGAGAAGCCUCUAGUCAAUUCUUGUAGCAACCUUUCCUUUUCAUUAUCACGCCCCACCAUAACAUUCCUAAUAUCUUUUGUUGAACUUGAAUCUUGAAUUUCAUUGUUGAAUUGUAUGUUCAACAACAUUUGCAACAUCUUUUAUCUGUGCUCCGAAAUCUAUCAUUGCCCCAGAAACAUUGCUUUUCUCAAAGUUCUUGAGAAAUACUUCCAGGAAGCUAACUUUUACACCAAGAGCGAGAAAUUCUUCUCUGUGUUCACUAAUUAGCGAUUGCACUGGCAAAUUGGAUGUAACAACCAAUUCCAUUGUUCUCUUAAGCCAUAUCUUGACUCUCAUGUUCCUUGUGCAGUUUUUACCAGAAAACUGCAAGUUUCAAGACCUCAGUGGUGUUACUACAUAUAAUACCAGUUUCAAACUGUAUUAACUCAAAAAAUAACUCUAACAACACAAAGUAAUAAACAAUUCAAUAACUGAAACCAUAAUGAAGAACAUGGCCGGAGUCAUAAGAACAUUUAUUAAGAGUUCAAGUUGGGAUGUGGCUAGAAAUAAUGGAAUCAGAACAAUAACAUGAAGACUCCUAGACACCACAAAACUAAGUGAUUGUCUCAUCGUAUAAAAUAAUCAUCAAACUCGAUCACAAUCAACCACGUGGUCUGCUAGUACUUGAAGGUGAAUUUGUAAAGUUACAUAAAAAGAGAAGGGAAGAAGGGAAUUAGUACAACAAAUCCUGUAAGUCUCAUAGACCAUGUGGCAAGGCUUUAUGCAUUACAGAAAAUUAAUGGAAACCAGUAUAAUACAAUACAGGGAUCAUUAGUCACAUAAGAAAGAUAUGUUACAAUACAAAAGUUAUGACAUCUCCUUGGAAACCACACAUUGCUUGUAACCGAUAAUUUUGUGGUAAUUUGCGACAGAGGAACCGAAAUGAAAUACCAAGAGUUCAAUCCUUCUGACCUUGAACUCCUUUACUAAUAUUCUUCUAAAUCAGAAUCACUCUCCCCGACUGAGAAGAAACAAAAAGGGUCAGUAGAAGUUUGACUAGUCACAUUGUUCAGAUGCAGAUUUAGAGCGUGUUCAACCAAACUCACAUCUUUCAACUCAACUUCAUCUGAGAGCUAAAAUACUUAUAUUACAUCUCAACUAACAAUUAUUUACUAAUUCAAGAAAUGAGCUGCAAAUAUUGAUGCAUAGUUUUAUAGAUUCUAUAAUCGAAACAUUCUUUAUCUCAAUUACCUUGAUAAUAUAUCAAAAAAUGAUUAUUCAAAAGUUUAAUUUUUAUAUUUUUUCUAUGAUAUAAUAUGUGUUCUUUAAAAAUAAUUAAUUUUUAUAUGGGGUAUAUGCACAACACAUUUCAUAGACUCUAUAAAACCGAAGAACGUAAUACAUUUACAUUUAUGAAAAACAUUGUGUGAUGAACUAACAUCAACAGUCUAUAACUCAUCAGUUCUGCAGCAUCAGCAUCUGAAUCUUCAUUAUCAUCAUGUUCUGCAGCAUUAGCAUCUGAUAUUUAUUCUUCUUCAUCAUCAUCAUCAUCGUCGUCAUCAUCUUCAUCAUCAGUAACUAAAUAAAGUCACGGAGGCAAAUUAUCCAAGGACCUUGUAACAACUGUAUGACAUGACUUGUGGAAAUGAGAAACAGAGUGUAACCUUAAUAAAUACUAUAUACUUACAUGGAUCGGAGAUACAAACAUCCACAGGGUUGUUUCUGAGGUCUUCUGGUUCUUUCUGAAUUCGUGCAGCAGAUUUUCCAAGUUCGGGAAGACACCAUUUUAACUGAAUCAGUUGUAGCGUGUUAAUAUCUGCAAACUCAAUCGGUAUCUCUUUCAAAUGAUGGCAACUUCUAAUCAUGAGGCGCUCAAGGACAGGAAAAUUGUCAUUUGUGGCUUUCCAGUACAUUAGAUCAUUAAAUUCAAUUAGCGAAAGUUUCAAUUUAUUAAAUCCCCUAACACUUGGAUACCAUUCUGGAUCAACACAAGCAUUACACAUCAGUUUCAGCCCCUCAAGGUUAGGCAACUCGGCUAUGAUGUCCAAGUACGACCAGCUUAGAAAAGUUCUUUCCAACUUAAACUUCUUGAGCGUUGUUUCCGAUGGGAGAUACGAACAUCCACAGGGUUGUUUCCGAGGUCUUCUUGUUCUUUUUGAAUUCGUGUAGAAGAUUCCUCAAGUUCGGGAAGACAGUCUCUUAACUCAAUCAGUUGUAGUGUAUUAAUAUCUGCAAACUCAAUGGGUAUCUCUUUCAAAUAAUAGCAACUUCUAAUCCUGAGGCGCUCAAGGAUAGGAAAGUUGUCAUCUGUGGCUUUCCAGUUCUUGAGACGAUUAUCUUCAAUUAAAAAAAGAUUCAAUCGAGUAAAUCCCUUAACAUUUGGAUGCCAUUCUUCGCCAAGACAAGCAUCAUCGAUCAGCUUCAGCAACUCAAGGUUAGGCAAUUCAGCUAUGAUGUCCAAAUACGACCAACUUAGAUAAGUACUGUUUAACUUCAUCUUCUUGGUCGUUGCUGGAAAAGCUUUUGCACUUGAUGGCAAAAGGUUACAACAAAUUAUAACACUCAAUGUUUCAAGUUGCUGUAGAUGGACAAGAUUGUUGAGAAGCCCAUUAAAGUCAGUCACAUUUCCAUAUCUACAGAUUCCUAAUUCUUUGACAUUUUGAAUCCCCAUAAUAACCUCCGUCGUGAAACAACGUGGAGACAAGUAAGAAAUAGUUUGUAACUUUGAAAAAUCCAAGUGCCUUCCUUUGUCAACAGAUCCACUUGGGCAAUCUGGCAAAUAAAAUGUGGGCUGUUUGAGAUACCUUAAUUGCAUUAGUCCCCAAAUUUGCAUUGGACAAGUUACAAAUGAUCGAUUAGGCCCUUUAACAUUGAAUGUCUGCAGAUUCCAUAACUUGGAAAUUUCUGGAGGUAUGUCAAACAUUUCCCUGCGGAAGAGCAAUGCUAGGUACCUCAACCAGAUGAGGCUUAGUAUCUAGGAAAAUUAUCAAUCUCUAUGUGUCUUAGCUCCAAGACUUAGAGUAAUUUGAAAUAAAUAAGCUCUGAGUUGAGAAUAAAAGAUGAAAAAUAACCACCGAAAGAGAAAAUAGAACGGGUUCGUUUCAAAAGAUUGCUGUUGUCAUGAUAUCUCAACUGACGAUGUACAGGGGUAAGAAGAGCCCUAUAAAGACCACAGGGUGAAGAAUCAAUUUCAUCACCAGUCACGCGCUUAAAGGGCUGCAUUUGCAUGAGAGAUUGGCAUUCUGAAGGAACAUGAUUUGCAUCUGAGUUACCAAACACAAUGUCGUUCAUGAUAAAAAUGUUCUCCCUUUGAAUUUCACUCAUGCACAGGUCAUAUAUUAGAUCAUGAACCUUACAUGAUCUAAUUUUUGUUCCAUCUAGACUUUUCUUGCAGAUGAGGACUAAACAUCUAUCGACAAGCUCUUGCAAACACUUCUCAGCCUCUCCUUCCAAAUCAUUUUCCAACUUCAGGAACCCCUCAGCCAUCCAUGAUCUCAUCAAUUUCUUCACUGCUAUACCACUGUCUUCUGGAAAAAUUCCGAAAUGCAGUAGGCAAGUUUUUAGAUCGCUAGUCAAGUGAAUGUAACUCAACCCAAGAACACGUGAACAUCGUUCAUCAGGAUCAUUUGUGACAAGUGACUUGACAUCUUCGCAACACUUCUCCAAUCUUCUAUUGACCAUUUGUAUUUGAGAAGUCCAGCAACCACGACAAUAGUUAGUGGUAACCCGUGACAUUCAUCUGCAAUUUGCUUCCCAACAGUCUCAAACUCAUAUGGUAAUGCUUCACUUGAGAAUGCAGAGCCUUUAAAAAGGUUCCAACUCUCAUCUUGAUCCAUGAAGUCCAUCUGCAUAGAAAGAUUCUCUGUACCAGCGUAACAGGGUACUUAAUUGUUACGGGUAGUCAACAGUAUUCGACUCCCUGCAUUGUUUUCAGUUGGAAAGCAUCGUCUCACGCCAUGUCACGACCCGAACCAGGGCCCUGGCCGUGACAAGCAUUCCAAAGCAUGAAGGCCCGAAACACCCCUAUCUAUCUGGUAAUCAUGCACAUAAUUCAUAUGAUAAUAAGAUAUGCGGAAGAUACACAAUAUUACGGAAAACAUGGUCAUAAAUCAAAUGAAAUCAGCAUAGGGGAAAUAAUGUCCCACAACAUCUAUCGACAUCUGAACAACCGUCUGCGAAAUCUCUAAUACAUGACUGAUACAAAUUACUGUCUGAAAACUGGGACAAGGCCCCCAGUAGACCCAAAACUACUAAAUGAUAAAUGAACUGACAGAUAUCAGGCCUUCCGAAAUAUAGAAGGCUCACCACUUGAUUCCGCAAAUCUGUCGGAAGAGAUCUACUGGUUAUCUGGACACCUAAACUGUGCCUCUAAACUUGGGAGGGAAGGGGGUCAAUACAAAAGUACCGGUACACAGAGAAAUCAAACACAAAAUAUAAUAUUUUUUCCAAAUAUAGGUGAGAGCCAUUAUAAAGCAGUUUCAUAGCAAAUCAUUUGAAAACACAUGGGCAUAAUGUAAUAGUUUUCAACAACAAUGUAAUGCAGUUGAGCUAGAUGGAAUACCCUAUAUAUAACAUUUACACCAACUGUCAAAUCUAGGUUGCCGUCGAGAUUAGAGUAUAAGUGAGGGGAAGACACACAAGAUCACACAGCAGGGUGUCUCGACCCAAUAAAGUAUAGUAGUGCCCAAGAUCACUUAGCCUGGGCUCUUAACUGUAGUCCAAAUUUGGGAAUGACAUAAAGUCUAGUGCACAAGAUCACUUAGCCUGGUACCAAAUCCCCAUGUUUGCAAACAUGGUUUCCAGCGAUGAGCCCUUACACUUAAACGCCUUCUUCGGGCAUCCACCUAUCUCAUGUAAAAUCAAUGCAUCAAACUCCAUUUAAUUCAAUCACAUAUCUUAUUCUGUAGGUCAUCAUCAUACCCGACUUGUAAGCCAUCAAUAUCAGAUCAUUCUUUCAGGCAACCAUUCUAUUCAUCAUAUUUCAACAUAACAACCCUCUCAUUACAAGUCAAAACCAUGACCAAUUUCAAAAUAUUUCAUGUCACGCUUGUUAAGAUGAUUACAAACAUUUCACAUCAUAUGAGAAUUUAAAACGAGAACAUAUAAAGAGAGGGAUUUCAUAUAAUUCAUGCUCUUAAGUUAACAUCUUUUUUGAAUACAUGCAUAGACAUAUAUACUAUAUCAAACCACUCCGGGAAUAGGCCUAAACGCCAAAUCUAUAUCAUAAAACGUUUAAAACGGGAUUAUAUUCAUAAUUUCAAAACCUCCACUUUUAAAACAUGAAUUUUUAAGCCCAUGAGAUUUUUGAGAUAACCCCACGUACCUCUAUAUGCGAAGAUGAUAGGUGCUUCUUGAAGCCUACGUUCUGGGGAUUUCAAAUAUUCAAUUAGUUUCAAAAACCCACGGUUGAAUCUUGAGUUUCUUAGUUUUUUAUUUUGAAACCCUAAGGAGAGUUCUUGAGCAAUUUUGAUGAAUGAAGGUGUAUUUUGGGGUAUUUGGGAACUAAAUUUCGUGUAUAUGGCUAAAUAAGGGUGGGAGAAGGACCAUUUUACCCAAAAACGGAGUGUUUAAGUCACUCUUUAUUUCACACAUUAGGUUGUGUGUCGCACACCUUAUGGCAUAAGUUAGGGUGUGCGUCGUACACCUUAUGUUGCUCGACACACUCCACUUUGUGAAGCCAUAACUUCUUCCUCGGGUGUCGAAUUUUUACAAAAUUGGUAUCGUUCGAAAGAUAAAUCGAAUACCUUUCAUUUAAUAUAUAGUAGGCACUCUAAUUCAAUAUAUACAAGGAGUAAUGGUCGAUUGAAGUUGAGCUAAGUUUCAACGCUCACUAAAAUUCGAACGAUAGGAAAACUUUCAACUUCUUCUUGAGCUUGGGGACCUCUAUGAUCUCAAUUCAUUCUCAAAUAGGUUUCCACGCUACAUAAUUUAUUAACACACUAAAUAUGGAUUGGAUUUCUGGCUUUUGGAACCUUUACGUGAAGGAAAUGACGAUUUUUGUUCUCGUCCGAAAUGCGGGGUGUUACAUUAUCUCCCCCUUGGGAUCAUUUGUCCCCGAAUGAUUGGUAGGAAUUUUUUCAAGCUUAAAGGUAUGGAGUAACGCGGACAUGAUUUGUCUUCUAAGAAAGGACAUAACGGAUCUGAAAUAUUUAAACUUCUAUUAUGAAACUGAAUUCUGAGCUGACUUGACUUUUCUUGCUUCAAGAAGCUGAUUCGUGCUGAAAAUUUAGGAUUCCCUUGAAAUAUUCAUGAUCCAAUCAUACAUAUUGAAAUUAGGAAGUGAUAACUUAUGAAAGUACGAAUCAUAAGACAUCAAGACUUAGAUCGUACAAGGGUAUUACACUAUCUGAGCUGAAAUACUUGAAAAAUUUUGAGAUUAAACGCUGAACUCGUAUGCACCGAGUCAUGAAUAGAUAGCUGAAUCAGAAACAUGAUACUUGGAAUGAACUGAACUCACAAUUUAUAUGGAUGGAAUAGAUUAUCUCUUGGGAAUGGCCAUACGCAUGAGACAUCGGAUAGUAGGCCUAGGUGAAAAGGUGGAAAAACCAUAGUAACUUGUCUGCCCGACUGUUAAAUUGAAUUACAGAAUUAUACUAGCCACUUAACUGGAGUAUCUCUUCAACACUCUCUCUAAAGAAGUUCUAGCAGUAAUAGGAAGCCACGAAUCAUGGGUAUGGACUACAUAAGACAUCCAACUGAAGGAAAUCACGACAUUUACACUACUCUGCGGUCUGGAAUAUAGAUAUAUAACUCAUAAAUUAGGAUAGAAUUUCCAGGCCUUAGUCAAUGCGACUUCUUACUUUAAAGAUUAGAACACUCCUCGAAUACUCCCUUAACUGUACUAUUACCCGUAGAUACCACAUUCAUACGAUCCAACAUAUUUGUUCUCAUAUUUACAUUUAUAAAUCUUUUUACUAAUGUCUAUAGUAACUUAAAUACUCUUUACCAUGAUUAGGCCUAAAUCCAACUCGCAAAAUACUACAUGCCCCUCCACAAUACAAGUCUCAACCAUAAGAUUCCACCUUCUAUAUCUCUUAAAAGAUCACACCCUAAGCCUAUCAUGUCUUACCACUUCAAUGGCUAACUCUGAACUAUUACUACGAAGUCACUAGCGCAUAUAGCGUUCCUUAACAAAAAUUCCAACAUGUCAUUCAAGCCUAUCUCUAUAACCAAAUAUGAACUUCAAAGUAAACACUCAUAAAGACACACUUCACAUAUUCUACUAACCAUCUAUUGAUAUAGCUCCCACACUCUACCCCAAGAACAUACACACACACCCCUUUCAGCUAACCAUCACAUGCAUCAAAGACUUGGCCCCAACCUUACUUCGCACUUAUGGUCUUAUCUAAAAUAAGAAUACUAUGAUAUUCCACCAACUAGAAACAUUUACUCAUCACCACUACCAUCACAUAAAGAGGAGUCACUAAAGAUUAGAACAUAAGAUCUUGAAGCAUGGAAGGAUGUUAUAUGAAACUUAACACUUAACUGAGGCCUGGAGAAUAGCAAAUCAAAAUCCAGGAUUUAUCAAGGAAAAAAAAAUCUGAAUUGGGGCAUACAUGGCUAUGAACUAUAUUCCACCUAUCGUAAUGAGUAUACCAUGAAUUAUGGGAACUGAGCACACUAUAAAGCAUGAAUACAUGAGUCAUGAGCUGUAUGACCUCAAUUUAGAGUUCAUAACAUAUGGAAUGUGAUUCCGACGGCUGAAUGNNNNNNNNNNNNNNNNNNNNNNNNNNNNNNNNNNNNNNNNNNNNNNNNNNNNNNNNNNNNNNNNNNNNNNNNNNNNNNNNNNNNNNNNNNNNNNNNNNNNNNNNNNNNNNNNNNNNNNNNNNNNNNNNNNNNNNNNNNNNNNNNNNNNNNNNNNNNNNNNNNNNNNNNNNNNNNNNNNNNNNNNNNNNNNNNNNNNNNNNNNNNNNNNNNNNNNNNNNNNNNNNNNNNNNNNNNNNNNNNNNNNNNNNNNNNNNNNNNNNNNNNNNNNNNNNNNNNNNNNNNNNNNNNNNNNNNNNNNNNNNNNNNNNNNNNNNNNNNNNNNNNNNNNNNNNNNNNNNNNNNNNNNNNNNNNNNNNNNNNNNNNNNNNNNNNNNNNNNNNNNNNCCACUGUUAAUACUACCUUCUGAGAUACACUUUAUCAUUCUAUAGACCCAGUAGUCAUCAUAUAAUACUUGCACACUUACUAACUUCGAGUCUUCAUAGAUAUCCCCAUAGUGGGAGUGCACACCCUCUAGUGCUUUAACUCUUAUUUCUAUUAGUUCAACCUUUAAAACUCAAACUUAGAAUCUAGCACUCAACAUGGAUAUCACCAAGCCUUCAAUGAAUCAUACUACUUCCAACAUAGCCUACUAAUAUCGCGACUCCAAACUUACAUUUCUCUACUAUGAGAAUCAAGAUCAUAUAAAAAGGCUCAACACUAUCAAUCAAAACUCCUUAACUUGGCUAUUUAAAACACCAUAUACCAUCUAACUAGUCUUUCUCCACCUAGCAACUCAACGGUACCACUCGUCACACAANNNNNNNNNNNNNNNNNNNNNNNNNNNNNNNNNNNNNNNNNNNNNNNNNNNNNNNNNNNNNNNNNNNNNNNNNNNNNNNNNNNNNNNNNNNNNNNNNNNNNNNNNNNNNNNNNNNNNNNNNNNNNNNNNNNNNNNNNNNNNNNNNNNNNNNNNNNNNNNNNNNNNNNNNNNNNNNNNNNNNNNNNNNNNNNNNNNNNNNNNNNNNNNNNNNNNNNNNNNNNNNNNNNNNNNNNNNNNNNNNNNNNNNNNNNNNNNNNNNNNNNNNNNNNNNNNNNNNNNNNNNNNNNNNNNNNNNNNNNNNNNNNNNNNNNNNNNNNNNNNNNNNNNNNNNNNNNNNNNNNNNNNNNNNNNNNNNNNNNNNNNNNNNNNNNNNNNNNNNNNNNNNNNNNNNNNNNNNNNNNNNNNNNNNNNNNNNNNNNNNNNNNNNNNNNNNNNNNNNNNNNNNNNNNNNNNNNNNNNNNNNNNNNNNNNNNNNNNNNNNNNNNNNNNNNNNNNNNNNNNNNNNNNNNNNNNNNNNNNNNNNNNNNNNNNNNNNNNNNNNNNNNNNNNNNNNNNNNNNNNNNNNNNNNNNNNNNNNNNNNNNNNNNNNNNNNNNNNNNNNNNNNNNNNNNNNNNNNNNNNNNNNNNNNNNNNNNNNNNNNNNNNNNNNNNNNNNNNNNNNNNNNNNNNNNNNNNNNNNNNNNNNNNNNNNNNNNNNNNNNNNNNNNNNNNNNNNNNNNNNNNNNNNNNNNNNNNNNNNNNNNNNNNNNNNNNNNNNNNNNNNNNNNNNNNNNNNNNNNNNNNNNNNNNNNNNNNNNNNNNNNNNNNNNNNNNNNNNNNNNNNNNNNNNNNNNNNNNNNNNNNNNNNNNNNNNNNNNNNNNNNNNNNNNNNNNNNNNNNNNNNNNNNNNNNNNNNNNNNNNNNNNNNNNNNNNNNNNNNNNNNNNNNNNNNNNNNNNNNNNNNNNNNNNNNNNNNNNNNNNNNNNNNNNNNNNNNNNNNNNNNNNNNNNNNNNNNNNNNNNNNNNNNNNNNNNNNNNNNNNNNNNNNNNNNNNNNNNNNNNNNNNNNNNNNNNNNNNNNNNNNNNNNNNNNNNNNNNNNNNNNNNNNNNNNNNNNNNNNNNNNNNNNNNNNNNNNNNNNNNNNNNNNNNNNNNNNNNNNNNNNNNNNNNNNNNNNNNNNNNNNNNNNNNNNNNNNNNNNNNNNNNNNNNNNNNNNNNNNNNNNNNNNNNNNNNNNNNNNNNNNNNNNNNNNNNNNNNNAAAUUUAAUACGCAAUAUCCAAUGAACUAAGAAUACACAUCUUACUCUGUAUAAAUAAAAUCGGAGUCAAACACUUCCUCCAUGGACUACCAUACCAUCCACACAUGCUACAAGUUACCACAUUAGUCUAUCACCAUAAGGGGGUAAAUCAUUCUCGAACAUCGAUUAUUCAACUAAAAUAUUCAUUUACAUAAAAGUCACCUUCGCUCUGACUUCUUACAUUGUGACUUCAUAUCACCAACUUCUUGGUCUAAUUUCACUACCAAUAGGUCAUGAAAACAACACUUUAACGCAUACUACUAUUCGGGUGGAAAUACUGUUCCAACAUUCUACUACACAUCAUUCCCCCUUAAGCAUGACAUUUGCAACAUAAAUUUGAAGGGGACUAAAUGCAAUUAAUACCUCAAGAUGAAAAGCAUGAUUCCAUCAGGAACAAUGUUUACAUCGGAAUUAAUACACAUUGAACCACUAAUAGACUCUUCUCAAGUCCUUGCACAAAUUUUAACUCUUAUAUGGUUCAAUCAGAAAGGACCAUAUCGUUUAAAUUCUAAACUUUUGCAUUUGAAUCACCUCAAUAAUGAGACAUAUCUGAGGACAUUUGAGUAAGGAAAGAAUUGGGGAUGACAUUUUUUUACUUUCGUAAGGGCGACACGAUAGCACGAAUUAGAGUAUGAAAGAGGAACAUUCUGACUCUAUUGCACGAACUAGAACAUGAAGAAAGAGAGAUAUUACUAAACGCCUAGUAGUAUCCUGCUUAUAAGUGUAGCGCGCUAUACACCCAUAAACAAGAUUCUACCCGAUGCGAUUUUUCAGACACCCUAGGACCAUGAACCGUGCUCUGAUACCAAGUUUUUCACAACCCAAACUAGGGCCCUAGCUGUGACAAGAAUUCCGAACCAUGAAGGCCCGAAACACCCCUAUCUAUCUGGUAAUCAUGUACAUAAUUCAUAUGAUAAUAAGAUAUGCGGAAGAUACACAAUAUUACAGAAAAGAUGGUCAUAAAUCAAAUCAAAUCAACAAUGGGGAAAUAAUGUCCCAUAACAUCUAUCAACAUCUGAACAACCGUCUGCGAAAUCUCUAAUACAUGACUGAAAUAAAUUACUAUCUGAAAACUGGGACAAGGCCCCCAGAAGACCCAAAACUACUAAAUGGUAAAUGAACUGACAGACAUCAGGCCUUCCAAAAUAUAAAAGAAUCACCACUUGAUUCUACAAAUCUAUCGGAAGNNNNNNNNNNNNNNNNNNNNNNNNNNNNNNNNNNNCUCGGGAGGGAAGGGGGCCAAUACAAAAGUACUGGUACGCACAGAAAUCAAAAACAAGAUAUAACAUUUUUUCCAAAUAUAGGUGAGAGACAUUAUAAAGCAGUUUCAUAUCAAAUCAUUUGAAAACACAUGGGCAUAAUGUAAUAGUUUUGAACAACAAUGUAAUGUAGCUGAGUUAGGUGGAAUACCCUACAUAUAACAUUUACAUCAACUGUCAAAUCUCGAUUGCCGCCGACAUUAGAGUAUAAGUGAGGGAAAGACACACAAGAUCACACAAAAGGGUGUCUCAACCCAAUAAAGUAUAGUAGUGCCCACGAUCACUAAGCCUGGGCUCCUAACCAUAGUCCCAAUUUGGGAAUGACAUAAAGUCAAGUACACAAGAUCACUUAGCCUGGUACCAAAUCCCCAUGUUGGCAAACAUGGUUUCCAGAGAUGAGCCCUUACACUCAAAUGCCUUCUUCUGGCAUCCACCUAUCUCAUGUAAAAUCAAUGCAUCAAACUCCAUUUAAUUCAAUCACAUAUCUUAUUCUGUAGGGUAUCGUCAUACCCGACUUGCAAGCUAUCAAUAUCACAUCAUUCUUUCAUGCAACCAUUAUAUUCAUCAUAUUUCAACAUAACAACCCUCUCAUUGCAAGUCAAAACCAUGACCAUUUUCAAAAUAUUUCAUGUCACGCUUGUCAAGAUGAUUUCAAAUAUUUCACAUCAUAUGAGAAUUUAAAAUGAGAUCAUAUAAAGAGAGGGCUUUCAUAUUAUUCAUGCUCUCAAGUUAACAUCUUUUUGGAAUACAUGCAUAUACAUAUAUCAUAUAUCCAACCACUUAAGGAAUAGGCCUAAAGACCAAAUCAAUAUCAUAAAACGUUUAAAACGGGAUUAUAUUCAUAAUUUCAAAACCCCCAUUUUUAAAACAUGAAUUUUUAAACCCAUAAGAUUUUUGAGAUAAUCCCACGUACCUCUAUAUGCGAAGAUGAUAGGUGCUUCUUGAAGCCUACGUUCUAAGGAUUCCAAAUAUGCAAUUAGUUUCAAAAACCCACGGUAGAAUCUUGAGUUGCUUGGGUUUUUAUUUUGAAAUCCUAAGGAGAGUUCUUGAGCAAUUUUGAUGAAUGAAGUUGUAUUUUGGGGUAUUUGGGAACUGAAUUUCGUGUAUAUGGCUAAAUAAGGGUAGGAAAAGGACCAUUUUGCCCAAAAAACAGAGUGUUUAAGUCACUUGAGUAAUAAUAUAUGCGGCGCACACCUUAUCGCAUAAUAUAGGUUGUGCUUCGCACACCUUAGGUUGUGCGUCGCACACCUUAUGGCAUAAGUAAGGGUGUACGUCGUACACCUUAUGCUGCACGUCACACUCCACUUUGUAAAGCCCUAACUUCUUCCUCGGAUGUCGGAUUUUUGCAAAAUUGGUAUCGUUCGAAAGAUAAUUCAAAUACCUUUCAUUUAAUAUAUAGUAGGCACUCUAAUUCAAUAUAUACAAAGAGUAAUGGUUGAUUGAAGUUGACCUAAGUUUCAACGCUCACUAAAAUUCGAAUGAUAGGUAAACUUUUAACUUGUCCUUGAGCUUGGGGACCUCUAUGAUCUCAAUUCAUGCUCAAAUAGGUUUCCACACUACUUAAUUUAUUAACACACUAAACUUGCAUUGGAUUUAUGGAUCUUGGACCCUUUACGUGAAGGAAAUGACGAUUUUCGUUCUCGUCCGAAAUGUGGGGUAUUACACGCCAUCCCACACUUCGCAACUCCAGAUAUCAUCCAAGACAAUAAAGUACCUCUUUCUUUUUAAACUUUUCUGCAGCAUGUACGCUAGCUCUGCUUCACCUUUCAUCUUAACCCUGUCAUCCAUUUUGGUCGUCGAUUGCAGAAGGCUCAACAAAAUUUUCUUUAUGGUUUGCUGUUAAGAUACAGUAGCCCAUGCACGAACAUCAAAAUGGCGUAGAAUUGAUUCAUUAUUGUAAACUUCGUUCACUAAGGUUGUUUUACCUAUGCCUCCCAUCUCGACAAUCGGGAUGACUUUGGGUUCACUAGAGUAGCUUCUCGUAAGAUCUUCUACCAACUGUUUCCUUUGAUCGUCAUGUCCAACCAUACUGUUUCCUCUGAUCGUCAUGACUCCCAAAUCAGCCCCUUGUUUCUUGAUAAACAAUGAGUGAUCAUUGGCACUCUGAGAAUAACUAGCUUUUAGAAGAGCUUCAGUAAGCUUGAUGUUCCAUUGUCUGGAUGCCUGCUUUAAUCCAUACUAAGACUUUCUAAGUUUGCAAACCUUAGAGUUAGAUGUUCCAUCUUGUUGAAAACCAAGAGGGAGAUCAAUGUAAAUGUCUUCAUGCAAAUCUCCUUGCAAAAAAGCAUUAUUUACAUCCAUUUGAUAAAGAUCCCAUCCAUUAGAGACUGCUAGGUUGAGGACUAUUCUGAUAGUAACCAUCUUUGCAACUGGGGAGAAGGUCUCAUGGUAAUCCAAACCUUCUCUUUAAGUGUAACAUUUUGCAACCAGUCUAGCUUUAUAUCUAUCCACCUUACUAUUAGCUUUGUACUUAAUUUUGUAUACCCAUCUUAAGCCAAUUGCAUUUUCUCCUGGAGGCAGAUCUACAAUAGUUCAUGUGUUGUUGUCUUCUAAAGCUUGUAUCUCCUGCUACAUAGCAUCAAUCCAAAGUUUGUCUUAAAAGGCUUCAUGAAAUGAGGUGGGUUCCACAGUAACUGAGAAAGCUUGCAAAUAAGCUUUAUAACCUGUAGUAAUAUUAUCAUAACAUACAUGGUUAGUAAUGGAAUAAGGACUAGAUUUUUUGGGCACAACAUAAUCCUUGAUCCAUAUAGCAGGUUUGCUAGUUCUAUGCAUUUUUCUAACACCCCCCAGUGGUCUAUUAAAUCUAAACAAGAUCUGCAUGUAUUGGUGGCACUAAAAUUGCCUCAUCAUAUGGAAGUACUGAAGGUUCCUCACCAGAUGGAACAUCAGUCUCUACAUGUUCCUAAUGUGAAUCAUUCCAUGAGAUUCUUUUUCAGCAAGAGAAUCAGGCUCUAAGGCACCAUUAUGAAGUAAAGAUGUAACAGCUCCUGUAGAGUGUGUCUGAGGGUUGCAGCACUGGCUGUUGAAUAGACAAAGCAUGGUCUUUCAAAUGUGAAAGGUCCAAAAAUGGAGCCAUUAGUGGAGAAGCAUCCCCAGUUGAUUGCAAAACUUUGAAGGGAAACAUUUCUUCUUGAAAAGUAGUAUCUCUUCUAAUGAAACAACUUUUGUUGUCCAAAUCAUACAGUUUAGAUCCUUUUUGUGUAGUAGAAAAUUCUAGUAACAUAUCCUUCCUUGCUCUAUACUCAAAUUUGCUACCUCUAGGUAAUACACUAGCAAACCACAAGCAACUAAACUGUCACGACCCGAACCAGGGCCUGGCCAUGAUGAGCAUUUCGAACCAUGGCGGCCCGAAACACCCCUAUCUGUCUGGUAAUCAUGCAUCUAAUUCAUAUGAUCAAAGUAAUACGGAAGAAACCCAAUAUAACGGAAACAUGGUCAAGAAUCAUAUGAAAAUGAAAAUGGAGAAUAGUGUCCCACAAUCUAAAUUAACAUCUCUAAAACUGUCUGCGAAAUCUCUACUACUUGGUUGAAACAAUGUCUAUCUGAAAACUGGGACAAGGCCCCCAGUAGACCAUAAAACUGAAUAUAAGGUAAAAAGACUGCAGGACAAAAGACCUUCCGAAACAUAGUAGGCUCACCACUUGUCUUUGCAACUCUGUCUGAAUGAUCUACUGAUUCUCUUGACCCCUAGACUGGGCCUCUGAACCUGAGAGGUUGGAGAGGGGAGGGGGUCAGCACAAAAGUACUGGCACGCAAAGUUAUCAAAGAAAAACAUAAUAUUUUUACAAAAUAUAGUUGAGAGCCAUUAUAAAGCAAUUUCGUAUCAAAUCAUUUGAAAGAACAUGAGUGUAAUGCAAUAGUUUUUCUCUACAAUAAUGAAUGCAACUGAGCUAGGUGGAAUACCCUACAUAAUUUACACCAACUGUCAAACCUCGUUUGCCACCGAGAUUAGAGUAUAAGUGAGGGAGAGACACACAAGAUCACACAGCAUGGAGUCUCGACCCGAUGGUAGUGCCCAAGAUCACUUGGCUCGGGCUCCUACCUAUAGUCCUAAUUUGGGAAUGACAUGAAGUCAAGUACACAAGAUCAGUUAGCCUAGUUCCAAUAUUCCGUGUCGGCAAACACGUUUUUCCAGCGAUGAGCCUUUGUGUCCCAAACGCCUUCUUCGGGCAUCCACCUUUCUCAUGUAAAAUCAAUGCAUUCAAAUUUCAUCUUAUUCAAUCACAUGUAGUAUUCUGUAGGGUAUCGUCAUACCCAACUUGUAAGUCAUCAAUAUCACAUCCACAUAUGCAUAAUCAUGUAAAAACCAAGGUGCUUCGUCAUUUACAAGUGGUGAACAAUAUUUAUUUCAAAUUCAUGUUCUCUUUUGUUGAUCACAAUAUAAUAUGGAGUAUCGAAACAUUAUCAUGGGAAUUGGAAAACAAUUUAUCAGUCAUAUUUAUCAAACUUUCAUGGAAAAUCUCAAAUCACAUAUGCAUGGUUUCAACCAUUGAAGUGAAUAGGCAAACAAUUCCCAUGACAUAAAGAAAAUGACUUAGACAUCAUGUUGAAAGCAAGAUAUUAGCAUUUGAUUGAAACACCCCAUUUAAAAGCAUGCAUGUUUUCAAAAACUACACCCAUGAGAUUUUUGGAUAACCCCACGUACCUCUAUUUCCAAGGAUAAUAAAUAUGUCUUGAAGCUUGGGGAUUGUUGAUUCCAAAUAUGCAAUUAUCUUUGAAAACUUAUGGUCAAAUCUUGAACUAUUUGGGUUUUUAUUUUGAAACCCUAAGGAGAAUCUUGAGCACUUUUGAUGAAAGAAUAUGUAUUUUGGGGUCCUUGGAACAAAAUCUCGUGUUUUAGGGCUAAGUAACGGUGGAAAAGGACCACUUUUUCCUCAACACGGAGUGUUUAAAUCACUAGAAUUCCUCCCAUAGGCACCGCCCAUCCCGUGGUCUAUGUUCACAUAGGCGCCGCCUAGGCCAUUGCCAAUGUUUACAUAGAUGCCGCCUAGGCUAUCGUCUAUGUUUACAUAGGCGCUGCCUAGGCUAUUGCCUAUGCUUUCCAGUGGCCAUGGGCGAGUGGUUUGGCGACGCUUCUUACUUUGAAGGGCCAUAACUUCUUGCUCGGGUGUCAGAUUUUAACCAAAUUGGUAUCGUUGGAAAUCUAACUUGAAUACCUAUCAUUUGACACUUAGUAAGCUUCCUAAUUCGACAUAUGUGGAGAGUUAUUGUCAAUGGAAGCUGACACAGUUUACAACGUCCAGUAAAACUUAGUCGAUCGAAAUAGUUUUAACUCAUCCUUGAGUUGAAGGACCUCUAUGGUCUAAAUUCAAGCUUGAGUGGAAUCACAUGCUACACAAUAAUUAAUAUGCCAUAUUGGCAUGGGAUUUUAUGGCUUCGGGAUUAGCAACACAUCAAAAUCAUAGUCUAUAUUGUAGCCCGAAUUGCGAGGAAUUACAUUAUCCUCCCCUUAGGAUCAUUUGUCGCCGAAUGAUGGUACAGGAAACAAACAGGCACGAUUUCAAGCAUAAUAAAGGACUAGGAAAGAUGAGAUAGGAAUAGUAACUUUUGUCUCCUCCUCCGUCGAAGCAAACAAAUUGGGAUAUCUAAUUCUCAUGUCAUCUUCUAACUCCCAAGUUGCUUCUUUGACUUUCUGAUUCCUCGAUAGUACCUUUACUGAGGCUAUCUCUUUGCUUCUCAGCUUUUGAACUUGGCGAUCUAAAAUUUCAACGGGCUCUUCUUCGUAAGAUAAGGAGUCUAUAACUUUCAUACCCUCUACUGGCAAUACCGUAGAAUGAUCUCCAAUGCAUUUAUUCAACAUGGAUACAUGGAAUACCAGAUGAACGAAACCCAAAAUUGCAGGAAAUUCUAACUCAUAUGCAAUUGGACCAAUAUUCUUUAAAAUCUGAUAUGGACCUACAUAACGAGGGCUCAAUUUACUUCUUUUUCCAAACCACAUAACUCCAAUCGUAGGAGAAACCUUGAGAAACACCCAAUCACUAAUUUCAAACUCUAGUUCUCUUCUUCGAACAUCAGCAUAGGACUUUCGACGACUCUGAGCAGUCUUGAGUCAUUCUCUAAUGAUUUUCACUUUCUCUAUCGCUUGAUGAACAAGAUCAGGCCUAUACAACUGAGUCUCACCCACUUCAUACCAUCCGAUCGGAGACCUACAUCUCCUCCCAUAGAAAACCUCAAAAGAAUCCAUCCUGAUGCUAGCAUGGUAGCUAUUAUUGUAAGCGAAUUCAACCAGUGGCAGGUGAUGUACCCAACUACCUUUGAAAUCAAUGACGCAUGCCCUCAACAUAUCUUCGAGGGUAUGAAUAGUACGCUCAGCUUGCCCAUCCAUCUUAGGGUGGAAAGUUAUGCUCAAAUUCACUUGUGUACCUAAACCCUUCUGAAAGGAUCUCCGAAACUAAUAUGAAAACUGCAUACCUCUAUCGAAUAUAAUAGACACGGGUGCCCCAUGCAAUUGACCUAUCUCCUCAAUGUAAAUCUUAGCAUAAACCUCUCCUGAAUAAUUAGUCCUCACAGGCAAAAAGUGGGCUGACUUGGUCAACCGAUCUACAAUCACCCAUAUAGAAUCAUACAGGUUUCGGAAUCUCAGAAGUCCUGUAAUGAAGUCAAUGUUUAUCAUCUCCCAUUACCAUAAAGGCAGGGCUAUCUCUUGGAAAGUACCACCUGGCCUCAUGUGUUCUACCUUAACUUAUUGACAGUUCAAACACUUGGACACAAAAUCAGCUACAUCACAUCUUAUGUUAUUCCACCAAUAAAAGGUUUUCAGAUCAUGGUACAUCUUAGUAGAGCCUGGGUGAAUAACAUACCUCGAAGUGUGCGCCUCAUUAAGGAUUCUUUCCCGUAGCCCAUCGACAUUCGGAAUGCACAACGAACCCUGAAAUCUCAGAAUACCACGCCACCAAUUUUAAAUGACAUAACCUUUUGUUGACCCACAUCUUUCUUGAUUUGCAUCAAGAUGGGAUCUUCAACCUGCUUCUCCUUAACUUCAGCACAAAGAGAUGACUUAUCUAACUCAUGAACAAUCACCCCUCCAUCUUCGAAAUCUAAGAGUCACACUCCCAGAUUUCGAAGGCGAUGAAUAUCCUUCACCAUCUCUUUCUUUCCUUUUUCUACAUGAUAAAGGUUUCCCAUAGACAACCCGCUGAGGGCGUCGGCUACAACAUUUGCCUUGCCCAGAUGGUAAUGCAGACUAAUAGAAUAGUCUUUCAAAAACUCCAUCCAACGCCUCUGCCUGAGGUUCAAUUUUUUAUGUGAUAAAACAUACUGUAAACUCUUAUGGUCAGUAUAAAUAUCAACAUGCACUCCAUAGAGAUAGUGCCUCUAGAUUCUAAGUGCAAACAUCACGGCUGCUAACUCCAAGUCAUGAGUAGGGUAAUUGCGCUCAUGCACCUUUAACUACCUAGAUGCAUAAGCUAUCACCUUACCACGCUGCAUCAAUACACAACCAAGUCCCACAUGGGACGCAUCACAGUAAACCACAAAAUCAUCUACACCCUCGGGAAGGGUCAAAAAAAGAGAAGUAGUCAGCUUGUCUUUCAAUUUCUCAAAACUAUUUUCACACAAGUCAGACCACACAAACUUCAUCUUUUUCUGAGUCAAUUUAGUAAGUGGAGCAGCUAUGGAAGAAAAACUAUCUACGAACCUUCUAGAAUACCCCACCAAACCCAAGAAGCUUCAAAUAUCAGUUGGAGUCGUGGGUCUUGGCCAUUUUCUCACUACUUUAACUUUAUGGGGAUCCACUCUUAUCCCGGCGCUGGACACAAUAUGCCACAGGAAGGCAAUAGCUUCUAACUAGAAUUCACACUUAGAAAAUUUGGCAUACAGCUGAUGAUCCUUAAGGGUCUGAAGGAUAAUUCGGAGGUGAUUGGCGUGAUCCUCUUUACUCUUAGGAUAGAUCAGAAUAUCAUCAAUAAAUACAAUGACGAACAAGUCAAGAAACUGACGGAACACUCUAUUCAUAAGAUCCAUGAAGGUUGCAGGGGCAUUAGUCAACCCAAAGGACAUGACUAGAAAUUUGUAGUGACCAUAUCGGGUUCGGAAGGCUGUCUUGGGUAUGUCUGACUCCCUAACUUUCAACUGAUGAUAACCCGAACGAAGGCCUAUUUUUGAAAAACACUUGGCACCCUAAAGCUGGUAAAAAAGGUCAUAAAUUCUAGGAAGAGGAUAUUUAUUUUUAAUCAUGACCUUAUUCAACUGAUGGUAGUCUAUGCACAUCUGAAGGGACCCAUCCUUCUUUCGCACGAAGAGCAUGGGUGCACCCCAUGGGUAAACACUAGGAUGAAUAAAACCUUUGUCUAGGAGGUCUGCAAGUUGUUUCUUUAACUCCUUUUGUUCCGCAAGAGCCAUUCUAUAUGGAGUAAUAGAAAUAGGACGAGUACCUGGCAACACAUCAAUGCCAAAAUCCAUCUCCCUAUCAGGGGGUAUCCCUGGGAGAUCUUUAGGAAAGACUUCUGGGAAUUCAUUCACUACAUGGACUGACUGCAGAGGAAGGUUUCCAACUUUUGAAUCAUUUACUCAGAUUAGAUGAUACAUACAACCUUUGGAGAUAAGAUUUUGAGCUCUAAGAUAAGAGAUAAAGUGACCUCUAGAUUCCACAGAACUCCCUACCCAUACAACUGGUGUCUCAUUCGGGAAAGAAAAAGUGACCUUUUGGGUUCUGCAAUCAAGGAUGGCAUAACACGAAUGGAGCCAGUCCAUCCCAAGGAUGGCAUCAAAAUCUAUCAUACCCAGUUCUAUAAGGUCUGCCACAGUUUCACUACUAUGAAUAGACACGGCACAAUUUCUAUAUACCCUUCUAGGAACAACAAAAUCACCUACAGGAGUAGAAACAGAAAAGGGUUCUACAAUAACUUCGGGCUCAAACCCGAAACCAACAGCCACAUAAGGGGUCAAAUAAGAUAAAGUAGACCCGGGACCAAGCAAUACAUAAACAUCACGAGAAAAGAUUUGCAACAUAACAAAGACAACAUCUGGUGAAGCUUCCGCCUCCUGGCAGUUAGUCAAAGAAUAUAACCGGUUGCGACCGAUUCCGGCAGCUGAAGGGGCACCCUUAGGAAAAGGAGCUGUGGAGGCGGCUUGGGACUUAGCCCGACCCCCGCAUUUACUUCAGCAGAUGGACAAUCUUUUUGAAAGUGACCUACUUUGCCACAUUUAUAGCAGUUUCUCCCCUUAAACCAGCACUUCCCUAGAUGAUUCCUUCCGCAAACCUCACACUGUGGACGAGUACGAUGCUGCUGGGCCACACUGCCCUAAGACUAUGUACCUAGAGCUUUGGACCCAUAAGGAGUCUGAAAACUCUGAGUUUGUCUGUCUGUCGGUGGUUUGGGUGCUGGGGCGCUGGCUGUUGACUGUGCAUUUCCAAAACUUCUCCCUCUUCGACCACUUAUUACCCCAGUUACCACUCCACGGCUGACUCUGGUGCUGGUCCACAGAUCUAGCUCUCUUAGCCUGUUUGUCUUUCUCUCUAGAUUCAACAAUCUUUUUCUUCUUCUCUUCUACUUGAUGUAUAUGAACGGUCAGUCGAGUAAAGUCUAACUCCUUAUUCAACAUAGCCCCCUGGCACUCAAGUACCAGGUCAUCAGCAAGGCCAGAUGCGAAUUUUCUUAUACGAGCCCUUAUAUUACUAGUCAACUCUGGUGUAUAGCGGGCUAGUUUAUUAAAGUUCAAAGUGUACUCCUAGACACUCAUACUGCCCUGCUUCAGAUUCAUAAAAUCUUCCAAUUUGGCCUCCCUUAACUCUAGAGGAAAGAAUCAAUCAAGGAAAGCUUCCACAAAUUUUCCCCAAACUGUAGGCUAAGCACUUUCACCUUUUUCAUCUUCCCAGUCGGCCUACCACUAACUCACAACGUCCUUGAGCUGAUAGGUUGGUAGCUCCACCACUUCAACCUCAUCCACAUGCAUCACCUAUAAGAUUGUUUCCAUCUCAUCCACUAACUCCUGUGGAUCUUCCUCCACCUUAGUGCCAGUGAACUUAGGUGGGUUCAUCUUUAUUAGAUGUCUGACUCUAGUAGCCUCAGAUGUAAUAGAUGCAGACACAACAUCUUCUGAUUGUUGAACCUGGUUAGCUACCAACUGUGUUAGAAUAUGAAUAGAACAUCUGAAUUCUGCAUUUGAAAUAUCUCACUGAGCAGUUGGGGGACGGUUGGCAUUAGUCCAAGGAGCCCGAAGUUGACUGGUCAAGACUGGAGGGACUCUCGGAGUAGGGCCAAAUUCUGGAGUGUGAGCCCUGUUAUAGGUCCGCAUCCCAUGGGUGGGACGGACCUUAUCUUCCUGAGCAUUCUGAUCAACCAUAUGACGUGGAGGCAUAACUAUGUUUCUGAAACACAAGUGAUCAUUGAUUAGGGGACAGUUCAGACUCUGAACCACGAACUAAAUUGCAAAUAAGGGAAACAUUUCCUAAACGCCUAGUAGCCCCAUGCUUAUAAGUGUGGCGCGCUACACACCUAUAAACAAAACUCUACCUGACGCAAUUUUGCGGACACCCUGGGACCAUGAACUGUGCUUUGAUACCAAGUUUGUCACGACCCAAAACAGGGCCUUUCCGUGAUGAGCAUUUCGAACCAUGGAGGCCCAAAACACCUCUAUCUGUCUGGUUAUCAUGCACCUAAUUCAUAUGAUCAAAGUAAUGUGGAAGAAACACAAUAUAGCGGAAACAUGGUAAAGAAUCAUAUGAAAAUAAAACUGGGGAAUAGUGUCUGACAAUCUAAAUUAACAUCUCUAAAAUCGUCUGCGAUAUCUCUACUACUUGACUGAAACAAUGUCUAUCUGAAAAUUGGGACAAGGCCCCCAACAGACCAUAAAAUUGAAUAUAAGAUAAAAGGACUGCAGGACAUAAGACCUUCCGAAACAUAAAAGGCUCACCACUUGUCUUUGCAACUCUGUCUAAAUGAUCUACUGGUCCUCUUAACCCCUAGACUGGGCCUCUGAACCAGAGAGGUUAGAGAGGGGAGGGGGUCAGCACAAAAUUACUUACAUGUAGAGAUAUCAAAGAAAAAUAUAAUAUUUUUACAAAAUAUAGUUGAGAGUCAUUAUAAAGCAAUUUCGUAUCAAAUCAUUUGAAAGCACGUGGGUGUAAUGCAAUAAUUUUUCUCAACAGUAAUGAAAUGCAACUGAGCUAGGUGGAAUAUCCUACAUAAUUUACACCAACUGUCAAACCUUGAUUGAUGCCGAGAUUAGAGUAUAAGUGAGGGAGAGAAACGCAAGAUCACAUAACAUGGAGUCUCGACCCAUUGGUAGUGCCCAAGAUCACUUGGCUCGGGCUCCUACCUAUAGUCCCAAUUUGGGAAUGACAUGAAGUGAAGUACACAAGAUCACUUAGCCUAAUACCAAUAUUCUGUGUCGGCAAACACUUUUUUCCAGCGAUGAGCCCUUGUGUCCCAAAUGCCUUCUUCGGGCAUCCACCUUUCUCUUGUCAAAUCAAUGCAUUCAAAUUUCAUCUUAUUCAAUCAUAUGUCGUAUUCUGUAGGGUAUUGUCAUACCCGACUUGCAAGUCAUCAAUAUCACAUCCACAUAUGCAUAAUCAUAUAAAAACCAAGGUGCUUCAUUAUUUACAAGUGGUGAACAAUAUUUAUUUCAAAUUCAUGCUCUCUUUUGUUGAUCACAAUAUAAUAUGGAGUAUCAAAACAUUAUCAUGGGAAUUGGAAAACAAUUUAUCAUUCAUAUUUAUCAAACUUUCAUGGAAAAUCUCAAAUCACAUAUGCAUGGUUUCAACCAUUGAAGUAUGUAGGCAAACAAUUCCCAUGACAUAAAGAAAAUGACUUAGAAAUAAUGUUGUAAGCAAGAUAUUAGCAUUUGAUUGAAAACCCCCAUUUAAAAGCAUGCAUCUUUAUAAAAACUACACCUAUGAGAUUUUUGGAUAACCCCACGUACCUCUAUUUCCAAGGAUAAUAGAUGUUUCUUGAAGCUUGCAGAUUGUUGAUUCAAAAUAUGUAAUUAUCUUUGAAAACCUACGGUCAAAUCUUGAACUAUUUGGGUUUUUAUUUUGAAACCCUAAGGAGAAUCUUGAGCACUUUUGAUUAAAGAAUAUGUAUUUUGGGGUCCUUGGAACUAAAUGUCAUGUUUUAGGGCUAUGUAAGGGUGGAAAAGGACCACUUUGUCCUCAACACGGAGUGUUUAAAUCACCAGAAUUCCUUACAUAGGCGCCGCCCAUCCCGUUGCCUAUGUUCACAUAGGCGCCACCUAGGCUAUCGCCUAUGUUUACAUAGGUACCGCCAAGGCUAUUUCCAGUGCUUUCUAGUGGCCAUAGGCGAUUGGUUAGGCGACGCUUAUAACUUUGAAGGGCCAUAACUUCUUGCUCGGGUGUUGAAUUUUAGUCAAAUUGGUAUCGUUGGAAAGCUAACUUGAAUACCUAUCAUUUGAAACUUAGUAGGCUUCCUAAUUCGACAUAUACUGAGAGUUAUGGUCGAUGGAAGCUGACACACUUUACAGCGUCCACUAAAACUUAGUCGAUAGAAAUAAUUUCAACUCGUCCUUGAGUUGAAGAACCUCUAUGGUCUAAAUUCAUGCUUGAGUGGAUUCACAUGCUACACAAUAAUUAACAUGCCAUAUUGUCAUGAGAUUUUAUGGAUUCGGGAUUAGCAACGCAUCGAAAUCAUGGUCUAUAUUGUAGCCCGAAUUGCGGGGCAUUAUAUUAUCCCCCCUUAGGAUCAUUCAUCCCUGAAUGAUGAUGCGGGACACAGAAAGAGACGAUUUCAAGCAUAAUAAAAGAUUAGGAAAGAUAAGAUUGGAAUAGUACCUUCUGUCUCCUCCUCCAUCGAAGCAAACAACUUGGGAUAUCUAAUUCUCAUGUCAUCUUUUUACUCCCAAGUUGCUUCUUCGACUUUCUCAUUCCUCCACAGUACCUUUACUGAGGCUAUCUCUUUGCUCCUCAGCUUUCUAACUUGGGGAUCUAAAAUUUCAACGGGCUCUUCUUCGUUAGACAAGGAGUUUGUCACUUUGAUACCCUCUACUGGCAAUAACGUAGAAUGAUCUCUAAUGUAUUUCUUCAACAUGGAUACAUGGAAUACUGGAUGAGCGGAACCCAAACUUGCAGGCAAUUCUAAUUCAUAUGCAACUGUACCAAUCUUCUUCAAAAUCUGAUAUGGCCCUACAUAACGAGGGCUCAAUUUACCCCUUUUUCCAAACCGCAUAACUCCAAUCAUAGGAGAAAUCCUGAGAAACACUCAAUCACCAAUUUCAAAUUCUAGUUCUCUUCUCCAAACAUCAGCAUAGGACUUCUGACGACUCUGAGCUGUCUUGAGUCAUUCUCUAAUGAUUUUCACUUUCUCCAUCGCCUGACGAACAAGAUCAGGACCAUACAACUGAGUCUCUUCCACUUCAUACCAUACUAUCGGAGACCUACAUCUCCUCUCAUACAAAGCCUCAAAAGGAGCCAUCCUGAUGCUGGAAUGGUAGCUGUUAUUGUAAGCGAAUUCAACCAGUGGCAGGUGAUCUACCCAACUACCUUUGAAAUUAAUGACGCAUGCCCUCAACAUAUCUUCGAGGGUCUGAAUGGUAUGCUCAGCUUUCCCAUCCAUCUAAGGGUGGAAAGUUGUGCUCAAAUUCACUUGUGUACCUAAACCCUUCUAAAAAGAUCUCCAAAACUGAGAUGAAAACUGUGUACCUCUAUUGAAUAUAAUAGACACUGGUGCCCCAUGCAAUCAAACUAUCUCCUCAAUAUAAAUCUUAGAAUAAACCUCUCUCAAAUAAUUAGUCCUCACAGGUUAAAAGUGGGCUGACUUGGUCAACCGAUCUACAAUCACCCAUAUAGAAUCAUACUGGUUUCGAGAUCUCGGAAGUCCUUUAAUGAAGUCCAUGUUUAUCAUCUCCCACUUCCAUAAAGGCAGGGCUAUCUCUUGGGAAGUACCACCUGGCCUCAUGUGUUCUACCUUCACUUGUUGACAGUUCAAACACUUGGACACAAAAUCAACUACAUCAUAUUUCAGUUAUUCCACCAAUACAAGGUUUUCAGAUCAUGGUACAUCUUAGUAGAGCCUGGGUGAAUACAUACCUUGAAGUGUGCGCCUCAUUAAGGAUUAGUUCCUAUAGCCCAUCGACAUUCGGAAUGCACAACCUACCCUGAAAUCUCAGAAUACCAUCGCCACCAAUUUCAAAUGACAUAACCUUUUGUUGACCCACAUCUUUCUUGAUUUGCAUCAAGAUGGGAUCUUCAACCUGCUUUUCCUUAACUUUAGCACAAAGAGAUGACUUAGCUAACUCAUAAACAAUCACCCCUCCAUCUUUGGAAUAUAAUAGUUGCACUCCCAGAUAUGCAAGGCAGUGAAUAUCCUUCACUAUCUCUUUAUUUCCUUCUUCUACAUGAUAAAGGCUGCCCAUAGACAACCUACUGAGGGCAUCGGCUACAAUAUUUGCCUUGCCCGAAUGGUAAUGCAGACUCAUAUCAUAGUCUUUCAAAAUCUCCAUCCAACGCCUCUGCCUGAGGUUCAAUUCUUUCUGUGAGAAAACAUACUCUAAACUCUUAUGGUCAGUAUAAAUAUCAACAUGCACUCCAUAGAGAUAGUGCCUCAAGACUCUAAGUGUAAACACCACAGCUGCGAACUCCAAGUCAUGAGUGGGGUACUUGUGCUCCUUUAACUGUCUAGAUGAAUAAGCUAUCACCUUACCACGCUGCAUCAAUAGACAACCAAGUCCCACAUGGGAUGCAUCACAAUAAACCACAAAAUCAUCUACACCCACGGGAAGGGUCAAAAUAGGAGAAGUAGUCAGCUUGGCCUUCAAUUUCUCAAAACUGUUUUCACACAAGUCAGACCACACAAACUUCAUCUUUUUCUAAGUCAGUUUAGAAAGCAGAGCAGCUAUGGAAGAAAAACUCUCUACGAACCUUCUGUAAUACCCCGCCAAAUCCAAGAAGCUCCAAAUAUCGGUUGGAGUCGUGGGUCUGGGCCAUUUUCUCACUGCUUUAACUUUCUGGGGAUCCACUCUUAUCCCGUCACUGGACACAAUAUUCCCCAGAAAGGCAAUAGCGUCUAACCUAAAUUCACACUUAGAAAAUUUGGCAUACAGCUGAUGAUCCUUAAGGGUCUGAAGGAUAAUUCAGAGGUGAUUGACGGGAUCCUCUUUACUCUUAGAAUAGAUCAGAAUAUCAUUGAACACUCUAUUCAUAAGAUCCAUGAAAGCUACAGGGGCGUUAGUCAACCCAAAGGACAUGACUAGAAAUUUGUAGUGACCAUACAGGUUCGGAAGGCUGUCUUGGGUAUGUCUGACUCCCUAACUUUCAACUGAUGAUAACCCGAACGAAGUUCUAUUUUUCAAAAGCACUGGGCACUCUGAAGCUGGUCAAAAAGGUCUUCAAUCCUAGAAAGAGGAUAUUUAUUUUUAAUCGUGACCUUAUACAACUAACGGUAGUCUAUGCACAUCCGAAGGGACCCAUCCUUCUUUAGCACGAAGAGCACGGGUGUACCUCAAUGGGAAACAUUAGGACGAAUAAAACCUUUGUUUAGGAGGUCCACAAGAUGUUCCUUUAACUCCUUUAGUUCUGCGGGAGCCAUUCUAUAUGGCGGAAUAAAAAUAGGAUGAGUGUCUGGCAACACAUCAAUACCAAAAUCUAUCUCCCUAUCAGGAGGUAUCCCUGGGAGAUCUUCGGGAAAGACUUCUGGGAAUUCAUUCACUACAGGGACUGACAGCAGAGGAAGAUUUCUAACUUUUGAAUGUUUUACUCGGAUUAGAUGAUACAUAUAGUCUUUGGAGAUAAGCUUUCGGGCUCUAAGAUAAGAGAUAAAGUGACCUCUAGGUUCCAUAGAACUCCCUGCCCAUACAACUGGUGUCUCAUUCGGGAAAGAAAAAGUGACCUUUCGGGUUCUGCAAUCAAGGGUGGCAUAACAUAAAUAGAGCCAGUCCAUCCAAGGGAUGGUAUCAAAAUCUAUCAUAUCCAGUUCUAUAAGGUCUGGCACAGUUUCCCUACUAUAAAUAGACAUGACACAAUUUCUAUAGACCCUUCAAGUAACAACAGAAUCACCUACAGGAGUAGAAACAAAGAAAGGUUCUAUAAUAACUUCGGGCUCACACCCGAAACCAACAGCCAGAUAAGGGGACACAUAAGAUAAAGUAAACCGGGGAUCAAGCAAUACAUAAAUAUCACGAGAAAAGAUUUGUAACAUACCGGUGACAACAUCUAGUGAAGCUUUCGCCUCCUGGCAGUUAGUCAAAGAAUAUAACCGGUUGUGACCGAUUCUGGCAGCUGAAGAGGCACCCUAAGUAAAAGGAGCUAUGCAGGCGGCUUAGGACUUAGCUCCCUUCCCUCCCCCCUCCCCGCAUUUACUCCAGCAGAUGGAUAAUCUCUGUGGAGGUGACCCACUUUGCCACAAGUAUAGCAGUUUCUCCCCUUAAACCAGCACUUCCCUAAAUGAUUCCUUCAGCAAACCUCACACCGCGGAUGAGUAUGAUGCUUCUGAGCCACACUUACCUGAGAGUUUGUACCUAAAGCUUUGGACCCAUGAGGAGUCUGAAAAGUCUGAGUUUGUCUGUCUGUCGGUGGUCUGGGUGCUGUGGCAUUGGGUGUUGACUGUUCAUUAUUCCAAAACUUCUUUUUCUUUGACCACUUAUUACCCCAGUUACCACUCCACGGCUGACUCUGGUGCUGGUCCGCAGAUCUAGCUCUCUUAGCCUGUCUAUUUUUUGCUCUAGAUUCAACAAUCUUUUUCUUCUUCUCUUCCACGUGAUGCAUAUGAACAGUGAGUCGAGCAAAGUCUAACUCUUUGUUCAACAUAGCCCCCUGGAACUCAAGUACCAGGUCAUCAGCAAGGCCAGAUGCAAAUUUCCUCAUCCGGGCCCUCAUAUUACUAGUCAACUCUGGUGUAUAGCAGGCUAGUUUAUUAAACUUCAAAGUGUACUCCUGGACACUCAUAUUGCCCUGCUUUAGAUUCAUAAACUCUUCCAAUUUGGCCUCCCUCAACUCCAGAGGAAAGAAUCGAUCAAGGAAAGCUUCCACAAAUUCACCCCAAACUAUGGGCUCAGCACUUUUACCUUUUUCAUCUUCCCAGUCGGCAUACCACUGACUUGCAACGUCCUUGAGUUGAUAGGUUUCUAGCUCCACCCCUUCAACCUCAUCCACAUGGAUCACCUUAAAGAUCUUUUCCAUCUCAUCCACAAACUCCUGUGGAUCUUCCUCCACCAUGGUGCCAGUGAACUUAGGUGGGUUCAUCUUCAUAAAAUAUCCGACUCUAGUAGCCUCAGAUGUAACAGAUGCAAACCCAACAUCUUCCAAUCCGAUCCUUGAGCCUGGUUAGCUACCAACUGUUUCAGCAUAUGAAUAGACCAUCUGAAUUCUACAUAUGAAAUAUCUCCCUGAGCAGUUGAGGGACGGUUGGCAUUAGUCCGCGGAGCCCGAGGUGGACUGGUCGGGACUGGAAGGACUCCCGGAGUAGGGAAAAAUUUUAGAGUGUGAGCCCUAUUAUGGGUCCACAUCCUAUGGGUGGGACGACCCUCAUCUGCCUGAGCAUUCUGAUUGACAAUAUGAUGUGGAGGCAUAACUGUGUUUCUGGAACACAAGUGAUCAUUGAUUAAGGGAUAGUUCAGACUCUGAAGCAUGAACUAACUCACAAAGAAGGAAUACAUUUCCUAAAACCCUAGCAACCUCUUGCUUAUAAGUGUGGAGCACUACACACCCAUAAACAAGACUCUACCUAACGCGAUUUUGCAGACACCCUGGGACCAUAAACCGUGUUUUGUUACCAAGUUUGUCACGACCCGAACUAGGGCCUGGCCGAGACGAGCAUUUCGAACCAUGGAGGCCCGAAACACCCCUAUCUAAUUCAUAUGAUAAAAGUAAUGCGGAAGAAACAUAAUAUAGCAGAAAUAUGGUCAAGAAUCAUAUGAAAACGAAAAUGGGGAAUAGUGUCCCACAAUCUAAAUUAACAUCUCUAAAAUCGUCUGUGAAAACUCUACUACUUGACUGAAACAGUGUCUAUCUAAAAACUAGGGCAAGGCCCCCAGCACACCCUAAAAAUAAAUAUAAGAUAAAAGGACUACAGGACAUAAGACCUUCCGAAAAUAAAAGGCUCACCACUUGCAUCUGCAACUCCGUCUGAAUGAUAUACUGGUUCUCUUAACCCCUAGACUGGGCCUCUAAUCCUGAGAGGUUAGAGAGGGGAGGGGGCCAUCACAAAAGUACUGGCAUGCAGAGAUAUCAAAGCAAAACAUAAUAUUCUUACAAAAUAUAGUUGAGAGCCAUUAUAAAGCAAUUUCGUAUCAAAUCAUUUGAAAGCACAUGGGUGUAAUGCAAUAAUUUUUCUCAAUAGUAAUGAAAUGCAACUGAGCUAGGUGGAAUAUCCGACAUAAUUUACACCAACUUUCAAACCUCAGUUGUCACCGAGAUUAGAGUAUAAGUGAGGGAGAGACACACAAGAUCACACAGCAUGAAGUCUCGACCCAAUGGUAGUGCCCAAGAUCACUUGGCUCGGGCUCCUACCUAUAUUCCCAAUUUGGGAAUGACAUGAAGUCAAGUACACAAGAUCACUUAGCCUGGUACCAAUAUUCUGUGUCGGCAAACACAUUUUUCCAGCGAUGAGCCCUUGUGUCUCAAACGCCUUCUUCGGGCAUCCACCUUUCUCUUGUAAAAUCAAUGCAUUCAAAUUUCAUCNNNNNNNNNNNNNNNNNNNNNNNNNNNNNNNNNNNNNNNNNNNNNNNNNNNNNNNNNNNNNNNNNNNNNNNNNNNNNNNNNNNNNNNNNNNNNNNNNNNNNNNNNNNNNNNNNNNNNNNNNNNNNNNNNNNNNNNNNNNNNNNNNNNNNNNNNNNNNNNNNNNNNNNNNUUGAAGUAUGUAGGCAAACAAUUCCCAUGACAUAAAGAAAAUGACUUAGAAAUCAUGUUGAAAGCAAGAUAUUAGCAUUUGAUUGAUAACCCCCAUUUAAAAGCAUGCAUGUUCAUAAAAACUACACCCAUGUGAUUUUUGGAUAACCCCACGUACCUCUAUUUCAAAGGAUAAUAGAUGUUUCUUGAAGCUUGCGGAUUGUUAAUUCCAAAUAUGUAAUUAUCUUUGAAAACCUACGGUCAAAUCUUGAACUAUUUGGGUUUUUAUUUUGAAACCCUAAAGAGAAUCUUGAGCACUUUUGAUGAAAGAAUAUGUAUUUUGGGGUCCUUGGAACUAAAUCUAGUGUUUUAGGGAUAAGUAAGGGUGGAAAACGACCACUUUGUCCUCAACACGGAGUGUUAAAUCACCAGAAUUCCUUACAUAGGCACCGCCCAUCCCGUUGCCUAUGUUCACAUAGGCGCCGCCUAGGCUAUCGCCUAUGUUUACAUAGGCACCGCCUAGGCUAUCGCCUAUGUUUAUAUAGUUGCCGCCUAGGCUAUUGCCUUUGCUUUCCAGUGGCCAUGGGCGAUUGUUUAGGCGACGCUUAUCACUUUGAAAGGCCAUAACUUCUUGCUCGGGAGUCGAAUUUUAGCAAAAUUGGUAUCGUUCGAAAGCUAACUUGAAUACCAAUAAUUUGACACAUAGUAUGCUUCCUAAUUUGACAUAUACAUGAGUUAUGGUCGAUGGAAGCUGACACACUUUACAACAUCCACUAAAAGUUGGUCGAUCGAAAUAGUUUCAACUUAUCCUUGAGUUGAAGGACCUCUAUGGUCUAAAUUCAAGCUUGAGUGGAUUCACAUGCUACGCAAUAAUUAACAUGCCGUAUUGGCAUGGGAUUUUAUGGCUUUGAGAUUAGCAACACAUCAAAAUCAUGGUCUAUAUUGUAGCCCGAAUUGCGGGGCGUUACACAAACACCUUAAGGUGAUCCAAUCUAGGAGUACGUCCAAAUAACAACUCAGAAGGUGAUUUUCCAUUCAACACUACAGUAGGCAAUAUAUGAAUUAGAUAUGCUGCAGUUUGCACACAAUCACCCUAAAAUCUACUUGUAACAUGACAUUGCAACUUCAAUUCUCUUCCCAUCUCUAAAAGAUGUCUAUGUUUCCUUUCAACAACACUAUUUUGUUGUGGUGUAUAUGGGCAACUGCUUUGAUGUAUAAUACCAAAUGAAGAUAUUAGAUAAUUCAUAUGACUAUUAAAAAACUCAGUUCCAUUAUCUGAUCUGAUAACUUUUUUUCCACAAUUAAACUGAUAACCAAUCAUGGUUAUAAAACUAUUCAACAUAACUAUGACUUUUUUCUUAGAUUGUAACAAUGAAAUCCAUGUAAACCUACUAUAGUCAUCAACUAUAGUUAAAAAAUAGUGUUUUCUAUCAUAAGUAGGAUGUUUGUAAGGUCCCCAAACAUCCAAAUGAACAAGCUUAAAUAUACCACUAGACAUAGUAAGACUACAGGGAAACUUGAGUCUACAUUGUUUAGACAGAGGAUAAAUCAUACAGUCUUCUGGAACAUUUAUGUCAACUUGAUUCUUUAAAAAAGAAAUAUGUUUCAUCACUUGCAUAGAUGGAUGCCCCAAUCUAAGAUGCCACAACCGUUGUUCUGUGAAUUUAUUGCCUUGAACAACAUAACCAACAAUUGAUAGUGUUUUAUGCCUUAAGAUGUAAAGCCCUUCUUCUUCCUUACCAAUCCCAAUCACCUCUCCAGUACAGAGAGCCUGCAUCACACACAUGUCAGGAUAAAGAGACACCAUACAAUUCAAAUCUUUAGUCAGUUUAGAAAUUGACAAUAAAUUGAAUCUAAAAUUUGGCACAUGGAAAACAUUAGUCAGCUUGCAGUUUCCCAGAAUUAUUGUAUUUCUAGUGUGUUCUACUUAAAUUUUACUUCCUGUUGGCACUUGCACUUUAUUAUUAUUUUGUAAAGCUGAUAAUUUUCUACAUUCACUCAGCAUAUGUUUACGAUAGGUUAUAUGAUGUGUUGCUCCAAAAUCAAUGAUCCACUUAACUGCAUUACCACUAGCAUUAUCACAGGCAUGCAUACCUGCUGCAGAAUUAGUAUCACAAUCAGCAGUAGGUUUAGGCACCAUCAUUUUGAGAACUUGAUCAUAUUUUUCUUUUGUGAACUAUCCACCAGGAAAGUAGACUUGAGAAUCUGAUCCUGAUCUUUCCUCAUUCCAUUCUAAGCUUGAUGUUUCAGAUGCAGAGGUAUGAGCAUGAGGCAUUACUCCUGCAUCUGUGGACAUUUUCUUCUUACUUUUGAAAUAAGCAGGGAAACCUACAAUUCUAUAAAAAGUCUGUUAGAGUACGAGCCCUACUAAUUGCCUAUUGUGGAACAAGUAAAUGUGUUUCAUAGAAGUAAAGCCUGAACAAGUGUUUUUACAUAGAAAACACCCGGCUCAAGAAAGGUGUAAAAAAACAUGACCUAUACCUCUACAAGAUUUAAACCCAACUUCACUAUAGCACUUAAGCCUCAACAAUCUACAAAAUAACAAGACUUCUUGUAAACUAAGAAUUAAAACUUCUUACUCCUAUCACUACAAAAACACAAAUCUUCCCAAGAUAAGUGUUCCCAAGUCUUCGAUUUCUCUAACUUUAAGAUACAACUCCUAACUCAGUUUAUAAAUCACUGAGACUAGAACAAUGACUCAUUACAACUCAAAGAAUCUACCUACUAUAAACAGUCUAUGACUUGCUAAGUAAAGGACCAAGUUCUUCUUCAAGUAUGUGAACUGUUUUGCUAAUUGUUAUCUUUUCAGUGCGUUGAGUAGGUGCUUUUGAAUUCAUUUCUUGUAUUUAAGCACACACCUCAUAGAUUCCUUCAAUUGAUAUAAUCUUUUAUGUUCAAUAGGACUCUAGAUAGUUUCACUCUUCUUGUUGUUGUCGCCUCUCUCACUUCUUCUUUGAAUAGGAUUCUUCUUUCAAUAGGAUUCUUCUUUUAACUCUGCAAGACCUCUUAUUCAACUCAAAUUAUGUAAGACUUAUUUUCCAACUCAACUCCUGCAAGACUUCUUGUUCAACUCAACUUCUUAUGUGAUAAAUGUUAUCCCCUUCUAUUUGUACGAAGAUUCAUCUUAUCAAUAACUUUUCUGCAGCUGAGCUUUGUUCACUUGGAUGGACCAACUUUCACAACAUGUUUCAUUCACAUGUCUAUCAUCAAAACUCCUAAUUUCUUAACAAAUUCCCACUUUUUGAUGAUGACAAAUAUUGCAUCACAAAAUCCUAACAUAAUAAGGAAUUUAAGUGAAAGAACAAGAAUGAAACAGGUUAAUACAAUUUAAGUUAUAAGCAUUGCAUAGCUUUAUUCUCCCCCCUUUUGACAUCAUCAAAAAGCUGGCUCAACAAGUGAAAAAGUUUAAUAAUUCAUGGCCACUGAGGCUAUCACUAAGAUAAGCAAAAUUCAGAAUAAGAGAACAUAAAAGCAGUAUGAGAAAACAGGGGUAGAAAAUAGUUAAAGCAACUAGGUCCAUUUCAUUCAGUAGAAGAUACGACUACAUUUACCAUAAGCAACCUAAGAGUGAAUCAAGCCAUCAAGGGAAGGAUAAAAAGGGAGAUAGGCCUAAGAUAUCAGUAAAGAGGAUAAGGAGAAGAAGAAGAGGGGAUAAGGGAAGUGAAUUUCCUAAUAACAUCUGCAUUUUUAGCUCUCUCUUUUUCCAACAAGGAAUUAAGGGAAGAAAUCUGAGCUUGAAGGAUCCCUUUUUCUUCUUCAUGAGCAGCCUCAAAAGCUACCUAAGCAACCUCCACCUCAACUAGUUUUUUAGCCAGUGCAUUUCUCAACCUUUGCAUUGACUUAUCAGUACUCCUCAUGGAAAUAGGUAACAUCAUGUGGUUCCUAGGCCUUAUUAUAUCCUUGGUAGUUUGUGAAGAACACACUUGGACAGAAACACCAAAAUUCUCAAAUAUAAGGGUGAUUCAGAACUAAUAAGAGAGGGCAUGUCUAUUUGUUUCCUUGAGGAGAACCCUUUGCAUAUGCUUCUGUAUUAGUCUAGGCAAAUCAAUUCUCACCUUAGUGUCUAGUAGUUCCAUGAGAGUAAGAUCAAGAAAACUAGCCACAGUCCUCCUUUCCUUCCUAGGGAGAAUCAUAUUAUGCACUACAUCAAAGUACAAUAAGUUAAGUGGAGACAUCUCCCUCUUAAAUACUAAGAUUGAACAGUUGAGGAUUCCCAGAGAACUUUCUACAUAUGUCAAGAGUUGAGGCAAGAUUAUCAAGAGGUGGCCUACUACCCUUGACAUAGUGACCCCACCCCCAGAAGGAAUAUAUAAAAUCUUAGCACUAUCAGUAACAUAAAGGUUCAGAGUGACCUUUCUAAUAGUAGUGGAGAACAACUUACCAAUGCCCACCCUAUUCGUAUAGAACUCAUACACUUUAGGUUUAACAAAUUUUCUCUAAAGGUCUCCCUGUAGAAAGAGAUGAGACCAUCUCUGAAACUCCAAUUUUUCCAGUAGAGUUUGCAAAGCAAUACCCCGAAAACCACUAACAACUCUCCCUCAAGCUAAUUUUUGAAUUUGAAAGUGGAGAUAAUGAGCCUCCGAAGUAUCUCGAUGAGAGGAUAGUGCAGGGACCUCAAAAUAAGGAUCAAUCUCAGAAAUGGUGUCCACAUGAAGUCAGAGUAAGACGAGUCAGAAGGAAUAGGUUUGUUGACCUAUUUCCUUUAGCGAGUAGAAGACUGUAGAGGAGAAACUUUGGAGGAUGUGGAAGCUUUGACUAUGGGAGAGGAUUUUGAAGAGGAGAAGGCCUUUGUUUUAGGUUUUGAAGAAGACCUUCGAGACACAGAAGUUUGGGGGGCUUUUUCCAUGAUAGUUUUCUUCUUCCUGAAUGAUCGAAGAAGAAGAUUAGGAGAAGAAGCAGGAAAAAAUACUAGGGGAGGAGUGGGAUAAGAUAUACCCAUAUGUUUCUUUUUGCUGGCUAGAAGUGCUUCACCCAAGGAAGUAUCUUUGCGUUGCUUCUUUCCUUGAGUAUGAGGGGUUUGAGGAGUAGAGACAACUAGAGAGGGUAUCGUAGGAACAGUUACUUCGACAAUGACAGAGAUGGAAGAGGGUUUUUUCCUUAACUGAGAUCACGACCUUCUUGGGAUCAAGUCUAUAAUAGGAAGAUUGUAUUUAUCAUCAAAAAUUUGAAGAUCAUUAUCAAUAAUUUGGAGCGGGAUAGGGGGAGAAAAAAGAGGUUGUGGGAAGGAUGAAGAGGGAGAAGGAAUUUUGGCAAAAGGGUUUGGAAAGUUUCCAAAAGAUGUGAAGUCUGUGAAUUUCUGAGAGAUUUUAGGAGGAUUAAAGGAGGUAAGGUGAUGUUUGGAUGAAAGGUAAAAGUGGUGAAGGGAUUGGUAAUAGAAUCCCGGCUGAAAAUAGACCCAGCAAAAUUUCUAUACACCCUCCUAGUCACUACAGAAUCUCCCACCAGGGUGGAAACCAAAAAAGGUUCAGCAAUCACCUCAAGCUCAAACCCAAAACCAACAGCCAUAUACGGGGUCACAUAAGACAAGGUAGACCCGAGAUCAAGUAAUACAUACACAUCAUGAGAAAAGAUUUGCAACAUAUCGGUUACUACAUCUGGUGAGGCCUCUGCCUGCUGGUGGUUGGUCAAAGCAUACAACCGGUUCCGACCAUUUCUAGUGGCAGAAUUGGAACCCCUCUAAGGUUAUGGUGAAGAUGAAUUCACCUACGACUUGGCUCCUCCAACAUUACUCUUUGCUACCAGACAGUCUCUCUGGAUAUGGCCUGGCUGGCCGCAUAAAUUACACACCAAAGUGUCAAACUUCUGAACGAAGUCCAAAUUACUCUUGUUAACUUCUGAACGAAGCUGGAAAAAAUUAAACUGGGAACCUGAUUUUAUGGUCCACCGCGGCGCGCCACUAUCGCGGUGGCUCAUUGGAAAUUGACGAAUGAUAAUUUGGGAUCCUCCGCCACGCGCCACUAUCGCGAGGUCCCACUGGAAUUUGACAAUUGCUAGUUUAACCCUCUCCGCGACGCGCUAAACACUAGAAUAACGAUGUUUUAUGACUAGCACAUAAAAUAGUCAUAACUUCUUCACCAAUUGUUCGAUUUGGACGAAUCUUAUAUCGACAGAAAGCUUAUUCAGUCAUCUACGAAAUGAAAAGUUGAAAUCUAAGAGAUUCCACUGGUUAAAGAAUAUAAAUCAUUCUAGAAUCCAAGGCUUGAUAUUUUAGGGAUAAAUUUUAGCUACGAAAUACUUUAGGGCGUUACAAUAGCCUUACCCAGCAUUUUUCUCGGUGAUUCUCUUGCCAUGACUCAUUUUGGAUAAGCUACGCAACAAGUUUAGUUUAACUAUGAGCCUUGCUAGUUCUGCCCGAAUUUUGAGAAGCUCUUAAAAAAACAAUUCCUUCUUUUUUAAACGACUCGAGCAACAUAUAUAGGUUAGAAAAGAAGUUGAUUAAGUUUGAUCCAAGCUGAUCCACUUGCCGGGUUACUUGACCACCUUGGGAGAAGAUGAUUAUCAAUAUUUAAAUUGCUAGAAAAAUUCCUUUUCCUUUUAUAUUUCAAGUUUAAUCAAUGGCAAGAAGCAGUUGCAGAUCAAAAGCGCAAUCUACCGAUUCACGUGAACUCAAUAGUUUUUGCUCAAACCCACUAAUAUUUGGUUAAACCUAUAUGUUGCUUGCAGAAACAGCCUCUCUAUCUCUAUAGAGUAAGGUCUGCGUUUGCUCUAACUUCCUUUCCUAGACCCCUUACGUGUGAGAUUUUGCUGUAUAUGUUGUUGUUGUUGUUUUCAAUUGUUGAGCGUCUAGUGACUAAAUUUCAUUGAUUUAACUGGAGAUUAUUAUUGUGUUUGCAGAUAUUGAAUCGCUACAACGGGUUUCCUUGAUGCUUGUUUUCCUUUAUCAUGAAUCUUUGGUGACUCGUUCUGGACACGGUCAAUAUCCUCUGCUGCUUGUUGUCAGCUAUCAGUAAGCCUCUCAUGUGAUUUUACCCUCAGGAUAUCAUCAUUUGUCAUUACAAUUUCUGUUACUCUUAGUUGAAUUGUACGUUCAACAACAUUUACAACUUCUUUUAUCUGCACUUCUAAAUCUGUCAUUUCCCUAAAAACAUUGCUUUUCUCAAAGUUCUUGAGAAAUACUUCCAGGGAACUAACUUUUUCACGAAGAGCAAGAAAUUCUUCUUUUGUUCACUAAUUAGAGAUUGCGCUGGCGAAUUGGAUGUCACGACUAAUUCCAUUGUUCUCUUAAGCCAUAUCUUUACUCUACAGUUUUAACAAAGAUUCCAUAAAUUUAUAGUUUGUGAACCCAGUGCAACACAUUUUUUAACAAAGCUCAAGAAGUUAAAGCUGGUUGGAACUCGUCUAGCAUGGGAGGACUUGAAUAUCAUAGGCUAAUGGCCUAACCUCGAGUUGCUGAAGCUGAAACCAAAUGCUUGUCGUGGCCUAGAAUGGCGUCCAAUUGAAGGAGGAUUUCGUAGGUUGAAGUUUUUGCUAAUUGAAGAUACAAAUCUGAAAUGUUGGCAAGAUUUCCUUUACAUCGUGUUAUUGAGAUACGGUAGCCCAAUCAUGGACAUAAAGGCAAUGUAGAACAGAUACGUCAUUGUAAACUUUUUUCGCUAAAGUUGACUUGCCAAUGCCUUCCAUACCGAUGAUUGGGAUGACCUUGAGUUCACUAGAGAAGCCUCUAGUCAAUUCUUGUAGCAACCUUUCCUUUUCAUCAUCACGCCCCACCAUAACGUUCUUAAUAUCUUUUGUUGAACUUGAAUCUUGAAUUUCAUUGUUGAAUUGUAUGUUCAACAACAUUUGCAACAUCUUUUAUCUGUGCUCCGAAAUCUGUCAUUGCCCCAGAAACAUUGCUUUUCUGAAAGUUCUAGAAAAAUACUUCAAGGAAGCUAACUUUUACACCAAGAGCGAGAAAUUCUUCUCCGUGUUCACUAAUUAGAGAUUGCACUGGUAAAUUGGAUGUAACAACCAAUUCCAUUGUUCUCUUAAGCCAUAUCUUUACUCUCGUGUUCCUUGUGCAGUUUUUACCAGAAAACUGCAAGUUUCAAGACCUCAGGUGUUACUACAUAUAAUACCAGUUUCAAACUCUAUCAACUCAAAAAAUAACUCUAAUAACACAAAAUAUUAACCAAUUCAAUAACUGAAACCAUAAUCAAGUACAUCGCCGGAGUCAUAAGAACAUUUAUUAAGAGUUCAAGUUGGGAUGCGGCUAGAAAUAAUGGAAUCAGAACAAUAACAUAAAGACUCCUAGACACCACAAAACUAAGUGAUUGUCUCGUCGUAUAAAAUAAUCAUCAAACUCGAUCACAAUCAACAACGUGGUCUGCUAGUACUUGAAGGUGAAUUUGUAAACUUACAUAAAAUGAGAAGGGAAGAAGGGAAUUAGUACAACAAAUCCUUUAAGUCUCAUAGACCAUCACCUAAAGGCCGUGGCAAGUCUUUAUGCAUUACAGAAAAUUAAUGGAAACCAGUAUAACACAAUACAGGGAUCAUUAGUCACAUAAGAAAGAUAUGUUACAGUACAAAAGAUAUCACAUCUCCUUGGAAACCACACGUUUCUUGAAACCGAUAAUUUUGUUGUAAUUUGCGACAGAGGAACCGAAAUGAAAUCCCAAGAGUUCAAUCCUUCUGACCUUGAACUCCUUUCCUAAUAUUCUUCUAAAUCAGAAUCACUCUCCCCGACAGAUAAGAAACAAAAAGGGUCAGUAGAAGUUCGACAAGUCACAUUGUUCAGAUGCAGAUUUAGAGCUUGUUCAACAAAACUCACAUCUUUCAACUGAACUUCAUGUGAGAGCUAAAAUGCUUAUAUUACAUCUCAAUUAACAAUUAUUUACUAAUUCAAGAAAUGAGCUGCAAAUAUUGAUGUAUAGUUUUAUAGAUUCUAUAAUCGAAACAUUCUUUAUCUCACAUACCUUGAUAAUAUAUCAAAAAAUGAUUAUUCAAAAGUUUUUUUUCUUAUAUAUUUUUUCAAUGAUAUAAUAUGUGUUCUUUAAAAAUAAUUAAUUUUUAUAUGGGGUAUAUGCACAACACGCUUCAUAGACUCUAUAAAACCGAAUAACACAAUACAUUUACAUUUAUGAAAAACAUUGUGUGAUGAACUAGCAUCAACAAUCUAUUACUCAUCAGUUCGGCAGCCUCAGCAUCUGAAUCUUAAUUAUCAUCAUGUUCUGCUGCAUUAGCAUCUGAAUUUUAUUCUUCUUCAUCAUCAUCAUCAUCAUCAGUAACUGAAUAAAGUCACGGAGGCAAAUUAUCUAAGGAUCUUGUAACAACUGUAUGAGGUGACUUGUGGAAAUGAGAAACAGAUUGUAACCUUGAUAAAUACUAUAUACUUACAUGGAUAGGAGACACAAACAUCCAAAGGGUUGUUUCCGAGGUCUUCUUGUUCUUUCUGAAUUCGUGCAGCAGAUUUUCCAAGUUCGGGAAGACACCAUUUUAACAAGAACUUGCUUCUUUAUACUAACAUAUAACAAAUACAAAUGCAUUGAUCUAACACAAAUUGGGUUCGAUUUUGCACAUUGCUUCAACUUGCAAGCUACGCACCCACAUGUUAAUAUGUAACAGCAUCAUGUGUAAUCUUGCAUUGCUGAUUUUGUUAUUAGUAAUGAGUUAAUUUUUACUGAAGACUUCUGUGUCCUGGAAUGUACCUUGAGCUGUUCUUGUGAUUUCUGGUCUUUGAACCUAUAUAUUCAGACUUCAAUGUUGUUGUAGCAACUUUUUUUAUCCGAACCGAUGAUUAAUAGUGACAGUGUAUUAAAACUAAUUAUUUUUAUCCUACAAAAUAUGCAGCCUCUUAGGUGGAAUGUGAAAGUAAUAAUGCUUUACGUAGACUUGUGCUUCCUAUCUAUUGUAUAGAUGCUACGGUUGAUGUAUAUAUUGCCAUAACCUGCAGAUCAAUCAAUAGCUGAGUCUGUAUGCACGAUUUGGUGUUAUUCCAAGCAAACUUCUUCAAGAGAGGACUAUAGAGGUGCGUGCUUCUUGUUAACUCAUUGAUGCGUGCUUCUUUUUCACUCAUUGAUUUUACUUAUUUAAAUUUGUAUUAUUUGUAUUGAUUUCAUAUAGAUAGUAAGAUUUGCAUUUUGUAAAUAGUUUAGCUACUAUGUAUUAUUUUAGAGUGUGUCAUUAGGUGUAUAGCUAGCUGAUCUGUUUUCGUUGUUGAUGUGAUGUCUCCAGUAUGAAGAUUUGGGACAAAUUUGCAAUGAUCUCAAAAAGUGAAUGUGAGUUAAUUGAUUAAUGGUCAGAACUAUGUCUUAGUGAAACUUGGCCAUAUUUGCUAGAUAUCUCGGAUAUAAUGUGAGUUAUUCGAACUUUGGUUAAUUGACGAUAUCACAUUGAAAUGCAUAUAUUCAUUUGUUAGUUCAGAUGAUGAGUGUGUGUUCAUAAGAUACAUAUGUCUUACCAAAUAUAAAAUGUUAACGCUCUUACAUAAUACAUUGAUAUGUAGCUUUAGCCAGUGAAAGGAUAUAUAUUUAGCCCAUUACUGGAAAAUGAAUUUUAUGUAUUGGGUUUCAAUUAAUUCAGAAUCUGAGAUCAUAUGUGUAUUAUAGUAUGCAAAUUAAAGGAUAAUUGUUUCCUAAUAUUAUGUGUUGCUGUGUCUUAAAUCUUGUAGAUGCUAAUAUCCCAUUUGCACAAUUAGUGAAUGGGUUUAAACAUGUUGAAUGUAAAUAUGACUUCAAGGAUAACCUGGACAAAUGUUCGAUCACAUUGUCUAUUAUUUCAAUUUGAUUUUGAGGUCACGUUUCCUGUUUAAUGUAAACACUGGUUAUCUAGUUAAAUAUUCUAAUGUAAUAUGAAAGUAUUUGUGUAUUUUCUUAGAACUCACUCGUGGUCUGAAAACUUACAGAUGCCAUUUUUGUUACAUGUCCAGCUUGAAGUGCAUCACUUCUUGCCUACUAAUUGCUAUUCUUUCUUUUUUUUACAAUUGAUUAUAUAUUAUAUGAUAUUGUUAUCUUUCCAGACAACAAUUAAAAAUGGGUCUGAAAUUUUGGAGUUUUCACAUUUUCAUCAAGUAUAGUCAACUACUUGAAGGAAGCAUCUCUUGUCAUUAGUUACGCAGGUAAAUUACAGUUCGAUUAAUUUAACUUGUGUCGGUUUAGUUUCGGGUAUCAUUCAUAAGAUUAUAUCUUGCACGAUGGCAGAAACACAUGUUUCUCUGUAUUCUAGAUGCCCUUUCUAGUUUGAUAUGUAAAAAGAAAGAAAACCUCAUAAAUAUUCAAUCACCUGUAUCUUAUACUUUUGUUUUAAGCCGAGGUUCUAGGAAGCAGCAUCUGUACCUUACAAAGAUAGGUAAGUUUUGCGUAUAUACAUCCUACCCUCCCUAGACACCAUUUGUGGAAUUACUUCAAAAGUCUAUAAUUUAAUUAGAUGUUGAAAUAAUCUCUAAUUCUAUAAAAAAUUUAUUAUAAUACUUGAAUAAAACGUACAAACAGAAUAAGCAAAAAGGCUAAACAGUCAUAAAAACUUACAUAACUAACUUCUGCUAUAUACUUACUAUAGCAAAAAAUAACUUUUAUUAUCUAUUUGACUGAAAAAAAAAAAAAGCUAAGUACAACAAAUUGAUGAUAUUUGUUGAGCCCUGAUUUGCAAUUUGGAUCAGAUUAGCUUAAUUUACACUCAAAUUAUGAUAAACUUCUUUAAAAACUACAUUAAUUGCUUCAUUUGAAACUUCUCCUUCAUCAUCAUAUGUCAAAAUCUUUAAUCCUUGUCUUCUUGUUACCCGUGAUAGUGCAACAUAUAGCUGGCCAUGUGUGAAAACUGCUUUCUUCAAAUAUAACCUAACAUGAGAUAAAGAUUGUCCUUGACUUUUAUUGAUAGUCAUGGCAAAUGAUACCACUAUUGGAAACUGUCUUCUCUGAAACUUAAAGGGUAUUCUCAAAUCUGACGGAGUCAGUGACAUUCUUGGUAUAAAAACCUUUUGUCCAAUCAUAUUUUUUGAUAAGACUUUCGCCUCGGCAACCCAAUUUCCAAUUCUAGUGAUGAUUAAUCUUGUUCCAUUACAAAGCCCUGAAGAUUGAUCUAUAUUUCUCAAUAACAUCACGGGUACACCAACUUUUAAAGUGAUGGCAUGAUUUGGAAUUCCAGACCAUUUUAUAGUAUUUAGGAAUUCAGGAGUAUGUAAUUAUUCCAAACCUGUACAUGUGUCUUGUGUAAUACAUAUUGUAUCAGAACUGAAGAACGUUGUACCUUCACUUUGAUUGAGCGAUACCAUAUGCCCAUUGAUUGAUUCUACCAUGUCAAGAGUGGGAGCUAGAAUUCCUCUUUUCUGUAGGUAUGUUAAAUUACUACAAUAUGAAAAAAAAAAAUCAGGGUAUGUACUGUUCACAAUGGCAGUAAUUGGAUCUUCACAAUCACUGAUAAGAAGAUCAUCAGGAAUAGAAACUUUUCCAAUUCCAUCAACUGAAUUACCAAUUAUACCAUCUCCUACUGCUAAAAUCAAAUCUGCAAAUUCUUUUCGAUCAUUCAAAUCUGAUUCUACAUGAUUACCUUCUAACCUCAUAUUAUUUGUUUGCUUUAGCAAAUGACAGUUAGCCCACAAAUAUGAAGAAUUAAGGCUAGCAUUUACAAUAUCCUGUCUGUUACCUUUUGUAAUGACUGGUAGAAUUUGUCUAAAGUCCCCACCAAGUACAACUGUUUUACCUCCAAAUGGCCGAUCUAAAUUAGAUAAUCUUCAAACUCGGCUAUUGUCUUCAAAUUAGAUAUAUCCACCAAGUACACCAUUUUAACUGAAUCAGUUGUAGUGUGUUAAUAUCUGCAAACUCAAUCGGUAUCUCUUUGAAAUGAUGGCAACUUCAAAUCAUGAGGCGCUUAAGGACAGGAAAAUUGUCAUUUGUGGCUUUCCAGUACAUGAGAUCAUUAAAGUCAAUUAGAAAAAGCUUCAAUUUAUUAAAUCCUGUAACACUUGGAUACCAUUCUGGAUCAACACAAGCAUUAAACAUCAGUUUCAGUACCUCAAGGUUAGGCAACUUGGCUAUGAUGUCAAAGUAUGACCAGCUUAGAAAAGUUCUUUCCAACUUCAACUUCUUGAGCGUUGUUUCCGAUGGAAGAUACGAACAUCCACAGGGUUGUUUCCGAGGUCUUGUUGCUCUUAUUGAAUUCGUGCAGAAGAUUCCUCAAGUUCGGGAAGACAGUCUCUUAACUCAAUCAGUGUAGUGUGUUAAUAUCUGCAAACUCAAUGUGUAUCUCUUUCAAAUAAUAGCAACUUCUAAUCCUGAUGAGCUCAAGGAUAGGAAAGUUGCCAUCUGUGGCUUUCCAGUACUUGAGAUGACUAUCUUCAAUUAACAAAAGCUUCAAUCGAGUAAAUCCCUUAACAUUUGGAUGCCAUUCUUCGCCAAGACAAGCAUCGUCGAUCAACUUCAGCAACUCAAGGUUAGGAAAUUCAGCUAUGAUGUCCAAAUACGACCAACUUAGAUAAGUACUGUUUAAAUUCAGCUUCUUGAUAGUUGCUGGAAAAGCUUUUGCACUUGAUGGCAAAAGGUUACAACAAAUUGUAACACUCAAUGUUUCAAGUUGCUGCAGAUAGACAAGAUUAUUGAGAAGCCCAGUAAAGUCAGUCACAUUUCCAUAUCUACUGAUUCCUAAUUCUUUGACAUUCUGAAUCCCCAUAAUAACCUCCUUCGUGAAACAACGUGAAGACAAUUAAGAAAUAGUUUUUGAAAAAUCCAAGUUCCUUCCUUUGUCAACAGAUCCACUUGGGCAAUCUGGCAAAUAAAAUGUGGGCAGUUUGAGAUGCCUUAAUUGCAUUAGUCCCCAAAUUUGCAUUAGACAAGUUACAAAUGAUCGAUUAGACCCUUUAACAUUGAAUGUCUGCAGAUUCCAUAACCUGGAAAUCUCUGGAGGUAUGUCAAACAUUUCCCCGCGGAAGAGCAAUUCUAGGUACCUCAACCAGAUGAGGCUUAGUAUCUGUACAGGAAAAUUAUCAAUCUCUAUGUGUCUUAGCUCCAAGACUUUGAGUAAUUUGAAAUGAAUAAGCUCUGAGUUGAGAAUAAAAUAUGAAAAAUAACCACCGAAAGAGAAGAUAGAACGGGUUCGUUUCAAAAGAUUGUUGUUGUCAUGAUAUCUCAACUGAUGAUGCACAGGGGUAAGAAGAGCCCUAUAAAGAUCACAGGGUGAAGAAUCAAUUUCAUCACCAAUCAAGCGCUUAAAGGGCUGCAUUUGCAUGAGAGAUUGGCAUUCUGAAGGAACGUGAUUCGCAUCUGAGUUCCAAACACAAUUUCUUUCAUAAUAAAAAUGUUCUCCCUUUGAAUUUCUCUCACGCACAGGUCAUAUAUUAGAUCAUGAACCUUACAUGAUCUAAUUUUUGUUCCAUCUAGACUUUUCUUGCAGACGAGGACUAAACAUCUGUCGACAAGCUCUUGCAAACACUUCUCAGCCUCUCCUUCCAAAUCAUUUUCCAACUGAACCCCUCAGCCAUCCUUGAUCUCAUCAAUUUCUUCACUGCUAUACCACUGUCUUCUGGAAAAAUUCCGAAAUGCAGUAGACAAGUCUUUAGAUCGCUAGUCAAGUGAUUGUAACUCAACCCAAGCACACGUGAACAUCGUUCAUCAGGAUCAUUUGUGACAAGUGACUUGACAUCUUUCACAACAGUUCUCCAAUCUUCUAUUGCCCUUUUAGAUUUGAGAACUCCAGCAACCACGACAAUAGUUAGUGGUAACCCGUGACAUUCAUCUGCGAUUUGCUUCCCAACAGUCUCGAACUCAUAUGGUAAUGCUUCACUUGAGAAUGCGGCACUUUUAAAAAGGCUCCAACUCUCAUCUUGAUCCAUGAAAUCCAUUUGCAUAGAAAGAUUCUCUGUACCAGCAUAAUAGGCUACUUCAUUGUUACGGGUAGUCAACAAUAUUCUAUUCCCUGCAUUGUCUUCAUUUGGAAAGCAUUGCCUCACGCCAUCCCACACUUCACAACUCCAGAUAUCAUCCAAGACAAUAAAGUACCUCUUUCUCUUUAAACUUUUCUGUAGCAUGUCCGCUAGCUCUGCUUCACCUUUCGUCUUAACCGUGUCAUCCAUUUUGAUCGUCGAUUGCAGAAGGCUCAGCAAAAUUUGCUUUAUGUUGUGCUGUUGAGAUACAGUAGCCCAGGCACGAACAUCAAAAUGGCGUAGAAUUGAUUCAUGAUUGUAAACUUUGUUCGCUAAGGUUGUUUUACCUAUGCCUCCCAUCCCGUCAAUCGGGAUGACUUUGGGUUCACCAGAGUAGAUUCUCGUAAGAUCUUCUACCAACCGUUUCCUUUGAUCGUCAUGUCCAACCAUACUGUUCUCAACAUUUGUGUAUUCCUCUGAUGUUUUGUUGAACCAUUGAAAAAUAUUGAACCAUUGAAAAAUCAUGAAGCAUUGAAAAAUCUUGAACCAUUGAAAAUUCAUCACGUUCCCUUUAUCUUGAAUAUUUGUUGACUCUUUCCAGAUACGAUCGAUGUCCUCUGCUACUUGUUGCAGGCUAUCAGAAAGCAUCUCUUGUGCCUUUUCUCUCAGAUUUUCAUCAUUUGCCAAUACAGCUUCAGUCACUCCUAGUUGAAUUGUUUGUUCAACAAUAUUUGCAACUUCUUUUAUCUGCACUUCCAAAUCUGUCAGUUCCCCAGAAACAUUGCUUUUCUCAAAGUUCUUGACAAAUACUUCCAACGAACUAACUUUUUCAUGAAGAGUGAAAAAUUCUUCUCUGUGAUCAAAGGAUAGAGAUUGCAUCGGCGAAUUGGAUGUCAAGCGCGAUUCUACUGUUCUCGUAAGAGAAUCCACACUUGCAUGAGCCAUAUCUACUGUAUUCUCAUUUUUGUCCUGUGUGACUAUGACCUGAAAGCUGCAGGUUGCAAGAUGUCAAUGCUAUUAGAGAUACCGUGAUACACAGAUUGGCAAAAAACGCAAGCAUAAACUAAACAAGAUCAGGCGAUUUAAUAGUCUGUUUCAUGUUCAGGUCAGUUAUGUUAGUACAGAUGAUUUUGCACUUUGAUAGUUUAAUCUAUUAAUCUCUAACUCUUUGAAUUUGGUUAAAGAUUGGGGAAAUAAUUAAUAAAGGAAAUAACAUAUAAUUACCGGUUAAUAAUAGACACGCACAAAAAGUUCUGCAAAAAUCUCUUAACUAUUUCAUCCAACUCUCAGAUAGUCUCAAUCAAUCACAAAAGUAAAAUGGUUUUCUUGCACGAGGGUUUAUCAAAAAUAAUCACUCGUGUAAUUGCAAAGGUAGGGGUAAGGUUUGUAUAUAUCUCACCCUCCUGAUACCCCACUUGUGGGAUUUUCUAACUUUUCUAGAAAGUCAGAUGAUAAAAUUAAAGGACAUUUUAGUCUAAGACUACAAGAUUCAAAAAUCUUCUUUAAUUUCUUCAACUUCGUGUCAUGUCAAAUUCAGACAAACAAAUUCAAAUGGACCUUGGUUUUCCACCGUAUACUUGGAGGAAACAGAUAUUUCCUUUGCUUGACAAAGAAUGGCGUACUUUAGUUUUUUACUCUAUUUCAAAAAUGAGUUAUUAACAGUUAUUAACUCAGAAAAAUGAGUAAUUAAGGGAAACUAACCUUUCAAUGAUUAUUUGGGAAUACAGAAAGAGAGUUGGGAAGAAGGAACUGAUCACUGCAACAAAAUACUAUAAAGAACACAAAUAUGAGUAUAUAAAAACAAAAAGAUAUAGUAGCAAGUAAUCAAGAUUAAAAUCAAGAGAAAAAUGGCAUACCUCUCUGAGUGUCUAACGAAGUGUUUGCCUUCUGAUAAAUUGGGAUGAGAACUUCAAUUAUUGUUGCAUGUGGUGUAAGUGCUUUUAUAUAUUUAAAUGGAACAACACAUCAACUGUUUUUUAAGAUUAAAAGUUAUUAAAUGAUGAUUAUGCAGAUACAUACCUUUAUUAUAUUUUAAAAAUAAAGAACACUAUUUUUGUUGUCAUGUUCUUCUUCUGAAUUGCAUUUGAGCGAGGUUCCAUCGAAAACAACCUCUCUACCUCCAUGAGGCACUAGCAAAGGUCUGCAUAACACAUCCUAGAUGUCACUUAUGCAAUUAUGUAAAGAUAUAUUAAAAAAAAAGACCGUGGCCAAUUUGUUGUACCAAUCACCAAUUUUUUAAUACAUAUUAGCGGCCUGACACUUAUAUUUUGUGACCUAAUAAAUCAAUAAAAAAAUAAUAAGAUAAGGGUGGAGGAUCAAAAAAAAUCCCCAGCUUUAGGAGCACAAUGGAACAUGACUCAAUUAUCAAGACUACAUUUGAUUUGCAAAAAGUAUUGAGUUACCAUUCAGAAUAAGGUUUGGUUCUAUCCAUAGAGAUUCCAUAACUAGUCAAAACUGGCAAGUUCAAACAUAAUUGGGAUUACUAUUUCAUGACCUAUGUAACACCCUGCAUUUCGGGGCAUUAUAGAAACCAUGAUUUCGAUGCGUUGAUAAUCCCGAAGCCAUAACUCCUAUGCCAAUAUGGCAUGUUAAUUAUUUUCAUAGUAUGUGAAUACAUUCAUGCUUGAAUUUAGACCAUAGAGGUCCUUCAACUCAAGGAUGAGUUGAAACUAUUUCGAUCGAUUAAGUUUUAGUGGACAUUGUAAUUUGUGUCAGAUUCCAUUCACCAUAACUCUCUUCAUAUGUCUAAUUAGAGGGCCUACUAUUUGUCAAAUAAUAGGUCUUUGAGUUAGCUUUCCAACGAUACCAAUUUUGCUAAAAUCCAACACCCGAGCAAGAAGUUAUGGCCUUUCAAAGUAGUAGGCAGCGCCUAUGUAAACAUAGGCGAUAGCAUAGGCAGCGCCUAUGGAAAGAUUUCAGGUGACUUAAACACUCCGUUUUUCGGGCAAAAUGGUCUUUUUCCACCCUUACUUAGCCCUAAACACGAAAUUCAGUUCCCAAAGACCCUAAAAUACACCUUCAUUCAUCAAAAUUGUUUAAGAAUUCUGUCUAGGGUUUCAAAAUAAAAACCCAAGAAACUCAAGAUUCAACUGUGGGUUUUAGAAACUAAUUACAUAUUUGGAAUCCUAUCAACAUAGGCUUCAAGAAGCAUCUAAUAUUCGUAGUAAUCGAGGUAUGUGGGGUUAUCUCAAAAAUAUAAUGGGUUUUAAAAAUUCAUGUUUUCAAAUGGGAGUUUUGAAAUUACGAAUAUGAUUAUGUUUUUAAACAUUUUAUGAUAUUGAUUUGGCCCUUAGGCCUACUCCCAAAGUGAUUUGCUAUAUGAUAUAUGUAUAUGCAUGUAUUCUGAAAAGAUAUUAACUUGAGAGCAUGAAUGAUAUGAAAUUUCCUCUCUUGAUGUGAAUUUGUUUUAAAUGUUCAUAUGAUGUAAAUUAUUUGAAAACAUCUUGAAGAGCAUGACAUGAAAUGUUUUGAGAAUUGAUAUGAUUUUGACUUGAAAAUGAGAAGGUUAUUCAUGUUGAAUACAACGGUUGAAUGAGAAGAAUGGUGUGAUAUUGAUUUCUUGCAAUUCGGGUAUGACAAUACCCUACAGAGUAUGACAUAUGAUAGAUUUGAACAAAAUUUGAAUGCAUUGAUUUUACAUGAGAUAGGUGGAUGCCCGAAGAAUGCGUUUGAGUGUAAGGGCUCAUCGUUGAAAAUCGUGUUUGCCGACACGGGAAUUUGGUACAAGGCUAAGUGAUGUUGAGUACUUGACUUUAUGUCAUUCCCAAAUUGGGAUUAUAGGUAGGAGCCCAGGCUAAGUGAUCUUGGGCACCACCAUUGGGUCGAGACACCAUGCUUCAUAGUCUUAUGUGUCUCUCCCUCACUUAUACUCUAAUCUCGGUGGCAAUCGAGGAUUGAUAGUUGGUGUAAAUUAUGUAGGGUAUUCCACCUAGCUCAGUUGCAUUUCAUUGUUAUUGAAAACAAUUACACUAUGCCCAUGUGUUUUCAAAUGAUUUGAUAUGAAACUACUUUAUAAUGGCCCUCACCUAUAAUAUGUAAAAAUAUUAUACUUCUGUUUUGAUUUCUCUUCAUACCAGUACGUUUGUAUUGACCCCCUUCCCUCCCUGGUUCGGAGGCACAGUCUAGGGGUCCAGAUAACCAGUAAAUUUCUUCUGACAGAUCGCAGAAUCAAGUGGUAAGCCUUCUAUAUUUCGGAAGGCCUGAUGUCUGCUAUUUCAUUUAUCAUUUAUUAGUUUUGGGUCUGCUAGGGGCCUUGUCACAGUUUUCAACUAGACAUUGUUUUAGUCACGUAGUAGAGAUUUCCUAGACGGUUUUAGAGAUGUUGAUUUAGAUUGUGGGACACUAUUCCCUAUUUUCGUUUUCAUAUGAUUCUUGACCAUGUUUUCGUUAUAUUAUGUUUCUUCCACAUUUCUUUUGUCAUGAAUUAUGUGCAUGAUUAUCAGACAGAUAGGGGUGUUUUGAGCCUUUAUGGUUCGGAAUGCUCAUCGGCCAGGGCCCCGGUUCGGGUCGUGACAAACGUAGUAUCAAAGCACGGUUCAUGGUCCUAGGGUGUCUGCUAAAUCAUGUCGGGUAAAGUCUUGUCUAUGGGUGUGUAGCACGCCACACUUAUAAGCAGGAGGCUACUAGGCGUUUAGGAAUGUAUCUUUUUCUUCAUGUUCUAGUCCAUGCAAUAGAGUCAGAAUAUUCCUCUUUCAUACUCAAAUUAAUGCUAUGGUAUCGCCCAUAUGAAAGUAAAAGUCAUCCCAAUUCUUUCCUUACUCGGACAUUCUCAGACAUGUCUCAUCAUUGGUUCCAUUCAAGUAUAGCAGUUUAGAGUCUAAAUGGUAUGGUUUGUUCUGAUCGAAUCAUAUAAGAUUUUUGCAAGGACUUGAGUAGAGUCCGUUAGUGCUUCAGAGUGAGGACGAUUUACCUCUUUAUAGUGAUAAACUAAUUUGGUAGCUAGCAGCAUGUUUGGAUAGUAUGGUAGUCUAUGGAGGAAGUGUUUUACUCCGAUUCUAUUUCUACAUAGUAAGAUGUGUAUUCUUAGUUCAUUGAAUAUUGCGUAUUAAACUCUAUCUCAUGAAAUAUUGUCAUCAAAGUGUUGUUGAAACAUAAAGUCUAGUGAAGCCGUGAGGGGCUCUUUCGAUUCACUAGAAUAGUUGACUUGUCAUUCAUCCCAUUUUCUUGUUCAAAAUACAAAAUCAAAGUCUAGUGAAGCCGUGUGAGGCCUAUUUUGAUUCACUAGCAACUUUUUGUCCAACUUGUUGUUCUUGUGUAGGUUUAAUGUAUGUAUAGCUGAAUCUGGUUGUAUGAGAUUGAGCCGGUAAAGAGAUGAUUUGUCCUUGUGAGUUAGUUUAGUAUAAGGUAGAGAAGGAGUUGUUUGUCAGGGUGAUUUGUUAGUUGCUUGAAUGUGAAAAUGGCUAUAUUAGCGAGUAAUUUAUGAUUAUAGACUCAUGGUUGUUUGAGAAAUUUGAAGGCAGUCUAAAUGUAUGAUUGAGUGAGUAAGUAUGAGGGGAGAAAUUCAUAUAAGUAAAAAAAAAUUGUAUGGGGUUAUAAUAUAAGAUUAAGGUUGAUCAUGUCUAUUAUGUGACCUUACCCCAUGACCUUCUUUUGUUGGUAGUUGUAAACUAGUACUACUUAUGAGAAGGUAUAUAGCAGAUUUUGAAGUAUUUGGGAUUGAAUGCUCCAAUUUGAUGGAUUAGUAUAUUAUGUUGCACUCGUCAUUAGUGGUAGAUGAUUGAUGCUAGACCAUUGGCUUGAAUUUAAUGUAGGGUAUGGAUGUAAGAAUAGUGGCAUGAGAUUAAUGAUGUAUGUUUGUGGGAAUAAAUAUUAGUAGGCUUGAUGUGUUGAAAUAGUACGUUCUAAUGAGUUAUCAUAAGGAAGACCGUAAGGUCAAGGUCGAUUAUUGUUGUUAUGAAGUUUUAGUGUACUAGUGUUUCUUGAUGUUUAUUUCAUGGUUUCCAAAUGAGAAUCAUGCGUAAGGUUGGGUUGUAAAAUCAUGUUUAGCACUAGACAUUAAGUUUGAACAGUUGAAGUUCAUAAAGGUGGAUGUGAUGAUUUCUUGAUCAAUGAUGUUAGUUAUAUGAAAGUGAUCUAAUAGGCUUGAACGGUGUAUGCAAUUACUUAAGUUUAAAUAAAUUUGUAAUAAAGUAUAAUGUUGUAGGUAUGGUGUAGAAGUAUGCCAAGGUGAUAUGAGGUUGCGCCAUAUUUUUCUAAGACUAUUACAUAAUUUGUGUGGCUAGUAGUACCAUUGAAUUAUUAAGUGGAUAAAGACUAGUUAGAUGGUAUAUGGUGAUCUAAAUAGCCAUGUUAAGUGUUACAAUCUAAGUUUGAGUUUUGAAGGUUGAACCGAUAGAAAUAAGUGUGCAAGCAUUAUACUAUGACUAUUGGUGGCUAUGGAAAGAUUGAGUGUGUCCCAGAAGGUAGUCAUUCGGGUUAAGUUUAUGAUAUGCAUGUAUUGUCAUUUUUUUUCUUUCAGACCCUAAAGUGCAGUAAGUGUAGUUCAGUUAGAAUCUAGUAAGGGAUCUCACAAACUCUAGAUGAUGACUUGAAUCUAAGGGAGAGAUGAUAGAACGAAUGACCAAGUAAGUCUCUUAGAUUCUAGUAGUGAUAUAGUAUGAUUUAGAACGUCAGAAAGUGAGGGUGAAUCUCAACCCAUUCCUACCUCAGUAUUUUUUUUUAGUUAUUCGGAUACUUGCUCAUGCCUUACGAUCCAGUUCCCUGAUUGUAGUUCAUGAUUCCUGUAUAUGAUAGAGAGUCACGUACUCUUCCAGUUCCAAGAUAAUGAGUUAUAAUUCAUUCAAGUAGUCGGAAUCACAUUCCUUGUGUUAGGAACUCUAGUUGAGGUCAUGCAACUCAUGACGCAUGUACUCACUCUUUAUAGUGUGCUCAGUCCCGUAUAAAAAUCUUGUCAUGCUUCAGGGUCUUAUGUUUUAACUUCUUAGUGACCCUCCCUAUGCAAUGAUAGUGGUAAUGAUGUAAAUGUUCUUGUUGAUGGAAGAUCAUAGUACGUUUGUUUAGAUAAGGCCAUAAGUAUAAAAGUAAGAUUUGGGGCCAAUCUUUGAUACAUGUGAUGGUUAGUGGAAAAGUUUGUGUGUAUGUUUAGAAACUAUGUGAAGUAUGUAUUUAUGGGUGGUUUCCUUGAAGUAAACAUGUGGUUAUAAAAUAGGCUUGAAUGACGUUUUGGGAUUGUAGUGGGAGGUCGCAAUAUGCAUUAGCGACUUCAUAUUAAGAGUUCAGAGUAGUCAUUGAAGUGGUAAGUUCUAACAGUAAUUGGGAGCCACAAUUAUCAGCACUUCAAGAUUUUCUUUGAGUUAUAGUUUGUUCAGACCAAGUAUUUCAUUCAUAUUUCUCAUUUUAUGAUGUCACAGUGUUGAGUUCAUGCAUUUUAUCUCUAAGUAAGCUAGUAUAUGAAGUAGAAGGCUCAAAGGAUUAGCUUGGGGCUACUUGUAGCGUUAAGCACUGUGUGACGUUCCGAGACCCGGUUGCAGGGCGUUACACAAAUAUCCUACAUAAUCAGCAUCAAAAUAUCCUACCAAAUUCAAAUUACUACCUUUGGGAUACCAUAAUCCAAGAUCACUUGUUCCCUUCAAGUAUCUGAAGAUUCUUUUCACUGAUUUUAGAUGUGAUUCUUUGGGAUUUGCUUGAAACCUAGCACAUAGCCCUACACUAAACACAAUGUCAGGCCUUCUAGUUGUGAGGUAUAGUAAUGAGCCUAUUAUGCCUUUCUACAAUUUUUGCUCUACAUCAGGACCUGUUUUAUCUAGAUUAAUCUUUGUGGCAGUGAUAAUAAGAGUGUUGAUUUCCUUAGCCUUUUCCAUGACGAAUCUUUUGAGAAGCUCUUUGACAUACUUCUGUUGGUGUAUCAUUGUUUCUGAUGCUGACUAUUUUAUUUGAAAUCCUAAGAAGUAAUUUAGUUCUCCCAUCAUGCUUAUCUCAAAUUCACAACUCAUGAGUUUGGUAAACUCAUAAGUCAUAUUCCUGUUGGUUGAUCUAAAAAUAAUGUCAUCCACAUAUACCUGCACAGCUAACAAAUCCUUUCCAUUAUUUUUAAGAAAAGGGUAUUGUCAAUUUUACCACUGGAAUGAGGAUUCUCGAGUAGAAACUUUGACAACCUCUCAUACCAAGCUCUACAUGUUUGUUUCAGCCUAUACAAGGUUUUAUCUAGUUUAUACACAUGAUCAGGAAACUCCUUGCUUUCAAAUCCUGGAGGUUGCUUGACAUACACCUCCUCUUUGAGAGUGCCAUUCAUAAAUUCACUCUUCACAUUUAUCUGGUAGAGUAUAAACUCCUUGUAGACAGCAAAAGCAACAAGUAAUCUUAUAGCUUCAAGUGUUGCUACAGGAGCAAAGGUCUCAUCAAAGUUGAUUCCUUCCUCUUUAUUGUAUCCUUGGACCACUAACCUUGCCUUGUUUCUUGUGACUGUUCCAUGCUUAUCAACUUUAUUCUUAUACACCCAGUUGGUUCCAAUCACUGAUCUAUUUUUUGGAAGAGGAACUAAGUGUCAUUCUUUGCGUCCUUUAAACUAUUCAACUCUUCUUGCAUGGGUAUGAUCCAAUCAACAUCAAGCAAUGCUUCAGUUAUUUUCUUUGGCUCUAUUUCUGACAAAAAUGCCUUGAUGGCUCACAUACUUCUCAGUCUAGAUAUGUUAGUAAUCCCAGAGGUGAGCUUAAUGAGAACAUUCUCUAUAGGAUGUGAUCCUUGAUACUUGUAUCCCUUUGGAAUCAAGCCUAGUGAGCUACUAGGAUCACUAAUGAUAUUCUAAUCUGGGGUAGUUGGUAGAUCAUUUUCCCCUGUCACUGUUCCUUCAGCUUUAGUUCCCCCUGUUGAGGUGCCUACAGGUUUGGUAGUUCCAGUCAAUGAAUCGGGUUGUGUAACCUGUUCCUCAGUAUCAUUUCUUUCCUGCAGGUUAUUCUUAACAUAGGAUUCAUCAAAGAUCACAUGCAUGCUUUCUUUAACAUAGUUAGUUCUGUUGUUUAAAACCCUAUAGGCUUUACUAUGAAGUGAAUAACCUAAGAAGAUUCCCUCAUAACUUUUAGCAUCAAAUUUCCCAAAUUAUCCUUUCCAUUAUUAUGUAUGAAACAUUUUCUUCCAAAGGUUCUAAAGUGAGAGGUGUUAGGCUUUCUUCCUUUAAGUAAUUCAUAGGGAGUCUUCUCUAACAUAGGUCUGAUCAUGCAUCUAUUUAUGAUAUAUGCUGCAAUACUUAUUGCCUCAGCCCAAAGGUUUUUAGCAAUAUUUGCUACGAGCAUCAUUGUUCUAGCCAUAUCCUCUAAGAUUCUAUUUUUCCUUUCCACCACUCUAUUUCAUUGUGGUGUUCUAGGAGCUAAGAAGUUAUGAUCUAUACCAUUUGCUGAACAAAAUUCCAAGAAUUUUACAUUCUCAAAUUAUGUACCAUGGCCAGAACUUAUGGAGACUAAGGAAGUACCUAGUUUUUUUUCAAUUUUCUUAAUGAAAAUUUUUAAGACAUCAAAGGCAUCUUCUUUAGAGGCUAGAAACAAUGUUCAGGUGAACCUAGAAUAAUCAUCAACAAUUACAAAAAUAUACCUCUUUUCACCUCUGCUUUAAAUUCUCAUUGGUCCACACAAGUCCACAUUAACCAGUUCAAGGCACUUAGAUGUGCUUACAUGUGGAAUCCCAAACCUGCCUUUUCAUUGUAAUUUCUUUCACUCAAUUUGUGAACAAUUCUUGAGGAGUUUGUCCACCUAUUUUCGCUUUCAAGAUCCAGUUUUAGUUUAGAAACUUCUUGACUAAACUUAUUCAUUUUUUUAGUUAAAUCAUGGCAUUCUUGUUUUUAUUUAACUAGCUCAAGUUCAGCAUUUUCUUGUUCUUUACUCAUGGUUUUUUUCCCAUUUUUAGUGAGAAUUAAUUUGAGAUCUUCAGACUUAAGAUCAUUGUUUGAAAUCUCAAGUUCUGCAACCUGUUUCUUGAGAGUGCAAGUUUCCUUAUCAACUAUACUUGAGCAAGCCUUUAGAUCAGUGAGAUCAAAUUUUAGGUUUACAAGACUGUUGAACAAUUCAUCACUAUCAGAGGUUAACUCUUGGAAAUCAUCAAUCAAUGCACUUAUCAAGGAAACAAGUUUUGGUUUUGAAAACAAUUGCAAGUUUUCUUUGAGUUCAAGUAUACUUACCUCAGAACCCUCAUCUUCCUCAUUUAAGUCUGAAUCUCCAAGAGCCAUGAAUGCAGUUUCAUCAACUUCAUCUUCAUCUGAAUCGAAUCCCCAGGAUUCUAUCAUUGCAUGCUCCUCCUUUUUUUUUUGCCUUCAGUUCCUUUUCAUCCCUUUCCUUCUUCCAUUCUAUUUCCCAGCUAGAUAGUCUCUGAUUUGAUGAUCAGUUUUGCCACAUUUUUAGAGCCCAUUUGGAUUGUCAUUGGAACAUUUCUUAGUACCUAUUCUCUUUUUCUUCUUAAAGAAUUUGCUGAAGUUCUUAUUUAUGAAGGCAACUUGCUCCUUGUCAAGUUGAAAUUCCUCAUCAUUAUCAGAAGCUUUAAAUGCCAAUAUUUUCUCAGGAUCUGCUUGUUCUUUGGUUCAAUCUAUUUCCAUUACAUAAGUCCUUAAGUUCCUUACUAGUUCAUCCAGGGUCAUGCCUUCAAGAUCCUUAUUUUUCUCCCUGAUUGCAGUCACCUUAACAUCCAUUUUGAUUUCGGUAAUACCCUCAGUACCUAUUCAACUUAUUCCUCCUCAAAGAUGACAUUUCCUAAGAAAGUCAACUCAUUUAUUAAAGUGGUAAGUCUUUUCAUCAUCUCAUGCAGGGUUUCAUUUUCCUUUAUUUUGAAUGUCACAUACUCAGUGAAAAGGAGAGAGAUCCUAAAUUUUCUUACUUGAGAGGUACCUUCAUGAGCAUUGACCAGGGCAUCCCAAAUUUGCUUAGCAGUAGUGCAGGUUGAUACCCUAUUGUAUUUAGCAGGUCCUAAUCCACAAACCAAGAUGUUCUUGGACUUUGCAUUCUUAUUCAAAGCCAACAAGUCAUCAGGAGUAAAUUCACUCCUUACUUUCUUAACUUGUUCACCAUCAACCAACUUUAUUGGAAUAGUGGGCCCAUUUGUAAUCCUGUCCCAUAAUCAUAGUAUUCACCUUGGAUGAACAUGUCAAUCCUUGCCUUCCACCAGAUAAAGUGAGAGCCAUCAAGAAGUGGAGGUCUAGUAGUUGACUGACCUACACUGUGACCAGUAGGAGGUGUGGAAUUCAUCAUGUUGAUAUUAUCUUAGGUGCUAGCCUUAUUUAAGACAACCUCACUCUGAUACCACUUGUUAAAGUAUGAGCCCUACUAAUUGUCUAUCUAUUGAACAAGUAAGUAAACGUGGUUCACAGAAGUAACAGCUGAACACAGUGUUUUUACGUGGAAAACACGCAGCUCAAGAAAGGUGUAAAAAAACAUGAUUUGUACCUCUACAGGAUUUAACCCCAACUUCACUAUAACACUUGAGCCUCAACAAUCAACAAACUUACAAGACUUCUUUUUUGAAUAGGAUUCUUCUUUUAUCUCUGCAAGACCUCUUAUUCAAUUCAAAUUCUGUAAGACUUCUUGUUCAACUCAACUCCUGCAAGACUUCUUGUUCAACUCAACUUCUGAUGUGAUAAAUGUUAUCCACUUCUGUUUGAAUGAAGAGUCAUCUUAUCAAUAACUUGUCUGCAGCUGAGCUUUGUUCACUUGGACAAACCAGCUUUCAGAACAUGUUUCAUUCACAUGUCUAUCAUCAAAACUCCUACUUUCUUAACAAAUUCUCUUUUGUAUGACCUUUAUACCCACAAUGUUCACAAAUGAUGCCAGAUCUCUUCCCUUGGAAGCUUUGUCCUUGUAAAUUUAUUCCCUGGAAAGUAUGAUCUUGUGGUUGAAAACUGUGUAGCUGACUAGAGUUGUUCUGGUUUCUGCCAGCCAACAUUGUUAGAGGUUAAUUUUUUUCCUCAACCAGACCUAGUUUUUGUUGGCUUUCUUCCUGAAUUGCCAUUGAAUAAGCUUGGUUUACACUAGGAACUGUUGGACUAAGCAAAAUGGAACUCCUUACUUGAGCAUAACUCUCAUUCAACCCUACUAAGAACUGCAACAAUAUCUGUUGUUUCACAUGUUCAAUAUAUGAGCUUAACUCUACACAUUCACAACUAGGAGAAGGCACCAUAACAUCUAUCUCAUCCCACAAAUCUCUCAUUUUGGAGCAAUAUGCUAUGACAGAACCAGUUCCUUGAGUCAUCACACUGAUCUCUUUCCAUAGGUGAAAAUUUCUGGUUAGACUGGACUUAUCAAACCUUUAUUUGGAAUCACUCCAGACCAUCUUUGAUCUUGAUGCAUACACGAUGCUUGUUAUUGAUUCUGGUGUUAGAGCUACACUAAUCCAAGACAACAGAACUGCAUCACAUCUCUCCUAUCUAAUCACUAAGUUCCCUUUAUACAAACUCGUUGCACCUGUACCAUCAACAAAUCCAAGUUUGUUUUUGACUAGCAGUGCCAAUCGCAUCGAUCUGCUCCAUAUUCCAUAAUUCUCUGGACCUGUGAGCUUUAUCAGAAUCAAGGCAACACUAGAAGUAUCAGAAGCCUGUAGAUGCAGAGGAUGAUUGUGAUCCAUCUGCAGAUCAAAUGCAAUUUCUUCUCUUUGAUCACUCGCCAUUGUUGAAGCUCAAAAAGUAUCAAUGAAAAUCCCAAUUGACUACUAGCACUUCGUCACUCGAUCGCCUGCUCUGAUACCAUGAUAACUUCUACACAAUCACUAAAUUGAAAAGAAGCUGAAGCUAAAACUCCAUUAAGAAACUCAUGAGUUUACAUGUUCCUAUACUGUGUCUUCUCUCUUAACUUGAAAACUGAACUAGUGCACCUCUUAUCUCUUCUAUAGCACCAACUUAACCCAUCUCAACUGCUACACGUGAUUAACACAUGACCACUCUAACAAACUCUAGCAAACUCUAACAACCUACUAGUUGCAAGCUAAUUGUACAGCUCAACAGUAGCAGCUCAAUACUUACCCUGCAUUUUUGUCGGUGAUUCUUUAGCCAUGACUCAUUUUGGCUAAGCUACGUGACAAGUUAAUGUAGUGAUAUAAUUAUUUAGGAAUUAAUUAGUAUAUAUGAUUGGAAAAAGGUUCAGAUUUACAUCAUAGUUUAAGAGUUUAGUUUAGCUAUGCCCCUUGCUCGCUCUGCCCCUCAAUCUCUUAAAAAACAAUUCCUUCUUUUUAGGUAAUUGUGGUGUUCAAGCCAGCUUGUGCACACCUCGACUAGUUCCCAUGGAUCUCAUACCUCGAGGAUAAUGGCUCACCAACAGUUAAUGUUGGUCUGUAAUAGCUCCAAUGUUCAUUCCCUGUACACAUUCAGAUAAACUUCAAAUCAAAAGUCUGAAGUCUUCAAUCCUUAGCUAACACCAGUCUGAAUCAGAAUCACUUCCACUUACUUCACAUUUAGCUAUUGCAAAAAGAAGAUAAAAGGUUAACUAUAAGUUUGAUAUAAGCAUGGCUGAAUCGAUUUUGGUUCAAGUAUGAACUUCGUCAUUGUUCAAGUUUCAAACGCAAUUGGUGUACUCACCUGGAUCAUUGUAAGCACGAACACCCACAGCUUUGCCUCGUAAGGAUUCUUGCUCUUCUUGAACUCGUCCAGCCCACAAGAGGAACGGUUUCUGUUUUAUCAUUUCCGAUCAACAAAAAGUUUUGGCGUUGUGCUUCUCUCCAGCAUAACUCGUGGACCAGAUCAUGAACCCUUCAUGUCUUGAUUUUUCUUCCAUCCGCACUUUUUUGGCUAGCUAAGACUAGACAUCUAUUGACAAGAUCCUGCAAAUGGUUUUCAGCCUCUUCUUCCAGGUCACCAUCCAGCUUCAAGAACCCAUCAGCGAUCCAUAAUCUCACCAAUAUCUACACUGAAAUUUCGCUGUCUUCAUGAAAUAUUCUGAGAUACAGAAGACAUGCUUGUAAGUCAUUAGGCAAGUAGUGGUAACUCGAUGCGACAGCGCGUAGACAUUGCUCAGCAGGAUCUUUUGUUACACGCGACUUCAUAUUCUCAGCAACAUUCUUCCAUUUUUCUUCUGUGCUUUUAGAUUUGGACAGAAGCCGAGCAACCACGACAAUUGUUAGUGGUAACCCUUGACAUUUGUUUGCAAUUUGCUCCCCGAUAGGAACUAAUUCACGCGAGAAUCUUUCAUUUACAAACGCCUUGCUCUUAAAGAAGAUUACUUGAGCUCGUAUAAAGAGCUACCUGUCGACUCCCAUUAUCAUCAAUUGGAAAACAUUCUCUCGUGUCAUCCCACGAUUUAUAGCUCCAUAUGUCAUCCAUGAAAAUAAGAUACCCAUUACACUUCAAAUGUCUCUGUAGAAGGUCCGCUAGCUCUGCCUCAUCUCUGCUGUAGACUUUGUCAUCGAUUUUGAUUAUAGAUUGAAGAAGACUUAGCAGGGUUUCUUUCACAAUGUAUUCUUUAGUUAUAGUAGCCCAAGCGUGAACGUCAAAAUGGGACUGAAUCAAAGGAUGGUUGAAAACUUGUUUUGCUAAAGUUGUCUUGCCAAUGCCUCCCAUCCUGACAAUUGGGAUGACUUUUAUUUCAUCGGAGGAACCUCCUCUCAUUUCUUGAAGAAUCCUUUUCUUUUCCUUGUCACGUCCCACCAUAUUGUUCGAAACUUCCAGAUUAGGUAAUUUUUCUGAACUCCUAUCUCGUGCCAAGGACCACGUCGAUGCUUGUCUACCUUUAUGAUCUUGAAUCUUUUUUGACUCUUCUUGGACAAGAUCAAUGUCCUUCACUACUUGUUGCAAGCUCUCACAAAGUUCCUCAUGUGCUUUUCUUCUCUGUGUUUCAUCUUCUGCUAUCAUAGCUUCUCAUAGUCCAAAUUCAAUUUUGUCUUCAGCAGCAUUCGCAAAACCUUUUAUCCACUCCUCCAAAUCUGCCAUUGCCCCAUAACUACUGAUUUGUUUCUCCGAGUUCUUGAGAAAUGUUUCUAUAGAGCUCACUUUAUUAAGAAUAGCUACAAUUUCUUCUCCGUGUUAACAAGCAACGGAUAGCAUUGGCGAAUCAGAAGUCAACAGCAGUUCCAUUGUUCUCAUAAGAGAUGCUAUACUCGCAUAGGCCAUAUCUAUUCUCCGGUUUCCAAAAUGCAAUUACAACUUGAAAUCUGCAAGUUGUAGGAGCUCGAUAAUGUUAAAAUAACACGGCUCACAGCGUUGCAGAAACAGUGAGGUAAAAAUUAAGAAAUCAGGCAACUUCAUUCUGCACUCUUCACUAUCGUAUCUGUUACAUACUUUAUGUCUGCUUCAUAUUCAUGUCAGUAUCAUAUACUUUAUUACACUUGAUUUGACACUUCAGAAAUAUGCAGAAUCCACUUUACCGGUCAAAGAAAACGUUGCACAGAUGGUGGAAGAGGAGCUGUAUGAUGUUCAUAGGUUUUGUAUUAGCUAGUUGCGAGCGACAAUACGACAAAGACUUGUUUGAAUUGUGGCUAGACAAGAGGCACAGAUGUAGACCAAGUCGCGGAGAACUCCUGGCGUUCUAUGAGUCGAUAGAUCGCAUACGCUGGACAGCCCUAGUGUCCAGUCUAGCUUGCACACACCUUGACUAGUUCCACUAACUACCUGCAACCUCCCACCAACACAGGUACUAGAUAACUCUGUCCCCAAAGGCUUUGGCAUAUAGGAAGAAGUCGCCUAGCGUUCUUUGCCUCUCACUGGGAUUUAAAACAAGACCUCAUGGUUCUCGACUCACUUCAUUGACCACUGAGCCACACCCUCGAGUGUGUGCCAAUGCUAAGUCAAUGGACUUAGCUUGAUGUGAUUGACCAAGAUGUGACAUUUGGAUCUGUUGACAUUAAUAGGUACUCCAUAUUUUUAAAGGAUACGAGCAACAUAGGUUAUAAAAGAAGUGAAUUUACGGAUUCAUGGGAAACCACUAGCGUUUGCCCAAAUCCUAAAGAAAAUCAACCAAGUAUCUAUAAAUAUUUGACUAGGAUCCCAACUAUGUUGCUUGGACUAAAAGGACAGCCUGGUGUACUAAAACUCCCGCUAUGCGCAAGGUCUGAGCAAGGGCUCCACCAUAAGGGUACAUUGUACGAAGCCUUACCUUGCAUUUUUGCCGAGGCUAUUUCCAAGGCUUGAACCCGUGACCUCCUAGUCACAUGGCAGCAACUUUACCAGUUGCUCGGAAUCUUUCAAAAAGACCAACUUACUACAACAAAUACUUUCAAGCAGAAAAAUAUACUAAAGGCACAUGAAUAUGAGUUUCAAACAACAAAUUAAUGAAGUAAAAAGGAAAAUUGCAUUACCUCUAAUGGAGAUUGAAAAGUGAAAUUGUGUCUGCUAUCAAGUUAUAACAAAUAUGUUUUAUAUAUGAAAAAAAAUAGAAAGGAAAAAAAGAGUUGACUUUAUAGAAAUGGGAUGACAAUUCCAAUAAGUUGACCUUGGGAUUUGUGUCUAUCAAAGAAAAUAUAAUAUUAUAGUACAUCGAUAUAAGCAUCCAAUAUCCCCUUGAACUAUGCCCAAAGUUGCUACGACACAUUCCAACUUCACAGAGGUCCUAUUAUCCUCGAACUCAAUUUUAGCGUAUUUUUGUUACUCUUUUGUGUUGAUGUAAUACCAUUAUUAUAUAAAAUAGGGCUCAUGGAAAAAGUGCCACGUCAGUUAAAAAGGUUGACAAAAAGUGUCACGUCAGCUAAAAAGAUUGACAAAAAUACGCUAAAAUUUAGUUCAUGGGGUAGUAGGACCUCCGUGAAGAUGCAGUGUGUCAUUGCUUAGUUUAGGAGGGUACAAGACGCUUUUCUCUAGCACAUCUGUUUUUAACUUUACCAAGUAAAGUGAGUGUGCAGUCAUUUUAACCAUUGUGAUAUCUAAUUGAGUGUCAUAUAUUAUUUUAGAGAUAAUCGUCCUGUACUCCCUCGAACUAUGAUCAAAGUUGCUACGACACACUCUAACUUUACAGGAGUACUAUUAGCCCUUGAACUCAAUUUUAGCGUAUUUUUAUCACCCUUUUGUGCUGACAUGACACCUUUAUUACAUAAAAAUGGGAUCCACAUCAAAGGUGCCACGUCAGCUAAAAAGGUGUCAUGUCAGCUAAAAAGGGUGACAAAAAUACAUUAAAACUGAAUUCAGGGGGAUCCCCGUGAAGUUGGAGUAUGUCGUAGCAACUUUGGCCAUAAUUCGAGGGAGCACUAGAUGUUUUACUCAUUAUUAUAGCACAUCUGCUUUUAACCCCACCGUUUUGUAUUACUUUUCAUGUAUAUAUAGUAAAUGUCGAACCUCCUUCGAUUAGUUUGUAUGUUUAUAACAUACUCAUAUUUUGAACCCCCUUAGGAAUAAUCCUGGCUCCGCCACUGCAUUUCUAAUAUUCUAAUAAAUAACUUUACCAACUAAAGUGAGUGUGCAAUCAUGUUAACCAUUGUGAUCUAUAAUUGAGGGUCAUAUAUUAUGUGUAAUAAUUAAGCUUUUCUACUAUCCCAUGGAUAUGUAUGUACAUGCAAAUUAGUAAUGCCCAAAUGAGUAAUGUUACUAACAAUUCUAUUAACUCAAAAAUAUGUUACAAUACAAAUCCAGAGACAAUAUUAAAAUUUAGAGAAAUCACAUCUCCUUGGAAGCCACAAUAACUGGUAAAGCUGUUGCUAUGUGACUCGGAGUUCAGUAGUUCAAGACGUGGAAAUAGCCUCUUGCAGAAAUGCAGGGUAAGACUACGUCUAAUAGGUCCUUAUGGUCUGGCCCUUCUAUGUCUUAUAGAUGAACCGAAAUGAAAUCGAGGGACUUCAAUCGUUUUGCUCUUGAUCUUCAUUACUAAUGUCCUUCGAAACCAAAAUUAAUCCUCCCUUGAAAGAAACAUAAAGGGUCAGUAGAAGUUCAACGAGUCACAUUAUUCAGAUGCAGAUAUAGGGCGUGUUCAACCGAACUCACAUCUUUCAACUCUAACUUCAUGUGAACAGACACAGACGUAGGAGUUUAUGCAAUCUGAUAAAUAAUAUUGAACUCGUCACCUGGUUAACGCGUCCUGCCACAUCUUUGCCCUAACCAAGUGAGACACGAUAUUUAAUGCUAACUCAAAAUCAACACCACCACCAUCAUCAUCGUCGUCGUCGUCGUCAUCAUAGUCUUCAUCAUCCUCAUCCUCAUCAUCUACAUCUUCUCCUGUAUGAAGUCACAGAAGUGAAGUAUAUUGGAAUAUUUUCCUUUUAUACUUACUAAGUACAACGUAAGCAGAUAAGGAAGUUCAUGUAAUGUUAUACUAAUCUGAAUACGGUUUUAAGAUAAGAACAUGCACUGGUUCUGCUCCAAGAUCUUCCUGGUCUUGUUGAAUAUGUGCAGUACAAGUCUCGAGCGCGGGCUUACAGCCUUCUAACUCAAUCAGGUGUAGUGUGUCGAUUUCUACAAAUUCAAUGGGUAUCUCUUCCAAAUUAUAGCAAUUGCUAAGCAUGAGGCGCUCAAGGACAGAAAAAUUGUCAUUUGGGGCUUUCCAGUACUUGAGAGAAUUAGUUUCAAUUAGCAAAACCUUCAAUCGAGUAAAUCCCCCAACAAUUGGAUGUCUUUCUUUGCCACAACAAGCAGAUGAACGAGAAUGUUGAGAGGUCCAGAUUCCCGAAAAUUUUCAUUGUCAUCGUUAUUUCCACCGAUUCCUAAUUUUUUAACAUUCUGAAUCCUAGAAAUAACCUCUUUCAUGCAUCAACAUGGAGACAAGUGAGAAAUAGUUCGUCAACAGAUACGCUUGGGCGAUUUGGCAUAUCAAAUUUUUCCAGUUUGAGAUGCCUUUAUUGCAUUAGUCCCCAAAUUUUCUCAGGAAAGAGAACUAUACUCUUGCCACAAAAAAUAAAAUUUGUGUCCUUUGAAUUUCGGUCAUAGGUUGCGGAAACUUAUGCCUUCUCGUCAAAUUCUUGUAUCAAAUAAAUAGAUCAUAGGAAUGAAUUAAACAACACGACCUACUCUAUUACUUCUCUCGAAUAUCAUUGAGUUGAUCCCACAGAAUAUAUUGUCAAACAUACACAAUAUAAAUUGCUCCAUGAAGGAGAAAAAGUAUACAACAACAAGAAUUAACAAGCUAGAAGACAUUACAACAUAAAUGUAAUGAAUCAAACUCCCUAUAUUGGAUAGAAACCGAUUGGAUACUCUUGUUGCUCGUCCUCUCCGUGUCUUCUGUUUUCCAAAAGCUGCUCGAAGAAUCCACUAUACUUAGACGAGAUCAAAACUUCUUAAAGAUGUGUCUUGCUAUGACAAAGCAAUAUAAAUUAAAAAUAUAAAAUCUCCCAUUUACAAUCAAAUCAUGUCAAUUAAAGUAUAGAAAUAUCAAGUGGAAUUGUUUAAGUGUACAUUUUUACAUUAGUUAUAUAUAUGUUAGAGUAAUUGUUACCAAGAAAUCAAUGUUAUGAAGCGAAACAAGAUACAUCAAAUUAUGCAAUAAACUAGAAAAUAAAAAUGCAAAAAGAACACCUUGAAGUGUGAGUUCAUAUUAAAUUUUCUUUUUCACAAUUUUGUAAAAUUUACUCCACUAUAUCAAAAAUAAAUGUCAAUAAUACUUGUCCAUUUUGAAACCAAUGGAUAACUUACCCAUUUUACCCUUAGCAUUAAAUACGAUUCAUUAUCCAAUGUAUCUUCCAAAGCAUUAGAUUUAUUAGAUUUAAAGGGUAAUAUGGUAAAACUAGCCCUAUCAUUUACUAUUUCUUAAUUUAUGUGUCAAUUUAAUAGUGGAUAACUAUUAAUAGACGGAAAAGUAACAAUUAGACCAAAUGUGCUCACAUUUAGCAAGCUUAAACUAAAGUACCAAAAUUGCUCAAAAAUAUAUUUAAGGGGACAUUUUGAACUGCCCUCAAAUAUAAGGGAUAUUCUUGUUAAUUUCUUCUAUAUUUUAACCAAAUUUUGUCGAAGGUUAUUUUUGUGAAAGAAUAUGGGGCAAAGUUAAAUAACUUUUGUGUACGACUUGACUUGUGGAAAUGAGAAACACAGUGUGACCCCUGAUAAAUACUAUAUACUUACAUAAAUCAGAGAUACUAACAUCCACGGGGUUGUUUCCAAGCUCUUCUUGUUCUUGUUGAAUUCUUGCAGCAGAUUCCCCAAGUUCGGGAAGACACCUUGAUAACUCAAUCAGUUGUAGUGUGUGGAUUUCUACAAACUCAAUGGGUAUGUCUUUUAAACUAUUUGAGAAAACAAUCUUCAAUUAACAAAAUCUUCAAUCGAGUAAAUCCCCUGACAUUUGGAUGCCAUUCUUCGCCACAACAAGGAGCAUUCAUCAGCUUCAGCACCUCAAGGUUAGGCAACUCAGCUAUGAUGUCCAAGUAUGACCAACUUAUAUAAGUGUCUCCCAACUUCAGAUUCUUGAGCAUUGCUGGAAAAGCUUUUGCACUUGCUGGAAAACGAAAUAUAAAACUCAAUGUUUCAAGUUGCUGCAGAUCGACAAGAUUGUUGAGAAGCCCAGAGUCCCGAAUACUCAUAGAGUCAGUCUCAUAUCCACGGAUUCCUAAUUCUUUGACAUUCUGAAUCCCCAAAAUAACCUCGUUCGUGCAACAAUCCAAAGACAAGUAAGAAAUAGUUUGUAUGUUUGAAAAACCCAUGUGACUCCCUUUGUCAGCAGAUACGCUUGGGGGAUUUGGCAGAUAAAAUUCGGGAAGUUUGAGAGUCCUUAAUUGCAUUAGUCCCCAAAUUUCCUCAGGAAAAGUUAUUUUAACUGAUUGCAUAGGCCCUCGAACAAUGAAUGUCUGCAGAUUCCAUAACCUACAAAUUUCUGGAGGUAUGUAUAAAUUCUCAAGGCAGAACAAUGAUAGGUACCUCAACCAGAUGAGGCUUAGUAUCUGUCUGUAGAGGGAAAUUAUCAAUCUCUUCGUGUCUCAACUCCAAAACUUUCUAGUGAAUCUAUUAUACCUAUUAAAUCCACACACCCCCUACAAAUGGUAUCAGAGCACAGCAAACUAAAAAGUACGAAAGAGAUAUAUAUUAGAGUUAGAGUUAGAAUAUACAUGUUAGAAUUAAAAUUAGAUUUAGAGUUAAAAAAUUUACCUACAAAAAUAUUAAAUUAAUUAUGCGAAGACCAUUUAAAAAUAGAGAAGCUUUUAGAAAAAUUAAAGAAUCCUUAAUUAGUAAUUAUCUAGAAUAUAUAAGUCUAAAUAAAACAAAAGAAAAUCCACAAAAACUAGCCUACUUAAUUACCUUAAUAUCUAGUAUUGAAUCAAAAUUAAUAACACAUUUAAAAUCUAGAAGAAUGAAACAUAUACCACUUAAUUAUGAUAAAAUUAGAUUUAGGUAUCCACCGAGAUAUUAUAAAUAUAAUUUAAAAUGAAUAAAAUACAACGAUAUAAAGAAUUAAAACAAAUUAUCUCUGAAAAACGUAAAGAAUUAAAAAUAAGAAUAGAAAGACUACAUUAUAAUAUAUUUGCCGGAGUUAGUAAAAAUUCAAUAGAUACACAAAAAGAUGAAAUAUCAAAAUUAGAAUCACAAAUAGAUAGUUUAGAAUAUGUAUAUCAACAUGACCUAUUCACAAUAAAAUGAAUAAAGAAGAAUUUAUAAUAGAUGAAAAAAUAUAUGAAAACUACGAAGGAUCAAAAAUAAAAAUAGUAUUUUCUAAUCUAGGACGAAGAUAUAAGAAAAUAGGUGAACAUUUAUAUCUAAUGUUAGAAAAAGAAGAAUUAAAAUUAGAAGAUAAAUUAACAGCAAUGGUAAGAAUAGAAAAAGAAAAUGAAGAGAUAGAUAGGAAAAAAGAAAUAGAAAAAAUAAAACAACAAACUACGGAAGAAAUACGAAAAAUAGAAGAAACCAAAAAUAGUAGAAUUGCUGAAUUAGAAAAAGAAUUACAAAUGUUAAAAGAACUGUAUGAACAAAGACAAAAAGAAAAAGAAGAAAAAGAUAGAGAACAGAAAUUACUAAAUGAGAUAAAUCAAUUUAAGGAAAAAUUAGAAAUAAAAAAUGAAGAAUUAGAAAUAAAUAAUAUAGAUAUUGAAGAGACAGAUAAUUAUGAGUCCGAAGAUAGUGAAACAUACACAGAAAUAUUAACAAAUACAAAAAAUUUAGAAAUCAAUGAAGAACAAAAAAUUAAUGAGGAAAACUUAGAAAAUACCCACACAGAAAUAAAUACUCUUGAUAAAAAAGAAAAUGAAAAUAUAAUACCUAAAACAACAGAAAUAAGAAAACCUAUAUACCAUAAGAAUAAGUUUAAAAAAUAUAAUGAAUAUGAUAAAUGGAAACCAAAACAAAUAGUGAAUAAAAAUUAUAACUUUUUAGAUCUAGACUGUGUAAUAGAUACAGAAAAAACAAUACAAUUAUGGAUAGGAUAUAUGACAAAACAAUUAUUAGAUAAUAAUAUAAAUAUAACAGAUGCACCGGAAUAUAUAGAAAAAACACUAAUAGGAUCAGUAAAACUAUGGUUUGCAAAUCUAACCGAAAAUAGCAAAAAAGUAUUAAGAACUAAUAAACCUAUAGAAGGAACAUCAUCGACAACAACUAAACUAACACCUAUAGAAUUAUUAAAAAAAUAUGAAACAGCUAUAAAAGAUGAAUUUGGUAGUACGACAACAAUCGAAGAAGAACAAAAUGAAGAAAAAGAUACAAAUAGAAAUUUAAUGUUAAAAUUAGCAAUAUGUAAUAUGUGUUAUAUAGAUGAAUAUACUUGCGCAUUUAAAGAAUAUUAUUACAAAGGAGCAUAUAGUAUAGAAGAAAGUAAAGAAAUAAGAAAAUUAUAUUUUAAUAAAUUACCCGAGCCAUUUAGUUCGAAAAUAAUAAAAAGUUGGGAAGAAGCAAAAAUAGUAGAUACGUUAGGAGCAAGAAUAAAAUAUUUACAACAAUGGUAUAGAAACUUAUGUGAAAAAUAUAGAGAAGAAUUAAAAAUGGAAAAAACAUUAAUAAGAAAUUUAGCUUGUUGCAAAAAUAAAAUAGCACCCCAAUUUGGAUGCGAAGAAAGAUAUUAUAAGAAAAGAAAAAGACAUAAGAAAUAUAAGAAAUAUAAAAAAUCAAAAUAUAAAUAUAAAAAACCAAGAAAAAGAUACUAUGUAAAAAAUUAUAAACAUAAAAGACCAUAUAGAAAAAAGAAAUCUAUAAAAGAAUGUACUUGUUAUAAUUGUGGAAAGUUAGGACAUUUAGCUAGAGAUUGUAAAUUACCUAAAAAUCCAAAAAAUAAACAAAUAUCAGAAAUAAAAAUAGAAAAUACCGAAUACAUGCAGAUAGAUUAUAUAGAUUAUGAAUUAGAAAGUGAAGAUAGUAUAUAUGAAAUUUCAGAAAACGAAACAGAUAAUGAAAUAGAUAGCGAAAUAGAUGAAUCAAAUGACUGAAGAAGAUAUAAAAAUAAUAACAAAGGAAGAAUAUUUAAAUGAUGAAGGAACGGAACAAAAAAUAAUAUUUGACAGUAAUAUAUUUGAUGAAAUAAAAGGAAAAGAAUUAGAUUUAAGUGUAGACAAAAUAUUUAAAAUACCAACAAUAAAAAAUAUUUUUACUAGGAAAAAAGAUGAAUAUUAUGUAGUAUGCCAAAAAGAACAUGUAAUAGAUUGCAGAUAUGCAAAAGGAAAAGCUAGUAUACCACUAGUAACAAAAAGAAUAAUUAAUAAAGAAAUAAAUGAUAUAAAAAGUAAAGGAGAUCCAAUAAAAUAUGUACACCUUGGAGGUACAGAGAUAUUAAUAAAAGCAUGUUUUAGAGAAGGAAUAGAUACACCAAUAGAAUUAUAUUUAGCAGACGAUAGAAUUAUAAAACCUAUAGAAAAAAGCAUAAUAACUGCCGUAAAAGGAAAUCUAAUAUACCAAAAAUUUAAAUUUAUAAUAAGUGCAAAUUAUUCAGUAGCAGUAACAGAUAGGAAUAUAGAUAAAUCAUUAGUAUUAUAUUGGAAAAUAUCAGGAAUAGAGUUAACCCCAGGAAGUAAAAUAUUUACAGCAAGAUGUAAAAACCUAUAUGUAUUAACAACAAAACAUAAAAUAACAGGAAAAAAUAAGAUUAACAAAAUACAAAUAGAAAGCCCAUUCGAACAAAUAGUAAAAACAAUAGAUUAUAAUGAUUAUACCUAUAGAGACAUAGAUACAGAAGAAAAUUUAGAAAUAGUAAAUGAUAGAAUAAGUACAACGAAAAGAAUAGCUAAUGAAAAGCCAGAAUCAUCAAGCUCAUCAAAAAGAACAAGUUAUGAAACAAACUCAAUAAGUAAUUUAAACCAAUAUUACAUAACGGGAAAAAUAAAUGAAAAAGAAUAUUUAAUACUUUUGAACACAGGACAAGAAGAAAAUUAUAUAGCAAAAUAUCUAGUAAAAAAUGAAGAAAUAAAAACCGACAAUAAUAUAUGCCCAGACUUACCAAGAAGUUUAAUAAAUAAUAAAAAUCUAGCAGAAAAAGAAAUAAUAUUAGGAGUUAGAAAAAUAAAAAUAGAAUUCGAAGUAAAAGAAGAAAUGCAAAAAGCAGAUAUAAUAUUAGGAAUAAAAUGGUUAGAACAAGUAAAACCAUAUAAUAUAGAACAUACACAAUUAACCUUAACAUAUAACCAAGAAAAGUUAUUCUUAAAAAGAGCCUUAACAUGAAAUGAAGAUACAUGUAUUAAUGAAGAUAGUAGUAGAAGGAUAUUACAGUAGAUAUUAUACGCCUAUGAUAGAUACAGGAGCAGAAGCUAAUUUAUGUAGAUAUAAUUGCUUACCAGAAAGCAAAUGGGAUAAACUAAAAACACCAAUAAUAGUUAAAGGAUUUAAUAAUGAAGGAAGCUUAAUUACUUAUAAAGCUAGGAAUGUAAAAAUACAAGUAUGGGAUAAGAUAUUAACAAUAGAAGAAAUUUAUAACUAUGAAUUAACAUCAAAAGAUAUACUUUUAGGAAUGCCAUUUUUAGAUAAAUUAUACCCACAUAUAAUAACUAAAACAGACUGGUGGUUUACAACACCAUGCAAACAAAAAGUAAGAGCAAAAAGAGUUAAUAAUAAAAUAAGAAAGAAAACUGAUUGGAUAAAAGGAAGUGAAAAAAUUACACAAAAGUUAGAAAAUAUAAACAAUACUGAAGAUACAGUAGAACUAGUAGUAUUUUCGAUAAAUAAAACAGAAAUAACUAUAUUUUCAAUAAAUAAAAUAGAAAUAAUUCAGAAAAAAUUAGAACAAUUAUAUAGUGAAGAUCCAUUAAAAGGAUGGGAAAAACACAAAACUACUAUAAAAAUUGAAUUAAUAGAUAAGAAUAGCAUAAUAACACAAAAACCAUUAACAUAUAAUUUUGAUGAUUUAAAAGAAUUUAAAAUGCACAUAGAUGAAUUAUUAGAAAAACAAUAUAUACAAAAAAGUAAUAGUAAACAUAAUAGUCCAGCAUUUAUAGUAAAUAAACAUAGUGAACAAAAAAGAGGAAAAAGUAGGAUGGUUAUUGACUAUAGAAAUUUAAAUGCAAAAACUAUAACAUAUAAUUAUCCGAUACCAAAUAAGAUAUUAAAAAUAAGACAAAUCCAAGGAUAUAAUUAUUUUAGCAAAUUUGAUUGUAAAUCAGGAUUUUACCACCUAAAGCUAGAAGAAGAAUCUAAAGAAUUAACCGCAUUUACGGUACCACAAGGAUUUUAUGAAUGGAACGUGUUACCAUUUGGAUAUAAAAAUGCACCAGGUAGAUAUCAACAUUUUAUGGAUAAUUAUUUUAAACAAUUAUCUAAUUGUAUAGUAUACAUAGAUGAUAUAUUAUUAUACACCAAAACCAAAGAAGAACAUUUAAAAUUAUUAGAACAAUUCACAGAUAUAAUAGAAAAAUCAGGAAUAAGUCUAAGCAAAAAGAAAGCUGAAAUUAUGAAAAACCAGAUAGAAUUUUUAGGAAUACAAAUAGAUAAAAGUGGAGUAAAAAUGCAACAACAUAUAGUACAAAAAAUAAUAAAUUCGAAAGAAGAAUUAGAUACAAAAAAGAAAUUACAAUCAUUUUUAGGAUUAGUAAACCAAGUAAGAGAAUAUAUUCCAAAAUUAGCAGAAACCUUAAAACCACUGCAGAAAAAAUUAAAAAAGGAUAUAGAAUAUAAUUAUGAUGAAAAAGAUAAAAAACAAGUUCAAAAAAUAAAAUUACUUUGUAGAGAAUUACCAAAAUUGCAAUUUCCAGAUGAAAAUAGAAAAUUUAUAUAUAUAGUAGAAGCAGAUGCAAGUGAAUAUAGUUACGGAGGAGUACUUAAAUAUCGAUAUGAAGCAGAAAAAAUAGAACACCAUUGUAGAUACUACUCAGGUACGUUCAACGAGACAGAAAUAAAAUGGGAAAUAAAUAGGAAAGAAUUAUGUUCAUUAUAUAAAUGUUUAUUAGCAUUUGAGCCAUAUAUUGUAUAUAACAAAUUUAUUGUACGAACAGAUAAUACACAGGUACGCUGGUGGUUAACAAAGAAAAUACAAAAUUCAGUUACAACAAAAGAGAUUCGAAGACUAGUUUUAAAUAUAUUAAAUUUCACAUUUACAAUUGAAGUGAUCAGUACUAACAAAAAUGUUAUUGCAGAUUACAUAUCAAGACAAAGCUACACAGACUGAAAUAGUAGAGGAAGAUACUCUAGAAAAAAUACUUAACACCCUAACUACGCUUUCAAUGAAAGUGGACAGUAUGGGUAAUGAGAUAGAAAAGCUAAAGACUAAUGAAGAUAAACUGAAGUCUAUAGCUACAAAUCAGCUAACUCAGCAAUGUGCAGAGCUAUGUCGAUCGAAAGACAUUAAAAAUCCAGAGCUAGAAGGAGACGUUGGGACACUCCAUAAAACCCAUAACAUUUAUCAAUCUACUUCUGCAGGUACAAGCAAAGGAGUUAAUAGACCAAGAUACCAGAAUGUAAAUAUGAACAAAAUAUUUGAAAAACCAUUUACCCCAAAAGCACAAAAAGACCAUUUAUUCAUACCCCCACAAGUUAACACAUACCGAGACAGCCUAAACCAAGACAAGAAAAUAUACAACUACACAGCCCAAAAAUACAUAGAAAAUAUAUAUAGAGUCCAAACCUUUCUAAACCAUAACCCCAGAGCUACAAAUAUCCAAGAACCAAAUACCAAUUAUAUAACCCAAAAACUACAAGGAUACAAUAAACUGAUAGCACUACCCAAAACUAACCCAAGCCUAGUUAAAACUUGUUUUGACUAUGGACUACUAAAUACCAUAUACACCCAAGACGGAGAAGAGCUAACAGCUAUGGAGGAAUUAUACAAGAUAUUCACUACCUACAAAAGAAUAACAAAAGGAAAUUUAUUUUAUAUAAAGUGUUAUACUGCACCAGCAGAGAUAUUAUAUGACGAAAUAAAACCAGUUAUACAAGUUGUAAAGAUAGGAUUAACAAGAGAUAUGAUUAUACCAGAAGAUAUUUCGCAACAACCGGAGAUACCUAGAAUCGAGAUACCAGAUUUUUAUGCAAAUAAAAGACUUAUUGGACUAGCUACGAUCAUUCAAGAACUAGCAAAUAACUAUGCUAACGGAAACCCAAUAUGGAGCUACUAUUCAAGAGAUCACCAAAUGAUAUAUUCAAAUUCAAAAGAGCUACGACAAGCAGAUAUGGAAGACGUAAGACAAUGGAUACUGACGCUACUUAACCCAGAAAAAAAAAUCUACCGCGCGAGCAAUGAAAAAGGGAUUUAUUUCAGACGGACUGCUAACAAGAUACUGUAAGAUAAUCGGACAUAAAUAUCCAGACCACCAAUGUUCAAGGUGCAAUGGAGAAGAUAAUAUUAUUCCAGAGGUACAUCUAGAAUAAAGAAGAUAAAAUGCCAGCUGGAAGGAUAAAGAUAAAAGAGCAAUAAUGGAGCCGACACAGGGCAAUAAUGGAGCAGAUACAGAGCAAUAAUAGAGCAGAUAAGGAGCAAUAAUAGAGCAGAGACGACAAAAAUCAACGGAGACAAGAUACUGUACAUUAAUUAAUUUGUUAGACUUUUUAUAUAUGUAGCCACUAUAGUUGACUAUUUUUUCUUAAGUUUUAGAAAUUGUAUGUAAGUUAGAUACCUUAGGCUUUACUUUACGUAACUUAGAAAUUUAGGAUAAAGUAGAUGGGGAUAGGCCCCACUGUUUUAAUUUUCAUUACUUUUUAGCAACAGCAGACAUGUAAAUUCAUUCUAUAAAUACAAAGGACGAGGGUAUUGCGAAGGGCAAGCCUUCUAAGCCUUCUUUUGAAACAAAUCUCUCUCUCCAUUCCACAAACAAAAAAUCUACUCAGUUAAUUAGAAAAAUAUACUCCAAUGGAAAAAGCUAUGGAACAACAGGAACAACAAAACUCAGAAACAUCAAAGCUACCGGAACAGGUAUAUCUAUUUAUAAUUAUGAAUAGCUAAUUUCAUAAUUCCCAACAAUCAUGAUAUGAUAAAAUAAAUUCAUAUUAGUUACUUUAUAGUAGAAUUAUUCGAAGAAUAAUAUGUUAAGAAGUUUAUUAACAAAGAGGAAACGGAGAAAUAUCCCUAAGGACUAUGCCAUCCUAAAGGUGAAACCAUUGAGGCAAGAAGCCGUGGCGGGGAGUAACCAGAGUAGAGGCGCUGUUUAAGGGAAAAAGUAUCCGGAUUACCAUGUUAAUAGUGACGGAAGAACAUAUUAUUUAAGAAUACUCUAGUAUAUAGUAAGCCAAUAUGACCAUAUUUUGUUGUGUACGUGAUUGAAGGGAAUAUUUUGAAAAAAGCAAAUUUAUGAAAAAUGAAUGAUAAUAUAUCUGAUGUGAUGGUAGAUAAAUUCAAGAUACUUAUUUUGUAUGCACUUAGAAAUAUAAAAGUAGCAGAUAUAAGAAAAAUCAUAUUAGAAAAAGCUUUUGGUGAAUAUUAUAUGACUAGAGUAAGUUAUAUACCAUAUCUACCUAACUACUCUUACAAAUAUUUACGAUGAUAAGUUACAUAAGAUUUUUAGAAAAAGAUAUAAAAAAUAUGCAGUUACUAGAAAAACAUAUAAAAAUAAAUAUAGAUAAAUACAUGGAAAACAAAGAUAUAAAAUUUCUUAAUAAAAAUAUGCAAAAACUGCUAAGACUAAAACAAACAGCUACAAAACAAUUUUAAAAAUAGAUCAUUUAGAUUAUCUUAAAGUUUUAAUCUUAUAUAUACUUAAAAACAUAGAAAUUAUAGAUAUUAAGAAAAUAAUAUUAGAAAAAGUAAUAGAUUACGAAACUGAAACUAUAAAUUACCUAGAACAGUUAUACGAAGAAAUUUACCCAGAAGGAUAUUAUUCAGAUUAAGAUAUGUUAGAAUAUAUUAGACAAACUAGAGAAAAUCAAGAAAAUCUAAAUAAUGAAAUUAAUUAUAGAAACCGAAUUAGACAAAUAAUGAAAGACCUAAAAGAAAAAUUAAUAUGGAUAGAAAAAACCUUAGAAAAUUUAGAUAAAAGUACAUGUGAUAGUUUAUAUAAUUUAAAAAACUCACUACGAGAAGAACAACACAAGAUAAUAAAUAACAUUGAAAAUCUAGAAUUAGAUAUACAUUAUAGUACAGAUAGGAUAAAUUAUUAUACAAGAAUUUGUAACUCUGCAAUUACUACAGGAUAAAAUAAUUAAUGAAUAUAUCUUACGAAAAAAGUAAAUUAUUAAAAGAUAAUAUCCACGCACUAAUAAAAAUAGAUUCACUAGAAACCUACUAAAUCUAUUAUACCUAUUAAAUCCGCGCACCCCCCUACAAAUUAAUUAUAUGUUAUAGUCACGCAUUUAAAAGGCUGCAUUUUUUGCAUAGUGAGAUAUCGACAUUCUGAAUAUGAGUAAACAAGCACAAUGUCGUUCAUGAUAAAAAUGUUCUCCCUUUGAAUUUCUCUCAAGCACAGGUCAUAUAUUAGAUCAUGAACCUUACAUGAUCUAAUUUUUGUUCCAUCUAAACUUUUCUUGCAGACGAGGACUAGACAUCUAUCGACAAGCUCUUGCAAACACUUCUCAGCCUCUCCUUCCAAAUCAUUUUCCAACUUCAGGAACCCCUCAGCCAUCCAUGAUCUCAUCAAUUUCUUCACUGGAAUAUCACUGUCUUCUGGAAAAAUCCCGAAAUGCAGAAGACAUGCUUUUAGAUCGCUAUUCAAGUGAUUGUAACUCAACCCAAGCACACGUGAACAUCGUUCAUCAGAUCAUUUGUGACAAAUGACUUGACAUCUUUGGCAACACUUCUCCAAUCUUCUAUUGCCCUUUUAGAUUUGAGAAGUCCAGCAACCACGACAAUAGUUAGUGGUAACCUGUGACAUUCGGCUGUGAUUUGCUUUCCAACAGUCUCGAACUCAUAUGGUAAUUCUGCACUUUUGAAAAGACUCCAACUCUCAUAUUGAUCCAAGAAGCUCAUCCGCAAAUAAAGAUUCUCUAUACCAGCAUAACAAGCUACUUCAUCGUUACGGGUAGUCAACAAUAUUCGAAUCCCUGCAUUGUCUUCAGUUGGAAAGCAUCGUCUCACGCCAUCCCACACUUCACAACUCCAGAUAUCAUCAAAGUCAAUAAAGUACUUCUUUCUCUUAAAACUUUUCUGCAGCAUGUCUGCUAGCUCUGCUUCACCUUUCGUCUUAACUGUGUCAUCCAUAGUCGAUUGCAGAAGGCUCAGCAAAAUCUCCUUUAUGUUGUGCUGCUGAGAUACCUUAGCCCAGGAACGAACAUCAAAACAGCGUAGAAUUGAUUCAUGAUUGUAAACUUCUUUCGCUAUGGUUUUUUUACCUAUGCCUCCCAUCCCGACAAUCGGGAUAACUUUGGGUUCACCAGAGUAGCUUCCUUUCAGAUCUUCUAACAAGCGUUCCUUUUGAUCAUCACGUCCAACCAUAUUAUUGUUAACAUUCACAAUAUCAUUUGUUGAACUUGAAAAAUCAUGAACCAAUGAUUCCUUUGAUACUUGUUUGCCUUUAUCUUGAAUCUUUGUUGACUCUUUCCAGACAUGAUCAAUGUCCUUUGCUAAUUGUUGAAGGCUUUUACGAAACUUUCGGCGUGUCCAUAUAUUCGAGAUUCCUUUGAAAAAUCCUGAGACAAUGAUUCCUAUGAUUCUUUUCUCUUCUCCCUGUACAGUUUCUGUUAGUCUCAGUUGAAUUGUGUAUUGAACACCACUUGCAACUUCUUUUACAUCUACUUCAAAAUCCUUCAUUUCUCCAAAAACAUUGUUUUUCUCAAAGUUCUUGACAAAUACUUCCAGGGAACUAACUUUUUCAUGAAGAGCACAAAGUUCUUCUCUGUUAUAACAUAUUAGAGAUUGCAUCGGCGAAUUGGAUGUCAAGACUGAUUCUAUUGUUCUCAUAAGAGAAGCCACACUUGCAUGAGCCAUAUCUACUGUAUUCUCAUUUCUUUCCUUUGUGCUUAUGACCUGAAAGCUGAAGGUUGCAAGAGGUCAACGGUAUUACAAAUAACGAGAUACGCAGAUUUUUUGAAAAGGCACGCAUAAGAUCAGGUAAUGUAUUUGCCUUAAUCAUAUCAAGCACAGGGGAACAAUAACUCCCAGUACGCAAAUGUGUAAAGAACAAAAGAUAGAGUGUAACAACCCGCAUUUCGGGCUAGAAUGUAAACUGUCAUUCCAACGCAUAAUAGUUCCAAAAGACAUUAAAUCCUAUGAAAAUUUAGUGUGUUAAUCAAUUAUGUAGUGUGGUAAUCUAGUUGGUGAUGAAUUCAGGUCAUAGAGUCCCUUAACUCAAAGGCGUUGAAAGUCUUCCUCUCGAUUGAGUUUUAGUGAGCAUUUAAACUUGGGUCAACUUCCAUCGACCAUAUAUUUUUUGUAUAUAUCAAAUUAGGGGUAUAACUACAUAUCAAAUGAAAGGUAUUUGAGUCCUCUUUCCAACUCCACUGGUUUCAUCUUAAUCCAAUAUCGAAGUAGAAAGUUAUGCACAUUUUACUUCGAAGUGUCUGUCUGCCAAAAUGUGACGACGAGGCUGACGACCUAUCAACUAGGUGACGACCCAUCAGCCCUAGUCGUCAGCCUAGGGAAGAAAGUGGUAAAAUCCAUCCCAAAAUUGAAGACCCGGGUGACGGCCUAUCACCUGAGUGACGGCCCGUCAACCUUGGUCGUCAACUGAUGAAAUUCUGUGACUUUUUUCGGGUUCCUAGGGGGUAUUGUGGUCUUUUCCUCACUUGGAAAACCUUUCCCAUGAAUUUAAUUACACUCUAAAUGUUAUUAAUCAAUCAUUAUCAGUUAAACAAUAUCAAAAUUCUUUAUUCACACUCAAAUACAAGAUCAAACUAGGUUUCCUCCAAGAACAAGAAAUCAAGAAAAAUCAAUCCUUAAGUCACGGAUUUUCAAGGAACAAAUCAAGAUUCGAGUUCCACUCUUUAAACUAAGUAAUCUAAGGUACGUGGGGUUUUCCUAAACUACAUGGUCUUAUUGAAAACCUUUUGAAUAAGGUUUAAAGUUGUGAAAUCAUGUAUUUACAAAGGGUUUUGAAUUUAUAUUAACAAUUAUGCAUUGUGAACCCUUUUGAUGAUAAUGUUUUGGUCUUGAGGUCUUACCCCUUAAACUAGAUUUUGUUUAUAUAUAUAUAUAUAUAUAUAUAUAUAUAUAUAUAUGUAUGCAUGUCAUUUGAUGUUUGGGGUUUGAAUUGAGAGCAAGAACCUUGUUUUUAUAUGUUAAGAAUUAUUCAAUAUCACACUGAUAAGCAUGUUGAAAAUGUCGUUACAGUUGUUUAAGACUUGAUAUUAAUUAUGAACGGAAGAGAGGGUGUCUCUUUUUUAUAUAAAGGAGAAGUGAUGAUUUUAAAGAGUUGCUCGUUUGUCACAAAAUACUUGACCACUACAUGUUUUAUGAAAUGUUGAAAAGAGAGAAUCUCUGCAUAGUUUGAAAUAUGUUUUGAAAACAAGAAUUCUCUUGAAUUGUUUGAUUGAUUUGGUGGUUUGAACAUUGUUUUUCUUGAAACGAGUUGUAAUUUGACAAUAUAUGGCUGAGAAUUAUGACUUUCAAGUCUUCAUAUAAUGAUACCAAAAUAGAUAAUGCCAUCACAGACUCAAAACGAAUAGAAGUUAGAUUUCAUUCAGAUUUUCAGAAUUUGAGUUCUUAAAUAUGCAUGUUCAGAAAAGGUUAAAAUGGGCUUAAGAGAUGUUAGGUGGUUACCAAAAGAAGGCACGAGUUCAGAUAACUCAUUUACCAAAAUCGUGUUUUGCCUAUACGGGUUAUUUGGUUCCCAAGAGGGAUUAUAUGUUGGCCUAGUGCCCUGUGACAUAUUAGACUCAGAAACUCCAACUCUUGUGCAAACUUGGGUUGGGGACUUACCCGCCGAGUCAAUGGCGGAUUCCAUAUAGCCCGUGGAAUAUCAUACUUGUAGGGUAUACCACCUAGCUCAGAACUAAGACAAAGAUGUUGAGUUGAUUUACAGAACUAUUUUUAAAGGCCUAUUUACUAUGCCCAUGUAUUUUCAAAUGGUUUUAUGAUGAUGUAUUUUUUUUAUGAAAUUCUCUCACUUACUUUAUGUAUCAGCAUUUUAUUUUUGGAUAGUCCUGCAUACCAUUACAUAUGUAUUGACCCCCUUUAUCUCAGGAUCUGAGGCACAGUCCCAGGGUCCCAUCCAGCAAUAGGCUUGUUUGUGUCAGCAGUUGCAGUUGGUAAGCCUUCUCUAUUCCGGAAGGCCUGAUUUUUAGAUUUUGUUGUUUUCUUCUGUUAUGAUCUACUGGGGGCCUAGUCCCAGUUUUAGAUAAGAUAUUGGCCCCUAUGUAUUAGAGAUUUCGCAGACUGUUGAUAGAUGUUUUUAGAAGUUAUGGAAUUUCAUUUUGAAUUGUUCCUUUGAAUUAUAUUAUUUGACCAUGAUUCCGUAUCGAUAUGUAUUUCUGCAUAGUCUUUUAUAGCAUGUGAACAUGUGUAUGAUGUCCAGAAAGUGAAGGCCGCUCCGGCCUUCAUCGCUCGGGAGGCUCAUCAUGGCCAGGGUCUCAGCUCGGGUCGUGACAUAGAGUACCUAACCAACAUAAAAUUUGAGUGGCUGAGAAAUGAUAUCUGCAGUGUUUAUCAUCCCAAAUAGUCCCUUAAAUUUAAAUAGUUGGUUCACUUAGGUCCCUACAAUGUAAUGUUGAACAUAAAUGGUCCUUUAUCUCUGGGGAUCUGGGGAGGUUAAAGCGUACACAAACCUUACAGCUAUCCUAGAGGUAGAAAGGAUGUUUCUGAUAAACCCUUGGCAAAAGAUAAAUAGUUCAAAGCAAUCGGAAAAAAGAUACCCCUUAUUUAAAAAAUAGAGAAAUUACAUCUCCUUGGAAGCAAGAGGAUAAUACUAAAACAUAUUAUUGUAACAGUAAAAUUUAAAGUUUAAAUAGUAAGAACUAUGAUGAAAUCUUGAACUUCAAUUCUUGUAGCUAUAUUCUGAAAUGAAAUUUCAGUAAUUGCUUUUAAAACUAAAAUAAGAGAAUCACUGGCUCAAAGUUGAGUUGAGAACUUUCCUACCAAUUGAGUUCUAGUGGACGUUCUUACUUGGGUCAACUUCCAACAAUUAUUAAUCCUAAUAUAUAAUGAGUUAGGAGUCUUACUACCUACCAAAGUAAAGGUUUUUGAGUCUUCUUUCCAAGCAAAAAGUUAUGGACAUUUUAGUGAGGCAUCUCAACUACACGUUGGGUAGCGCAGGGCGGAGCUCAAGUCAGUAGAUCACUGGUUUGCCUCCACGUUGGGAUGCGCAGCACGGAGCAUACCUCUCCACUGUAAAAGUUCAUUUUUCUCUUAUCAAAUUAGGGGUAAACUUGUCUUUUCACUCCAUGUAACUAUCCCAACCCGUUUUAUAACCCUAAAGUCGUCCUAAACUAGCAGAAAUCUUUAAAAUCCCUCAUACAAGGCAUUUAUUUCAAGUUAUUCGUAUUUUCUCAAUGAUGGAUUGAGACUAAGGUUGAAUGUUCAUGAAAUCAUGUUAUUGAAUCCUCUCUUUUACAAAUUGUUUUCUAAAUUUAUGUGUUCACUCAACUAAUAGUUAUUAGAUUAGAAAUAUGAGUAAUUAAGGAAAACUAACCUUUCAAUGGUAGAAAUUUGGGAAGAAGCAACUGAUCACUGCAAUAUUAUACACUAUGAGAAAAGAACAUAAAUAUGAGUAUAUGAAAACAAGAUAGAAAUAUUAACAAGUAAUCAAGAUUAAAAUCAAUAGAAAUAUGUCAUACCUGAUCUCUGAGUGACUAAAAUGGUAUUAAAUUUUAUAGAUAACAAAGUGUUGGCUUCUGAUAAAUUGGGAUGAUAACUUCAAUUAUUGUUGAAUGAGGGGAAAGUGAAUUUAUCUAUUUAAAUGGAACAACACUUCACUUAUAUUUUAAAAAGGAGUAAAGCAUCUAAGUGCCCUGAACUAUCAUCAAAUUUGCUACACGGCACUCUAAUUUUACGGGGCUCCUAUUACUUAACUAAAUUUUAACAUAUUUUUAUCAACCUUUUUACCUAACAUGACAUCUAAAACAUGGGCCCCAUUUUUAUGAAAUAAAUGUGCUAUGUCAGUGUAACGCCCCGCAUUUCGGGCUACAAUAAAGACCAUGAUUUCGAUGCGUUGAUAAUCCGAAAGCCAUAAAAUCCUAUGUCAAUAUGGCAUUUUAAUUUGUGUAGCAUGUGAAUCCAUUCAAGCUUAAAUUUAGACCAUAGAGGUCCUUCAACUCAUGGACGAGUUGAAACUAUUUUGAUAGACUAAGUUUUAGUGAACGUUGUAAAGUGUGUCAGCUUCCAUCAAUCAUAACUCUCUGUAUAUGUCAAAUUAGGAAGCCUACUAUGUUUCAAAUGAUAGGUAUUCGAGUUAGCUUUCCAACGAUACAAUUUUGGCUAAAAUCCAACACCCGAGCAAGAAGUUAUGGCCUUUCAAAGUGAUAUGCGUCGCCUAACCAAUCGCCCAUGGCCACUGGAAAGCAUAGGCAAUAACCUAGGCGGCACCUACGUAAACAUAGGCGAUAGCUUAGGCGGCUCCUAUGUGAACAUAGGCAAUGGGAUGGGCGGCGCCUAUGUAAAGAAUUCUAGUGACUUAAACACUCCGUUUUGGGGACAAAGUGGUCCUUUUCCACCCUUACUUAGCCCUAAAACACAAAAUUCAGUUCCAAGGACCCCAAAAUACCCCUUCAUUUAUCAAAAGUGCUCAAAGAUUCUCCUUAGGGUUUCAAAAUAAAAACCCAAAUAGUUCAAGAUUCGAUCGUAGGUUUUCAAAGAUAAUUACAUAUUUGGAAUCACCAAUCCGCAAGCUUCAAGAAACAUCUACUAUCCUUGGAAAUAGAGGUACGUGGGGUUACCCUAAAAUAUCAUGGGUGUAUUUUUUUUUGAGCAUGCAUGCUUUUAAUUGGAGGUUUUCAAUGAAAUGCUAAUAACUUGCUUUCACUAUGAUUUCUAAGUCAUCUUUCUUUAUGUCGUGCGAAUUGGUUGCUUAUGUACUUCAAUUGUUGAAACCAUGCAUAUGUGAUUUGAGAUUUUCCAUGGAAGUUUGAUGAAUAUGAAUGAUAAAUUGCUUUCAAAUUCCCAUGAUAAUGUCUUGAUACCCCACCAUAUCAUAUUGUGAUCAACAAAAGAGAGCAUGAAUUUGAAAUAAAUAUUGUUCACCACUUGUAAAUGAUGAAGCACCUUGGUUUUUACAUGGUUAUGCAUAUGUGAAAGUGAUAUUGAGGACUUGCAAUUCGGGUAUGACGAUACCCUACAGAACAUGAUAUGUGAUUGAAUCAGAUGAAAUUUGAAUGCAUUGAUUUUACAUGAGAAAGGUGGAUGCCCGAAGAAGGCGUUUGAGAGUAAGGGUUCAUCGCAGGAAAACGUGUUUGCCGACAUGGAAUUGUGGUACCAGGGUAAGUGAUCUUGUGUACUUUACUUCAUGUCAUUCCCAAAUUGGGACUAUAGGUAGGAUCCCGAGCUAAGUUAUCUUGGGCACUACCAGUGGGUUGAGACACCAUGCUUUGUGGUCUUGAGUGUCUCUCCCUCACUUAUACUCUAAUCUUGACGGCAACCGAGGUUAGAAAAUUGGUGUAAAUUAUGUAGGGUAUUCCACCUAGCUCAGUUGCAUUUCAUNNNNNNNNNNNNNNNNNNNNNNNNNNNNNNNNNNNNNNNNNNNNNNNNNNNNNNNNNNCUUUAUAAUGGCUCUCAACUAUAUUUUGUAAAAAUAUUAUGUUUUGUUUUGAUAUCUAUGUGUGCCAAUACUUUUGUACUGACCCCCUCCCCUCUCCAACCUCUCAGGUUCAGAGGCCCAGUCUAGGGGUCAAGAGAAUCAUAGAGUUGCAGAAAAAAGUGGUGAGCCUUCUAUGUUUCAGAAAUUCUUAUGUCCUGUAGUCCUUUUACCUUAUAUUCAGUUUUUAGGUCUACUGGGGGCCUUGUCCUAGUUUAUAUACGGUUACUUGACUCAGUCAUUUGUUAGAGAUUUUCGCAGACAGUUGUUUAGGGGUUAAUUGAUGUUGAGGGAACCUUAUCUCCCCGUUAUUGUUUCUUUUCAUAUUUAUGACCAUGUUUCCGAAUUAUUGUGUUUCUUCUGCAUUACUUUGAUCAUAUGAAUUAGGUGCAUGAUUACCAGACAGAUAGGGUGUUUCGGGCCUCCAUGGUUCGAAAUGCUCGUCACGGCCGGGCCCUGGUUCGGGUCGUGACAGUCAGCUCAAAAGAAUAACAAAAAUACGCUAAAAUUGAAUUCAGGGGUAAUAGGACCCCUAUGAAGUUGGACUGUAUUGUAGUAAUUUUGGUCAUAAUUAGAGAGGGUACUGAAUUCUUAUCUCUUUUAAAAAUAAAGUUAAAGAUGAUUAUAUUGUGUUUCAAUUAUCUAUAAUACUAUUUUUGUUGUCACACAAUUUUUCUGAAUGCUAUGUCCUGCUUUCUUUAUUACUUGUCAGGUUUUUGUCUAUUUUUAUAACGAAUUUCAUUUAUUGCAUUUAUGCGAGGGUCCUUCAAAAACGAUCUCUCUUCUUCUACGAGAUAGGGGCAAUAUCUGCUUACACUUACUCUUCUUCGGAUCUUAUUAGAUAUAGCUCAUUGAUGUAUUAAAGAAAGAACUUGGCCAAUUUGUUGUACCGAUCACAAAUUUUUUAUUUAUAUUAGCUGUCUGCAACUUGUACUUUGUGGACUAAUCAAUAAACAAAUACUGUAAUAAAUCACCAGCUUAGGAGCCAAAUAGUGGAGUAUUUUUUUUCUUAAAAAAAGAAAACUUUUUGACUAAUAUGAGUAAUGCUAUGACUCAAUUAUCAAGACUAUCUUUAACUUGCUAAACAAAAAUAUUUUAAUUUUUUAUUCAGUGGGACAUAUAACAACUUAAUAAGUACUCCCUCAGUUUCCAAAAAAUGAUUUACGUUCAUUUUUAGUAUGUUCAAAAAAGAAUGAUUAUUUUUUUUUGGCAACACUAUUUCAACUUUUCACAUGAUUUGUUUAAGAUCACAAGAUUAAAAGACAUUUUAGUACAUUUGAUAUAAUUUUAAUUUAAAAUCACAAGACUUAAAAUUCUUUUUAUUUUGUUAAAUUUCAUACUAAAUCCAAAUAAGUGAUUCUUUUUAAAAUGAAAGAGUAUUAUGCAAGUGAUUAAUAAUAAAAUAGGAAUGCAAAAUUUGCAGAAAGGUCGAGAAAGGCCUUUGUACUUUGCAAAAAGGUCGAACAUUGCCCCUGCUAGAAGUUUGGCUCACUAUGUGUUACGACCCGAACUGAGGCCUGGCCGUGAUGGAUAUCCCCAACCAUGAAGGCCCGGAACGCCCUUCUCUAUCUGAUAAUCAUGCACAACAUACAUAUAAUAAAAGAAAAUGUGGAAAUAUAAUCGAAUAGGGAAACAUGGUCAUAAUCUGAAUUUAAUUUAACAAUGAAGGAUGAAACCCCAAUAUCAACAAAACAACAUCUGAACUAGUAUGCGAAAUCUCUACUACAUCUGAAAAUAACAACAAUCUGAAAACUAGGACAAGGCCCCAGUAGACCAAAACCAUAAUAAGUAACAUAAUCUGAAAGACAUAGGCCUUCUAAAAUAAAGAAGGCUCACCAAUUGAACACAUCACUAUUGUCUGGAAACUCUAUGGCUUAGCAGAACCUCUAAACUGAACUUUACACCCUGGGAGGUAGGGGUCAAUACAAAUGUACUGGUACGCAGAGCAAAUCCAAAAUAAUAAUUUGUAUUCAACAUAUAUGAGAGAAAUUUAAAACAGUUCAUAAAUAUAUCAUAUAGUAAGAAACCUCAUGGGCAUUUUCGAAAGACUUUUGAAAAUCAUCUGAACUCUGUGACAUUCUUUUUUUACUUCUGUGCUACAUGGUAUACCCUACAAUUCUGUAAUUCCACAGGCUAUAUGGAAUCUGCCAUUGACUUGGUAGUCAAGACCCCAACCCAAGUGUGUCGCAAGGGUCGAGUCUCUGAAUCUACUACGCCACAUGGCCAUCGCCAGCGUACAAUAAUAAUCUUCCCGUAUCGACAAAUACGGUUUUAGGCUAAGAGUUACUUGAACUCAAGACUUCUUUGGGUAACCACCUAACACUCUUUAUGCCCAUUUUUAACUCUUUAAAACAUGCAUUCUCUAAAAUAUAUUCUGAAAACAUUCUCUGAAGACAUACUCUGAAAACAUACUCUAAAAAACAUACUCUAAAAACAUACUCUGUUAUGGCAUACAUACUUAUGGUAUCGUCAUACCAUUGAUUUGUCAGGCACAUCUCUGAGCCAUUAUUAACAUAUUAGAAUCUCUAUUUCCAAAACAUAAAUUUGGGACCAUAUCAAUAAAUCAGUUCGAAGCACCCUUUACUUAAAUACUCAUGUAAAAACAUGUAUGCAACUCUCUUUGACAACAUUUCAAAUGAUACAAGGUGGUCAUAUCAAAAUUCUUAAUCUAUUGCAAAUCUUUCUCUCUUUAACAAAACACAUUUAUAUGAAGAAACUCCAUCUCAAAAUCUCUAAAUCAUGCUCAAAAUACUAUGGUAUUGAGUAAACUAUUUUCAAACCAUGAAUCAUGCAUAUCAAAUCAUUCACAAUAAGAUCACAAAUUUAAAGUCAUCACAAGAGAGGGAUGUCACAUUUAUGCUCUCAAACAAUCUUCAAAUCUGAAUUUUUCAUACAUAUACAUAUACAUGUAAAUUAAUUUAAGGGAAAAGGCCUAAGGGCCAAAUCAAUGAUGCAUUUGAACAUUUAUAUUGCAUAAUAAAAUCAUGUAUUUCAAAACCCUUUUCUAAAUUCAUGCUUGAAAAUCUUUAAAUCAUGUUCUAGUGUUUUCAAGCACAUGUAGUUUUUAGGAUAAACCCCACGUACCUUAAAUUACAAGAUCUGAAAGAUGGAACCUAGAUCUUGAUAGAUGAAACCUGGAUCUUGAUUUGUUUCUUGGAGAUCUUGAACUUGAGGCUUGUUUUUCUUGGAUUUCUUGUUCUUGGAGAAAACCCUAAUUUGAUUUAUUUUAAGAAUGAAAAGGAAAUUUUGAUGUUAUAAAACUGAUAAUGAUUGAUUAAUAACACUUAAGGGAUAAUUUAAUUCAUGUGAAAGAUUUUUGGAGUGAGGGAAAGACCAAAAUACCCCUACGAAAUCACUUCCCAGCUGCUGAAAUUCUUAGCUGACGAUCAAGGCUGAUAAGCCGUCAGAUCUGUGAUAGCCCGUCAGCCCAGGUCAUCUCCUAGGACCUAAAAUUGAUGGGUUCGCCUAAGGCUGACGACAUAUUCUGACAAGUCAUCAGAUUUGUGACAAGCCGUCAGAAUUGUCGUCACUCAGUUGCCAGGUUGAUAUGCUGGAGUAAAAUGGACAUAACUUUUUGCUCCAAUAUCGAAUUUUUACAAAAUUGUUGGCAUUGGAAAGAUGACUCAAAGAAAUUUCAUUUGAUGUAUAGUAGGCCCCUCAGUUCAUCAUAUACAAGUAUUUAUGGUCGAUUGAAGUUGUUCCAAGUUUUGACGCUCACUAAAACUUGAACGAUAAGAAAACUUUCAACUAGUCCUUAAGGGACCUCUAUGAUCUGGACUCAUGCCCAUAUAGAUUCAUACACUACAUAAAUAAUUAACACACUAUAUUUGCAUUGGAUUUAUGGCUUUUGGAACAUCUACACAUAGAAAUGACGGUCUUCAUUCUAGCCCGAAAUACGGGGUGUUACAUUAUCUCCCCCUUGGGAUUAUUCGGCCCCGAGUGAUGGGUAGGAACUUGUUGAAGCUUAAAGGUAUGGAAUAACGCGAACAUGAUGUACCUUCUAAGAAAGGACAUAAAUGAUCUGAAACAUUUAAACUUCUAUCAUGAAACUGAAUUCUGAGCUGACUUCACUUCUCUUGCUUCAAGAAGCUGAUUCAUGCUGAAAGUUUAGGAUUCCCUUCAAAUGUUCAUGAUCCAAUCAUACAUAUUGAAUUUUUAAGUGAUAACUUAUGCAAUUACGAAUCAUAAGACAGCAAGACUUAGAUCGUACAAGGGUAUUACAUUGUCUGAGCUAAAAUAUUUGGAAAAUUUGAGAUUAUGCACUGAACUCUUAUGAACAGAGUCAUGACUAAAUAGAUGAAUCUGAAACAUAAUGCUUGGAUUGAACUGAAUUCUCAAUUUACAUGGAUGGAAUAGAUUAUCUCUUGGGAUGGUCAUAUGCAUGAGACUUCGGAUAGUAGGGCCAGGUGAAAAGGUGGAAAACCACAACAACUUGUCUGCCUGACUGUUAAACUGAAUUUCUGGCUAUUCAGAUUGAACUAUACUAGAAACUUAUAUGUAACUGGAGUAUCUCCUCCACACCCUCUCUAAAGAAGUUCUAGUACCAUUAGGGAGCAAAGAAUCUUGAGCAUGAGUUACACAAUGCAUCCAACUACGGAAUUACAACAAUGACAUCACUCUAUAGCAUGGAAUAUAAACAUAUAGGUCAUAAACUAGGAUAGAAUUACCAGGCCUUAGAAAAUACAACUUCUUACUUUCAAGCUUAGCACACUUCUUGAAUAUCCCUUAACUCUACUAUUCUCCUUAAAUACCAUAUACAUUCGAUUCAACUUAUUACUCUCAUGUGGGCAUUUAUAAAUCUUUCUACUAAUGUCUAUAGUAGCUUAAAUCCUCUCACGGUGAUCAAGCCUAACUCCAAUUCACAAACUACAACAAGCCACACUAUGAUACUAGUCUAAACCAUAUGAUUCAACCUUCUAUAUCCUUUUAAAGUUCACCCUACGCAUAUCGUGCCUUACCACUUAAUGACUAACUCUGAUCUCUUACUAUGGAUUCACUAGCACAUAUUACGUUCCUCUACCUAAAUCCCAACAGGUCAUUCAAUCCUAUCUUUAUAACCACAUAUGAACUUUAAGAUAAACACUCAUAAAGACAUACUUCACAUAUUCUCUAAACCACUAUCAAUAUAACUCCCACGUGCUACCCCAAGAACAUACACACACCAAUUUCCACUAAACAUCACAUGUAUUCAAGACUUGGCUCCAGAUCUUACUUUACACUUAUGGCCUUAUCUAAAACAAGCAUACAAUGAUCUUCUAUCAACAAGAAAACAUCCACUUAUCACCACAAUUAUUACAUAAGGAUGAGUCACUAACAGGUUAAAACAUAAGACUUUGAAGUAUGGAAGGAUACUAUACGAAACUCGACACUUAACUGAGGCCAGAGGAACAGCGAAUCAACAUCAGGGAUUCAUCAGAGUGAUUUAAAUUUAGGGCAUACCUGGCUAUAAGCUGAAUCUCGCCAAUCAUUUGGCGUGUAGCUUGAGUUAUGGGAACUGAGCACACUAUAAAGCAUUAGUACAUGAGUCAUAAGCUGCAUGACCUCAAUUUGGAGUUCAUAACAUAUGGAAUGUGAUUCUGACUAAUGAUUGAACUGGAACUCCUUAUUUUGGAACUGGAAGAGUACGUAAAUUUCUAUCAUAUGCAUGAACAUGAACCAUGAUCUGGAACUGAAACGUAAGGCAUGAGUAGGUAUUGGGAUAACUGAAAAAUACUGAGAUAAGAAUGGGUUGAGCCUCACCCUCAUUUUUUGAUGUUCUAUAUCAUACUGGCAUCACUACUAGAAUCUGAGAGCCUAACUUGGUUAUUCGUCCUCUCAUCUCCCCCUUAGCUUCAAGUCAUCAUCUUAAGUUUGAGCGAUAUCUUUCUAGACUUUAAACUGAACUACACUUACUGCACUUUAGGUUCUGAAAAAUGACCAUACACACACAUCAUAGAACUUAACCCGAAUGACUACACCUAAAAGUGGAAAACCCACUGUUAAUACUACCUUUUGAGGUACACUCUAUCUUUUUAUAGCCAUCAAUGGUCAUCAUAUAGUACUUGAACACUUACUAAUUUCGAAUCUUCAUGAAUAUCCCCCUAGUUGAAGUGCACAUCCUCUAGUGUUUCUACUUUUAUUUCUAUUAGUGCAACCCUCAACUCAAACUUAGAUUCCAACACUUAACAUGGACAUCACCAAGACUUUGAUCAACCAUGCUUCUUUCGCCAUAGCCUACCAAUAUCGCGACACCAAACUUAUAUCACUCUACCAUGAGGAUCAAGAUCAUAUCAAAAGGCUCCACACUAUCAGUCAAAACCCCUUAACUUGGCCAUUUAGAACACCAUGUACCAUCUAACUAGUCUUUCUCCACCUAGCAACUCAAUGGUACCACUAGCCACAUACAACAUGAAAUAGCCUUAGAGAAAAUACCGCAACCACAUAUCACCUUGGGCAUACGUUUUACCUCAUACAUACAAUAUCAAACUUCAUUAUUAAUCAAAUAAACUUAAUCUAUUGCAUACACUGUUCAAGCCUAUUAGAUCACUUCCAUAAAACUAGCAUCAUUAACCAAGAAAUCAUCGCAUCCACCUUCAUGGACACCAACUAAUCAAACUUAAUGUCUAGUGCUAAACAUGAUUUACACCCCAACCUAACAUGUAAUUCUCACAAACAUUCAUCAUUAAUCUUAAGCCACAAUUCUUACAUCCACAUUCUACAUUAAAUUCAAGCCUAUAGUCUAACGUCAACCAUUUACCACCAAUGAAGAAUGCAACAUAAUAUACUAGUCCAUCAAAUUGGGACAUUCUAUCUAAAUACCUCGAAAAAGCUACUAGUUUACAACUAUCAACGAAAAAAAGGUCGUAAUCUCAUAUCAUAACCCCAUACAAUCUUAUCUACUUAUACGGAUUUCUCACAUCACACUUACUUACCAAAGCAUACAUUUAGACUAUCUUCAAAUUCCACAACAACCAUGAGUCUAUAAUUAUAACCUACUGGCUCAUCUAGCCAUUUUCAUAAUUCAAGCAUACAACAAUUCACCUUAACUAAUAACUCCUCCUCUACCUUCUACUAAACUAACACACAAGGACGUAUCACUUCAUUACCAACUCAAUAUCAUGUGAAAAGAUUCGGCUAUACAUAUAUUCAACCAACACAAGAACAACAAGUUGCUAGUGAAUCGAAAAAGGCCUCACACGGUUUUACUAGACUUUGAUUUUUUUGUGUUUUGAACAAGAAAAUAAGAUGAAUGACAAAGAAACUAUGCUAGUGAAUCGAAAGAGCACCACAUGGCUUCACUAGACUUUGAGUUUCAAUAACACAAUGAGAACAAGAUUUCAAGAGAUCAAAACUUGACACACAAUAAUCAAGGAUCUAAGAAUACAUAUCUUACUCUAUAUGAAUAAAAAAAAUUUGAGUCAAACACUCCCCCCACAGACUACCAUACAAUCCACACAUGCUACUAGCUACCACAUUAGUCUAUUACUAUAAAGGGGUAGAUCAUCCUCAAAUAUUGGUUAUUCAACUAAAAUAUUUAUUUACACAAAAGUCACCCUCACUCUAACUUCUAAAUUUGUGACUUCACAUCACCAACUUCUUGGUCCAGCAUUACUACCAACAGGUCAUGACACCGACACUUAACUUAUACUACUACUCGGGCAGUUCGAACAUUAUGCUACACAUCAUCCCCCUGAAGCGUGACAUCUGUAACAUAAAUUCUGAAAAGGACUGAAUACACUUAAUACUGUAUGCUGAAAAGCACGAUCUCAUCAGAAUCAAAGUUCACGCUAGAAUCGAUACACUCUGAAUUACUAACGGACUCUUCUUAAGCCCUUGCACAAUUUUAAAAUCUUAUAUGGCUCAAUUAGAAAGGACCAGACCAUUUAGACUCUAAACUUCUGAACUUGAAUCGCCCCAAUAAUGAGACAUAUCUAAGAACAUUAAAGUAAGGAAAGAAUUAGGAUAACUUCACUUUCGUAUGGGAGACACCAUAGCAUGAAUUAUAGUAUGAAAGAGGAACAUUCUGACUCUAUAGCAUGAACUCAAACAUGAAGAAAGGGAGACAUUCCUAAAUUCCUAUAGCCUCCUUCUUAUAAGUGUGGCACGCUACGCACCCAUAAAUAAUAUCCUAGCCAACAUGAUUUUGCAGACACCCUGGGACCAUGAACCUGUCUCUGAUACCAAGUUUGUCACGACCCAAACUAGGGCCUGGCCAUGACAGAUAUCCCAAACCAUGAAGGCUCGGAACGCCCUUCUCUAUCUGGUAAUCAUGCACAACAUUCAUAUAAUAAAAGAAAAUGUAGAAAUAUAAUCGAAUAUGAAAACAUGGUCAUACUCUGAAUUUAAUUUAACAAUGAAGGAUGAAACCCCAAUAUCAAUAAAAUAAUAUAUGAACCAGUCUGCGAAAUCUCUACUAUAUCUGAAAAACAACUAUCUAAAAAUUGGGACAAGGCCCCAGUAGAUCAAAACCAUAAUAAGUAACAUAAUCUGAAAGACAUAGGCCUUCUGAAAUAAAGAAGGUUCACCAACUGCACACAUCACUACUGUAUGGAAACUCUAUGGCUUAGCAGGACCUUAGAAAUGAACUUUAGAUCCUGGGAGGUAGGGGGUCAAUACAAAUAUACUGGUAUGCUGAGCAAAUUUAAAAUAAUAAUUUUUAUUCAACAUAUAUGAGAGCAAUUUAAAAUAGUUCAUAAAUAUAUCAUAUAGUAAGAAAUCUCAUGGGCAUUUUCAAAAGACUCAGUAAAAUCAUCUGAACUCUGCGACACUCUUUGUUUUACUUCUGCGCUAAGUGGUAUACCUUACAAUUCUGUAAUUUCAUGGGCUAUAUGGAAUUUACUAUUAACAUAGCAGCCAAACCCCCAACCCAAAUGUGCCGCAAGGGUUGGAGUCUCUGAAUCUACUAUACCACACGGUCGUCGUCAGCGUACCACAAUAAUCUGCCUGUAUCGGCAAAUACAGUUUUAGGCUAAGAGUUACUUGAACUCAAGCAUUCUUUGGGUAACCACCUAACCCUCUUUAUGCCUCUUUGUAAUUCUUUAAAAUAUGCAUUCUCUCAAAACAUAUUCUGAAAACACUCUCUGAAGACAUACUCUGAAAACAUACUAUGAAAACAUACUCUGUUAUGGCAUACAUACUUAUGGUAUCGUCAUACCAUUGACUUGCAAGUCACAUCUAUUAGCCAUUAUUAGCAUAUUAGAAUCUAUGUUUCCAAAAUAUAAAUUUGAGGCCACCAUAUCAAUAAAUUAGUUCGAAGCACCCUUUCCUUAAAUACUCAUGUAAACAUAUGUAUGCAACUCUCUUUGACAACAUUUCAAAUGAUACAAGGUGGUCAUGUUAAAAUUCUUCAUCUUGUGCAAAUUUUUCUCUCUUUAACAAAAAACAUUUAUAUCAAGAAACUCCCUCUCAAAAUCUCUAAAUCAUGCUCAAAAUACUAUGGUAUUUCAGUAAACAAUUUUCAAGCUAUGAAUCAUGCAUAUCAAAUCAUUCCCAAUAAGAUCACAAAUUUAAAGUCAUCACAAGAGAGGGAUGUCAUAAUUUAUGCUCUCAAACAAUCUUCAAAUCUGAAUUUUUCAUACAUAUACACAUACAUGUAAGUCAAUUUAAGGGGAAAGGCCUAAGGGCCAAAUCAAUAAUGCAUUUGAACAUUUAUAUUGCAUAAUAAAAUCAUGUAUUUCAAAACCCCUUUCUAAAUUUAUGCUUGAAAAUCUUUAAAUCAUGUUCUAGUGUUUUCAAGCCCAUGUAGUUUUUAGGAUAAACCCCAAGUAUCUUAAAUUAUAAGAUCUGAAAGAUGGAACCUAGAUCUUGAUAGAUGAAACCUAGAUCUUGAUUUGUUUCUUGGAGAUCUUGAACUUAAGGCUUGAUUUUCUGGAAUUUCUUGUUCUUGGAGAAAACCCUAAUUUGAUCUAAUUUUGAGAGUGAAAGGGAAGUUUUUGAUGUUGUAAAACCAAUAAUGAUUGAUUAAUAACAUUUAAGGGAUGAUUUAAUUCGUGUGAAAGGUUUUAGUAGUGAGGGAAAGACCAAAAUACCCCUACGAAAUCACUUCCAAGUUGCUGAAAUUCUCAGCUGACGACCAAGGCUGAUAAGCCGUCAGAUCUGUGAUAACCCGUCAGCCCAGGUCAUCACCUAGGACCUGAAAUUGAUGGGUUUCUUCCUAAGGCUGAUGACAUAUUCUGACAAGUCGUCAGAUUUCUGAUAAGCCAUCAGAAUUAUCGUCGCUCAGUUGCCAGGCUGAUAUGCUGGAGUAAAAUGGACAAAACUUUUUGUUCCGAUUUUGAAUUUUUACAAAAUUAUUGGCGUUGGAAAGAAAACUCAAUGAAAUUUCAUUUGAUAUAUAGUAGGCCCCUCAGUUCGUCAUAUACGAUGAGUUAUGGUUGAUUGAAUUUGAUCAAAGUUUUGACUCUCACUAAAACUUGAACGAUAGGAAAGCUUUCAACUAGUCCUUAAGUUAAGGGACCUCUAUGAUUUGGACUCAUGCCAAACUAGAUUCACACACUACAUAAAAUAAUACCACACUAUAUUUGCAUUAUAUUUAUGGCUUUUGGAACAUCUACGCGUAGAAAUGAUGGUUUUCAUUCUAGCCCGAAAUGCGGGGUAUUACACUAUGUUAUUGUCGUUACAAUAUUGGCUUGAAAAUUGCUCAUAGUCAAUAUCGGCAGGGCCAUAGCUGAACUAAAUUUAUAUUUAUAUUAGCACAUAAACUUGCCUCAUGGCUAUGCCGCCAGAGAGACACAACGCAAACUAUACCCUCAAAAAAAUAGAAGCUGACGGGUUCAAGUCAUUAAAACAACCUUUAACAGCAAAUGUAGGUAAGACCGUAUAUAGUAGUCCAUUAUGGUUCAACCCUUUUUCCCAGAAUUUCCCUGUGCUUAUAAAGUUUCCUAACACUGAAUCUUGAUAAUAAAUGUUCACAUAACAAUUUUGUUUUCAUAAACAGCUGAAUUUUUUUAAAAAUCAAGUGCGAGCCUCGAAAACAUAACUAAUGAAUUAUGCAUAAAUGGGACCUUUAACUUAGCACCAGCUGGAAUCUAUAUUAUCCAAGACAUACUGUAAUAUGUUCAUAGACAAGAUCACUAGUAGGAUAAGGACUGUAACACUCAAUUCUGUAUUGUUUUUGUUGGAAAUUGCUUAAGUUACUGCACUAGUUUUUUAGCAAAAUAAGUUAGUUAAUUUGGGACGAAUUUGAAUUUUGAAUUUAAGUUAGGUUGUUUGAUUUGUUGAGACAUUUUAGUUAGUUUAAAUUUAGAAUAUUGCUGAUUUUUCUAUUGUAAGGUGGCUAUUUAAAGCCCCUUGAUGUUCAAUAAAAUUAUUGAAUACUAUUGAAUGCUAUUGAAAGUUAUUCAAUUCUUUGAGAGCCAUUUUAACCCUAUUUUUGUUGCCCCACCUUCUUUUAAAAAAACCAACAGUGGUAUCAAGAGCCUCAUUGAUCUUACGGGAUUUGUGCGUUCUUCCAAAGUGCUACCAUACCAUUUUUAACCCUCAAGGGCUAUCUUUUAAACCGGCAAGGCUACCUUUUUAACCCGUAAGGGCUCCAUUUUAAUCCAUCAGGGCUACCUUUUUCAACCCGUGCUUAUUUUCAAAGCAUAGGGCUAUUUUAAGCCAAAAAGUUGUCAAGCAGUAGUCUAUCUUUGAAUGCCCUAAAAAUUUUCACAGACAAAAAUGAUCAAAUUUGUUCUGCAAAGAAAUUAUAUUUUGAAACCUAUGCUUUAUGUGAUGUUUUGAUGAAUGAAAAAUCCUUACAACAUUUUGCAAAGUCUAUGAAAGUAUUUUCAAACAACAUAAGAUUGUUGAUGGUUUUUCAGCAAAGAAUGAAAAGAAAAAAGAGAAAGAUGAACAUCAAAAAGAUGUGCAAGUUCAAAAAAAAUUGAAAAAUUCAGCAUCCAUUGCCAGAGCAAAAAUUGAGGAGGAGUAGCUUUUAAAUCACAGUAACUAAAGCAAAGGAGGCGUGUUGGAAAUUGCUUAAGUUGCUGCACUAGUUUUUUAGCAACAUAAGUUAGUUAAUUUAGGAUGAAUUUGAAUUUUGAAUUUAAGUUAGGUUGUUUUAUCUGUUGAAACAUUUUAGUUAGUUUAAAUUUUGAAUGUUGCUGAUUUUUCUAUUGUAAGGUGGGUAUUUAAAGCCCCUUGAUGUUCAAUAAAAUAAUUGAAUACUAUUGAAUGCUAUUGAAAGUUAUUCAAUCCUUUGAGAGCCAUUUUAACCCCCUUUUCGCUGCCCCAUCUUCUUUUAAAAAAAACAACAGUUUUCUAUCUAUAAUUUUUGAGCUGUAGUAUUUGUUCAAACAAAAUGAAUCCCAUGCCACUAGAUUGAUCUUUCUCUUCUCCUCAUUACCUUAAGAGUGUAUUGAAGGAGGUAGCUAACAGGUGCAAAUGAUUCUAAUCGGGGAGGUAAUGAGGAGAAGAGAAAGAUCAAUCUAGUGGCAUGGGAUUCAUUUUGUUUGCCUAAAUGUAAUGGUGGUUUAAGUAUCAAGGAUAGCAGGCUUUGGAAUUUGUCUGUUGUUGGUGAACCGUUGUGGCAAAUUGUGGUGGAUAAAACUUCUUUGAGGGUGAAAUGGGUGCGUCGCAUUUAUAUAAAAAACGCACAAUAUGGCGUCAACUCACAUCUAUGACCUCCAACUUUGGAUGUGCACAAGUAGACACUUAAACCUUUAUAAAGUUAAACAAGUAGACACAUACUUCCUAUGUGGCAUCCUACUCAGCCAAUUCUUGUCCUAUAUGGCGUCCUACAUGUAUUAUGCCACAUAGGACGUGUGUGUGUGUCAUUCAACUUUAUAGAAGUUUAAGUGUCUACUUAUUUACACAAAAUUUGAGGUCAUAGUUGUGAUUUGAGGCCAAGUUAAAGGGCAUGUUUAUGUAUUAUGCCUAUAAAAAAUGACCCUACUUUCUGGGAACAUAGACGACCUCAAGAUUGCAGUUGGUACUGGAAGAAACUGAAUUCGUUGAAGGGUGAAAUGUCAUCUUUGUAUACACAAGGACAGUACAAUCUUACUAGUAUGGGGGAGAUAUUCUAUAACGAGUAGCUACAUGGCUCUGCUGGGAACUCAAAGGAGAUCGAUUGGGUUCUGCUAACUUGAUAUGGAACUCGGUAUCUCAACCAAAGCUUAGGUUUAUUGCAUGAUUAGAAGCUAAAGAGAGAUUACUCAACUAAAAGUAGACUAAUCAGACUCAAACAUUCAGGUACAUGAUGUGACGACAUGAUGUUUGCUCAGGACAGAAAACUCAAAUCAAAUCAAAUUCGUCCAGUUUGAGAUGCCUUAAUUGCAUUAGUACCCAAAUUUUCUCAAGACAGAAAACUAUACUCAUGCCACCAAAAACAAAAUGUGUGUCCUUGGAACUUCAAUCAUAUGUUGAGGGAACUUAUGCCUUUCUGUUAAAUUCUUCUUUCGAAUAAAUAGAUCGCAGAAAUCAAUUCAAGAAUAUGAGUUACUCCAUUACUUCUUCCGAAUAUCAUUGGGAUCCCCAAGAAUAUACCAUCAAACAUACACAAUAAAUAUUAAACCAAGAAACUAAAGUAUAAACUAAAUCAUCAUCCAUUUCCCAAAACAUAAAUUUCUCCAUGAAGGAGGAAAAGUACAUCACAGUAAGAAUUAAGAAGCUAGAAGUCAUUACAACAUAGAAAUUUAUCGAAUAAAACUACCACUAUUGAAUAGAAACCGAUUGAAUGCUCUUGUUGCUCCUCCUCUCCUUGUCUUCUUUCUUCCAAAGGCUGCUCCAAGAGUCCACGAUACUUAGUUGAGAUAAACCCUUCUUCUUAUGUUGUAAAAUUUCCCACUUUUUACUUUGUGUCUUAGUAUAACAAAGCAACAUAAAUUAGAAAUCUAAAAUCUUCCAAUUACAAUCAAAUCAUGUCAAUUAAAGUCUAGAAACAUCAAGAAUAUUUAGUGAUACGGGAAUUCCUAGGUCGAGACCUUUCACAUGAAACCAAGCACGUGAGUUGCAACGACUCCAAGCCUUGUUCACAUUCUUGGCCAUGUGUGAGGCCCUUGUGAGCCCAUCUAAGGGCCUAUAUUUAAUAAAAUGUGAAGAGGCCCACCAAGACACCCCAAAACCACCCACUUAAAUGCCAAGGGUAUUUUGGUCUUUGUCCCUCCUUUCUAAGUGACUAUAUAAGCCAUGUAAUAGGGCUAGUCUUGCUUUAGUUCAUUCCUAUUAUUCAAGAAACAAAAGACUUGUAAAUUUUUUACUUCUCUUUCUCAUUUAGAGAGGCCAAAACCGAAUUCUCACUAGUAGAGUGAUACUAGUGCUGUAUCUUGGAUAGAAACUAGGUUCUUCGGGUUCUUUGAGUUCCUCUUGGUCCAAGUAAGAACUUUGUAUUGAUAUUUAUUAGUCUUAGGGUCCUUUCUCUUGUUAGAGUUCUUAGAUUAGUGAAUAUUGUGUGUCAAGUUUCUAUCUCUUUCUUUGUAAAUCUUGUUAACAUUGUGUUAUUGAAUAUAAAAGUCUAGUGAAGCCGUGUGGGGCUCUUUUGAUUCACUAGCAAUAUUGUCUUUGUUGUUCUUGUUGUCAAACUCACUUUUCUAGUUCACACAAGUGUUGCAAGCCUAGUGAAGCCGUGUGUGGCCAUUUUCGAUUCACUAGAACUUUGUUGUUCAUCUUGUUGUUCUUGUGUUGGUUGGAAUCUCUUGAUACACACUUAGCAUUGUAUCAUUUAGCUCAUGAGUACAUCAUUAUAUAUAUUUUUAAAAUGACAUUAAAAGACGAUUUCUAACACUGAAUCUUGGAAGUAACAUAUAUUUUUUUUUCAUAAACAAUCUUUUUUUUUUAAACUCAAGAGGAAGCCUCCAAAACAACACAAUUGUUGGUGCACAUAUCCUUGCACCUAUAAUUUUAGUCUGUUCAGACAUUAUAAUAAAUCAUUUUGCACAAGACCGUAAUGCUUCAAAUGCAAAAAAAUGAGCUACCAAUCCAAAUAAGGAAAUGAGAAACGGAGUGUAACCUUGAUAAUUAUAUACUUACGUGGAUUGUAGAUACGAACAUCCACUGGGUUGUUUCCGAGGUCUUCUUGUUCUUUUUGAAUUCGUGCAGCAGAUUCGCCAAGUUCUGGAACAAAACUUGUUAACUCAAUCAAUUGUAGUGAGUGGAUAUAUGCAAACUCAAUGGGUAUCUCCUUCAAAUUAUGGAAUUCGCUGAUGAUACAAGUCAAAUGGCUGCCUUAGCUUUCAAUGACAUCAUUCAAAGUUACUACAUGAAGAAUCAAGCUUUGGUCGCAUGGAGGGAAUGGUAUCAUACUUGGAGGGGUCUUCUUGAGCAUGCCAUUAAACAAACCCGAGUGUGGAAGAUUGCUUGGAGCCUUGAUAACUUGAGGACCCUCGGGUUUGGGCCAUACUUGGUGGUUCACGGUUUUGGUCAUUUAGACUUGUCUAAAUGACACCCCAUGGCCACCCCACCUCAUUAAGGGCAUUGGAGUUAUUUUAUCUUUCUUUUGUAAGAUACUAUAUAUAGUUUUGAAUGAUGAAUGUAUGAAACACUUGAAAAUCCUCUCUCUUGAGCGUAGACCACCUUAGUAUAGUCUUAGUUAGGGCUUGGAAAAGUCAUCCUUAGUAUAGGGCUUGGAAAAGCCAAUAUUGACCUUUGCUUGGAAAUGGUGGAUCUUGAGGUGAGUUGAUUCCCUUGGCGGUCACUGUAAGAGUGUGGUUUUGAUUAUUACAUUCAUUAGGGGUUAGUGUUGAAAUACACUUGGUUCUUAAUCUUAUAAUAAUCUUGGUCUCACUAUCUAUCUUUAUUUUCUAUGCAUUUUCUCUUGUGUUUGUGUUGAAUCUGUGUCUUGUUUCAUCUUGUGUCAUUGUUAUCAUCUUCAUCUCCUUUCUUUAGUUAUAGUUUCAGUUUCUAGCUUUGUUUUCCACAUCAGCUAAGCAUGAGGCGCUCAAGGUCAGGAAAAUUGUCAUCUGUCGCUUUCCAGUACUUGACAUCAUUAUCUUCAAUUAACAAAAGCUUCAAUCGUGUAAAUCCCUGAACAUUUGGAUGCCAUUCUUUGCCUUCACAAGCAUUAUACAUCAGCUUCAGCACCUCAAGGUUAGGUAACUCAGCUAUGAUGUCCAAGUAUGACCAAUCUAAAUAAGUUCUUUCCAACUUCAACUUCUUGAGCGUGGCUGGAAAAGCUUUUGCACUGGUCACUGACAAAAGGAGACAAGUACAUCCUAUAAAACUCAAUAUUUCAAGUUGCUGCAGAUAGAUAAGAUUGUUGAGAAGCGCUAAGUCCCAAAGAUUGUCUCCACUGAAUCCUAAUUUUUUAACAGUCUGAAUCCCCGAAAUAACCUCCUUUGUGCAACAACUGGAAGACAAGUAAGGAAUAGUUUGUAUGUUUGGAAACCCCAUGUGACUGCCUUUGUCAACACAUACGGUUGGGCGAUUUGGCAGAUAAAUUAUGCCCGCUUUGAGAUGCCGUAAUUGCUUUAGUCCCCAAAUUUCCUCAGGAAAAGUUGUUUUAACUGAUCCACUAGGUCCUUGAACGAUGAAUGUCUGCAGAUUCCAUAACCUACAAAUUUCUGGAGGUAUGUCUAAAUUCUCACGGCAGCUCAAUGAUAGGUACCUCAACCAGAUGAGGCUUAGUAUCUGUACAGGGAAAACUCGAAAAAUCACGCUGUCUCUCAAAUCCAUGACUUUGAGUAAUUUGGAAGGAGUAAGCCAUGAUUGGCGAAUAAAAAUUGGAAAAUAACGACAAGAAAUACUAACAGGUUCUGAACAAACAUUUCCCCUUUGAACUUCUCUCAAGCACAGGUCAUAUAUUAGAUCCUGAACCUUACAUGAUCUAAUUUUUUAUUAUUAUUAUUAUUGACAAUAUUUUAUUAAAAUAUUUUACUAAUAACGUUAUUAACAAUAUUUUAAUAAUAUUAUUUGAACCUUUAAUUGCUUCUAUCAAUAUACCACUACUACUACGACUAAUUAUUAUUAUUAUUAUUAUUAUUAUUAUUAUUAUUAUUANNNNNNNNNNNNNNNNNNNNNNNNNNNNNNNNNNNNNNNNNNAAUAUUUUAAUAAAAUUUUCAUCUUAACAACGUUUUAUUAACGUUAAUUUAAUAUACUUCUAUUACUGCCCUUAAUAACGUUUUAUUAAUAACGUUUUAAUAACGUUAAUUUAAUAUAUUACUACCACUAUCCUUAAUAAUGUUUUAUUAAUAACGUUUUAGUAACGUUAAUUUAAUAAUAUUUUAAUAACGUUAAUUUAAUAACUUUAAUUUAAUAACGUUUUAUUAAAACUAUAAUUUUUUUAUUUAUUAUUAGUAUAGUUUCACCUUUGAGAUGAAAAUAAUGAGAAAAUAAUAGUGAAAAGUCACUUAAAUAUAUAAAAAGUAAUUAUUAAGGGCAUAAUAGUCAUUUUACCCUUUUUUUACGGUUGGAACGCUCAAAUUUUUAGCCUGACGUGCCUAGUUUUGCGUGCACAACACGCGUUUCACAUAGGAUCAGAGAUCAUAUUUGUAAAGUUUAGAAUAGUUAAAGGUCAUAUUUGUGCACUAUCAAAGUUUAAUAUCAAAGUUAUAAUUUGGUCGGGUCAUAUUUAUGUACUAUGCCUUUCUAAAUUAGUUCCGAUCUUGUAAGUAGGUGAUGAUAUAAUAUACAGGUUUCCAUAUAUAUACUUAUGUGACUAACGAUGCCGGUAACAUGUUAUAAGUGAGUUCUUCAAGCAUUCUUUUCUUUUCCUUGUCACGCCCAACCAUAUUGUUCGAAACUUCCAGAUUAGAUAAUUUUUCCAAGCUCCUAUCUCGUGCCAAGGACCAUGUCGAUGCUUGUCUACCUUUAUUAUCUUGAAUCUUUUUCGACUCUUCUUGGGCACGGUCAAUGUCCUUCGCUACUUGUUGCAAUAUCUUUUAUCUGCUCAUCCAAAUCUGUCAUUGCCCCAUAACUACUGAUUUGUUUCUCGGAGUUCUUGAGAAAUGCUUCUAUAUAAGUCACUUUCUUAUGAAGAGCUACAAUGUCUUCUCUGUGAUAAAAAGCAACUGAUAUUAUUGGCGAAUCAGACGUCAACAGCAGUUCCAUUGUUCUUAUAAGAGAUGCUAUACUCGCGUAGGCCAUCGAUUCUCCUGCUUCCAAAAUGCGAUAACGACUUGAAAGCUGCAAGUUAUACGAGCCCGAUAGUGUUAAAAUAACAUGAUUCACAAAGUUGCAAAAACAGUGAGGUAAGAAAUUAAGAAAUCAGGCAACUUCAGUCUGCACUCUUCACUAUCGUAUCUGUUACAGACUUUAUGUCUACUUCAUAUUCAUGUCUGCAUCACCUAAUUCACUACACUUGAUUCGACACUUCAGAAAUAUGAAGAACCAACUUCAUCGGUCCAAGAAAACGUUGCACAGAUAGUGGAAGAGGAGCUGUAUGAUGUUCAUAGGUCUCUAUUAGCCAGUUGCGAGGGCCAAUACGACAAGGACUUGGUUGAAUGAUAGAUGGCCAAAAAAAAGAGGCUGAUACCAAACUCCUCAAGAACACAACAACACAAACACCAAAAUCAGUCCACUAGUUCAAGAACUAUGGACCCUUUUGAUGACCUCUCUCGGAUUCACAAGAAGAACAAGAAGGGAAGUGAUAUCAAGAGUAAAACACACUAAAACAGCAACAACACUUGAUGAACAAGAUGCAAUAACAACAACACACGGUUACAAGACAAGAACACAAAUGGAUUACAAAGAUAUAGACAAACGAUUACAAGAAAGUAAAGAUAGAUAGAUAGACAAAGGGAUGGUAUAAUAUAAACAACCCAAAAGCUUAUUCCACUUUUGGACCUUUAAUAUCACACACAACCUAAACCUAUCUCUUACGUGACCUCAAGGGAACCGGAAUUCCCAAGAAAUCUCCGUUUCUAAGCAAAUGAUCAACACAAGGAUUCCACCUUGUCCAAGGAUUCCACCUUGCUAAAGACUCUCAAAGAGGCUACAAAAUAUAUUCUCCAAAAAUCUCCCAAAAAUGACCUAAUGAGGUUCUAUUUAUACCUAGGUUAACUUAUUACAAAUGACUAAAAAACCCUUGCAAAGGUUGGAUGAAUAGUGAACGCGGAAGCAUUGUGAAACAGUUUUGGAGCUUGUGGGACUUGUUCUCUACACUUCAAAGCUUGUUCCUUGGAUGGGAAGCCCCUCGAGCUCGAGUCUUGACGCAUUGGACCCCGAUCAUGAUCAUACCCGUAUCAUCCUCCCCUCCUUAGAAAGGAUUGGUCCUCGAAUCUGAACCUUUCAAAGCAAUGGAAGGACAAGCAAACAAAAGUUCCGCAAGGUAUGAGGGUUAGGAUUAGUGUAAUCAAUCAUAGCAUCUUGCCAAGGUGGCUCAAACUUCACAUAUACCCAAACAUCCCUCUUACCCGAAUACCCUACCAAGGGAGAAUCAACUAAUUUAUCCACAUAAGUCUAACAAGAAACAAGAAACAAGAAACAAGAAACAAGCGUAGCUUAUCAAGUGAAAAACAUAGACACUUUUUGGAACAACAAUUAGACUUGAAAGCAGAGAGAGGAAAGCCAUACACUCCAUACACAUUCAAGUCAUUCCAAAAGACAUCCUUAUCACCACACUUCAAAUGAUCACCGGAAUCAAAUAGGUAGAGUGUCCAUGGGCACGGGUUGGGAAUACAUUUCCUUACCCCAAUACUACUAUAAUAAUGAUCAAAUGUCCCCUCUAUACUAUCAUGGUCAAUAACAAAAACAACUAGAGGGUCAUCCUUAGUCAUUCGGCCAACAUGUUCAACAUCAUAAUUUUUGCACAAAAGUUGGUCUUCAUGACAUCCAUAAGGCAAUGUACUACAACUUUCCACCAUGGCUUCAACACUAGGUGAAUCAACUAGUGUAUCCACAAUCUCAAGUUGUACAUUAUCAUCAGAAAAUGAAGGCACAUUCGGCUCACUUAAAGACAAAUUAUCAUUCACACUUAGUUAACUAUUAUCCUCAUUCACUAGAGUGCAAAAGUUAGUUUGAUUACCUUGUAGCUCAUGUGGAGCAUGGCCACUCAUGGGAAUUGAUUAGGAAGGCUUGGAUGCUCCAUCAAGUUAUCCAACUUCUUGCACAGAGAGCCUUCCGUCUCUUCUAAUCUUUCUUCCAUUCUGUCCAUUAUUUACCUAUCUAUGGCAUCAAACCUUGCCAUGAUGGAUUUAACCCAACUAGGCAUUUCAUCUUCAUUCGCCACUGUACCCAUCAAGAGCUACUAAGCAAACAACACGAAAACAAUAAACACAUUAAAGAUUAGCAAAAAUCAGUCCACGAUUCGUCACAAAACAGUCCACAAUGUGUCUCAAAAUAGUCUACAAUCCCUAUGCAACACCCCGUAAAAGUCGUGCAUGGAUUAGCCUUUAAUAGAGUGUCCUUAGACUUGAAAAUUUUUCUAAGUGUAAUGAGGACUUAGAGUCAUUUUAGCUGGCAAUCUUCGGGAUACAACUUUUCAACCUUUCCGACAUCCGUUUUUAGAUUUUCAAGUUGCGUUAUGAUCGAGAAAGCUCAUAGUACAUCUCGGAUAAGUUUUGGAAUUUUUUGGAACGCAUAAGGCUGCCUUUGGAUUUCAAAACAGUAGCAAAACGCAUAGCCUAUUGCCCAGUUUUCAGCAUUUCAGGGUCAACUUCAAAUGAUCAUUAACUCCCUGUAUAUAAUGAACUGUGUGAGCUAUAAUAUAUCAAACGAAAGAUAUUUGAGUACUCUUUCAAAUUCAGUUGGUUUCAUCCAAUUUGAGUAUAUGAGUAUAAAGUUAUAAUCUAUUUACUCCAGCCUAUCAAACUGUCAACUGAGGGACAGAUUUGGCCUUAAUUGUUCCUUAGGGGUAUUUUGGUCAUCCUCCACCCCUAUAUAUACCACCAACACGGGAUUUAAUCCCUCAAACAACAUAAUACACAUGAUUUCCCCAAAAUUGCUCAAGAACUCUCCUUAGGAUUUCAAAAUAAAAACCCAAAUAGUUCAAGAUUUGGCCGUAGGUUUUCAGAGAUAAUUACAUAUUUGGAUUCAUCAAUCCGCAAGCUUCAAGAAACACCUAUUAUCCUUGGAAAUAGAGGUACGUGGGGUUAUCCAAAAAUCUCAUGGGUGUAUUCUUUAUGAACAUGCAUGCUUUUAAAUGGGGGUUUUCAAUCAAAUGCUAAUAUCUUNNNNNNNNNNNNNNNNNNNNNNNNNNNNNNNNNNNNNNNNNNNNNNNNNNNNNNNNNNNNNNNNNNNNNNNNNNNNNNNNNNNNNNNNNNNNNNNNNNNNNNNNNNNNNNNNNNNNNNNNNNNNNNNNNNNNNNNNNNNNNNNNNNNNNNNNNNNNNNNNNNNNNNNNNNNNNNNNNNNNNNNNNNNNNNNNNNNNNNNNNNNNNNNAUUGAAUAAGAUGAAAUUUGAAUGCAUUGAUUUUACAUGAGAAAGGGGGAUGCCCGAAUAAGGCGUUUGAGACACAAGUGGCUCAUCGCUGGAAGAACAUGUUUGCCAACACGGAAUAUCGGUACCAUACUUUGUGGUCUUGCGUACCUGAUAUUAUAUUAUCUCAAAUUAGGAUUAUGGUUAGGAGCCAUGCUUUGUGGUCUUGUAUACUACCAUAUUUGAUUUGGGUCGAGACACCAUGCUUUGUGGUCUUGUGUGUCUCUCCCUCACUUAUACUCUAAUCUUGGCGGCAACCGGGGUUUGACAGUUGGUGUAAAUUAUGUAGGGUAUUCCACCUAGCUCAGUUGCAUUUCAUUAUUGUUGAGAAAAAUUAUUGCAUUACACCCAUGUGCUUUCAAAUGAUUUGAUACGAAAUUGAUUUAUAAUGGCUCUCAACUAUAUAUUGUAAAAAUAUUAUGUUUUGUUUUGAUAUCUCUGCGUGCCAGUACUUUUGUGCUGACUCUCUCCCCUCUCCAACCUCUCAGGUUCAGAGGCCCAGUCUAGGGGUCAAGAGAAUCAGUAGAUCAUUCAGACAGAGUUGCAGAGACAAGUGGUGAGCCUUCUGUGUUUCAGAAGGUCUUAUGUCCUACAGUCCUUUUAUCUUAUAUUAGUUUUGGGUCUGCUGGGGGCCUUGGCCCAGUUUUCAGAUAGACAUUGUUUCACUCAUGUAGUAGAGAUUUCGCAGACGGUUUUAGAGAUUUUGAUUUAGAUUGUGGGGCACUAUUCCCCAUUUUCAUUUUCAUAUGAUUCCUGGCCAUGUUUCUGUUAUAUUUUGUUUUUCCGCAUUUCUUUGAUCAUAUGAAUUAGGUGCAUGAUUACUAGAUAGAUAGGGGUGUUUCAGGCCUCAAUGGUUCGAAAUCCUUGUCACGGCCAGGCCCUGGUUUGGGUCAUGACACCCUCUCUUUCACACUUUGGAUUUUUCACUCUAUUGGUCUUACAAGUGUUGAUAACUCGCUUAUACUCCAAUGAGGUUACUUGAUCCCAAUUGUGGCUCGAGUUUCGAGUAGAUUCUUGUUUGAAACGACUCAAAUAAGUAAUGUACGAACUUGAACCAAAAAAGAUACUAUGACUCUAAAAAGAGAAAAGCACACAACAAACAACGUUAACACGAAGAACGUACACAAAACUAACUUACAAUCUAGUAUGGUAUUACUAGGUUGUCAAUUAGUGUCGAGCAAACAAACAAAACUAGGAAACAAUAAAAUGAAACUAAGAAAUAUAAAAUUUAAACUCAAAAAUAUUGCGUGAAUAGUACUUUAGUGAUGUGGCAGUCCACUAUUGGCCUCGAGUCUUAUCAAAAUUUUAUUUUCCAAUUUCAAGUCUUAAUCAAUAUAAAAUUUGGAAUUGGUGGAUUUGGUUAAUGGAGAGAAAAGUGGUCUUGGAACCUUUUUGUACAAAUUUCAAAAGCAAAACUUGACUUUUUUGAACUUUCUCCUUGAAACAAGGUCCUUAAAUCAAGGAAACGUAGAUGAAAAGUCUUUGAAGUGAUAGGGACAAGUCAUUCACUAUCAACUACUACAAGAUUGUCUUUCACCUUUUUAGAUCUAGUUUGUACUUUAAGGAUUAACAAGAUGAUGAAAGGGUGAAGAACCUUAAGAAAACAACAACAACUCCAAGAACAACAACAAUUUCAGUUUGCAACUCCACUACAACAAAACCAUCAAAUCAGACAACGUUUAGCUAACAACAACAUCCAACUCGGCCACUCCUUGUUCACAUCAACAACUUUAACAAGUUCAAGUUCAAUCAUAGAUUUGGACACUUUUUAGUGUUGAUGAGAAGGAGACCAACACUAGAAACACUCUAAAAAAAUAAAAGACUACAAGUUCUAGACACACAACAAACAAAUCUUGGCCAAGAUAACAACAACAUAAUUUUUGGCCAAGAACACAAAAUGGACAGAUUUGCACUUUGAAAUUUCUUUUCAGUUUUUAGCUUCUUUUUUUUUUUGAAUUUUGUCCAAGAGAACCCAAGAUUGGUAGUGUAGGAACAGAACCAGCCUUGCUUUGAUACCAAAUGAUAUCAAACUCCACAAGAAUAUGACAACACAAACACCAAAAUCAGUCCACUAGUUCAAGAACUAUGGACCCUUUUGAUGACCUCUCUCGGAUUCGCAAGAAGAACAAGAAGGGAAGUGAUAUCAAGAGUAAAACACACUAAAACAGCAACAACACUUGAUGAACAAGAUGCAAUAACAAAAACACACGGUUACAAGACAAGAACACAAACGGAUUACAUAGAUAUAGACAAACGAUUACAAGAAAGUAAAGAUAGAUAGAUAGACAAAGGAAUGGUAUAAUAUUAACAACCCAAAAUCUUAUUCCACUUUUGGACCUUUAAUAUCACACACAACCUAAACCAAUCUCUUACGUGACCUCAAGAGAACCAGAAUUCCCAAGAAAUCUCCAUUUCUAAAAAAAUGAUCAACACAAGGAUUCCACCUUGUCCAAGGAUUCCACCUUGCUAAAGACUCUCAAAGAUGCUACAAAAUAUAUUCUCCAAAAAUCUCCCAAAAAUGACCUAAUGAGGUUCUGAUACGAGUACGAUCACGAUAAUGGAAACUUUUUGAGUAUUUUGAAGACCACCUAAAGAGUGAACAAGUAUAAGUGUGAACGAGGCCCAAAACCAUCCCAAGCAUACUCCAUGGGCUAUUUUUGGAGCCCUUUUUAAUAAAGGGCCUUUUAGUCUUUUGUCCUUUAUUUUGUAAUAUAAUAUAAAUUGAACAUUAUAGGGUUUUAGUUGGUAGUUUUUAUGAAUGUUGAAGAAAGAAUACUCCUCUUAAAGAGAGAGAGUCCACAACCGAAACUAGGGCAUAGCAUAAGGGUGAAUUCUCUUGUGUGUUGCAUUUUUCUUGAUACGUUGGUGCUUGGGUAGUGGACGCCUAUUUUAAGUCAAUUGUAAGAGUUAGGUGUUUUUUGUGUGAAGUGUUAAAGUUCCAAGAGUAGAAUAUGCUCUUGGGUUGUUAAGACUACAUCAACACUUGUCUAACUAGCUAUCUUAUAUCUUGUUUUAGUUUCAGCUUCUUGUGUUGUUAAUGUAACCCAUUUGUUCUUGUUGCUAUUGUAAUAUUGUGGAGCUUCAUCUUGUGUUGCUAAACUUGCUGUUGGCUGGCUGUUUUGGUGUAUUAACACCUUGUAUCUUCUUCCUUAUUGUUCUAGAUAGUGAAUCCGAGAGAGGUCCCCAUUUGGUCCAUGAUUUGUUGUGAUUUGUGGACUGUUUUGGGGUGUGAUUUCAUGUUCCCUUGUUUGUUUAGUAUCAUUUGGUAUCAAAGAAAGGCUGGUUUUUGUUUCCACAAAGCCAAUCUUGGGUUUGAUUAUUUAAAAAAAAUUAAUAAAAACUGAAAAAUUCCAGAAAAUAGCAAUCGUCCAUUUUAGUGUUCUUGGUAAAAAAUUGUAUUGUGUUGUUGUCUUGGCCGAGAUUUUCUUAUUUUUCUUGACUAGAUCUUGCAGUUCUUUUGUUAUUCUAGUGUGUUUCUAGUGUUGGUUCUUUCUCACAAACACUAAAAGUGUCUAGAUCUAAAGGUUGAGCUUAUAAUAUUAACAUUGUUGUUGUGAACUUGAAGUGGCCAUGUGUUGAUCCUUAUUAUUGAAGGUUGGUGUUGUUGUUGUUGAGUUCUUGAGCUUCAAAUUGUGUUAUUAUUGUGAAUUGGUGGCUUAAAAACCUCUUGUUGAAGUUGUUGUUGAAAGAUGGAACUUGACAAAGUGUUGAUUGAAAUGUAAGACCAACUUGAACCUUAGACUCCAAGAUUCAAAAGUUUGUGUUCUUGGUGUUCUUCACCAAUCAUCAUCUUUUAUUGAAAAAAAAAGUGGAUGUUAGAUCUAAGAGGGUGAAGGAAGGAGGUGUAGUAUUUGUUAGUCAUCAAAGACUUUUACCACUACUUCCAACCACUCAAAGACUUCAGAACCAUUUUCCAACCAACUUCCACGUUUUGAGGGCCUUAUUUUAAGGGAAAAUACUACAAAAGUCCAAGUCUUCAAACUUGAGUUGAAAAAGAGUUCCAAGACUUAUUCUUUCCCUCCUUACAUAAUACCACCAAUCCAGAUCAAAAAUUGGUCAAGACUUGAACCUUGGACAAUAAAACUUGAUAAAAUCGUGACCAAUUGAGGGUUGCCACGUCAUCACAUAUUAGUGUUCACCAACAAUUUUUAAGCUCAAAUUUUAGAUUUCUUAGUUUUAUUUUAUUGUUUCUUUAGUUUCGUUUGUUGAUUCCAUUACUAACUUACAAGCUAGUACUAGAAUGUAAGUUAGUUUUGAAAUCGUUCUUCGUGUAUACGUUCCUUUGUGUGUCUUAUUCUCUUGACUCGUUGUAAUACUUGGUCCACCUCUCAAUGCCUCAUGGAGUACAAGAAAAGUUAUGAAACUUGUGAGAUCAAAGUGUGAAAAAUCCAACAGACAAAACAAUAGAGAGGGAGUGUGAGGAUCAUUCUUUUACAACUAACUUGUUCGUUGUUUUGUAGGUAACUUUUGGCCAUAAUGGAAACCAUUUUUGCCCUCCUUGAUGCUUUGUCCCGAGAUCUUUCUAUGGCAAAUGUGGGUCUUGAAAAAAUUGACUCGGAUAUGGUAACUAUGAGUGAGAGAUUGGAUCAAAUGGUAAGUCGAUGGAACUCUCAUGAUUUUACUCCCGAAACUUUACUUCCAAUGACCAAUUCUCUAAGACCACCACAUAAUGCCACAAUCCAAGCUCCAAAUAGCCCUCAAAACCGAGAAUAAGAUAGACCACUUCCCCCACAAGUUGAUCUAGUCCGACAAGGAGGACCUGGAAGCAAAUUUUCUCCCAUCCAAACUCCACAACCGAAACCCCACUUAACCAAAGCAAGCUUCUUAACCGAAGCUCCACUACACCAAACCCGACAUAUCCAUAUAGAGAAGAAUGGUAGAAAGGAACAUGAAGGAUAUGGGGUCUUCGACAAUGCUUAUAUGAUGGUAGGAGACUUGUUUUGCAUGAGAUUAAAGACAAGGCUCAAGAUGGAGAGGAAGCCGAUGUUCAAAAUAAAGAUGUUAGCCAAGACUUAUUCUCAUUGUAUCCUCGGGUUCCCUUUGUUUUGUUUUGCGGACUGUUUUGGGUAGUUUCUUUUGGAGGGCCAAUUGCACGAGGUAAAGCCAUGAAUUUGUGGUCAAAUUCCUCUCAAGAUGGAGAGUAUGAUACAAGUACAAUCACGAUCAUGGACACUUUUUGAGUAUUUUGAAGACCACCUAAAGAGUGCACAAGUAUAAUUGUGAAGGAGGCCCAAAACCGUCCCAAACACACUCCAUGGGCUGUUUUUGGAGCCCUUUUCAUUAAAGGGUCUUUUAGUCUUUUUUCUUUUAUUUUGUAAUAUAAUAUAAAUUGAACAUUAUAGGAUUUUAGUUGGUAGAUUUUAUGAAUGUUGAAGAAAGAACACUCCUUUUAGAGAAAGAGAGUCCACAACCAAAACUAGGGCAUAGCAUAAGGGUGGAUUCUCUUGUGUGUUGCAUUUUUCUUGAUACGUUGGUGCUUGGGUAGUGGACGCCUCUUUUAUUUCAGUUGAAAGAGUUAGGUAUUUUUUGUGUGAAGUGUUAAAGUUUCAAGAGUAUAAUAUGCUCUUAGGUUGUUAAGACUACAUCAACACUUGUCUAACUAUCUAUCUUGUAUCCUGUUUUAGUUUCAGCUUCUUGUAUUGUUAAUGUAAUCCAUUAGUUCUUGUUGCUAUUCUAAUAUUGUGGAGCUUCAUCUUGUAUUGCUAAACUUGUUGUUGGUUGGCUGUUUUGGUGUAUUAACACCUUGUAUCUUCUUCCUUAUUGUUCUAGAUAGUGAAUCCGAGAGAGGUCCCCAUUUGGUCCACGAUUUGUUGUGAUUUGUGGACUGUUUUGGGGUGUGAUUUCAUGUUCCCUUGUUUGUUCUGUAUCAUUUGGUAUCAAAUCAAGGAUGGUUUUUGUUUCCACAAAUCCAAUCUUGGGUUUGAUUAUUUAAAAAAAUUUAAUAAAAACUGAAAAAUUCCAGAAAAUAGCAAUCAUCCAUUUUUGUGUUCUUGGUCAAAAAUUGUGUUGUGUUGUUGUCUUGGCCGAGAUUUUCUUAUUUUUAUUGUCUAGAUCUUGUAGUUCUUUUGUUAUUCUAGUGUGUUUCUAGUGUUAGUUCUUUCUCACCAACACUAAAAGUGUCUAGAUCUAAAGGUUGAGCUUAUAAUAUUGACAUUGUUUUUGUGAACUUGAAGUGGCUAUGUGUUGAUCCUUAUUAUUGAAGGUUGGUGUUGUUGUUGUUGAGUUCUUGAUCUUGAACUUGUGUUAUUAUUUUGAAUUGGUGGCUUAAGAACCUCUUGUUGAAGUUGUUGUUGAAAGGUGGAACUUGACAAAGUGUUGAUUGAAAUGUAAGACCAACUUGAACCUUAGACUCCAAGAUUCAAAAGUUUGUGUUCUUGGUGUUCUUCACCAAUCUUCAUCUUUUAUUGAAAGAAAAAAGUGGAUGUUAGAUCUAAGAGGGUGAAGGAAGGAGGUGUAGUAUUUGUUAGUCAUCAAUGACUUUUACCACUACUUCCAACCACUCAAAGACUUCACAACCAUUUUCCAACUAACUUCCAUGUUUUGAGGGCCUUGUUUUAAGGGAAAAUACUACAAAAGUCCAAGUCUUCAAACUUGAGUUGAAAAAGAGUUCCAAGACUUAUUCUUUCCCUCCUUAAACAAUUCCACCAAUCCAGAUCAAAAAUUGGUCAAGACUUGAACCUUGGACAAUAAAACUUGACAAAAUCGUGACCAAUUGAGGGUUGCCACGUCAUCACAUUUUUAGUGUUCACCAACAAUUUUUAAGUUCAAAUUUUAGAUUUCUUAGUUUUAUUUUAUUGUUUCUUUAGUUUCGUUUGUUGAUUCCAUUACUAACUUACAAGAUAGUACUAGAAUGUAAGUUAGUUUUGAAAUCGUUCUUCGUGUAUACAUUCCUUUGUGCGUCUUAUUCUCUUGAAUCGUUGUAAUACUUGGUCCACCUCUCAAGGCCUCAUGGAGUACAAGCAAGGUUAUGAAACUUGUGAGAUCAAAGUGUGAAAAAUCCGACAGACAAAACAAUAGAGAGGGAGUGUGAGGAUCAUUCUUGUACAACUAACUUGUUUGUUGUUUUGUAGGUAACUUUUGGCGAUAAUGGAAACCAUUUUUGCCCUCCUUGAUGCUUUGUCCCGAGAUCUUUCUAUGGCAAAUGUGGGUCUUGAAAAAAUUGACUCGGAUAUGGUAACUAUGAGUGAGAGAUUGGAUCGAAUGGUUAGUCGAAGGAACUCUCAUGAUUUUACUCCCGAAACUUUACUUCCAGUGACCAAUUCUCUAAGACCACCACAUAAUGCCACAAUCCAAGCUCCAAAUAGCCCUCAAAACCGAGAAUAAGAUAGACCACUUCCCCCGCAAGUUGAUCAAGUCCAACAAGGAGGACUUGGAAGCAAAUUUCCUCCCAUCCAAACUCCACAACCGAAACCCCACUUAACCAAAGCAAGCCUCUUAACCGAAGCUCCACUACACCAAACAUGAGAUGUCCAUAUAAAGAAGAAUGGUAGAAAGGAACAUGAAGGAUAUGGGGUCUACAAAAAUGCUUAUAUGAUGGUAGGAGACUUGUUUUGGAUAAGGUUAAAGACAAGGCUCAAGAUGGAGAGGAAGCCGAUGUUCAAAAUGAAGAUGUUAGCCAAGACUUGUUCUCAUUGUAUCCUCGGGUUCCCUUUGUUUUGUUUUGCGGACUGUUUUGGGUGGUUUCUUUUGGAAUGCCAAUUGCACGAGGUGAAUGCAUGAAUUUGUGGUCAAAUUCCUAUCAAGAUGGAGAGGAUGAUACAAGUACGAUCAUGCUCAUGGACACUUUUUGAGUAUUUUGAAGAACACCUAAAGAGUGCACAAGUACAAGUGUGAAGGAGGCCCAAAACCGUCCCAAACAUACUCCAUGAGCUAUUUUUGGAGCCCUUUUCAUUAAAGGGUCUUUUAGUCUUUUGUCUGUUGUUUUGUAAUAUAAUAUAAAUUGAACAUUAUAGGAUUUUAGUUGGUAGUUUUUAUGAAUGUUGAAGAAAGAACACUCCUCUUAGAGAGAGAGAGUCCACAACCGAAACUAGGGCAUAGCAUAAGAGUAGAUUCUCUUAUGUGUUGCAUUUUGCUUGAUUCGUUGGUGCUUGGGUGGUGGACGCCUCUCUUGUGUCAAUUGUAAAAGUUAGCUGUAUGUUGUGUGAAGUGUUAAAGGUCCAAGAGUAGAAUAUGCUCUUGGGUUGUUACGACUACAUCAACACUUGUCUAACUGUCUAUUUUGUAUCUUCUUUUAGUUUCGGCUUCUUGUGUUGUUAAUGUAACCCAUUUGUUCUUGUUGCUAUUGUAAUAUUGUGGAGCUUCAUCUUGUGUUGGUAAACUUGUUGUUGGCUGGCUGUUUUGGUGUAUUAACACCUUGUAUCUUCUUCUUUCUUGUUCUAGAUAAUGAAUCCGAGAGAGGUCCCAUUUGAUCUACGAUUUUUGUGAUUUGUGGACAAUUUUGGGGUGUGAUUUCGUGUUCCCUUGUUUGUUUUGUAUCAGUUUCUAUUUAUAACUAGGUUAACUUAUUACAAAUGACUAAAAAACUCUUGCAAAGGGCGGAUGAACAGUGAACGCGGAUGAACAGUGAAACAGUUUUGGAGCUUGUAGGACUUGUUUCUACACUUCAAAGCUUGUUCCUUGGAUGGGCAGCCCUCCGAGCUCAAGUCUUGACGCAUUGGACCCCGAUCAUUGAUCUUACCCGUAUCAUAGGCACAGAAGUGGACAAAGUCGAGGAGAACUCCUGGCAUUCUAUGAGUGGAUAGAUCGCAUACGCUGGACAGCCCUAGUGUCCAGUCUAGCUUGCACACACCUCGACUAAUUCCACUAAGUUCCUUCAACCUCCCACGAACGCGGGUACCAGAUAACUCUGUCCCCGAAGGCUUUGACAUAUAGGAAGAAAUCUCCUAGUGUUUUUUGCCUCUCACUUGGAUUUAGAACUAUACCUCAUGGUUCUCGACUCAUUUCAUUGACCACUGGGCCAUACCCUCGUAUGGGUGCCAAUGUUAUUUCGAUGGACUUAGAUUGAUGUGAGAGACCAGGAUGUUACAAUUGGAGCUGUUGACACUAACAGGUACUGCAUAUUUUUAAUGGAUCCGAGCAACAUAGGUUAUAAAAGAAGUGAAUCUAUAAGUACCAACCGGUACUACAAUAAAUACUUUCAAGGAGAAAAAUAUACUAAAUACACAUGAAUAUAAGUUUCAAACAACAAAUUAAUGAAGAAAGGGCAGGCCAGAGAACUAAAGCUACCGCUAUGCGCGGUGUCCGGGGAAGGGCCCCACCACAAGGGUGUAUCGUAUGCCGCCUUACCUUGCAUUUCUGCCAGAGGCUGUUUCCAAGGCUAGAAGCCGUGACAUGACAACAACUUUACCUGUUAUUCCAAGGCUCCCCUUCCAUGAAACAUAAAAGAAAUAACAAAUAAGUUCUAUUUAUGAUAAUAUAGAAUGGAAAAAAAGAGUUGACUUUAAAGAAAUGGGAUGACAACUCCAAUAAGUUGACCUUGGAUUUGUGUCUAUCAAGGAAAAUAUAAUAUUAUAACACCUGUUUUUUAACCUCUCCCCCUUGUAUUUUACCACAUAGUUACUGCCACAGGUAGAAAGCAUCUCGAGAGAAUCAUACAGGAAUAUAUGUAGAGGGAUCCUUUAACAAAUAUUAAACCAAUUAAACUAAAUCAUCAUCCAGUUCCCACAAUAAAAAUUGUUUCAUGAAGGAUAAAAAGUACACCACAACUUAGAAGACAUUACAACAUAAAUUCAUCGAAUCAAACUCCCAUAUUGGAUAGAAACCGAUUGAAUACUCUUGUUGCUCGUCCUCUCCUUGUCUUCUUUUUUCCAAAAGCUGCUCGAAGAAUCCAGGAUACUUAGUCGAGAUCAAGCCUUCUCACUCUAGCGUCUUGCUAUAACAAAGAAAUAUAAAUUAGAAAUAUAAAAUCUCCCAUUUACAAUCAAAUCAUGUCAAUUAAAGCAUAGAAAUAUCAAGAGGAAUUGUUUAAGUAUACAUUUUUACAUUAGUGAUAUAUAUGUUAGAGGAAUUGUUACAAAGAAAUCAACAAACUAGAAAAUAAAAUUGCAAAGAGAACACCUCGAAAUGUUAGUUCAUAUUAAAUUUUCUUUUUCACAAUUCAAUAAAAUUUACUCCACUAUAUCAAAAAUAAAUGUUAAUAAUACUUGUCCAUUUUGAAACCGAUGGAUAAUUUACCCAUUUUACCCUUAGCAUUAAAUACGAUUCAUUAUCCAAUGUGUUUUUCAAAGCAUUAGAUUUAGUAGAUUCAAAGGGUAAUAUGGUAAAACUAGCCCUAUCAUUUACUAUUUCUUAGUGGACAACUAUUGAUAGACGAAGGUAGUAACAAUUAGACCAAAUGUGCUCACAUUUAGAAAGCUUAAACUAAAGUACCAAAAUUGCUCAAAAAUAUAUUAAAGGGGACAUUUUGAACUUCCUUCAAAUAUAAGAGAUAUUCUUGUUAAUUUCUGUUACAUUUUAAGUAGAGUAUUAACCAAAUUUUGUCAAGGUUAUUUUUGUGUAAGAAUAUGGGGUAAAGCUAAAUAACUUUUGCGUAUGACUUGACUUGUGGAAAUGAGAAACAGAGUGUGACCCAGAUAAAUACUAUAUACUUACGUGGAUUGGAGAUACGAACAUCCACGGGGUUGUUUCCAAUGUCUUCUUGUUCUUGUUGAAUUCGUGCAGCAGAUUCCCCAAGUUCGGGAAGAUAACUUGUUAACUCAAUCAGUUGUAGUGUGUGUAUUUCUGCAAACUCAACGGGUAUCUCUUUUAAAUUAUGGCAUUUGUUAAGCACAAGGCGCUCAAGGAUAGGAAAAUUGUCAUUUGUGGCUUUCCAGUGUUAGCCCAUAUGUUAUUGGGCCUUUAGUUUAUGGACCUUUAGGUUAUUGGCUAUGUAUAUAUAUAGCCUACUUUUGUUUUAGUUAUUUUUCAUGCUUUUCAGAUUAUAUUGUAAACCUUAGCCUUUCUUUCUUUCAAUAAAGUUCUAUUAACAUGGUAUCAGAGCUAGUUUGAUCCAUGUCCUUUGAUUUGUUGGUUGAAGAUUUUGUAGCAGGCACCUACUGCGCGGAUCGAACUGUCAUUGUUCGUCUUUCGUUCUUUUGCUUGCUGCCAUUGUUGUUCGUUCGGAAUUGUUCAACCUAGGGUUUUGCAUCUUUUUGUUUUUUUGAAUUGUUUGUGUGUUGCUGUGUUUACAAUGACUGGAAAGGAUGAUUCUCUCCAGUCCAUUAGUACUCAAUUAGAUGGUAAGAACUAUGCCUAUUGGAGUUAUGUCAUGAAGAAUUUUCUUCGUGGGAAGAAUAUGUGGGGUUAUAUCACUGGAGUAAAACUAAGACCUAUCGAUGAUAAAACUGAAAAUUUUGAUUUGUUGGUGGACUUAUGGGAAACUAAUAACUCCAAGAUUAUCACUUGGAUCAACAAUUCUGUAACUCAGUCAAUUGGUAUGCAAUUGGCUAAGUAUGACACAGCAAAGGAGGUCUGGGAUCAUUUGGAAAGACUGUACACUCAGUCUAAUUUUGCUAAGCAGUACCAGUUGGAGUAUGAUAUCCGUGCUCUUCAACAGCAUGAUCUCAGUAUUCAAGAUUUUUAUGCUGCCAUGUCGGAUUUGUGGGAUCAAUUGGCACUUACUGAAUCUGCAGAGUUAAAAGGUUUUGGGCCGUACAUUGCUAGACGGGAAGAGCAACGCUUGGUUCAGUUUUUGAUGGCACUACGUUCUGACUUUGAGGGCCUACGUGGAACAAUCCUUCAUCGAUCUCCCCUCCCUACUGUUGAUUCUGUGGUUCAUGAACUGAUUGCAGAGGAGACUCGUAUCAAGUCUCAAGUGGAUAAAGGGUCUAAAGUAACUACUACUCCUGUCGUGUUUGCUGCUUCAACUGAUCAGUCUAGGCCACCACGUACUCAGACUCGACAAUCUCCUAAAGUUGCAUUUGAUGAGUGUGCAUUCUGCAAACAGAAAAAUCAUUGGAAGGCUCAGUGUCCGUUGUUACUUAACAAGGUCAAACAGCCUCAAUCUGGGCAGCAACAGAAAUAUGGGCAGCAAAAGUCUCCGUCACGCUCCUCUGGUGCUCCUCCAUGGUCAUCUCGUCCUCCACAGUUCGCUGCUGCUGCACCAUCUGUAGAUGUUGAGUCUGUUAGCACUAUGCCACCUUCUGCGUUGGAUCCCCAGGUUUUCGAACAGUUCAGACAGUUCUUCGUUUCUAAUCCUACGGCCAUGUCAGCAUCUAUGUCUCAUUCGGGUUCAGUUUCUUCUAGUACCUCAGGUAUUCCUUCCUCCUUGUGGAUAUUGGAUUCUGGUGCGUCUCAUCACAUGUCCCCUCAUUUGUCAUCGUUUGGUUCUUUGUCACCCAUUUCACCAAUCUCUGUUAUGUCCGCGAGUGCUGUACCUAUGUCAGUCGAGGGUGUUGGUUCUGUUACUACCCCUCACAUUGUCCUCUCUGAUGUUUAUUACAUUCCCAAACUUGCUUUAAAUCUUGUUUCGGUCAGUCAGUUGUGUAAGGCUGGUAAUUGGGUGUUUUUUUCUGAUUCUGUUUGUGUUAUACAGGACCAACACACUCAGAGGGUGAUUGGGACCGGCCGUAGGUUGGGGGAACUCUAUGUCUUGGAGAAUCUCAAAGUGUCUGUAGUUGCUGCCUCUAGCAUAGAUUUAUCUUCUUUUCGUUUGAGUCCUUUGUCUUCUCAGUUUUAUCUUUGGCAUUCCAGAUUAGGACAUGUGUCAGUUUCACGUUUACGUUUUUUGGUCUCUAGUGGUGCUUUGGGUCAUGUGAACACUAGUGAUAUUUCAGAUUGUAGUGGUUGUAAACUGGCAAAAUUUUCUGCCUUACCGUUUAAUAAAAGUGUGUCUUAUUCUGUUGCUCCUUUUGAUAUUAUUCAUUCUGAUGUAUGGGGACCAGCGCCAGUAUCCACUAAGGGUGGAUCGACCUAUUAUGUUUCGUUUAUAGAUGACUAUACUCGUUAUACCUGGGUGUAUCUUAUGAAACGCAGAUCUGAUUUCUUUGGCAUUUACAACAACUUUAGAGCCCUUGUUAAAACACAACAUUCGGCUGUGAUAAAGUGUUUCAGGUGUGACUUAGGGGGUGAAUAUACCUCUAAUGACUUCACUCAGUUACUUGCCUCUGAUGGUACCAUACACCAGUCAUCUUGUACCGACACUCCUGAGCAGAACGGUCUGGCAGAAAGAAAACAUCGUCAUAUUGUUGAGACAGCACGCUCUUUACUUUUGUCUGCAGAGGUUCCUAGUAUUUUUUGGGGAGAAGCAGUUCUAACUGCUGUAUAUGUGAUUAAUCGUAUUCCUACUGCAUUGACUUCAGGGAUGUCUCCGUUUGAGAAACUAUAUGGUCACCCGCCGAAUUAUUCUGCAUUACGAGUUUUUGGAUGUACUUGCUUUGUUCUUCGUCCUCAUGUUGAACGAAAUAAGUUAGGGUCAAAAUCAGCUAUAUGUGUGUUUUUGGGGUAUGGUAUUGGACAAAAAGGAUAUCGUUGCUAUGAUCCUGUAAGUCAGAAAUUAUAUGUUUCACGACAUGUCACUUUUUUGGAACAUAUUCCUUUUUAUUCCAUUCCAGCUAAAACCCAUGAUGUGACAAAGUCAGAUAUUCGGCUUAUUGAUCCCUUUGGGAUUGACAUAGAGGUUCCAGUUCCGGAUUCAUCCAUGCCAUCUGGUGUGCCACCUGAUAGUGCUUCAGCCUCGCCUGUGCCUGAGUCUGCUCCUUCGACUGUUGAGACUGGAGACCCACCACCUCUGAGGAGGUCUACUCGACCUUGUAAGUCCACCAAACUGCCAGAUUUUUACUAUUCUACAUAUUCAGCCUCAUUUGCUUCCUUUAUUGCAAACAUACAUCAUUUGUCUGAACCUGAGUCGUAUAGAGAGGCUGUGUCUGAUCCUCUUUGGCAGAAUGCUAUGGCUGAGGAACUUGCUGCUCUUCAUCAUACACAUACAUGGGAUUUGGUUACUCUCCCACCUGGUAAGCAUGCGAUUGGUUGUCGAUGGGUGUAUAAGAUAAAAACAAAAUCUGAUGGGUCUGUUGAGCGAUACAAGGCAAGACUUGUGGCAAAAGGGUACUCACAAAAAUAUGGUAUGGAUUAUGAGGAGACUUUUUCCCCCGUAGCAAAGAUGACGACUGUUCGCACUAUGAUUGCUGUUGCAUCCGUUCGACAGUGGCAGAUAUUUCAGAUGGAUGUCAAGAAUGCUUUUCUGAAUGGUGAUCUCCACGAGGAAGUUUAUAUGACUCCUCCCCCAGGUAUUGACCACCAGCCAGGUGAAGUUUGUCGGCUUCGAAAAGCUUUAUACGGUCUCAAACAAGCCCCUCGUGCUUGGUUUGAGAAAUUCUCCACUGUUAUUACUUCCCUUGGAUUUGUCCCGAGUAACCAUGAUUCAGCAUUGUUUGUUAGAUGUACAAGUGCAGGGCGAAUUCUAUUGUCCUUAUAUGUAGAUGAUAUGAUUAAUACUGGUGAUGAUCAUAGUGGUAUUGAGUUAUUGAAGCAUGAUUUGGCUCAUCGAUUUGCAAUGAAGGACUUGGGCUUGCUGCGUUAUUUUCUGGGUAUUGAGGUGGCUCAGUCUAAGAAAGGGUAUCUUCUUUCUCAGACUAAGUAUAUAUCUGACUUGUUUACACGGGCGCGUCUUUCUGACAACAGGACUGUAGAUACUCCCCUUGAAACCAAUGCACGUUACUCUCCUAGUGUAAGACUCAUGUAGCUUAUAAGUGGAGUCUUUUGUAAAAUGUUGUGAUGAUGAAUGAAUGAAAAGCUACUGCUCAAACCUUCCUUUUUUCUACUCUUAAGCUCCAAAUUAUAACAGUGGUAUCAGAGCCGAUCUUCUUGAGGCAUCUGUGAAGGCUUAAAGAUAAGUUUUUUUCAGAUCUUCUAAAAAAAAGAGACCUGAACAGCAGCAUGGCAUCCAACAGCUUCUUGGGUGCAGGUCCUCUUACGUUUACAGGAUAAAAUUAUCGCAUAUGGGUCAUAAAGAUGAAGGCUUAUCUUAAAGCUCUUAGUCUAUGGGAAGCAGUUGAAAGUGAAAAUGAUCCCCCUCCAUUGGGACCAAAUCCAACUGUUGCACAAAUGAAGAAUUAUGAAGAUGCAAAGUCCAAGAAACCAAAGGCUCUUACUUGUCUUCAUUCAGCACUUUUAGAUGUGAUUUUCACAAAAAUAAUGGCUUGUGAAACACCUAAAGAAGUAUGGGAGAAGCUAAAUGAGGAGUUUGAUGGAAGUGAAAGAGUGAAAUCUGUCAAACUCUUAACUCUCAAAAAAGAAUUUGAGAUGUUAAGGAUGAAAGAAGGAGAUACCGUGAAGGAGUACUCUGCCAAACUUCUGAAAAUUGUAAAAAAAAUAAGAUUAUUUGGUGAAACUUUUCCAGAUUCAAAGGUGGUGGAGAAGAUGAUGAUAAUAUUACCAUCAAGGUUCGAGUCCAAUAUUUCAGCAAUAGAGGAAUCUUGUGAUUUGAAGACUUUGUCUGUCGCAGAGCUGAUUAGCAAAUUGCAAGCCCAAGAACAAAGAACAAGUAUAAGAGAUGAAGAAGUAGAAGAAAUGGCAUUUCAAGCAAAGCACAAAGACAAGCAACCUGUGAAGGACAAUAGGAGAAUGGAAGGAGAUAAAGCGGCAAAGAAAAAGUCAUGGACUAAAUCUUCACAGAAAGGAAAGUUUCCACCUUGCCUCCACUGUAAAAGAACCAAUCAUCAAGAAAAGGAUUGUUGGUUCAAAGGAAAGCCAUCAAUUCAGUGCAGAUUUUGUAGAAAAAUGGGUCAUAUUGAGAAGAAUUCAGGGCAAAGAAGAAUCAGCCACAACAACAUGUUCAUGUUCAGCAGGAAAAUUUCACUGAAGAGUCAGAAAAGGAAGAAAGCUUGUGACGCUCAUGAAGAAAAAAAAUUCAACCAAUCCAAAUGGUUCCUAGAUAGUGGGUGCACGAGUCACAUGUCAUAUAAUGAGCUUAUGUUUCACACACUUGACAAGUCACUUAAAGCUAAAGUUAGGAUGGAAAUGGUGCAACAUUAGAAGCACAUGGAAAGGGUUCAGUUUCCUUUCAAACUAAACAAGGUACAAAGCUUAUACAUAAUGUGUUGUAUGUUUAUUCUUUAGCAUGUAAGCUGUUGAGUGUUGGCCAAAUGAUGUCUAAAGGCUACUCCUUACUUUUUAAGGGAAAGCAUUGUUUGAUCUUUGAUAUUGAUGAUACUUUGAUUGACAAAGUAGAAAUGGUAGAUAGGAUCUUUCCAGUUGAUGGAAAGUUUGAUAGUGCCAAUUUUUGUAAAAUUAGAUGAUUCAUGGCUAUGGCACAGAAGAUAUGGGAAUUUUAACUAUGCUACUUUAAAAUCUAUGUAUGAGAAGGGCUUGACUAAGGAUUUACCUGAGAUCUUAGUUUCUAUAGAAGUAUGUGGGUCAUGUCAGAUAGGAAAGGUUCACAGGAAAUCAUUUCCUAAAAGUGCUUCAUGGAGGGUAACUGAAAAGCUUGAACUUAUUCACACUGUAUGUGGACCUAUGAAGACAUCAUCCCUGGGUCAAAAUAAAUAUUUUCAGUUUUUCAUUGAUGACUUCACAAGGAUGACUUAGGUGUAUUUUGUCAGUAACAAAUCUCAAGUAUUUUCAGUUUUCAAGAAGUUUAAAGCUUCCGCUGAAAGACAGAGUGGCUACAAACUGAAGGCUUUAAGGUCAGACAAUGGAGGUGAAUAUACUUCAAAUGAGUUCAACAAGUAUUGUGAAGAUGCAGGGAUUAAUCACAAGCUGACAGUAAGUUAUUCACCAGAACAAAAUAGAGUCUCGGAGAGGAAAAACAGGACGGUAGUUGAAAUGGCUAGAUAUUUGGUGCUUGAAAAGAAACUACCACAAAAUUUUUGGGCAAAAGUUGUUUCUACUUCAGUUUAUUUGUUGAAUAGGCUUCCAACCAAAGCUAUGGAUGGUAAAACUCCUAUUGAGGUAUGGAAUGGAAAAAGGUCAUCUGCCAAUCACGUAAAAAUCUUUGGUUCAAUAUGCUAUUCUCAUGUUCCUUCAGUGAGAAGAAGCAAGCUUGAACUGAAAGGUGAAUUGGGGAUCUUUAUUGGUUAUUCAUUGCAAGCCAAAGGUUAUAGAGUUUUCAACUUGCAAACAAAAGGCAUUUCCAUCAGAACAGAUGUAGUGGUGGAUGAGUAUGCUUAUUGGAACUAGGAUAAGAAGCAAGUUGAAAAAGAAAAUGCAGAUUAUUUGAACUUGAAUCCGCUGCCUGAAAUACAACCAUUUGGCUCUGAAAAUCUAGAAGAAGCUGAAGAAUCAAACGGUGAAUCCUCACUUGAUUCGCCAAUUGUGAAGACAAGGUCCUUUCUGAGAUAUAUGAAAGAUGCAAUGUUUCAAUCAUGGAACCCAAUAUCUAUCAAGAAGCAUCAAAACAUGAAUUUUGAAUUGAAGCCAUGAAGGAGGAGAUUGGUAUCAUAGAGAAGAAUGACACUUGAAAGCUGGUUGAUAAGCCCAAGACAGAAAUGUAAUAGGUGUGAAAUGGGUUUAUAGAACCAAAAUUAAUCUAGAUGGUUCAGUUAAUAAACACAAAGCAAGGCUUAUUGUGAAAGGUUAUGUGCAAGUUGCAAGUCUGGAUUAUGGAGACACAUUUGAACCUGUUGUAAGACAUGAUACGAUACGACUUCUAUUUACUUUGGCAGCUCAAUCAAAUUGGAAGUUGUACCAUCUGGAUGUGAAGUCGGCAUUCUUAAAUGGACCAUUGCAGGAACAAAUUUAUGUCGACCAACCGGAAGGCUUUCAAGUUGGAGGAAUGGAAGAUAAAUUUUACAGACUACAUAAGGCGUUGUAUGGAUUAAAAUAGGCUCCUCAAGCAUAGUACAGUAUGAUGAUGAUGAUGAAUGAAUGAAAAGCUACUGCUGAAACCUUCCUUUUUUCUUCUCUUAAGCUCCAAAUUAUAACAACAGAUGGGAAAAUUGUGUGAAAGGUGUAAUAUCUAAGUCAUUUCUUUUUUCACGAUGUUAUUUACCAGAGCAUCGUUAGCAUGAUGGACAGCUCACAGAUCAUGAACGAAUAGUGAAUAUUGUAUAAUUAAUGUAACUAUGUAUCGUUGUAUAUAAGUGUAAUUAUAGAUAUUUGAUUUGGUAACCAAAGAGAAUAAAUAUUGUGAUAGAAUAGCUGCGGAUUUAGAGGGAUAGAAUAGUUGAUCUUUAGGGAUAGGAAAGACGGAUCUUUAGGGAUGUAAUCUUUGAAUACUUUCUAUUUAACGACAAGACUCUCAAUAUUGAGAAUCAUUCAGCAAAAAAUUGGCAUAGUUCGUCGACAAUCAGUCCUUAACUCCUAGGACUUUUGAUCUCGAUCAUUCCGGUUUUUUUUUUCAGUCAUAGUAUUUCUAGUUUUCGCAGCUAUUCAAGAAUAUGUCUUCACAUCAAUUUGAAUCAUUCAGUGUUCGUUUCACUGGAAAAAAUUAUUCAUACAGGGAAUUGCGAUUUCAAUUAUUUGGUACCGGAUAAGAACUAUGGCGCCAUAUAGAUGGAAUCGAUCCCUAUCCCGCUGAUCCUAAAAAGUUAGGUGAAUGGAUGAUUAAAGAUGCUCGGGUGAUGACAAAUCUCUCCUUUUCCCCGUGAACCAUCUAUCUUUUUGAAAAAUUAAAAGAAAAAAGAGACCUUUAGUCUUUGUAUUUGUAUUUGUUUAUUUGAGAGAUCAGCAAAGUUGGGUCAGUGGACACUUUUAGGAUGUGAUAAUGACCACUAAUCUCCUUUUGAUAAAGUCGAAAGAAGUCAAGUGGGAACUUCAGUUUAUUCUUUGUGUUCUUUAUCAAAUGCAUCUUUAUGCAUAAUCGAAAACCUUUUGAUGAAAAUCUUGCAGAAAUAAGUGCAACUAUACUUGUCUAACAGCCGGGCUGGCCUGUUUACAGCGCGGCCCAAGACAGCACGUAGACCGGUAAGGAGGCCGGGCCAGUUAUGAUAAAAGGAAGGGGAUUGUGAAACAAGCCAUACAACUUGAGUUGAUUAGUUCAUACAUAAAACUAACUUGAGCUGAUUAGUGGACACUUUUAGGAUUUUGAGAAAUUAAGAGAUAUGGAUUAUGCUGCUAUUACUUGUCUUAAGAGAACCAUACACCAACCAAUGGAAUUGACAGCAUGUGAUUUCCAACCAUUCUACAAAAAGCUUGAAACUUUGAGAGCUAUUCUGGAGAAACCAUGGAAAGCAACAGAUGAUCUCGAGGCAUCAACAAGUUUGGAAGCUGAAAUCACUGAUAUAGCAUACACAGCAGAAGAUAUGGUUGACUCAGAAUCAAGAAAUGUUUUUUUAGCACAAAGGCCACCAUUAAAAAGUAAUGGCAUGAAUGAGCCGAUUUUGUAACGGCAAUGGCAUGAAUGAGCCAAACUCGUAACUGAUCGCAUAAAUGAGCCAUUUUUGAUAGUUCAAUGGCAUAUUUGAGCCCUUUCCCUAUAUUUCCCAAGAAACAUUGCUUUUCUCAAAGUUCUUGAGAAAUAAUUCCAGGGAGUUCUUGAGAAAUAAUUCCAGGGAGCUAUCAUUUUCUUGAAAAGCGAGAAAUUCUUCUCUGUGUUCACUAAUUAGAGAUUUCACUGGCGAAUUGGAUGUCACAACCAAUUCCGUUGUUCUGUUCAGAGAAGUCAUGCUUGCAUGAGUCAUAUCUUUACUCUCGUGUUCCUUGUGCAGUUUUUACCAGAAAACUGCGAGUUUCAAGAACUCAGCAGUAUUGCUACAUAUAAUACCAGUUUCAAAUUCUAUUAACUCAAAAAAUAAAACUAACAACACAAAGUAAUAACCAAAUCAAUAACUGAAACCAUAAUCAAGUACAUCACCAAGUCAUAAGGGCAUUUAUUAAGAGUUCAAGUUGGGAUGUGGCUAGAAAUAAUGGAAUCAGAACAAUAACAUAAAGACUCCUAGACACCACAAAACUAACAGGUUGUCUCAUCGUAUAAAAUAAUCAUCAAACUCGAUCCACGUGGUCUGCUACUACUGGAGUUGAAUUUGUAAAGUUACAUAAAAAGAGAAGGGAAGAAGGGAAUUAGUACAACAUAACCUGUAAGUCUCAUAGACCAUCACCUAAAGGCCGUGGCAAGGCUUUAUGCAUUACAGAAAAUUAAUGUGUGCCACAAAUCCUUGGAAGCCACACGUCGCUUAAAACUGAUAAUUUAGUGGUAAUUUGCGAUAGAGGAACCGAAAUGAAAUCCUAAGAGUUCAAUCCUUCUGGCCUUGAACUCCUUUCCUAAUGUUCUUCUGAAUCAGAAUAACUCUCCCCGACUGAGAAGAAACAAAAAGGGUCAGUAGAAGUUCGACAAGUCACAUUAUUCAGAUGCAGAUUUAGAACAUGUUCAAUCAAACUCACAUCUUUCAACUCAACGUCAUGUGAGCACACACAUACAUUUUUUGGAGAGCUAAAUUGCUUAUAUUACAUCUUAACUAACAAUUAUUUACUAAUUCAAAAAAUGAGCUGCAAAUAUUGAUGUAUAAUUUUAUAGACUCUAUAUAAUAUUAUUUACUCUAUAAUCUUUUUGACAAUAUUAUAUGUGUUUUUUAAAAAAAAAAAAUUAAUUUCUAUAUGGGAUAUAGACACAACACGCUUCAUAGAGACUAUAAAACCAAAGAUAUACAUUUACAUUUAUGAAUAAACAUCGUGUGACGAACUAGCAUCAACAGUCUAUAACAGUAUCAAAUUGUUAAUCCAUUGUUUCCCUUCUCAAUAUAGGUUAGAGUAAAGCAUCUAGUACCCUCCUAAACUAUGACCAAAUUUUCUACAACAUACUCCCACUUCAUGGGGUCUCUAUUACCCCCGAACAAAAUUUUAGCAUAUUUUCACCAACCUUUUUAGCUGAUGUGGCACAUUUGAUCUAACACAUCUGCAUAUUCUUCUUCAUCGUCAUCAUCUGUAUGAUGUGAGUUGUGGAAAUGAGAAACAGUGUGUAACCUUGACAAAUAUAUACUUACCUUGAUAAAAUUAAUACAAAGUAUUUCACUUAUUGAUAUUAAAUUAUUUCAUAAAAGAGUUGAAUCCAAGUAAACCUCAUUUUACUAGAAUUUACACAAUCUAUACCUUAAAUUUUGUGAGCAAGGACAACAAAGAGAGCAAACAUCUACUCUUCAUUUUUCAUUUUAUUUUUAUUGUAAUUUAAUGGCAGGGCUGGACAUUAGCCCAUUUGUUUGUUCAACCCAUCUUAAACCGCCCAACUUCAGCCCAAACAACCCAGCUGCCACCCCUAUGAGUAAAAAUUAGAUCAAAUGUGCUCAAAUUUAUCAAUCUUAAAUGAAAGUACCAAAACUACUCAAAAAUAUAUUUAAGGGGCCGUCUUGAACUACGCUCAAAUAUAAGGGAUAUUCUUGUUAAUUUCUCUUAUUUCUGUGAAAGAAUAUGGGGCAAAGCUAAAUAACUUUUGUGUACGACUUGACUUGUGGAAAUGAAAAACAGAGUGACCUUGAUAAAUACUGUAUAUAUACUUACAUGGAUCAGAGAUACAAACAUCCACAGGGUUGUUUCCGAGGUCUUCUUGUUCUUUCUGAAUUCAUGCAGCAGAUUCCCCAAGUUUGGGAGGACACUUUCUUAACUCAAUCAGCUGUAGUGUGUGUAUUGUUGAGAAUUGAUUCAAAGCCUGUUUUGUUAAGUUACUACAUAGGAUACGUUUUACUGUUAGUUGAAUAAGUCUUUCACUAGAGUUGAAAGAGUCUUUGUUAGGUUGCUAUAUUUUCAGAUUCAGUUGCUACUUUUUCUGAUAUGGUUCCUAGUUUUUAGUCAAGUAGAGUCUUGGAUCUUUUAGAGUUUGUAAGCCUAUAAAAGGCAGAGAUUUCCAGUUAAUAAAAACGCUCUUCUAAAAGAUAUUUCCUUCAUCUUCUUUGCGCAACUCUUACUUUUCUAGUUGAACAACCUCUCUUUUCCUACAUUCUGGUAUCAGAGCUUGCGUUCGGUCUCUGACUGGGCGAUAAAGAGAUUAAGAAACAGUGAGGGAGUGAAAUACAAGAAAAAGAAAAGGAGUUAUGGCAGCAAAUGGUAUGUCCUCUUCUUCACAGCCGCUCAUACCCGUCUUCAAUGGUGAAAAGUAUGAGUUUUGGAGUAUCAAGAUGAAGACUUUGUUUAGGUCUCACGAAUUGUGGGACAUAGUCGAAGAUGGGUUCGUUGAUGUACAAGAGCCGGAUGCAGAAGAAGAAAGGAGAUUAAAUGAAAUCAGAAAGUUGAACGCCAAAGCUUUGUUCUUUAUUCAGCAAGCCGUUCAUGAGACAAUGUUCUCAAGAAUUGCAGCAGCUGCUACCUCAAGAGAUGCUUGGCUGACUUUGAAAACCGAGUUUCAAGGUUCCUCAAAGGUAAUCACUGUGAAACUACAAUCUCUUCGUCGUGAUUUUGAAACAUUGUUCAUGAAAAACAGUGAAUCUGUGCAAGAUUUUUUAUCAAGAGUUAGCGGAAUUGUAAGUCAAAUGAAAUCAUAUGGUGAAGAGGUAGGCGAUGAAAUUGUAGUUUCAAAAGUUUUAAGAAGUUUACCUUCGAAAUUUGAUCAUGUGGUUGCAGCCAUAGAGGAAUCAAAAGACUUAUCUGUGUUUUUAUUUGAUCAAUUAAUGGGUUCUUCGCAAUCUCAUGAAUCACGGAUCAAUAAGUCAACAGAGAGGACUGAAGAACAAGCUUUUCAAGUGAAGGAACAGCCUCAAAUUCAGAAUGAGAAGUCACUAGAACAAGGAGUACAAGGACGUGGCAGAGGAUCUUUUAGAGGCAGAGGGCGUGGUAGAGGUAGAAGCCAAUCCAAGUGGACAAAUAGCCGUAGAAAUGGAGUGCAAUGUUACAAUUGUCACAGGUUUGGCCAUAUAGAAGCUAACUGCUGGUACAAAAAUGAUCAAGCUGGUUAUGUUGAGGAAGAGGAAGAAGAAAGCAUGCUUUUCAUGGCUCGCUCUACCACCAUAGAUCAUAAGACUGAUGUUUGGUUUGUUGAUAGUGGCUGCUCCCAUCACAUGACUGGUGACAGAAAAGGGUUUAAAGAGUUAGAUGAGACCAAAAAGAGGCGAAUUUGGCUUGGAGAUAAUAAGGAAAUUCAAGUCGAAGGUGAAGGUAUUGUUGCUGUCCAAACUAGUCAAGGUAAAGUGAAACUUAUUCAAAAUGUUUUAUUUGCUCCUAGUUUGGCACAUAACUUGCUAAGUGUUGGGCAAUUGUUGAAUAGUGGAUUCUCUGUCUUGUUUGAUGAUAGCUCAUGUGUUAUUAAGAAUAAAAAUUCAGGUCAAAUCUUAGCAAGUAUUCGUAUGACAGAGAAUAAAAUGUUUCCACUUGAAGUUUCAAAAGUCGAACAAGCCCUUGUUGUUAGUGAGAAAAAUCUUGAAGAGUCUAAGUUGUGGCAUUUGCGUUAUGGACACUUGAAUAUGAGUGGAUUGAGAUUGCUUAGUCAAAAUAAGAUGGUUCAUGGUUUGCCAAAUAUAGGACCUGUUGAAAAUGUAUGUGAAGGUUGUAUAUAUGGCAAGCAACAUAGAAAAUCUUUUCCUGUUGGAAGAUCUUUCAGAGCUACUAGUUGUCUUGAAAUUGUUCACGCAGAUUUAUGUGGUCCUAUGAACACAGAAUCACUUGCUGGUUCUCGAUAUUUUCUGUUAUUAACUGAUGAUUACAGUCGGAUGAGUUGGGUAUAUUUUUUGAAACUCAAAUCAGAAACUUUUGCAAGCUUCAAAAAAUUCAAGGCGCUGGUGGAAAACCAAGUCGGUAACAAAGUUAGGGUUCUUCGUACCGACAGAGGAGGUGAAUUCUUGUCCCAAGAAUUUAAGGUGUUUUGUGAAGAAAAUGGCAUUCACAGGGAAUUAACUGCACCUUAUACUCCGGAGCAAAAUGGGAUUGCUGAGCGGAAGAACCGAACUGUAAUGGAGAUGGCUAGGAGCAUGUUGAAGAGUAAGGAUCUUCCAAAUCAGUUUUGGGCUGAAGCUGUUCAUACUGCAGUUUAUCUGCUAAACAUUUCUCCGACAAAAGCAGUUAUGGGUCGAACACCUUUUGAAAUCUGUAAAGGUAGAAAGCCAUGGGUAAGUCAUUUGAGAAUUUUCGGUUGUAUUGCAUAUGCUUUGAUAAAUUCUCAACAUCAUAAAAAGCUUGAUGAAAAAUCUGAAAAAUGCAUUUUCUUUGGAUAUUGCUCUGAAUCCAAAGCUUUUAGAUUGUAUAAUCCCACAAAUGGUAAAGUGAUUAUUAGAAGAGAUGUUGUAUUUGAUGAGAACGCCUGCUGGAAAUGGGAAAGCAACAAUCAAAGCUCACAAGUUGCAGUGGGAAAUGAAGCCGUUCCUGGUGAAGCAGUAAGUCAACCUCUUGCUGAUACACCAAGCCACUCUUCAGGAAAUUCCAGCAACAUCAGUCCAAGUGGUAGCAGCCCAACAUUGAUGGUGCCUGACUCAGAAGAUUCUGAUGAAACUCCUCCACAGAAGUUUAGGUCGCUGUCAGAUAUUUAUGAAACAUGUACCUUUGCUUUAUUUGGUGCAGAUCCAGCUAGUUUUAAGGAAGCUUCAACAAAAAUGGAAUGGAGGUGUGCAAUGGAAGAAGAGCUUAUGGCAAUAAGAAAGAAUGGGACAUGGGACUUGGUGGACCUUCCAGAUGGAAAAAAUGUUAUCGGAUUAAAAUGGGUGUUCAAGACAAAAUACCAUGUUGACGGGACCGUGCAGAAACACAAAGCCAGAUUGGUCGCAAAAGGAUAUUCGCAGCAACAAGGUAUUGACUUUGACGAGACUUUCUCUCCAGUUGCUCGCUUUGAAACAAUAAGAAUCGUUUUAGCUUUGGCUGUACAAUUAAAAUGGAAGGUUUAUCAAUUUGAUGUUAAGUCUGCAUUCCUUAAUGGCGAUUUGGAAGAAGAAGUGUAUGUGACACAACCAGAUGGCUAUGUGGAGAAAGGAAAGGAGAACAAAGUAUACAAGUUGAAGAAAGCACUCUAUGGGCUAAAACAAGCUCCUCGCGCUUGGUAUAGCAAAAUCGACUCACAUUUCAGAGAAAAUGGAUUUGAAAGAAGUAAGAAUGAACCAACUUUAUAUGUGAAAAAAUAUGGAAAAAAUGAUCUUUUGAUGGUGUGUUUGUAUGUUGAUGAUAUGAUCUAUAUGGGCUCAUCUCACUCUCUUGUAUGUGAUUUCAAAUCUUCUAUGAUGAAAAAAUUUGAAAUGACUGAUUUGGGAGUGUUGCACUAUUUUCUUGGACUUGAAGUGAAGCAGGAAGAAGAUGGAAUUUUCAUUUCACAAAGGAAGUAUGCCAUUGAUCUUCUCAAAAGAUUUAAUUUGCUUAAUUGCAAAACAGUGGCUACUCCUAUGAAUGUAAAUGAGAAGCUGCAACUUGAUGAUGAUAUUGAAAAAGCUGAUGGAAGUUAUUUUAGAAGCUUAGUUGGAGGCUUAAUUUAUUUGACGCACACUCGUCCUGAUAUAUCAUUUUCUGUUGGAAUGAUUUCAAGGUUUAUGCAUAGGCCUUCAAAGCAUCAUCUUGGAGCAGCUAAAAGAGUCUUGCGCUAUGUUGCUGGAACUACAGGAUUUGGACUAUGGUACUUUCGAAGUUCCAAUUUUAAUCUCUAUGGUUAUUCAGAUAGUGAUUAUGGGAGAUGUUUGGAUGAUAGAAAGAGUGUUUCCGGGAACCUUUUCACUCUUGGUUCUGCAGCUAUUACUUGGAGCUCAAAGAAACAACCAACAGCAGCGUUGUCUACUUCCGAGGCUGAAUAUGUCGCAGCAGCAUCUUCAACAUGCCAAGCAUUGUGGCUCAGGAAAAUACUUGCUGAUCUUCACCAAGAACAAAAGGGGGCAACAAAAAUUUUCUGUGAUAAUCUAUCAGCAAUUGCAAUGGCUAAAAAUCCUGUUUGUCACGGAAGAUCGAAGCACAUAGAUAUUCGGCACCAUUUCAUCCGUGAACUUGUUGCAGAAGGGCUGAUUGAGUUGAAGAGUUGUAGCACCGAAGAACAAGUGGCAGAUAUUCUUACUAAAGCACUUCCUCCAGCAAAGCACAAUUACUUUAUGUUACGCCUCGGCAUAUGUGAUUUUGAAUCAAGGGGGAGUGUUGAGAAUUGAUUCAAAGCCUGUUUUGUUAAGUUACUGCAUAGGAUACGUUUUACUGUUAGUUGAAUAAGUCUUUCACUAGAGUUGAAAGAGUCUUUGUUAGGUUGCUAUAUUUUUGGAUUCAGUUGCUACUUUUUCUGAUAUGGUUCCUAGUUUUUAGUCAAGUAGAGUCUUGGAUCUUUUAGAGUUUGUAAGCCUAUAAAAGGCAGAGAUUUCCAGUUAAUAAAAACGCUCUUCUAAAAGAUAUUUCCUUCAUCUUCUUUGCGCAACUCUUACUUUUCUAGUUGAACAACCUCUCUUUUCCUACAUGUAUAUCUGCAAACUCAAUGGGUAUCUCUUUCAAGUUUUGGCAACUUCUAAUCAUGAGGCGCUCAAGGCCAGGAAAAUUGUCGUUUGUGGCUUUCUAGUACUUGAGAUAAUUACCUUCAAUUAGCAAAAACUUCAAUUUAUUAAAUCCCCUAACAAUUGGAUGCCAUUCUUUGCCACCACAAGCGUCAUCCAUCAGCUUGAGCACCUCAAGGUUAGGCAAUUCAGCAAUGAUAUCCAAGUACGACCAACUUAGCGAAGUUCUUUCCAACUUCAGCUUCUUGAACGUUGCAGGAAAAGCUCUUGCACUUUCUGGAAAAAGCUUAGAGCACCACAUAAAACUCAAAGUUUCAAGUUGCUGCAGAUGGACAAGAUUAUUGAGAAUCCCAGAGUCCCGAAUACUAUUAAUUUCAGUCUCAUAUCCACUGAUUCCUAAUUCUUUGACAUUCUGAAUCCCCAUAAUAACCUCCUUCUUGCAACAAAGUGGAGACAAGUAAGAAAUAGUUUGUAAGUUUGACAAAUCCAAGUGCCUUCCCUUGUCAACAGAUCGACUUGGGCAAUUUGGAAAAUAUAAUCUGGGCAGUUGAAGAUGCCUUCCUUUGUCAGCAGAUUUUGUUGGGCAAUCUGGCAAAAAAUAUACUCUGGGUCGUUUAGGAUGCCUUCCUUUGUCGGCAGAUCCACUUGGGCAAUCUGGCAAAUAAAAUGCUGGCAGUUUGAGAUGCCUUAAUUGCAUUAGUCCCCAAAUUUCCUCAGGAACAGUUAUUUUAACUAAUGGACUAAGCCCUUGAACAAUGAAUGUCUGCAGAUUCCAUAACCUGCAAAUUUCUCGAGGUCUGUCUAAACACACAUGGCAGAGCAAUGAUAGGUACCUCAACCAGAUGAGGCUUCCUAUCUGUACAGGGAAAUUACCAAUCCCCAAGUGUCUCAACUCCAAGACUUUGAGUAAUUUGAAAUGAAUAAGCUCUGAUUUCAGAAAUGGAGGAAAAAAUGAACCCUUAAGAUGAAAAGAGAAAAUAGAAUGGGUUCGUUUCAAAAGAUCGUUGUUGUCAUGAUCUCUCAACUGACGAUGUACAGGGGUAAGAAGUGCCCUAUAAAGACCAUUGGGACAGUAAAAAAAUUCAUCACCAGUCACCCAUUUAAAGGGCCGCAUUUUUUGCAUACUGAGAGGUCCCCAUACUGAAUCUGAUUGGUCAAGCACAAUGUCGUUCAUGAUAAAAAUGUUCUCCCUUUGAAUUUCUCUUACGCACAGGUCAUAUAUUAGAUCAUGAACCUUACAUGAUCUAAUUUUUGUUCCAUCUAUACUUUUCUUGCAGACGAGAACAAGACAUCUAUCGACAAGCUCUUGCAAACACUUCUCAGCCUCUCCUUCCAAAUCAUUUUCCAACUUUAGGAACCCCUCAGCAAACUAUGAUCUCUUCAAAUUCUUCACUGGUAUCUCACUGUCUUCUGGAAAUAUUCCGAAAUGCAGAAGACAUGCUUUUAGAUCGCUAGUCAAGUGAUUGUAACUCAACCCAAGCACACGUGAACAUCGUUCAUCAGGAUCAUUCAUGACAAAUGACUUCACAUCUUUAGCAACACUUUCCCAAUCUUCUAUUGCCCUUUUAGAUUUGAGAAGUCCAUCAACCACGACAAUAGUUAGUGGUAACCCGUGACAUUCAUCUGCGAUUUGCUUCCCAACAGCCUCAAACCCAUAUGGUAAUGCUUCACUUGAAAAUGCUGCACUUUUUAAAAGACUCCAACUCUCAUCCGGGCCCAUUAAAUCCAUCUGCAAAGAAAGAUUCUCUGUAUCAGCAUAACAGGCUACUUCGUUAUUACGGGUAGUCAACAGUAUUCGACUCCCUACAUUGUCUUCAGUUGGAAAGCAUCGUAUCACGCUAUCCCACACUUCACAACUCCAGAUAUCAUCCAAGACAAUUAAGUACCUCUUUCUCUUCAAACUUUUUUGCAGCAUGUCUGCUAGCUCUGCUUCACCUUUCAUCCUAACUGAGUCAUCCAUUUUGAUCGUCGAUUGCAGCAGGCACAGCAAAAUUUCCUUUCUGUUGUGCUGUUGAGAUACAGUAGCCCAGGAACGAAUAUCAAAACGGCAUAGAACUGAUUUAUUAUCGUAAACUUCUUUUGCUAAGGUUGUUUUACCUAUGCCUCCCAUCCCGACAAUCGGGAUGACUUUGGGUUCAUCAGAGUAGCUUGUAGUCAGAUCAUUUAACAACCGUUCCCUUUGAUCAUCACGUCCAACUGUUAUCUCCUCAACAGUUGUGUAUUCCUUUGAUGUUUUGUUGAACCAUUGAAAAAUAUUGAACCACUGGAAAAUCAUGAAGCACUGAAAAUUCAUCACCUUCCUUUUAUCUUGAAUCUUUGUUGACUUUUUCCAGAUACGAUCAAUAUCCUUUGCUGCUUGUUGAAGGCUAUCAGAAAGCCUCUCACGUGUCUUUUCAUCAUUUGCCAAUACAACUUCAGUUACUCUUAGUUGAAUUGUGUGUUCAGCAAUAUUUGCAACUUCUUUUAUCUCUACUUCCAAAUCUGCAAUUUGCCCAGAAACAUUGUUUUUCUCAAAGUUCUUGACAACUACUUCCAGGGAACUAAUCUUUUCACGAAGAGCACGAAAUUCUUUUCUGUGAUCACAGGUUAGAGAUUGCAUCAGCGAAUUGGAUGUCAAGAGCGAUUCUAUUGUUCUCGUUAGAGAAGCAACACUUGCAUGAGCCAUAUCUACUGUAUCUCGUUUUUGUCCUUUCUGACUAUGACCUGAAACCUACAAGGUAGCAACAGGUCAAUGGUAUUACAAAAAACAAGAUAGGCAAAUUUACUAAGAUUUGGUGAUUUAUUAGUCUUUGCUAUUCGCAAAUUCUAAAUUACUUUUGAUCAUGUAAUUUAUUAUUCUUCGGUUUGAACCUUCCUUCAUAUGUGUAUAGCCCCGAACCCAAUAGUUUAUAUCUAUAUAUUAUUAAUAAGAGAGGACAAAGCCUCCACAUAAAGCCACGUGGCAGCAUGAUAAAUUACCAUGUGGUGUUUUAGGACAACAAGUAGUUAAAUUAGUUAUUAGUUGUGUAUUUUUGAAUUUUACUUUUUAAAUUUUAUUAGAAAACUCAAAUUUUGAUAAUUAGUUAAUUAAUAUUGUAGUUUUUAAAAUAUAUAACUAUACUUAAAUUACUUUGAUACAAAUAUUAUUUAGUUAAGAAACUCCCAUUUAUUUCUUUAUUUUUAUAAUUUUUAAUCUCGAUAAUCCCUUUUAGAUUUUAGUUUUUAUAAAACAAAAUUUAAUAUUUAAUAAUCUAUCUAAUAAGAUUAUUAUAAUUGACUAGUUACCAACUUCAAAAAUAACUCUCUUUAACUUCCUUUUCCACUUUAAUGUUCUCCACAAAAAAGAUGUCUCUAUAUGCACCAUACUACCCAAAUCACUGUUUGGCUUCUGACACUUCCAGAUUCAACCAGAUCAAGUUCUUAGUAGAAAGUGGUUUACUCGAAUUUCAGUGACGACUCACAAUUAGUGGCUUGAUUGUGAUGUAAGAAAUGGAUUUUUGAUGUUCCUAAUUCUCUUCUUUCUCUGUAUUGAUUGCUUUCAGUGAUAAGAAAUGAUCAAAUUUGCAGUAUUAUAUUGUUAAAUAUUUUUCCUACUUUUUUACAUACCGUUCAAAUUUGAUUCCAUUCUUUGUUUUCUUUGGAUUCUGUAGAUUUAAUCAAUUCCAUUGAGCAAUAGAGAAGAGGUAGUGAAGAUGCCUUAUCCCCAAAGACUUCAAGAGUAUUUGUUUAAUUUGAAGAUUUCAAAUAACGAAGACCUUGACUAAUUAAACCCUUAUCCAAUGGAUUUUUUAAAUUAACUACAAAUUAGAUAAGAUGAUGACUGAGGCAAAGAACAAAUAUGUUCAAGUGAAUGGUUUACAUAUCAAAGUGUUUUUGGUAGUCUUCCUUUGUUUGUGUUUAGAUAUGUCUCUGGUGCAAUACCUAAUCUUUUUCGUACAAACGUUUUUUUUUACUCAAUUUUUUUAUAAUGUCUUAAGAAAAAGAUCCCAAAAAGUGCAAACUUAUUUUCGGUGGUAUGAAAUUCUGCUACAAAGAGAUCAAGUUUCAUAUGACCUGAUAGAUUGUUUUUUAUCUAAAUUCUCUGUCAAGUAAUUUAGAUUCUGAUUUUUUCAUAAUUUUGCUUCAAGUCUUAUCGAUUUCUUAAUUGUAUUAUAACUACAUUAAGCAAGUUGUUUAUUGGCCACUUCAUAUGUUAAAUAUUAACUAUUCUCAUGUGAUUCAUAAUAAGUGUUCGCUUAUAGACGAUUGUGUAUUUGUUGUUUCUUAACUUUCUUUUAUUUGUACAUUUUCCAGUGUUAAACAUAAGAGACUUCCAAAAUGCAACUUUUCACUUUUGCAGUCAACAACAACAACAACAUAUCCAUUAUAAAUUCAUCAAGUGGAGUUUGGAACGGGUGGAUUUUAUGCAGAAAUGACGAUUUGAUUAAGAAAAAUUUAACUACUUGGAGAAAUAUCGAAUGCUGUAUAGAGGAGGUAGUAUCAAAAUUGAUUGUUCUAUAAGAACCAUUAACGGUGUCUUUGGCGAUUCGCAAAGGCAAGACACACCGAGUUUAAUCUUCUGGUACAUAUUUCACUAUCUCUUUUAUUUUAUCGAAAUUAUUUACUAAACAACUUUUGACAGUUUAAUUGGUAAUUUUGUAUUCCUUUUAUUUUGAUUAUGUUUGCAUAUCUUAUUCGUUAAUUUUUGGGAAUAAUGUGGUCUUGCUCUGUCAAAUUUUGCAUUUGGGGUUUCUCUGUUUAUCAGUACAUUGAUUUUUCAGUUAAAGUUGUUGUCAUGUGACCGGAAGGUCAAGGAUUUAAGCCUUUGAAAUAUAUUUGGCAGAAAUGCAAGAGAAGGUUGCGUACAUUACACCCUUGUGGUGGGGCUUUUCCCCUGACCAUGCGAAUAGCGGGAACUUUAGUGCACAGGGCUGCCUUUUUUUCCGGUUAGAUGUUGUUAGCAGACCAAUUGUUAAUUUCUGAAAUGUUUGCAGAUCUGCAUGUCCUGAGCCUUAUCGGGAACUAAGCAUAAUUUUGUGAUGAUUCAUCCUAAAAUUUCUCAUGGGUUUCUUCUCUUCCUGCUUCAUGCUCCUAUUUGGAAACCUCAAAAUCGGUGCUUAAAUGUUUUCUUUUAUAAGUUUAAUUUGCAUUUUCUUUUUCUUUUUCAAUUUCAGGGUGGAGAGUCUAGCAAAAUGUGUGGCACUACUGAAUUUUCACAUGCAUUUCACUUAGGUAUUGCCACUCACUUCAUUUAUAGGAUAGGGCACUUUUCAUCUUUUGCCAUCUUUAACUUGGUAUAGGAAGAUUUUUAUGAUUAUUCAUUCUAUUUAAUUCUUAUCUAAGCAAACUUUUCUCUAAGAAAAAAAAUCUUAUGUUGAUAAGUUAGUUGAUUUUCUUACAUAUCUCUCGAACAACACAUGCUACACACUACUGCUAUAAAUAUAUUGUUUUAUCUACUGCAUCGGCAAGUCAAUGAUAUAUGUGAAUUGUCUAGAGCACACAAGUUACAUGGUUAAAUAUUGCAGAUAUAGAAGAUAAUGAGAGAUCUGACAUAAGGAAGAUUGAACAUCAAAUUUAUGUUUCGUCUUUAAGAUUGAAUAAACAUUAGUCCGAAAAAAACUUCUUAUUGCGUGAAAUGAAUUGUGCAGUGUUCUCUGCAACUUAUCUUUAGCAAUGUUGUAUGUGUAUCUUUAUCCUCAAGUAACUUUAUUUCUUGAUAGUUGGAUGUGAGUGAAAUUCAUGAAGCUUAGUUUCUGGAUGACCUUUGUGAUCUCUAUUGCAAUGCUGCUGAUUUUGAUGGCUAUACUAUUAUUCUUGCAGGUCCAUAUGGUGAUUAAUUGAGGUAUUACUUGAUGACCUUUGUGAUCUCUAUUGCAAUUCUGCUGAUCUUGAUGGCUAUACUAUUAUUCUUGCAGGUCCAUAUGGUGAUUAAUUGAGGUAUUACUUGAAUUUUUAAAAAUUAUUUUUCAAGAUUGCAAUUUUUUCCAUUGACAAACUUUACGGUCAAAAAAAUAAUAUAGUAGCCAUGACAUAAAUUGUUAUAAUAAGAAAUGAAUCACCGUCGAGUACCACCAUUCAUUUCCAGUUUCAUUUCAAUAGAGUUUACCCGCAACCAUUGAGAACCACCAGAUCUCCAUCCAUAAGCCUCUAGAGCUUCGCCGAAUCAAAUCGACAAACACCCAUUUGAUAUUGAAUAAAUGAUUAAAUGUUGCAAAUGUGUUUUGGUGCAAGAGUUAAGAUUCUGUUUGAGUUUUUUAGUCCAUUUUCCAGGUACCAGUCGAUACAUUGAGUCCCCUGGUCUUCAAGAAUUACAAAUUAUGAUUGGAAGGUCCAUUUCUUUCUCACUGAUAUCUUGCUUUAAAGAUUUUCUCUAUAGUGUUCUUUUGCUGUUGAUUUGAGUAUGUGAUUUUUGCGGUCUUAUAUAUAAAGCAUAAAAUUGGUGGUUAUGUUGGGUUUCAAUAUGAAUUCUCUAUAUAUGAUAAGAUCAAUUCUGAAUUUUUGUGAUCAAAGAAAAUGGAAAAGUCACAUAGGUUUAUCAUGGGACGUUAUAGAUUUAUCAGCACGAAGAUUCCUUUAGUCGAUUUGGUAAAAUUAUCCAUUAUCGGGUUUGUACUUUUUCAUAAUCCAGUUUUAAUUGCAAUUUAUGCAAAUUCCUUUAAUUUUAAGUACCCAAUAUGUAUGCAUGUAUCAAUGUGUAUUAAAUGCAUCCUUCAAACUUCUGUCACUGAUUAUCAGUGUGAGUUACAUUCUUUCACUUUCAUAUGGACUAAUGGAGAAUCAAGCGGAAGACUUAUCUAAGACGCCAUAAGCCUGAGUAACAGCAGAGCGACGAAGUUUUUUGUUAUAUUUUGUCCUUGAAUUUCUGUUUUAUUCUCAUUCUCGAAAUUGGGAUCUUGCAUUUGUCUUUUUGUAUGUUUGAUUUGCUGUUGCUUUCAAAUUCGAUCUUAUAUCUCAUGAUUGUCAGCUUAAGUGGAAAUUCUAUCUUAAUUUUUUCACCGCAUAUAAUUUGGCAGUAAAUAGUUAAAGCCUUCGAUGGCUCAGUAGGUUGUAUAUUGAAGUCAAAAUAUAGGGACACACUUAGGAAAGUUCACUACACUAGGUAUAUGUGAAAGCAUUACUACUGGAAACCCUGUUUUUGAGAUAGCAUACAUGUGUUCUCUAACAAAAGAUUAAAGAUCUAGGAAAGAUGACAAUUUAAGAAACUUUCUAUUGCAUAUGAAUCAAGUAUCGGAAAAUAGCAGGAAGUUCAAAGGCUACAAGCUAGGUAUGAUGGUUAUGGCGCUCUAUGCUAUGAUCCCAGAUUUGUGGGUGGUGAUGGCUUGAUGUUGUACUUCCAUGGAGCAAAGGAAACUGACUUUGCUAUUUUCUCAGAUGACAACCUCCACAUUAAUGCACAUCUAAUUGGUACACAACCACAGGGAAGGAGGUGCGACUUUACAUGGGUUCAAACAUUUUCAGGCACGUUUGACACCCAUACAUUAGUUCUAGGAGCAAAGUGUUAAACUGGGAUGAAAAUGUUCAUGCUUUUACUGUACAGUGGAAUGGUGAGACAGUUGAUGUCCCGACGGAUGGAGAUACAGAAUAGUGUGUUUAACACUGCUGAGAGAUUAGUAGUGGUCAAGAGGACAGAUGAUCUUAACAUCACGAAGGUCACAGUUUCCACACUAUUGCAAUUGAAUGUAAAGUUUGUCCUCAUUGGUGAGAGAAAACAAAGGUUCACAACUAUCAGUUACCAGCAUAUGUUACUUUUGCUCAUCUAGAGACACAAUUUAAGUUUUUAAAUCUAUUUAAAGAAGAUGGCAAGUUAUGUUUAAUUUGAGUGCAAAGGUUAUAUUGUUAUACUAAAGAUAAGUUGUGACCUCUAAACUAAAAAUAAUAGGAAUUCAAUAUGAUCAAAUAAAGAAGAUUAUAAUUUUUUAAUAUUGUCCGCACAUCGUGCGGGCACACAUACUAGUUUAUUUUAUAAGUGUGAGGAUCAACUCUUUAGUAUGGAACAUCAUUUUAAAUGGAAGAAUACAUAAGUUGUAAUUUUAAGAUAAAAAGUUACUAAAAGAUGAUUACUUAGAUAUAUACCUUUAUUGUACUUCAAAAAAAAGUAAAGAAUCUAGAACCUCCUUGAAUUAUGACCAAAUUUGCUAUUACACCAAUUUCACGUAGGUCCUAUUACCUCUAAACUAAAUUUUAGUGUAUUUUUGUUAUUCAUUUUAGCUAACGUGGCAUCUUUUGUAAACUUUUGUAGCUGACAUGGCACCUUUGACGUGAGCCCCAUUUCAUGUAAUAAAGGUGUCACGUCAAUAGAAAAGGGUGAUAAAAGUAUGCUAAAAUUGAAUUCAGGGAGUAAUAUUGGAGUAUGUCGUAGCAACUUUAUUGUCAUGUUCUUUUUUUGACUGUUAUGUGCUGCUUUCUCUAUUAUUUAUCGUGUUUUAUUCACUAUCAUUUUUCCUUUUUUAAUAACUAAUUUGAUUUAUUGCAUUUGAGGAAAGUCCUUCAAAAACAAUCUCUACCUCCAUGAGGUAGAAAUAAGAUCUCACUUAUGAAAUUAUGUAAAAAUAUACCUCAUUGUAUAUAUUAAAAAAGGACCUUACCAAUUUGUUUUUGAUGCAAGAGAGACCAAGAAGAAAUGGAAACAUACACCAAAAACAGUCCACAAGUCAAGAAACCCGAGGACUCCUUUGAUGACCACACUCGGAUUCGCUACUUGAACAAGAAUGAGAUAAUAUCAAGGUGUUUUUUUGCUUGUUAUUACUUGAAUUAAUUUUUCCAUUUACAAUGAUGUUCAACACAAUAUGGUGAAGAAUAUAACAAUAACAACAAUACACGAUUACAAUGACAAGAACCAAACGGAUUACACUAGAAUAAGAACCAACGAUUACAAAGAAAAGUAAUGAUAGGAAGAUAGACAAAUGAAGAUGUAAUUUUAAGAACCAAAGAAAAUAUUCCACUCUUGGACCCUUAAGCCCACACACUAAAAUCACCUAUAGCUUACAAUGACACAAGAGAGGCGUCCACCACCCAAGCACUAAUGUAUCAAGCAAAAUGCAACACGCAAGUGAUUCCACCCUUGUGCUAUGCCCUAGUUUCGGAUUAGGACUCUUCUUUCUAAGAGAAGUGUUCUCUCAAUAACAAGCAUAAACCAAUGUUAAUAAACCCUACAAUGUUCUAUAUAUACAACAUUACAAAUAAAAGAGAAAUGACAAAAGGGCCCUUUAAUAGAGGGCUCCACUUGGGUUUGUGCACUCUUUAAAUGGUCUUCAAAAUGCUCAAAAAAUGUCCAUGGUCGUGAUGAUACUUGUAUAAUCCUCUCCAACUUGAGAGGAAUAUUACCACAAAUUCAUAGGCUAACCUCUUUUACAAAAGCACUUCACAAUCUCCUUCUUGCGGCCACACAUCUUGUCCAUACUCUUCAUUUUACACUUCAGUUUCUUCAUGCUCUCCAUCUUGCGGUUUGACAUCAUUCUUAACCGAUUCACUGCCCACCUCUACUCCAAGAUAGUACAAUCUAUCCUCCCUUGGGAUUAUAUUUCUCUGAUUUGGGCACUCACUAGCCUUGUGCCCCCACCCUUGACACUUGAAGCAUUGAAACUCCUUGGGAUUGGAAGUAGAAUUCAAUUUACCUUCAUACCUUGAAGAAUAUUUUUGGACAACCUUGGUGGCCUCGGGGCAGCCAUGAAUGAGUUAUCUUUGAGCUCCCUCUCAACCUCUGAAGCUGCAUGGAAAAUUCCAUCCAUGGUGUUGAAUUUGUGAAGCAUCAUGCGAGUGAAGAUGUCCUUGUUCACAAUGUCAUGACUUACUUGCUCGCCUCGGUGGUCAAGUUUCAACAUCAAUUGUUGAAAUUCAUCGUAGUAAGCCAUGACACUUUUGCUCCCUUGCCUUAAAUUGUACAAUUUUUCAAGGAGCUCAUGCCUAUAAGCCUCGGGAAAGUACCUUUGUUGUAUAAGGUUCUUCAACUAAAACCAAGGAAGAGGUUGUCCCCCGUUCAUCUCAUUUCCAAACCAUUUAACAUACUCCCACCACGUAUUAGCAUACCCUUCAAAGUUAGCUAUCUCAUAGCAAUUCUUCUUUUCCUCGAUGAUAUCAUUAAGUUGGAAUAUCUUGUCACACGAUGACUCCAAAGAAAGAUAAGAUUCAGGAUCACUCUCACCCUUGAAUAUUGGAAGGCUAACUUUGAUGGAGUUUAGCCCUACAUCACGAUUUUGGUUCCCUUGUUGAUUCCAAUGACCAACUCUACCUUUUCGGCCAUGAACUUCCCUCGGAUCACAAUGCCUUCCCCUUAUCUCUUCCCCUCCCAUAUAAGCAUCAUCAUACGACCCAUAACCAUCAUGUUGUCCUCCCCUACCAUAGCCCUCAACAUAGAUGGGUCUAUUUGGGUUAAGUGGAGCUUUUAGUAUUGGAUUUGGAUAGUAAGGUCUUUGGUCAAGUGGAGAUUGGAUGGGAGGGUUCGGUUUAGGUGGUGGUAUUUGGGUUCCAAGCCCUUCUUUUUGGACUUGGUGGAGUGGAGGAUGUUAUGGUCUAUCUUGUUCUCGGCUUUGGGAGUAAAGAUUGGUUUGAUUUGUGGAAAUUGGUAUAUAUAGCAUUUGGUGCAAGGUCUCGGGAGUAUUAUUUGGGUAAAUGUUUAGACGGGUGGAAGGUCAACUCCUUUGGAUUUCCACACGUUCUAAUAUCCCACACAUUGAUGCCACAUCCAUAUCUAAUUUCUCAAGACCCACAUUCAACCUAGCCACAUCUCGAGACAUAGUUUCAAGGCGAGCAAAAAUGAGAUUGAUGGAAUUAUUGUCCAUUUUCUGAGCAUUUGAAGCCUCGAGUUCCAUUGUAGUUGUACCGAAAAUAACCCUUCAAGUUAUAGUCCAAUCAAGACACGAAAUCAGUCUGCAACGUCACACACAGCAAUACAAUACAAAACCUACAACACAAACACACAAUAGUUCCAAAAAAACUCACUUCACACUCACACACUUGUGAUCUCACACUUGAUUUCACAAAUGUUUGCAAGCUUGAUUGUAUCCCGUGCUUGAGAUGUUGAGAGGUGAACUAAUUGUUUACAAUGGCUCAAAAGAAUAAAGCACACAAAGGAACAUUAACACGAAGGGCGGUUUCAAGACUAACUUACAAUCUAGGACUAGCUUGUAAGUUAGUAAUGGAAUCAACAAUUGAGACAAAACAGACAACAAAAUGAAAGUAGAAGAUCAAAAUUUUGAGCUUAAAAUUGUUGUGUGAACAGUAAUUUCAUGACGUGUCACUAUCCAAUUGUCUACGGUUUUCCUCAAUUUGGAAUGGAUGAAAUUGUUUUAGAGGGAAAGUGUAAGUCUUAGAGCCUUUUUCCAAUUUCAAUCUUAAAAUAGAUGUGACUUUGAAUUGUAAAAUUUCCACAAAACAAGACCCUUGAAAUAGGGAAAUUGGUUGGAAGUGAUGGGCUCAAGUCCUCUCACCAAUAAGUCUUACAACUUUAUUCUUCACCUUUUUAGAUCUAAAGUUCGCUUUUCUUGUUUUAACAAAAGAUGUAAGGUGAAGAACAACAAGAAGUCACAACAACCUUCAAGAACAAAAACAAUAUCCACAUAUCCAAGACCCAACCCGCCACAACAAACCACAAAUUUUUGGCCUAGGCCUUUGUUCACAAAACAACUUUAACAAGUUUAUGCCCAAAUAUAGAUCUAGAUACCUUUAGUGUUAGUGAAUCAAGAAAAUAACACAAGAAACAACAAUAACAACAAAAUAAACCCUAGGCCUAAACUCCACAAAUUGCGGCCAAGAAUAUAACAACAACAAGCUAAUUUCUCGGCCAAGAACAAACACAAGAAGCACUUCUUUCUCUUUUUUUCAUUUUUUUGAAUUUUCAACUACCAAGCUCAAGAUUGAUUUUAUUGGAACAAAAUCAACCACAAGCUUUGAUACCAAAUGAUGCAAGAGAGACCAAGAAGACACGGAAACAUACACCAAAAAUAGUCCACAAGUCAAAAACUCCGAGGACUCCUUUGAUGACCACACUCGGAUUCGCUACGUGAACAAGAAUGAGAUAAUAUCAAGGUGUUAUUGGCACCAAACUAGCAACCAAACUAAGUUAUCAACACAAUAUGGUGAAUAAUAUAACAAUAACAACAAUACACGAUUACAAUGACAAAAACCAAACGGAUUACAUUAGAAUAAGAACCAACAUAUUCCACUCUUGGACCCUUAACAACACACACUACAAUCACCUAUAUCUUACAAUGACACAAGAGAGGCGUCCACCACCCAAGCACCAGCGUAUCAAGCAAAAGUCAAUACAUAAGUGAUUCCACCCUUGUUGUAAGACCCCACAAAGUUCCCGCAUCGUUAAAGACUUUAAAGUGAACUAGAAGAAGCUUAAAGCUUAGAAUUUUAGCUAAGUGCUCAACACUUGGUUUAUUUUGAGCCUUCAAUCUUCAUUGAAUUAUUUCGCGACCUUUCCAACCUCUAUUUCUUGAAUUUUUUACUAUGUUGCGAUGGGGCAGGGUUGUAGUACAUCUCGGGUGAGUUUUGGAAUUUUUAGACGAGCCUAAGGUCGUGUUUGGAUUGGCAAAACAGUAGCAAAAGGCUGUAAGCCCGCAUCGCCUGGCUUACGCCACUGGUCUAAGCAGGGUGCCGCCUAGGCUAGACCAGAGGUCUAAGAAAGGUGUUGCCCAGGCUAGACCGGGGGUCCAAGCAGGGCGCUGCCCUGGAUAUCGUGCCAGGCCAAAUUUCAGCUUCCUACUCCGACUCAUUAAGGGAAUGUGGUAUUUUUCAACCCCUUAUCAACUCUAACACAGGCUUAAAUCCUUAGAACCCAAAAAUAAUCUUAGGUUCAUCAAAUUUUCUCAAGAACUCUCACUAGGGUUACAACCUAAAAAUCCAUAUAUCUCAAGAUUCAAUCGUGAGUUUUCGAUAAGUCUUCAAAAUUCGGAUUCCCCAUUCCGAGGGCUACAAUAAGCACCCAUUAGUUUCAAGAAUAGCAAACCAAAGUCCAGAGUUCAGUCAAAGCUUCAAGUUUAAGGUAUGUACGAUUUUGAACCAGAACACCCUUUCGUUCUUGUGCCCAAAAGUUUUAGUUUUUCUUAAAGAAUUUCAUAUUUUCAAGAUGAAUUCAUGUCUAUUUUACUAUAUUUCGAAAUUAUAAUAUUAAGACUUGUUCAAUUCUUAAGUUGUGUGAUUAUUUUGUUUAAUUAUAAUAUAAAUUGAGAAGUUCAUGUUAUACAUUGCCAUUCCUAUAUUGAUGUCAUAUUUUCUAUGAUUUUCCAAGAUUUGUUGUCAUGAACUAAGAGUUAAUAACUCAAAUGGUCACUGAACUUACGAUUUUUUUCUCACUCAACUUUGAUUUUCACUUCAAAAGUCACUUAAGUAUGAAUAUUUUACUUAUAAAGUCACUCAACCAUUUAAUUAUUUGUUUUAAUUAUAAUUUGCUAAAUUAAAAUUUUAUUUAAAACCAAAAUUCUAAAAAAACUAAAAAAAUAUUUGAACUAUAUUUAUUACAUAUUCUCAUGUUUACUUUAUAUUUAACCCUCUGAAAUUUUAAAAUAUCCUAAAUAGUUUAUAUCAAUUCACUUAUAAUGUUAAUAUUAAUUUUUAAGAUUUUUUGAAUCAUAUUCAUUUAGUUGAUUAGAUUUAAUUAACUUUCAACGUGAUACUUAUUUACGAAAUUGAUUUUCAAUCACAAUGUAAUUUUUUAUAUUACCACUUGUAUAAUAUACAUAUGCAUCAAAUAAAUACAAUAAAUUCUAUUCCUAAUAAGUUGAUAAAAGGGAUUGUUAUAGAUUUUAAACUAAAAUGAUAUAAUAUAAAACAUUACCAAAUGUUAUUAAACAUUUGUACAGUAUAAUAUAUACACUGCAACAAAGUAAAAUUACCCGCAAAGAUUGUACAAUCAAAUGAGUGUGGUUUUAGGAUAUUAAUUGAUGAUCUGUAUGACCAUAUACACUUUAUAGUAUAGAGUAACCGUUAGACAAGAAAAUAGUAGUAAAAUCAAAAUUCUAAGAAAUAAAAAAGAUAUUCAAUUAAACCAUUUAAAUGAAUUUUGGAUGUGGCCGGAUCACUAAAUUGAUUGUUUAAAUGAAAAUCUUUUUUAUUUCUUAAAAUUUUUGUUUUAAAUAAAAAUGACAUGAUAAAAAAUUUUAAUGAAAAAAUUAAUAAAAUAGCUUGAGUGAUUUUCUGAGAAAAGAAUUCAUACUUGAAUGACUUUUGAAGGAAAAAUUAAAGUUGAAUUACUUUCUGAGAAAAGAACUCAUAGUUGAGUGACUUUUGGAGUAAGAAUCAAAGUUGAUACUUUCUGAGAGAAAAAUCACAAGUUGAGUGACCAUUUGAGUUAUUAACUCCAUGAACUAAGCCUUAUUGUGAAAUUAUGAACCUUUGAGAAUGAGUUAUUGAUACUCUUUAAAGUGUUUCAAGAAGUGUACUUAAAUCCACAUGCUAUUGAGUAUUCAAGUUUAUUCAUGAUAAGUCUAUCGAGAUUUCAAUAAAAACAUUGAGUCUUUAUCCUAAGCUAAGAAAGAAAUCAACAUCAUUUUAAUUUAAGAUAAGGCGAAGCAUAUUGGCUCCCAUUUCAUGUGUUAAGUUGUUUAAGGUGGAUUUUCUUAAAAGUUCUGAGCUAAGUAAGGGAGUAGUAUUUAGCACCGAGUUGGGCUUGAUUCCGAGGUCUCAUGCCCUUGAACUACGUGCGCCCGUAGGUUUCUGAUUUACCCUAAGUGGGUUAAAAUAGUGAUCACUAAAAAGUUAAGGCUCUACUCCGAUGGCAAGGAUAGAAAAACUCUCCCCAACGUGAGUAAGACGUUGGAAUUCAUGUAGCUCACAUGGUUUAUGUCGGUUAGAAGAAAAUCCCGAGUCCCAAAGUUGUAUAAUCCCAAGUCUCCCAAGUUUUCUAGAGUCUCAAGUCGUAAAGUUCUUAAAAGUACCAAAUGCUUGAAUUUUAAAGAUGUUUUACUCUCCCAAGGCUAAAAGCAUGAAUUUUGAAAGUAUAAGUAUUUCAAAAGCUAUUGUUUUAAGAUUUAUAAGAUUUCAAAGUGUCAUGAUGUUUAAGUCCUAAAGAAGUUACUUGUUCUCACAAGAUUAAAGCAUAAGUCCUGAAAGUUGAUAUUUUCAGAUUUUAUUUAGUUUACAAGUUGAGAACAAAUAAAGAAGGCAGAUUUAGAAUAAAGUAAAAUGGCGCACAUGAUUUAUAUUGUAUGUUUCCCAUCCAUGAUUUCUGAGGAUUUUAUUCAAGCUAUGUGAGUCAUCUAUUAUAUCAUGCAUGUUUUCUGUAAAGACUUAUGAUGUUAACUAUUUAACUGCCACACCCCCAUAUACUCAGUACAUUCCCGAGGUACUGUCCACAUACUUGUCUGUGUGCUACAUUUUCUCGUAAUGUAGGUUCGGGUGCUCAGUCCCAGCCUCGUCAGUGAUUCCCGCAUGCCUUUAUCUACAUCUCCACAGUGGUGAGUCCUCAUGAUUCGAGGACCUAUUAUCUUCAGACAUUCAUUUUAUCUAGUAGUUGUGUAUUUCUUUUCAGUUAAGUAUGUAUUAGUUGGGAAUCUGUCCCAAUGGCUCUCUAGUUUCUUGAGUAGUAGAGGUUGUGUUAGACUAGUUAUCAGACUGUUAGUAUGCUACGGUUUUUAGUAUUGUGACUAUUCAGAUAGAGAAUUUUCUUAGUAUCCCUUAUGAUUUGAUAUGACAGUACCAGUGUUUUGUUUAUUUUAUCUAUAAGUAAGGUAUCACAUGAAGUAGCAGGCUCAAAGGGUUAGCUUGGGGCUACUUGUAGCCUUAAGCACCGUGUGACGUCUCCGAUCCCGUUUUCAGGGUGUUACACUUGUUUUAUGCCCUAGUUUCAGAUUAGGACUCUCUCUUUCUAAGAGAAGUGUUCUCUCGAUAACAAGCACAAACCAAUGGAAAUAAACCCCUUAAUAUUCAAUAUAUACAACAUUACAAAUAUAAGAGAAAUGACAAAAGGGCCCUUCACUAGAGGGCUCCAAAGCCUCCCCAUUGAGAGCACCAAAAGGGAGGGUUUGGGCCUCCUCUUCAGUUGGGUUUGUGCACUCUUUAAGUGGUCUUCAAAAUGCUCAAAAAGUGUCCAUGAUUGUGAUCAUACUUGUAUCAGUUGUUCCAAUCACAACUUUUGUGAUUAUAUAGUUGCCUGCCACUAAUAUUUUGUGGACUAAUAAGUCAAUAAAGAAAUAAUAUGAUAAGAGGGAGUAUCAUAGCAAAUCUCCAGCUAAGGAGCCAAAAAGGAAAACUUUUUGACUCAUAAAGUGAAUAUCACCUAAAUUUUUUUACCCUUUUCCAACAGUUUUCAUGACCCUUGGAAGUGCUCGAAUUGUCAGAGGGUUCAAAUGCUACAUAAUUGACUCAUAAAGUGAAUAUAAGAUCAGUGAAGUCACAACAAGAUUUUCAGAGGGUUCAAAUGCUACAUAAUUAUCACAAGUUUUCUUUUAUUGCUCUAAUGAAACCUUUUCAAGAUAGUAGAUUUAUCAACAAAUACAGAAGGAGAUUGCGCAUGCCAAUAGCUACUUCUAACUGUAAUGGAAAAAUAUGGGUCUUUAUAAACCAUGAUUUUGAUAUUAUAGUUAUUAGUAAUACAGAAAAACAGCUUACUAUAAAGCUGAAACAUCAGAUCAUGCAUCAGAGUUUUUACAUCACUAUUGUUUAUGCUAAGUGCAAUGCAGAUCAAAGAUUAGUUUUGUGGAAUGAUAUUUAUCAGGUGGAAUAUUAAAUUGAUGGCCCUUGGUUAGUUGGGGGUGACUUUAAUGUGGUGAUAAAUGCAGAAGAGAAAAUAGGAGGUCUGCCUGUGGUAAAUGCUGAUCAUGAAGACUUUGAAUGUUGUAUCUCAUCUUGUGACUUAACAGAAGUUCCUUUCAAAGAGAGCCCCUUCACAUGGUGGAAUGAUAGAGUUGAUAAUGAUUGUAUUUUUGAGAGGUUGGAUAGAAUUUUUAUUAAUCAAGAUAUGCAAGACUGGUUCAAUCAUACUGAAGUUGAACAUUUACCAAGAACUAGAUCAGACCAUGCUCCAAUGUUGCUUACUUGUGAAGAAAAUGAUUCCAGAUAUAGGAAACCAUUCAGGUUUCUACAAUUUUGGACAGAACAUAAAGUCUUUAAGGAGAUUGUUAGGCAGAAUUGGGUUUCCAAUGAUUCUGGAAAUCCUUUUCUAGCUUUUAAUAAGGAGAACAUAAAGAGGGUUAAGAAUGCUUUGACCAAAUGGAGCAAGGACACUUAUGGGGAUAUUUUCAAGCAAUUGAUCAUUAGAGAAGAUUGUUAGAAUCAAAGAGAAUCUCUUUGAAGAAGUGCCAAAUACUAUGAAUAGAGUUGUGUUGCAGAAGGCUCAAGCUGAAUUUAAAAGAUAUCUCCAUUUUGAAGAGAUUUUUUGGCGACAAAAAGUUAGGUAUGAUUGGUUUGAAAAUGUGGAUAGAAAUACAAGAUUCUUCCACAACAUAGUAAAGGGAAGAAGGAAUAGACUUCAUCUAAAGAGAAUACAAAAAAGUCAGGGGACCUGGUUGGAAGAGGAAGGAGAGAUAGCUGUAGAAGCCAUUGAUUUUUACCAUACACAGUUCUCUAAAGAGAGAGAUGCCACUGAUUUUUCAUUAUUGAGGCACAUCUCUGAAUCUGUGAGUCUUGAAGAGAACCUUUUGUUAUGCAAAACCCCAGAGUUAGAGGAGGUUAAGAAGGUUGGUUUUGCCUUGAAUAGUGAUAGUGCUAGUGUACCUGAUGGUUUAACAGAGAGAUUCUACCAGUGUUGUUGGGAUAUAGUUGGGAAUGAUAUCCUAACAAUAGUUCAUGAUUUUUUUCAAGGUAACUCUUUGCCAAAGUGUAUUACUCAUACUAAAUUGGUGCUUUUACCUAAGAAAGAAAAUGUUCAAUCUUUCUCAGAUUUAAGACCUAUUAGUUUGAAUAAUUUCAUCAAUAAAAUUCUUUCUAGAAUUAUUCAUGAUAGACUUGAGGCUUUGAUACCUAAUUUGAUCUCUUGUAAUCAAUUUGGUUUUAUAAAAGGUAGAAACAUCAUCAAAAAUAUUUUAUUGACUCAAGAGAUUGUUACGGAUAUCAGAAAGAGAGGUAAGCCUGCAAAUGUGAUACUUAAGCUUGAUAUGACUAAAGCCUAUGACAGAGUUUCUUGGUUCUUUCUGAUGAAAGUUUUAAGAAAAAUGGGCUUCUCUCAUAUUUUUGUAGACUUGAUUUGGAGAUUGAUAUCUAACAAUUGGUAUUUUGUGUUGAUUAAUAGGCAAGCUCAGGGUUUCUUUCACUCAACUAGAGGUGUUAAGAAAGGGGAUCCUUUAUCUCCUGCCCUUUUUAUUUUAUCGGCAAAGGUUUUAUCUAGAUCCUUGAAUGCUUUAUUUGAGGAUGUGCAGUUUGUUGGUUAUGGUCUUCCUAAGUGGAGUUCACAAUUGAAUCAUCUUGCAUAUGCAUAUAAUACUAUUAUUUUUGCUUCUGCUGACAAAUAUUUUUGAAAAAGAUUGUGUCAACUUUACAUGAAUAUGAAGUUUAGUCUGGUCAGAAAAUUAAUAAAGAAAAGAGUUCUUUCUUUAUACAUCAGAGUGUUGCUGCAAAUUUAAAAAGAUUAGUGGAAGAAUGCACAGGUUUUUCUAGGGGUCAUUUUCCAUUCAAAUACCUUGGUUGUCCGAUCACUCAUGCUAGGAAAAGAAAAGAGCAUUAUGUUGAGCUUAUUAGAAGAGUGAGAGACACAAUUCAUGCUUGGAAAGGGAACAUAUUGUCCUUCGAGGGCAAGGAAGUGUUAAUCACUAGUGUUUUACAAAGUACUCCAAUUCAUGUGUUAUCUGCAGUUGUUCCUCCUAAUUGUGUGUUGAAAGAGCUUCAUAGAAUUUUUGCAAAAUUCUUUUGGAGUAAUAAAAUUUUAGGUAGGAGCAAGUAUUGGGCUUCUUGGGAUAAGGUUUGCUUACCUAAAUUUGAAGGUGGUUUGGGUUUUAAAUCUAUGGGUGAUAUAUCUCAAGCUAUGUUUGCCAAGCUUUGGUGGAAAUUCAUGACCCAAAAUUUAUUAUGGGCUAAUUUCAUGUGGAACAAAUACUGCAAAAAACAAAUUCCCGCUCUUGUUCAAUGGAAAGGUGGUUCUCAAGUAUGGAAACACAUGCUGCAAAAUAGAGAGAUUGUUGAAUAGAAUUUGUGGUGGGAACCAAGAGGAGGCUCAUCUAGCAUUUGGUUUGAUAAUUUGACUAAUCUUGGUCCAUUAUAUGUUCAACGUAUUGAUGUUCUAGGAUGUCAUUCUGUGACAGAUAUUGAUAUGUUCUUGACAGAAGAUGGUUGGGAUUUUGAACUCAUGCAAGAACAUUUGCCUAGUAAUACUGGUGAGCAUGUUAGGAUGAAUAUGGGCAAUGUUAGCCAGACUAGAGAAAUGGAUAAACCUUGGUGGAUAAAGAAUAGUACUGGAAAAUUCACUGUCAAAUCUAUUUGGGAAAUUUUAAGAAAGAAAUCUGCUCCUAAUAAUGAUUUUAUGAUGUUGUGGGUGAAGGGGCUUCCUUUCAAAAUUUCUUUUUUUUUUGGAUGGAGGGUAUGUACACAUAGGGUUCCUAUAGCUUCUGUCAUGGCUACCUGGAAUCUUACCAUUUCCCAAAUGUGUCAGUGUUGUAGAAUUCCCAUGAGGGAAACCAUAGAGCACCUAUUCUUGACAUGAGAAGAAGCUAUUUUUAUAUGGGAUUAUUAUGCUAGAUGUGCUGGUCUCUUAGGCCCUUGGGUACAGGUUAAACAGACUAUGAAGAAAUGGAGGGUUUUUCAAGGUAAUAUUAGACAGAAAAUAAUCUUUCAGACACUUCCUAACAUCAUCCUAUGGUUUAUAUGGAAGAGGAGGAAUACAAUUCUUCAUGGUGGUUCAUACUCUAGAAAUAAGGUUUUAUGGGACAUUAAUGAUUCUAUCUAUAAAUUUAUUAGGUUAAAGUUCAAUUUCUUUUCCUAAUAAUUGGCCCCAAAUGGUUUCUCUUUUGGAAAAUUAUAGACCUAAUUUUCAUUGUAAAGUUGUUAGGUGGAUGGCUCCACCUUUUGGUUAGUUAAAAUGUAAUACUGAUAGGGCCUCUAAAGGUAACCCAGGUCCAGUGCUGCUGCUUUUUGUUUGAGAAAUCAUGAAGGAGAAUUUGUGGGAGCUAAAGUUUUCAGAUUGCUGAUACAACUAACCUAGUGGCUGAGGCUAGAGCUAUAAGGGAAGGGCUCCAAUACUGUUUAGAUAAUCCGCUCACCAACAUUAUCAUGGAAACUGACUCUUUGGCUAUGGUUAACAUUAUCAAUGGAGAUUGAGAGAUUCCUUGAACUGUUUCUAUGGAGGUCAAGACCAUUAACAGGAUCAGAAAUGGCCUAUUAGUGAGACUACAACACUCCUUAAGGGAGGAAAAUACUCUUGCUGAUUUUUUUGCUAAUUUAAUUUUUAGUUUUGCAGGUACAUAUGAAUUCAGCUCAAUUCAAGAAGUCCCAAGUGCAGGGAGAAAGAUUAUUAAUCUUGAGAAGAUCAACACUCCAAGCAUGAGAAUCAGAAAAAUAAAUAUAUCAAGCAAUUCCAACUGAUAAGUUCAAAUCUUAAGUUUUACUGUACAUGUUUCAUUGUUUGAAAAAAAAUAACUAUUUUAAUACUAAUACUUUAUAGGCUAAUCAAUAAAGAAAUAAUAAAUCUCCAGCUUAGCUUAGGACUCAAAGACAAAUAGUGGAGUAUCUUUUUUCUUAAAAAAAGUAAACUUUUUGACUGUGUGCUAUCACUCAAUUAUGAAGAUUAUCUUUAAUUUGAAAAAAAAAAAUAUUUUAAUACUAAUACUUUAUAGGCUAAUCAAUAAAUAAAUAAUAAAUCUCCAGCUUAGGACUUAGGAGCCAAAUAGUGGAGUAUUUUUUCUCUUAAAGAAAACAAAUUUUUUGACUCAUACAAUGAGCUAUGACUCAAUUUUCAAGACUAUCUUUAAUUUGAAAAAAUAUAAAUAUUUUCAUUUUUUAUUCAACGAAACAUAUAACAAUUUAACAAGUACUUUCUUCAUUUAAAAAAAAAAAUUGAUUUUUUUUUAUUUUUAAUCUAUUUAAAAAAUAUUUUUUUUAAUAAUACUAUUCCAACUUUUCACGUGGUACAUUUAAAACUACAAAAUAAAAUGAUAUUUUAGUAUUAAAAGUUGGGAGUAACAUUAAUAUACAGGUUUACAUUGAAAUUAAAUAUUUUAAUUUUCGAUAUGCCAAUGCACGGAUGUUUAGCAAGGAGGUGAGAGAUAUUGGCUAUGAUAAGGGUAUGAGGAGAAGUAGAGUUACAUGGAAGAAGUAUAGAAAGAGAUAAGUAGACCUGAUAUGAUAUACUUGUAAAUAUGAAGGUUGAGAUUAUGAUAGAAGAGUAAUAGGUAGUUGAAUGUUGUUUACUUUUUCUUUAUUAGUGUUGUUAUUACUAUUCACAUGUUAUUAAUCUGUACUUCGAUUCUAUUAUUACAUAUUUUCUUUGCUUCCAACUAUGUGUUGUUGCAAUCGUUUCUCUUUUUUCAGUUGAACAUAAGUAUUUUCCUAUUAUAUUAUCUUUUUUAUAGGUGAUUUUAUGCUUUACUUACUCUGAAUGUCUAUCAAAAAUAACUUUUUAACUUUACAAGGUAGAAACAAAGUUACAUACAAACUCUCUUUUCAUAGAUAUUCACUUGCGAAAUUAUACCGAUUAUAUUUUUGUUGUAACAUCUAUAUACCCAAAGGCAGAAGCAAAGUCAUUAUACUAAUUAUAAAUUCAACAAAUUCAAUAACUUUAACUUAAAUUUUAUUUUCUGUACUAAAUUAUAAAAAGAAGUAUGAUUCAGACCUUAUAAAGUAAAGAUUUUCGAUUGCUGCUCUAGCCAAAAACGCCUUUGUCCAGGACAAAUGUACUUUUAAAUAUGUUUAUUUAAAAUUAAAGAAUAUCCAAUUUUAAUUAUAACUUUUAGAAUGAGAGAACUUCUUUAUUGUACUUAAAAAUAUAUAAAGUAUUAGAAUGUCAGACAUAUUCCCCCUACCACAACAAGACGUUCUCGUAUAAGUAGUGGCUAGUGGCCGGGCAAAGUGUCCAACACAGUUUGGUUCAACUUUUCAACCAUAGAUAAUAGUGCACAUUCAGUCAAUGUUUUCUGACCUUGUUCUCGUAUAAGGUGUAAAAAAAGUGUUUAUUUUAUUUUGUAACUUGUCUUAUUCUCCAUUGUGUUUUAAUUCAACUGAACACGAAAUUCAUGCAAUCAUCUUUGAAUUUUAUGAUCUUCAACAUAUAACCUAAGUGUGGGAUAAUGCCAAUAGAUAAUGUAAGUGUUGGAUAAUGCCAACACUGUGUUUAACAAUGCCCAAGGUGAGGCUAGGGAUUAGGGUGACAUGGGUGUGAGUUAUGAUCGAACAUGGUGUUUGUCUGAUGAGCUUGAUUAAGAAAUAAAGUUACACCCUUGUUGUCAUCUAUAACUUUUGACAUCACAUAUUGAAAUUAACGAAUUAUAUUUAAUAUACAAAGUAUGAUUACUUUUUAAACAAAAUAGGAAAAAUGCUCCAUUACCACAUUGAACUAGGGCUGUCAAGUGGGCCGGUUCCGGGUUUUAACUGGGUUGAGAGCCGGGCCGGGGCCGGGUUGGGGUCUAAGUGGGCCAGGCCGGUUCGGGCCCAACAGUAAAAAAAUCAAAAACCACCCUAACCCGGCCCACUUAACCCAACCCGGUCAAACCCACCUAAACCUGGUCAAACCCGUUUAAAAAACCGAUCAAAAAUAUUUUAAAAAAAAAAAAUUUCAAUAUACAUUAUAUAUACCCACCUAUAUACAUUAUAAAUACGUUAAACAAUAUAUAUACACUAUAUAUAUAGUAUAUGCUACAUUAGAAUUUAAAAAAUAUAUACACAAUUACACAUAUAUAUGUACCAUCCAAAUAUAUAUGUACUACUUUAAACUUUAAAAUUUAAAUAAAAUAUACUACAAUAUAUAUAUACACAUGUAGAUGUUAAAUAUACACGUCUAUAGAAGAUCUAUUCACAUAUAAACACUCUAAUCUAUGUAUAUGUAAUACUUUAAAUGAAAUAUACUAUAAUAUAUAAACAUUACAAUAUAUAUGUGUAUAGUUAUAUACUAAUUUAUGAAACAUAUACACAUGUAUACGUUAAAUAUACACGUCUAUAGAAGAUNNNNNNNNNNNNNNNNNNNNNNNNNNNNNNNNNNNNNNNNNNNNNNNNNNNNNNNNNNNNNNNNNNNNNNNNNNNNNNNNNNNNNNNNNNNNNNNNNNNNNNNNNNNNNNNNNNNNNNNNNNNNNNNNNNNNNNNNNNNNNNNNNNNNNNNNNNNNNNNNNNNNNNNNNNNNNNNNNNNNNNNNNNNNNNNNNNNNNNNNNNNNNNNNNNNNNNNNNNNNNNNNNNNNNNNNNNNNNNNNNNNNNNNNNNNNNNNNNNNNNNNNNNNNNNNNNNNNNNNNNNNNNNNNNNNNNNNNNNNNNNNNNNNNNNNNNNNNNNNNNNNNNNNNNNNNNNNNNNNNNNNNNNNNNNNNNNNNNNNNNNNNNNNNNNNNNNNNNNNNNNNNNNNNNNNNNNNNNNNNNNNNNNNNNNNNNNNNNNNNNNNNNNNNNNNNNNNNNNNNNNNNNNNNNNNNNNNNNNNNNNNNNNNNNNNNNNNNNNNNNNNNNNNNNNNNNNNNNNNNNNNNNNNNNNNNNNNNNNNNNNNNNNNNNNNNNNNNNNNNNNNNNNNNNNNNNNNNNNNNNNNNNNNNNNNNNNNNNNNNNNNNNNNNNNNNNNNNNNNNNNNNNNNNNNNNNNNNNNNNNNNNNNNNNNNNNNNNNNNNNNNNNNNNNNNNNNNNNNNNNNNNNNNNNNNNNNNNNNNNNNNNNNNNNNNNNNNNNNNNNNNNNNNNNNNNNNNNNNNNNNNNNNNNNNNNNNNNNNNNNNNNNNNNNNNNNNNNNNNNNNNNNNNNNNNNNNNNNNNNNNNNNNNNNNNNNNNNNNNNNNNNNNNNNNNNNNNNNNNNNNNNNNNNNNNNNNNNNNNNNNNNNNNNNNNNNNNNNNNNNNNNNNNNNNNNNNNNNNNNNNNNNUCUAAUCCAAUCUCUGAGGCAAACUAGAACAUUCAUUGCAUUGCUUCCCAAUGAGUGUCGGUUGUCUCCAAGUUGUUGUCGUCCCUGACUAAAGGCGAUCUCUGAUGCAACGGUUGACAUUGGAACAUUCAAGAUAUCUCUAGCUAAUCUUGAAAUUAUAGGAUAUUGUGUUCCAUUACUCCUUCACCAAUCCAACGUGUUGAUCCGUCGUCUGCGAUCCUCUGGUACUGUCCGAAGAUAAUAUUUCAGCUCUUCCCGAUAAGUUGAUAUAUAAGUUCUCUCGUCAACACUGUUCCAACAAUUUAAAUCAUAAAACAAAUCAUAAAAACCACUAUGUGCCGGCCUUUUAGAAGAUGAUGGCUCCUCGGGAGGAUGAGGAGCGACAAUUGGAGUGAUAUUUUUAGGUACGGCUAAAUCAAAUAAAUCAGCAUAGUGAUUAUAUAAUUUUUCUAUGUAAUCCUUUGCAUCAGCCGUAGCCGUCCACAAAUCAGGUUGUACUUGUUCAGAAUCAUGGUUAGCAUUUAUUUCUAAGUUAGUAUAAAUAAGAGUACUAAAGUGACACAUAUUAUUAUACUUCAUGCACAGAUUUAGCAUAGUACCAACCAAGUAAAUAGGGGGAAUUGGAAAAAAAUAUUUUUUAAAUUUUGUAAACAUGGCGCCAACAGCUUCUUUAUAACCUUCUUUAUUUUUAUAUUCUUUGAGCAAACNNNNNNNNNNNNNNNNNNNNNNNNNNNNNNNNNNNNNNNNNNNNNNNNNNNNNNNNNNNNNNNNNNNNNNNNNNNNNNNNNNNNNNNNNNNNNNNNNNNNNNNNNNNNNNNNNNNNNNNNNNNNNNNNNNNNNNNNNNNNNNNNNNNNNNNNNNNNNNNNNNNNNNNNNNNNNNNNNNNNNNNNNNNNNNNNNNNNNNNNNNNNNNNNNNNNNNNNNNNNNNNNNNNNNNNNNNNNNNNNNNNNNNNNNNNNNNNNNNNNNNNNNNNNNNNNNNNNNNNNNNNNNNNNNNNNNNNNNNNNNNNNNNNNNNNNNNNNNNNNNNNNNNNNNNNNNNNNNNNNNNNNNNNNNNNNNNNNNNNNNNNNNNNNNNNNNNNNNNNNNNNNNNNNNNNNNNNNNNNNNNNNNNNNNNNNNNNNNNNNNNNNNNNNNNNNNNNNNNNNNNNNNNNNNNNNNNNNNNNNNNNNNNNNNNNNNNNNNNNNNNNNNNNNNNNNNNNNNNNNNNNNNNNNNNNNNNNNNNNNNNNNNNNNNNNNNNNNNNNNNNNNNNNNNNNNNNNNNNNNNNNNNNNNNNNNNNNNNNNNNNNNNNNNNNNNNNNNNNNNNNNNNNNNNNNNNNNNNNNNNNNNNNNNNNNNNNNNNNNNNNNNNNNNNNNNNNNNNNNNNNNNNNNNNNNNNNNNNNNNNNNNNNNNNNNNNNNNNNNNNNNNNNNNNNNNNNNNNNNNNNNNNNNNNNNNNNNNNNNNNNNNNNNNNNNNNNNNNNNNNNNNNNNNNNNNNNNNNNNNNNNNNNNNNNNNNNNNNNNNNNNNNNNNNNNNNNNNNNNNNNNNNNNNNNNNNNNNNNNNNNNNNNNNNNNNNNNNNNNNNNNNNNNNNNNNNNNNNNNNNNNNNNNNNNNNNNNNNNNNNNNNNNNNNNNNNNNNNNNNNNNNNNNNNNNNNNNNNNNNNNNNNNNNNNNNNNNNNNNNNNNNNNNNNNNNNNNNNNNNNNNNNNNNNNNNNNNNNNNNNNNNNNNNNNNNNNNNNNNNNNNNNNNNNNNNNNNNNNNNNNNNNNNNNNNNNNNNNNNNNNNNNNNNNNNNNNNNNNNNNNNNNNNNNNNNNNNNNNNNNNNNNNNNNNNNNNNNNNNNNNNNNNNNNNNNNNNNNNNNNNNNNNNNNNNNNNNNNNNNNNNNNNNNNNNNNNNNNNNNNNNNNNNNNNNNNNNNNNNNNNNNNNNNNNNNNNNNNNNNNNNNNNNNNNNNNNNNNNNNNNNNNNNNNNNNNNNNNNNNNNNNNNNNNNNNNNNNNNNNNNNNNNNNNNNNNNNNNNNNNNNNNNNNNNNNNNNNNNNNNNNNNNNNNNNNNNNNNNNNNNNNNNNNNNNNNNNNNNNNNNNNNNNNNNNNNNNNNNNNNNNNNNNNNNNNNNNNNNNNNNNNNNNNNNNNNNNNNNNNNNNNNNNNNNNNNNNNNNNNNNNNNNNNNNNNNNNNNNNNNNNNNNNNNNNNNNNNNNNNNNNNNNNNNNNNNNNNNNNNNNNNNNNNNNNNNNNNNNNNNNNNNNNNNNNNNNNNNNNNNNNNNNNNNNNNNNNNNNNNNNNNNNNCUCUACCGCUAGUAAUUCGCUUUUUACUACCACUACCGCUUCCGGGACAAAAAAUUUUAACACCUUUAGUAGCGAGGUUUCUUAAUUUAUCCAUAAUAUAAAUUAAAUUAAACUAAAAAUAUUCAAAAUACACAAAUAUAAUAAAAUUAAAUAUUAAACAAUUAAUACAAUAAAUAAAAAUUAAACGUAAGAGAUGGAACGACAAUACCAAAUUUUGGAAGUAUCCUAAGAUUGCGACUUUAGAAACUUCCGCUCGUACUUUGUAAGCGAAAAAUUAAAAAAUUAAAGUGAAUACUUUAAGAAAUUAAAUAUAUUGAAUAUUUGAGAAUUGAGAAUUGAGCUUGAGAGAGAAUGAGAUUUGAGAGAGUGAAAAAUUGUGUGAAAAAUGAUUUGAGGUUGUAGGGUAUUUAUAGAUUUUUUUUUGGGAUUAAAAAAUAUUUUUUAAAGUUUUUUUUUUUUUUUAAUAAAUGGGCCCAAACUAGCCGUUUGGACCCAAAAACGAUUAUAUAGCCGUUGGCCCUAGUUUGGCCCAAAAGCCAAAAUAUCUUUUUUUUAUUUUUAUUUUUCUGGGCCGGGCUGGGCCGGUUAACCGGCGGGCCUGGACCGGGCUUGGUCCAGAGGCCGGGUUCCGGGCCCAUUUUAACAAAAUAACCGGCCUGGGACCCGGAACCCUAAAGCCCUAGGGCUUACCGGGCCGGGUCAAACCGGGCUGGGUCGGGCCGUCUCAGCCCGGCUUACUUGACACCCCUACCUUGAACUAUACGUGAAAAGGCUGAUACACAACCAAAUUUUAGAAGGGUUCUAUUACCCUUGGACUGAUUAAAAUCAUAUAUUUGACAACCUUAGUGCCUACCGUGUGCCUACGUGGACCCUUCAGUGUGUUGUGAAGUAUAUGUCUAAUUAGUGCAGGGGGUAAUAGGACCCUCCUAAAGUUCGGAUGUGUCUCAACCUUUUCGCGUAUAGUUCAAAGUGAUAAUUGAGUGUUUUCUCAACAAAAUAAAAAGAAAAGGAAAGCACACAAAUUGAAACAAAGGCUGCAUAUUAAUAUUGAGUGUUAUGAAUUCCGAUUACUCAUAUUAGAAAGGAGAUUUAUAAGCUUUGAAACAAUAUUGAGUUUGAUUUAAUAAUCGAAUUAAAAUUUCUUUUUCUUUUCUGCCUGCAACAGUACAACGUUAUGAUUUGAUUGUAUUCAUUGCAUAUUUGCAGGCCAUGGUGUUGUAGAUCACAAUGCCAUUAAAACCUUCACAUUAGAUAGUAUUUUCUCCUUCCGUUUUUACUUGUUUGUGUUUGAUUUGAUGCACUUUUUAAAUAAUCACAAUAAAUAAAAGGAUAAUUUUCUAUAUUGCUCAUGUUAAUUAUAAGUAAUUUAUAAAUGUUAGAAUAAUGUAUAUGCUUUAACAACAAAGGUGAAAUACACACUCAUUGGUAAAUUAUAUCUAGGUUUGCCAAAUUGAACUAGUAAAACUAGACAUCUAAUUUAAUAUAUCGUAUAUGUAGAUAUAAAAAGGGAUAAUAUCCACGAAAAUAUCUGAACUUUAACGACAUUUUCAGUUGAGCAUAUUGAACUUUGCGGGGGUCCUAUUACACACCAAUACUUUUUUAAGUGGAACUAAUUUCCCCGGGACUUUUUUAAAGUGGAAUUAAUUGCCCCCCGCAAAGUUAUACCUAGUUUUGACGUUGGAAAGUGUGGUACACGGGCUGUUUCUUCUUCAUUUUAUCAAUUUUCAACAUUUUUACACCAUUAUAACCCUAUUAAAGAUUCCACAACUCAAAUUCCUCUUACAAAUCAAAUUUCAAAUGAUUCAAGUGCAUUCCAACUCAAAUUUCAAAUUCAAAUUGAAAACUUUCAUUAAUGGAAUCUUCAAAUUUGGAAAUUCAAAAUGAAAACUGAAAAUGAAAAAACAGGAAACUAGAAACUGAUUUGCAGGGUUAAACUCUUCAUGCUGCUCUGUGGUAAACUUGAAUGGAACCAAGCUUCUUUGCGUUCAGUAAUUAGAGGCCACAUGAUACCCCAAGAGAGCACAGCUCCAAGAAGCAAAGAUAUGUUCACAAUGUGGGAACAAAUUAUUCUAGCUCCCACUUAAGUCAUGUUGAAAUCGAAGAAAAAACUAGAAACAUUCAAUGGUAUAAAUUAGUGCUAGUAGUAAUGCAAAAUCAUUUAUGAGCCACUAAAAGUAUAUAGCAAGUACAUACGUUUGCUUCCAAGCUUUCAAAUUUGAGUUCAAUAUGAAAUUGAAUUUGAAUUUGAAAUUAUUCAAAGUAUUAAAUUGAAUUUGGGUGUGUUGAAGAUGACUCAUUUGGGUGCGUAUGUGUGUGAUUUAAUUGUGUUCAAUUUUAAUUCUACAAUGGAGCAACCAUUGUUGAAGACUCCAUUGUUGAAGAGAAAAAAGAGAGAAGAGAGAAGAGAGAAGAGAGAAGAGAAAAGAGAGAAGAGAAAGAAUGAAAAUAUAUAUAUAUAUAUAUAUAUAUAUAUAUAUAUAAAACUUUGAAUAAUUAAAAAAUUUAGGGGUUGUUUGGACAAAAAAAAUGUGUUUAUAACGUUUUUUAACGCCUUCACACACUCAAUGCACGUGUCGAACACACAAUUGUUCAAGUGGUAGAUAAUGCCAUUAAAAUACGAAAAAAAAAGUCUAUGAGGGUAAUAAGACCCCCACAAAAUUCAGUAUGCUCAACUGGUAAUUCGGUGAAAGUUCAGGUAUUUUCGUGGGUAUUAUUCCACAAAAAUGUACAAAGAGAGUGUAGCAACCUAAAUUUUCGUUUGAUCAUAGAUUUUGAAGUUAAAACGGAAUAUUUGAGCUUUUGCCAUUGUAAUUUUUAAAUUUGGAAGUUGUAUUUAAACUUUCUUUCACUUUAGAAAAAAAAAAGAAAUUGUGAGUGAAAAAUUCCGCGUGAAUUUUUCAAAAUCUGAUCAAAUUUCAUGAUCAGACAGACAUUUAUAGAUAACUUUUUAAAACUAAUUCUAAAAUCUAUAAUUAAACGCUAGCUAAAACUUUGAAAAUACAACAAACAUUUGUAAAAUGUUGAUAAAAAAUAUAAUAGCGAAGACUAUGGAACACAUUAGAGUACCAAACUAUCCUUCUGUUUUUUAUUUUUGCAAAUCAAGAACUCAGAAAGAAAAAUAAAACCUAUUAAAUCAUGAACUAUAAUUAUUUAUUUAUUUUUGGGUACAAGGUACAUUUCAAAAACGUCAUAAAAAUGUGAAAGUGCAAGUACAUUUCAUUUAGUGAGAAAACAUUUUUAGAAACAACCAUAAUUUUUCCCCACUAACAAAGCAUAAAACUAUUAAAUGAAGGCAACGUUAAAACUUCACGCUAAUAUAUACUCCCUCCGUCCUAUUUUACUCAUCCCAAAUUGGGAUAAUACAGCUAUUAAGAAAAAUAAUAAAUAACAUGUCUAGUUUACCAUAGUACCCCUAUUAAAUGAUGUUUACAUUUUAAUUUAAAGAAAAAUAUAACUAAUGCAAAAGUUAAAUAUGAAAAAAUAAAUUGUCUUAUCUUGAUAAGUAAAAAAAGAAAAGUAAAAUGAGAUAUAUAUUAGAAAAUUUGGGACCGGUAAAAUGAGAUGGAGGAAGUAUUUAACACUGUUUUUAUGAUGCACUAUUCCCAAUUACAAGACAUUACUCCAUAAAUACGACAAGUAAAAAAGAAAUAAAUAUUUAUUUUUCUAAAAAACAAAAGGUAAAAACAAACUCCAGAAUCGAAGUAAAUUAAAUUGCUAAAAGUAACGCUGCUAGUCCAAUGAAGGCCGUCAAAGGUGAGGAUAAAAUCGUCAUUUUAUGGCUAUGGUUCUGUUGGCUAAGGGCAAGUGGGUGGUAAUACGUGGGUGUUUGGAUGGAGUUAUUUUAAGUUAAAAAUAGGUUUUAAAUUAUUUUUAACUUUUUAAGUGUUUGACAAUUUAAAAUUUGUUUAAAAAACUAAAAUUUGCUUUUAUCUAUUUAAGUGGAAGACCACAUCAAUGGUAGUUUUUAUUCUUCCCUUCUUUGGAGUUUCAUAUUAGAAUUAUUGGGGGUGUGAGAAACACACCUAAAUUAUCACUCAUCAAUUUAAGGAACACACCUCAAAAUUAAUAAAAAUUAAUUAAAAAAUGAAAAAUUAAUGUAUUAGCCAAAAAAAAAAAAUGCGAUGUGGAUUGAUUUUUAAUGGCUAGAUACACCUAAAUGAGUUUGUCAACGAAUAUUUAAUCUAGUCAGUUUUUAGGUGUGUUUCUCAAACUAAUAAAUAAUCAUUUAGAUGUAUUUCUUACAUUUCCAAUAGUUUAGGUGUGAGACUCAAAAAAAGGUGAUAUUUAAAGAGUGUUUUACAUACUAUACUCAAAGUUUUUAAUUUUUUAUUUAGUGGGAUAUAUAACAACUUAAUAAGUAAUAUGUUAGUAAUAAUAAAAUAGAAAUGUAUAAUUCGUGAGACGGUCGAUAAAGACCUCUUGUAUUUUGCAAAAAGGUCCAACUUUGUCCUCUGUUAGACUCAAUAUGUUAUCGCUGCUAUUACCUUUUUUUUAAAUUUUCUUUUUUGGGUGCGGAAAAGUGCAACAAUUAUUUAAAAAAAAUGAAAGGAAAUAUUUUUGACUCAUAAAGUGAAUAUGACUCAAUUAUCAAGACUACUUUAAUUUUCAAAAAGUAUUAAUUUGCUAAAAUUAUCCCUUCUUUUUUUUUUUUGAGUUUCAUACUAAAAUUAUUGUGGGUGUGAUAAGUACAUCUAAAUUAUCACUCAUUAGUUUAAGAAACACACCUUCAAAUUAAUAAAAAUCAAUUAAAAUUAAAAAAAAAAUGAGUUAGCAAAAAAGAAUAAAAAUAUGCCACGUGGACUGAUUUUUAAUGGCUAGACACACCUAAAUGAGUUUGUAAAUGAAUAUUUAGUCUAGUUAGUUUUUACAUGUGAUUCUCAAACUAAUAAGUGAUAGUUUAGAUGUGUUUCUUACACUUCCAAUAUUUUAUGCGUAAGACUUAAAAAAAGGUGAUAUUUUAAGUAUAUUUUACAUACUCUGCUCAAAAGUAUUUUAAUUUUUUAUUCAGUGGGACAUAUAACAACUUAAUACAUAUUAUGUUAGCAAUUAUAAAAUAGAAAUGCAUAAUUCGCGAGAAGGUCAAGAAAGACCCCUAUUGCGAAAAGGUCUAACUUUGCCCCGCUAGAAGUUUGGCUCACUAUGUUAUCGCCGCUAUCACUUUUUGUAUUUUUUUAUUUUUUUUCUUUCUUUUUUUUUUUUUUUUUGUUGCCUAAAAGUGCAACAAAGAAGAAUAAGUCAGGAGCCUUAACAUCAGGAUUUAGUCCAACUAAUGAUUAUACAUUAGUUGAAGGGGUGAAGGGGUCUUCUCGGGCUUUGCUAGUUUGGAUUGCUUGUCACGUCUAGGGCCUCGACUCGGAUAGUGACAUUUUUGGUCAAAAUCCCAUAUCUACGAUGGAAACGUAUGUUGGAAAUACACAUUUUUUUCAAAUCACUGUUACAUGUCAUAAUACCAAAACUAGUUCUAAAAGAAUAUCUUUUGCAAAAUGUAUUAUACUGGCAUGGACAAAUGGUCGAGUACAUUCUCCUAUUCAUAGAGUAACAAUGGCUGGGGAGAGUGAUAGAUUCACCAUUCAGUUGUCAUCACUACCAAAUGGAUAUUACACCAUAAAAUUCCAGCAUCCUUUACUCUUUAAGCCCUAUGAAAGUGUUGAGUAUUUUAAAUAUGUUAUGUCGGAAGCUGGCCAAAAAGCAGGCACUGGUGUUUUCAAGGCUUAUUGUGGUGUUUGAAUGAGGGUCAAUCGGAAAAUAGUCUCUCUAUCUAUCACAAGGAGAGGAUAGAUCUGCAUACGUCCUACCAUUUUCUGUUGUUGUUGUUGUAUCUAUCGCAAGGCGAGGGUAGAUCUGCGUACGUCCUACCAUUUUCUGUUGUUGUUGUUGUAUGUGGUGUUUGAACGAGGAUUUAUAAGAUUUUCGGGUUGUUGUAACUUGGAAUAAAAAGAGAAACUAGCACUUUUAAUUCCUGAAGUAUUGAUAAAUUCUGAUUUUCUCUUUGGAUAACUAACAUUUCAUUUUCUAAUCACCAAAAUUGAAUCACCACAAGCUCCAUAACAUAGCUAUAAAAUGAGAUUGAAUCUUUAUAUAUACAAAAAAUAGUAUAUUCAUUCACUUAAAUUACAAUACAUCUAAAUUUUAUAAUCCAAGUUGAUUGACAACAGAAGAGUAAACUAUAUAACACAAAAAUCAUGGUUGUCAUGCUCCGAGUCUACACCUUGGAUGUGGUUAGCACCCGAUGUCAUUGCUGCCCCGAGAGUACCCUUGAUCUAGCGUACUACUAGAACUGACUCUGAAAGAUAAGCGGAAGCUUUGAAUAACAUAAAGUACGAACUAAGAUAAUGAAAUCAAGUAACAAGAUACUUUCAUAAAGUGAGACAUAACGUCAACAGAAAACCAAAUACAACUAACUGACCAACUGAUUGUCUAAAAAGCCUCUAUGACAUACUGAAUAAUGUUUAUCAGGACAAGACCCAAGAUCUAAACUUAUUAACAAAACUGAACUACUGACUAGCCCUCUGAAAGUAAAAAGACCUCAUCCAUAGCUGAACGGAUAGGGAGCUAUGGAUGGUCGAAACCUGCAAAUAUCUUUGAAUAGUUGUGUUUCUUUUCGCGUUUAAUUCUGUCUAUGGUGUAUAAAAACUUGAUUAUAAUUAAAGUGUUACAUCAUUACUCAAUUCUCAAUGUUGCUGAUACUAUGGGCUGUCCAGCCUCAUAGAAACUUAAUUGAACUUCUGUGUACACCACUGAUUGUGUUGUAACACCCCGCAUUUUGGGCUAGAACAAAACCGUCAUUUCUAGGCUUAGAUGUUCCAAAAGUCAUAAAUCCUAUGAAAAUUUAGCGAGUGAAUCAAUUAUGUAGUGUGGAAUCUAUUUGAUCAUGAAUUCAGAUCAUAGAGGUCCCCUAACUCAAGGACGAGUUGAAAACUUUCCUAUAGUUCGAGUUUUAGUGAUUGUCGAAACUUAGAUCAACUUCAAUUGACCAUAACUACCAAUAUAUAGUAAAUUAGAGGUCUUACUAUAUAUCAAAUGAAAUAUCUUUGAAUUAGCUUUCUAACAAUACUAAUUUUUUCAAAAUCCGAUAAUCGAGUGAAAAGUUAUGCCAUGCAAAGCAGUGAGGGGUCACGGUAGCCCCGCGACACGGGGUCUGCCUGACCCAAAAGGGGGUCACGUCGCAAGGGAUACUUAACCGGAAUAGGGGUCCUGACGCGAUGGCAAUUCCCAUGUUAUUUCAGUUCCAUAAGGGUCAAAGGAGACUUUAGUCCUUUCCCCUCAACCCCAAAUGUCCAACGGAUGAUUUAUAUCACCAAAAAGGGCGAUAUUUGCCCAUCUUCUUCAACACCAACUCACCCAAAAUACUCUCUUCCCCAAGAACAAAAUCCAAAAUCCUUUUCUCCAAGAAUCCAAGGAAUUCAACUCCUUCAUUCCAAGAUCACAAGAAACGAAAUCAGAUCUGGAUUCCAUACUUCAACUAAGUAAUCUAAGGUUAAGAACUCUUACCCAAGAUCAAGAAUUCCAUGAAAAAGAUCAAAAAUACGGGUUCCAUCUAUCAUGAUCUAGGUUUCAUCUUUCAAAUCUCGUAAUCUAAGGUACGUGGGGUUUAUCCUAAAAACUAUAUGGGCUUUUAAACACUAGAACGUGAUUUAAAGAUUAUCAAGCAUGAAUUUUAAAGGGGUUUUGGAACUUAUGCUUUAAAUUUCGCAUUAUGGAUGUUUUGAUAAUAUUAUUGUUUAGGCCUUUAGUCCUUUCCCCCUUAACUUGAUUUACAUCUAUAUGUAUAUGAAUGAUAUUGAAGAUUUGAUUGAGAGUAUUAUCAUUAAAAUUCCUCUCUUUGAUGAUUUAGAGUUUAUGAAACUAUUGAAAAUGAUUUGAGAUUCAUGUUUAAUGGUUUGGAAGUGAUCUUUUCAAUAUUAAAGUAAUUAACAUGAUUUUGAUGAUGAUGAGAAGGAGUUUAUUGAUAUUAUUUCGUUCUUGUAUUAUAGAGAAAGAAUUGCAUGUGAUUGAUAUCUUUGACAUGACCACCUUGUGUGUUUGGAAUGUUGAAAAUGAGAGUUUUCUUGCAUGUGGUUACGUGAGUUUUAAAGAAUGAGUUUCUUGAAAAGAAUUGUUGAUAUAGGGUCCAUAAAUUUCAUAUUUUGAGAACAGAGAUAUAAUUUUCCAUAAAUAGCUCAGGGAAUGUGACUUGCAAGUCAAUGGUAUGACGACACCAUAUAAAUUUAUGCCAUAAUAGAACUAGAGUCUUCAGAGUUUGAUUUCAAGGAUUGCAUAUUAUAAAGAAUUAAAAAUGGGAUUAAAGAGGGUUAGGCGGUUACCCGAAGAGGGCACAAGUCAAUUGACUCAUACACCAAAACUGUGUUUUUUCGAUAUAGGUAUGUUACUAUUGUACGCUGGCGAUGGCCCUGUGGCGUAGUAGAGAUUCAGAGACUCCAACCCUUGCGGAAAACUUGGGUUGGGGGCUUGGCUUCCAAGUUAAUGGCAGAUUCCAUAUGGCCUAUGGAAUUUCAGAGUUAUAGGGUAUACCACCUAGCGCAGAAGUAAAACAAAGAGUGUCACAGAGUUCAGAUGAUUUUAUAGAGUCUUAUAAGAAAUUGCCUAUGUGAUUCUUACCAUAUGACAUAUUUAUGAACAAUUUUUAAAUUGCUCUCAUAUAUGUUGAAUAUAAAUUAUUAUUUUGUAUUUGUUCUGCGUACCAGUACAAAUGUGUUAACCCCCAACCUUCCAGGGUUUAAUACUCAGUCUAAAGAUCCUGCUAAGCCGUAGAGUAUUCAGAUAGAAGUGAAGCGUGCAGUGGUGAGCCUUCUUUAUUCCAGAAAGCCUAUUUCGUUCAAACUUUUGAUAUUUAUUUUGGUUUAGGUUCACUAGGGGCCUUGUCCCAUAUUCAGAUAGUUUUGUUUAUUUUGUAUGUAUUAUAGAUUUCAUAGACAGAAACAGAUGUUGUUUAGAUGUUGAUUAGAUGUUGAUAGUGUUAAUAGAACUUUAUUGAAAGAAAGAAAGGCUAAGGUUUACAAUAUAAUCUGAAAAGCAUAAAAACUAACUAAAACAAAAGUAGGCUAUAUAUAUACAUAGCCAAUAACCUAAAGGUCCAUAAACUAAAGGCCCAAUAACAUAUGGGCUAACAUCCCCCCUCAAACUUACAAUGCAACAGCAAUAAGCAUUGAGAGUUUGUCACACAAAAAACGAAAUCGAGACGCCGAUUGAGCCUUCGUAAAAAGGUCAGCAAUCUGCAAAGACUAUGGAACAAAAGGAAGCGAUAUGGUCCCGAGCUGUAAAUGAUGACGGGUGAAGUGACAAUCAAUCUCAAUGUGCUUCGUACGCUCAUGGAAGACAGAAUUCUUUGCAAUUUGUACCGCACUUUUGUUAUCACAAUGCAGGGGAGUAGGCAUAGAAAUGUGAACCCCCAUAUCUGCAAGAAGCCAACGUAACCAAAUAAUCUCACAUGUAGUCACAGCCAUAGCACGAUACUCAGCCUCCGUGGAAGAUCUAGAGACAACAUCUUGUUUCUUGCUCUUCCACGAGAUUAAAGAGUCUCCAAGAAACACACAAAAACCAGUGGUGGAUUUACGAUCAUUGCGAUCUCCAUCCCAAUCAGCAUCACUAUAGGCUCGCAACUCGAGAGAUGACGUCGAGGGAAACAAGAGAUUCUGAAACUGAGUGCCACGAAGAUACCUUAGAAUACGAAGUACAGCUCCCCAGUGCACAGAAGUAGGAGCAGUAACAAACUGGCUAACAACAUGAACUGCAUGUGCUAUAUCUGGACGAGUAACCGUAAGAUAAACCAAACUACCCACAAUAGUCCGAUAAAGACUCGGAUCUGAUAAUGGAACACCAUCACUAGGAGAGUAACGUGCAUUGGUUUCAAGGGGAGUAUCUACAGUCCUGUUGUCAGAAAGACGCGCCCGUGUAAACAAGUCAGAUAUAUACUUAGUCUGAGAAAGAAGAUACCCUUUCUUAGACUGAGCCACCUCAAUACCCAGAAAAUAACGCAGCAAGCCCAAGUCCUUCAUUGCAAAUCGAUGAGCCAAAUCAUGCUUCAAUAACUCAAUACCACUAUGAUCAUCACCAGUAAUAAUCAUAUCAUCUACAUAUAAGGACAAUAGAAUUCGCCCUGCACUUGUACAUCUAACAAACAAUGCUGAAUCAUGGUUACUCGGGACAAAUCCAAGGGAAGUAAUAACAGUGGAGAAUUUCUCAAACCAAGCACGAGGGGCUUGUUUGAGACCAUAUAAAGCUUUUCGAAGCCGACAAACUUCACCUGGCUGGUGGUCAAUACCUGGGGGAGGAGUCAUAUAAACUUCCGCGUGGAGAUCACCAUUCAGAAAAGCAUUCUUGACAUCCAUCUGAAAUAUCUUCCACUGUCGAACGGAUGCAACAGCAAUCAUAGUGCGAACAGUCGUCAUCUUUGCUACGGGGGAAAAAGUCUCCUCAUAAUCCAUACCAUAUUGUUGUGAAUACCCUUUUGCCACAAGUCUUGCCUUGUAUCGCUCAACAGACCCAUCAGAUUUUGUUUUUAUCUUAUACACCCAUCGACAACCAAUCGCAUGCUUACCAGGUGGGAGAGUAACCAAAUCCCAUGUAUGUGUAUGAUGAAGAGCAGCAAGUUCCUCAGCCAUAGCAUUCUGCCAAAGAGGAUCAGACACAGCCUCUCUAUACGACUCAGGUUCAGACAAAUGAUGUAUGUUUGCAAUAAAGGAAGCAAAUGAGGCUGAAUAUGUAGAAUAGUAAAAAUCUGGCAGUUUGGUGGACUUACAAGGUCGAGUAGACCUCCUCAGAGGUGGUGGGUCUCCAGUCUCAACAGUCGAAGGAGCAGACUCAGGCACAGGCGAGGCUGAAGCACUAUCAGGUGGCACACCAGAUGGCAUGGAUGAAUCCGGAACUGGAACCUCUAUGUCAAUCCCAAAGGGAUCAAUAAGCCGAAUAUCUGACUUUGUCACAUCAUGGGUUUUAGCUGGAAUGGAAUAAAAAGGAAUAUGUUCCAAAAAAGUGACAUGUCGUGAAACAUAUAAUUUCUGACUUACAGGAUCAUAGCAACGAUAUCCUUUUUGUCCAAUACCAUACCCCAAAAACACACAUAUAGCUGAUUUUGACCCUAACUUAUUUCGUUCAACAUGAGGACGAAGAACAAAGCAAGUACAUCCAAAAACUCGUAAUGCAGAAUAAUUCGGCGGGUGACCAUAUAGUUUCUCAAACGGAGACAUCCCUGAAGUCAAUGCAGUAGGAAUACGAUUAAUCACAUAUACAGCAGUUAGAACUGCUUCUCCCCAAAAAAUACUAGGAACCUCUGCAGACAAAAGUAAAGAGCGUGCUGUCUCAACAAUAUGACGAUGUUUUCUUUCUGCCAGACCGUUCUGCUCAGGAGUGUCGGUACAAGAUGACUGGUGUAUGGUACCAUCAGAGGCAAGUAACUGAGUGAAGUCAUUAGAGGUAUAUUCACCCCCUAAGUCACACCUGAAACACUUUAUCACAGCCGAAUGUUGUGUUUUAACAAGGGCUCUAAAGUUGUUGUAAAUGCCAAAGAAAUCAGAUCUGCGUUUCAUAAGAUACACCCAGGUAUAACGAGUAUAGUCAUCUAUAAACGAAACAUAAUAGGUCGAUCCACCCUUAGUGGAUACUGGCGCUGGUCCCCAUACAUCAGAAUGAAUAAUAUCAAAAGGAGCAACAGAAUAAGACACACUUUUAUUAAACGGUAAGGCAGAAAAUUUUGCCAGUUUACAACCACUACAAUCUGAAAUAUCACUAGUGUUCACAUGACCCAAAGCACCACUAGAGACCAAAAAACGUAAACGUGAAACUGACACAUGUCCUAAUCUGGAAUGCCAAAGAUAAAACUGAGAAGACAAAGGACUCAAACGAAAAGAAGAUAAAUCUAUGCUAGAGGCAGCAACUACAGACACUUUGAGAUUCUCCAAGACAUAGAGUUCCCCCAACCUACGGCCGGUCCCAAUCACCCUCUGAGUGUGUUGGUCCUGUAUAACACAAACAGAAUCAGAAAAAAACACCCAAUUACCAGCCUUACACAACUGACUGACCGAAACAAGAUUUAAAGCAAGUUUGGGAAUGUAAUAAACAUCAGAGAGGACAAUGUGAGGGGUAGUAACAGAACCAACACCCUCGACUGACAUAGGUACAGCACUCGCGGACAUAACAGAGAUUGGUGAAAUGGGUGACAAAGAACCAAACGAUGACAAAUGAGGGGACAUGUGAUGAGACGCACCAGAAUCCAAUAUCCACAAGGAGGAAGGAAUACCUGAGGUACUAGAAGAAACUGAACCCGAAUGAGACAUAGAUGCUGACAUGGCCGUAGGAUUAGAAACGAAGAACUGUCUGAACUGUUCGAAAACCUGGGGAUCCAACGCAGAAGGUGGCAUAGUGCUAACAGACUCAACAUCUACAGAUGGUGCAGCAGCAGCGAACUGUGGAGGACGAGAUGACCACGGAGGAGCACCAGAUGGGCGUGACGGAUACUUUUGCUGCCCAUAUUUCUGUUGCUGCCCAGAUUGAGGCUGUUUGACCUUGUUAAGUAACAACGGACACUGAGCCUUCCAAUGAUUUUUCUGUUUGCAGAAUGCACACUCAUCAAAUGCAACUUUAGGAGAUUGUCGAGUCUGAGUACGUGGUGGCCUAGACUGAUCAGUUGAAGCAGCAAACACGACAGGAGUAGUAGUUACUUUAGACCCUUUAUCCACUUGAGACUUGAUACGAGUCUCCUCUGCAAUCAGUUCAUGAACCACAGAAUCAACAGUAGGGAGGGGAGAUCGAUGAAGGAUUGUUCCACGUAGGCCCUCAAAGUCAGAACGUAGUGCCAUCAAAAACUGAACCAAGCGUUGCUCUUCCCGUCUAGCAAUGUACGGCCCAAAACCUUUUAACUCUGCAGAUUCAGUAAGUGCCAAUUGAUCCCACAAAUCCGACAUGGCAGCAUAAAAAUCUUGAAUACUGAGAUCAUGCUGUUGAAGAGCACGGAUAUCAUACUCCAACUGGUACUGCUUAGCAAAAUUAGACUGAGUGUACAGUCUUUCCAAAUGAUCCCAGACCUCCUUUGCUGUGUCAUACUUAGCCAAUUGCAUACCAAUUGACUGAGUUACAGAAUUGUUGAUCCAAGUGAUAAUCUUGGAGUUAUUAGUUUCCCAUAAGUCCACCAACAAAUCAAAAUUUUCAGUUUUAUCAUCGAUAGGUCUUGGUUUUACUCCAGUGAUAUAACCCCACAUAUUCUUCCCACGAAGAAAAUUCUUCAUGACAUAACUCCAAUAUGCAUAGUUCUUACCAUCUAAUUGAGUACUAAUGGACUGGAGAGAAUCAUCCUUUCCAGUCAUUGUAAACACAGCAACACACAAACAAUUCAAAAAAACAAAAAGAUGCAAAACCCUAGGUUGAACAAUUCCGAACGAACAACAAUGGCAGCAAGCAAAAGAACGAAAGACGAACAAUACCAGACAGCAAACAAAUACAGCAGCACCUCAAAAUUCGGGGCUCUGCCCCGAACCCCGGACGGGGGCGCACUGCCCCCCGUACCCCUCAGCGAACUCACCGUGGAGUUCGAUCCGCGCAGUAGGUGCCUGCUACAAAAUCUUCAACCAACAAAUCAAAGGACAUGGAUCAAACUAGCUUUGAUACCAUGUUAAUAGAACUUUAUUGAAAGAAAGAAAGGCUAAGGUUUACAAUAUAAUCUGAAAAGCAUAAAAACUAACUAAAACAAAAGUAUGCUAUAUAUAUACAUAGCCAAUAACCUAAAGGUCCAUAAAAUAAAGGCCCAAUAACAUAUGGGCUAACAGAUAGGUCUUAUUUUUUAUUGAUAAACUUAAUUCAGAGCAUGACCAUGAUUUCGUAUCAUUUUACAUUUUUGUAUUUUUCCUUCAUAUUAUAUAAAAGUGUGUAUGAUUGCCAAAUAAAGAAGGGCACUCAAGCCUUCAUGGUUUGGGAUGCUCGUCACGACCAGGGCCCCAAUUCGGUUCAUGACAAACUUGGUAUCAAAUCCGCUCCUGUGUCAUCUCUGUCGAUGUGGGCCAGAUUUCAAACUGAGUGUAGGCAAAUCCCGAUAAGGUGGGGAAAACCUCAGUCCUGAGUGUAGCCAAAUCCCAUUCGGUGGGGCAAACCUCAGCGAGGACGCUGAGUCUAUAAGGGGGUGUAUAUAACACCUCAACUUAGAAAGGAUUCCUAUAUCGGUAAAACAUAAGAGGGAUAUUGGGUAGAUAAGUAAGAAAGUCUUACUCCCCAGUGACGUGUUUUAAAGCCGUGCGGGCCUGGGCCCAAAGCGGAUAAUAUCAUUAGUGGGUUGGGCAGAGAAAGGGAUCUCUUGGGCCUUGAUGGUUUGGGAUGCCCAUAGCGGCUGGGGCUCCGGCUUGAGUCAUGAUAGAAUGGUAUCAGAGCCAGGUUCGUGCUAUGGAGUCAAAAUAUUCCUCUUUUAUACUCUGGUUCAUGCUAUGGCAUCGUCCAUAUGAAAGUAAAGUUAUCCCAAUUAUUUUCUUACUCUGAUGCUCUUAGACAUGUCUCAUUUUGAGGUGAUUCAAGUGUAGAAGUUUAGGAUCUAAAUGAUAUGGUCAUUUUCUGAUUGGGCAAUAAAAGAUUAUGAGAUUGAACAAGGACUUGAGAGGAGUCUGUUGGUGCUUUAAGGUUUAUUGUUUCUAGCGUAAACUUUGAUUCUGAUGAAAUUGUGCUUUUCAACCUGAGGUAUUAAGUGUAUUCAUUCCUUUUCAAAAUUUAUGUUGCAGAUGUCAUGCAUAAGGGGAAUGAUGUGUAGCAGAAUAUUGGAGCUGUAUUUCCACUAAAGUAGUAGUAUAAGUUAAAGUGUCAGUGUCAUGACAUAUUAGUGGGGAGAUUGGACCAUGAAGUUGGUGAUAUGAAGUCACUAGGUUAGCAGUCAGAGUGAGGGUGACUAUUGCAUAAAUAAGUAGUUUUAGUUGUAUAACCCUUUGAUUUAGGGGGUGGUUCUCUCUCUUUUAUGGUGGUUGGAUAAUAUUGUGACAAGAUUUGUAGAUUGUAUGGUUGUAUGUAAAGAAAGUGGUUGGCUAUGAUUAUUAUCUAUUUGAAUUAGGAAAGGAUCCUAGAGUGAAAAGUUAUGGUGGUUACAGAAAUUCCUUAUAGGCUGUGAAUGAAAAAGGUUAGAUUAACCAAUAAGUUACAAGUAUAGACUCAUUGUAGUAUGUGGAAUUUGAAGGUAGUCUAAAUGUAUGCUUUGGGUAAGUAAGUAUGAUGUGAGAAAGUAGAAUAUCUAGAUAAGAUUGUAUAGGAUUAUAAUAUAAGAUUAAGGUUGGCCAUGUCUAUUAUGUGACUUUACCCCCUUGACCUUCUUUUCUUCAGUAGUUGUAAACUAGUACUACUUGUGAGAAGGUAUGUAGUAGAUUUAGAGGUGUAGUAGUAAUGUCAUGGAGGUGACCUGGUUGAAGGUAGUAUCUAGGUGAAAUGAGGUAUUUGAGUUGAUUUCCCUAUUUGAUGGACUAGUACAUUAUGUUGCAUUCUUCAUUGGUGAAAGAUGAUUGAUGCUAGACUAUAGGCUUGAAUUUUAGAUGUAGAAUGUGGUGGUAAGAAUGGUAGCUUAAGAUUAAUGAGGUAUGUUUUGUGGCAAUGAAUUGGUAGGCUUGAUGUGAUUUGUGAAAAAGCCUAAGUUGAUAGUUUAUGAAAAGUUUAAGUGGUAAGUGUGAGGUAUAUGUGUAUAUGAGGACUAGUAUUAAAGUAAUGAAUUUUGGGUGAAUCAUUAAGUGGAUAGAGUGUAGUAAGUAUAUAAGAAUAAGUUGCACCCCUAGUAGUAUGGAGUUGGGUAAAAUUUUAUGAUAUAAAUUAUGCGAUUAAUGGUCUAAUGUUAGAAGGUUAAGUAGUGGGGACUGGAUUUUUUUUAUGUGAUAAGGAGUAAGGAUGUACAUGCUCAUGAGACUGCGAGUUGUAGGUUAGUGAAAAUAGAGGAUCGUAAAAAAAACUAAGAUUAGCGUUCUUUGAAAGCAAUGCCUUUAGAGUAUUAUUAAGAAGGGAAAGUUUAGUAUUUUUGAGUAUAAAUGUUUUACGCACCUAGUUUGUGUCCUUAAAAUUGUAGUAUAGAGAAGCUUGGUGAGUUGUUGUUCUGUGUUCGUUAGAGUUGAAUUGAGGAAAUACUGGUAGGCAAUAUGAGCCUUGGGUAUGAUUUUACAAAUUUUGUUAAGUGCUAAGUUAUGUGAUUAGAGGUGUAAUGCUAGUAUUCUAAGGAGUUGAAGAAGAAGUGUUGAGUAAUUUGAAGCAUAGAUGCCCAUACCCAUAUUAAUGUUAACCAUAAGUGGUGAUUUUGGGGUUAGAGGAAGUUAUGAUUAGUGUCCCUGAACGGAGGUCCCAGAAAGAAUUUAGUGUCUUUAUAUUAGAAAUAAAUGAGAGGAGUUGUAUUCAUGUAUAUAUUGAUAUCCCUUGGUGAUAAGGAGAGUGAAUGCGUACACUCAUGGAAGUGGGGGUUGUAGAGUAAUGGCUAUAAUGGUUGGCGAAAUUUAAGAGUAAUAUUUACAGAAAAGCAAGCCCUUCGGGGUAUAGAUCAUUAGGGAGAGUUAGAGUUUGAGUAUAUGGUGAUGUCUCUUUUAUGUUAAGAGUUAUGGCUAUAGAAUGGGUAAUGGGAUAUGUCUGUCAGUCUAGGAUUAUGACUUUGAUCUAAGGGGGAGAUGGGGAAUUAAGUUAGUUCCCAAAUUUUUUCCAAUGCGGCAAGUUGCGGGAAGGAGUCAUGAUGAACUUAAUUCUACUCAAGCAUUAUCCUCCAACUUCAAUUUAGAAGAGUAUCCUUAUAAUGUCUUUUGUCAUUCAUUCAUGUAUUGCCUAUGCCUAAAGUUUGAACUCUCGAUGUAACUCAUGUCAUCUUCCGAUAUCCAAACAAGGAGCAAUAGUGUCCCUCAGUGAUCCAAUAUUCCAAAUAUCCAAGCCAUAUGUUAUGUUGAUCAUGAUCCAAACCUAUGUCUCACAACAUGUUUGGUCCUAAGAAAAUAUGUUUCUAUAUGUUGCAGAAUCAUUUUAUGCCGAAAUUUCCCAAGGUGAUAAAGUUUAUGCUAACUCUUGGAAAUGUUCAGCUCUUUAAAUGAGAAGCAAUCACUUUAAGUGAAAUCCUUAUCUUAGUUGUUAACUACAUAAAUCUCAACUUUAUGCCGUAUAGCUCAUGAUAUGUGCAUCCAUGUUCCUCAUUUUGGUCUGUCCUAAAGAAUCAUGUUGUGUUGUGUCUAUUCUAUCACAUCUUCACCUCCUGUGCCUCCUUGAGAAGUGAAACAAGUGGAUUGAUAAAUGUUACUUCUAUUCAUGAUGUUUUUGCUUGGGUCCCUCAAUGACCCUCCGUACAUUAAUGUGAUAGUGGUUGUGGAAGCGUAGUAAUGUGUAGGAAAGGGAGUAGAUGUUCUUGAAGGUGAAAAUCUUGAGGUGAUAUCUUGAGCUGCGGUUUAAAGAUAAGAGGGUAGAAAAGAGAAAUUCUCAUUAUGUGAAAUAGUUAUAAGGGAAGUAUAUGGCGAGAAUCUUUGUGAGAAUGAUUGAAUUUCCUGGUCUUAGUGGAGAGGUCCAUGAAGUGGGGUGUCAUGAUGAUAGGCUUGAAUUUUGUUUUUGGUGAAUAAAUAAACCAAUGUGACAUGUUGUUAGUAUUCCUUGAAUUAAGACUUGAGGUUGUGGAGUUAUAGUGAUGAGGUGAGGUGAUGUAGAGUACUGGGUCCCAUAGUUUAAAUAAACACGUCUUUCCUCCGAGUUUGGCUUCAGCAUAGAAUUAUUAGACUGCAGGACACAAAACUCUUGUGGUUAGAUGUCACGACCCAAACUAGGGCCUAGCCGUGACGAACAUCCCAAACCAUGAAGCCUGAACGUCCUACUCUACCUGUUAGUCAAGCACAACAUUUAUAUAAUAAAAGAAGAUGCGAAAAUAUAAUCUAAUAUGGAAACAUGGUCAUACUCUGGAUUCAGUUUAACAAUAAGGAAUGAAAUCCAAAAUCGACUAAACAACAUCUGGAAUAGUCUAUGAAAUCUCUACUACAUCUGAACAUAACAACUGCCUGAAACUGGGACAAGGACCCCAGUAGACCAAAAUAAAAGGAACAACAUUAUCUGAAAAUAGGCAGGCCUUCUGGAACAAGGAAGGUGUAACGCCUCGAUUUCCUAAACCAAAACGCUACACGGUGCUCAUGACCCUGAAGGACCACAAGCUAACCCAUAACUGAUAUCUGUACCUGUAACUGCACAAUAUACAUAUAAAAUUGUAGAAACAUGAACUAAAAGGCCGAAAGGUUCAAUCUUGAACAAUUUGUUCAAACGUCUGAAUAAAGUGGUAUCACAGUACCAAAACAAAACUGAAAAAAUACUAAAGUCUGAAUCUGAAAACUCUGUAAUCGUCUGAACGCCUCUAAACUGUCUGAAUAAGGAGUUGAAGGAAUAUGUCUCCAACUAACUCCCUAAACUGAAAAUAAACUGAAAUACUGGAAUGAUAAAUGUAAUGAUCAUGUCCUCGAAAGAUGAGGACUCACUGCUAACUGAACUGCUACUGCUGAUCUGGAACCUCCGCCUCAGAACCUAUGGUGUGACAUAAAGAGAAAGUACCAUAGCGCGAAUACGUCAGUACAACUAAAGUAUUGAGUAUACGUGGGGAUAAGCUAAAUGCAUGGGGUUUAUAUGCAUGAACAUGUUGACUAAUAUGAACGUGAGAAUACAUACAUACGUACAUAACUUCUACUGAACUCGUGGAGAUACUGACUAUUGAGUCUGAAUACUGACAUCAUGACUUUACUGAUACUGAGAUACUGAAUAGAUGAAUGACUAUUUCUGACAGUUCGAAUUAUGAAGAACUGGUCUGAUUAAUCGUGUAUAACAGUCCUAAAAACUGAAUACUGAUAAUGUAAGCUAUGAAGACUGAUAUAACUGAUAUAACUGUGAUGAUUGGCCUAACCGAUGUAACUGAUACUGAGUGAUUAUAUCUGACAGUCUAAAUCUUCUAAUAAUGGUUAAGAGUGACAAAGCUUGAGAUUAGGCCUAAAUAAUAGGUGAUCUCUGGGGACUGGUAAUGAGAAUACUCAACUGAAAUCUGAGAUUGAGAUCAAGCCUAUCUGCCGGGUGACCUGUAAUAGCCCACAAAAUUUUUCGUUGAAAUUUUGUGCGUAAACGUGUUGGGUUCUAUCUUCUAGAAUGAAUUAUAAAUUUUCCAUGCUUAAUGUCUUAGAUUAUGACCCACCAUUGCGUAGAGUAUCGAAUAAGAUUUCCAACAAUAUGUGGAUCAUCCAAAACCGACACCCGAGUGACGAGUUAUGAACAUUCCGAUCGAACUGUGAAUAGUAGUGAAUAGUAAAACAUGCAGGAAAAAGUACUGAGGCCUGGCGUGUUUUUGCUCCAAAUUUAAACGAUCAUAAAUCCUUGUACAUAAUGAUCUGGGUGAUCUACUAUAUAUCAACGGAAAUCUCUACGAGUCCUCUUUCCAAUGAAAUUGGUUUCAUCCAAUUUGUCUAUUGGAGAAAAAAGUUAUGGUCGAUCUACUUCAACCUAUGAAAAGCCAAUUUUUGGGUCAACUUCAAAUGAUCAUAACUCCUUGUACAUAAUGAUCUGGGAGAGAUAAUGUAUAUCAACAGAAAUAUAUGAGAUUCCUCUAUCUAAUGAAAUUGGUUUCAUCCAAUUUGGAGAUCGGAUUAAAACGUUAUGGUUGAUCUACUUCAGACUAUCAAAACAGUCCACCAAAGGACAAAUUCGAGAUUUUUUUUAUUUUAAGGGGCGUUUUAGUCAUUCCACCUCACCCAAAAUCCGUCCAAACCCUAUAUUAAAGCCUAUUAGAAGCAUUAUAUGUUAUAUUUCAUCAAAUUCCCUCAAAAAGAAAACCCUAAGCUCCUACAUCCAACUUCAAGAACCUCCAAAGUUCACCAUUAAUUCUGCAAAUUUAUUCAAGAUUCCAAGUUCCUAGUUCAAGAACUCUAAGAACCAUCAGUCAAAGGCAUGAUUAACAUCUCUAAAACAAGUAUCUAUCUAAAGUUCAUCAUUCAAGGUAUGUGGGGUUUUUCAAUAAGAACUCUCUUUCGUUCUUGUGCCCAAAAGUAAUUUUCUUUACAAAGGCAUGAUUUUUAUUUGAUUUUUAUGAAUUUGAAGCAUGAACCCAUAUCUUAUGAUGAUUAUUAUGAAAUCUUGAUGUUUAUGAUUUUGAAAGAUGAAUGUACAUGUGUGGAGAUAUAAAGCAUGAAUCUUGAACGAUAUUUAUCAUGAUUUUGAUAUUUGGGUCAUGAAUCCCNNNNNNNNNNNNNNNNNNNNNNNNNNNNNNNNNNNNNNNNNNNNNNNNNNNNNNNNNNNNNNNNNNNNNNNNNNNNNNNNNNNNNNNNNNNNNNNNNNNNNNNNNNNNNNNNNNNNNNNNNNNNNNNNNNNNNNNNNNNNNNNNNNNNNNNNNNNNNNNNNNNNNNNNNNNNNNNNNNNNNNNNNNNNNNNNNNNNNNNNNNNNNNNNNNNNNNNNNNNNNNNNNNNNNNNNNNNNNNNNNNNNNNNNNNNNNNNNNNNNNNNNNNNNNNNNNNNNNNNNNNNNNNNNNNNNNNNNNNNNNNNNNNNNNNNNNNNNNNNNNNNNNNNNNNNNNNNNNNNNNNNNNNNNNNNNNNNNNNNNNNNNNNNNNNNNNNNNNNNNNNNNNNNNNNNNNNNNNNNNNNNNNNNNNNNNNNNNNNNNNNNNNNNNNNNNNNNNNNNNNNNNNNNNNNNNNNNNNNNNNNNNNNNNNNNNNNNNNNNNNNNNNNNNNNNNNNNNNNNNNNNNNNNNNNNNNNNNNNNNNNNNNNNNNNNNNNNNNNNNNNNNNNNNNNNNNNNNNNNNNNNNNNNNNNNNNNNNNNNNNNNNNNNNNNNNNNNNNNNNNNNNNNNNNNNNNNNNNNNNNNNNNNNNNNNNNNNNNNNNNNNNNNNNNNNNNNNNNNNNNNNNNNNNNNNNNNNNNNNNNNNNNNNNNNNNNNNNNNNNNNNNNNNNNNNNNNNNNNNNNNNNNNNNNNNNNNNNNNNNNNNNNNNNNNNNNNNNNNNNNNNNNNNNNNNNNNNNNNNNNNNNNNNNNNNNNNNNNNNNNNNNNNNNNNNNNNNNNNNNNNNNNNNNNNNNNNNNNNNNNNNNNNNNNNNNNNNNNNNNNNNNNNNNNNNNNNNNNNNNNNNNNNNNNNNNNNNNNNNNNNNNNNNNNNNNNNNNNNNNNNNNNNNNNNNNNNNNNNNNNNNNNNNNNNNNNNNNNNNNNNNNNNNNNNNNNNNNNNNNNNNNNNNNNNNNNNNNNNNNNNNNNNNNNNNNNNNNNNNNNNNNNNNNNNNNNNNNNNNNNNNNNNNNNNNNNNNNNNNNNNNNNNNNNNNNNNNNNNNNNNNNNNNNNNNNNNNNNNNNNNNNNNNNNNNNNNNNNNNNNNNNNNNNNNNNNNNNNNNNNNNNNNNNNNNNNNNNNNNNNNNNNNNNNNNNNNNNNNNNNNNNNNNNNNNNNNNNNNNNNNNNNNNNNNNNNNNNNNNNNNNNNNNNNNNGUUUUAAGGUGUCCUAGGGAGUCUGACAAGCCGCGUUAAGUAGAGUCUUGAUCAUCGGUGUGUAGCGCGCCACAUCUAUGAGCAAGAGGCUACAAGACGUUUUAGGAAAAAGUGUAAUUCUUUCUUUCAGAAGCUUAUCAUGCUUAAAGUGUCUCUCUCUACUAUUGAUUCGUGCUUUCCUGUUUCAAAAAUAUGCCUCCACAUCGAGCAAAAAGAAGUAAUAAUGGUCAACAACCUCAACCCGCUGACCCAUUGAAUGAAAAUGUGUCUUAUGCUGAAUUUUGGGCAGCCUUUCAGGCGCUGGCCCAAGUUGUCGUUGCAAAUAUUCAGGACAACCAGGCCCCGACUCUACAGCAGCAGGGAGGUGAUUUAGCUGCUGCCAGGAUCCGUGACUUCAUGCGAAUGAAUCCGUCGGAAUUCUAUGGGUCCAAGUCUGAUGAGGAUCCACGACUAUAUUUAGAGAAGGUGCAGAAGAUUACUCAGGUGAUACAUGUAUCUGAGGAACAAAGUAUGGAGUUAGCUACGUAUAGGUUGAAAGACCUUGCUUAUGACUGGGUUUUUUCUUGGAGGAAAGGUAGAGGUUAGGGAGCUGUCCCUACAACUUGGCAAGAGUUCCAGGUUGCAUUCCUAGAUAAGUUUUUCCCUUUGGAGAUGAGGGAGGCGAAGGUGGAAGAGUUUAUGAACCUGCGAUAGGGCUCUAUGACUGUUAGGGAGUACUGUCUAAAGUUCAAUCAGUUGGCCAAGUAUGCUCUUGACUUAGUGGAUGAUAAUCGGGCUACUAUGAGUAAGUUUGUGACUGGAGUGACUAGUUAUGUGGUUAAGGAGUGUAGGUCUGCUNNNNNNNNNNNNNNNNNNNNNNNNNNNNNNNNNNNNNNNNNNNNNNNNNNNNNNNNNNNNNNNNNNNNNNNNNNNNNNNNNNNNNNNNNNNNNNNNNNNNNNNNNNNNNNNNNNNNNNNNNNNUGUUUGUGAGUUGAGUGACUAGUUAUGUUGUUAAGGAGUGUAGGUCUGCUUUACUGAAUAGUGAGAUGAAUCUUUCAGGGAUGAUGACUCAUGCCCAACAGAUUGAGGUAGACAAGAUUAAGGAGAGAGAUAUAAUGAGAGGGAAUAAGAGAGCUAGGUUCGAGCAGCACGGACAAGGUCAGACUAGAUCGUAGGGAAGGAGUCACCCUUAGUAUCAGGAUCGUUCGUCUAUGCCAGCACCGUCAUCUGCUAGUGCACCCAUGCCUAGAGGUAGGAAGGAUCAAGGUAGCAGGUCAUAUGCAUCCAAGUCCCAGUACAGUGCUGGCAGUAAGCCAAAUUAUCCCCUGUGUCCUAAGUGUGGUAGGGGUCAUUCGGGUGAGUUUUGGGGUGAGAAGAGGGGUUGUUUCUGGUGUGGUGACAUGGGUCACAGAGUUAGAGAUUGUCAACAAGAUGGACAAGGGCGUCGUGACUAUCGCCCUCAAACCCAGACUCAGAUUGUUAGUGCUCCAGUUCCAGCGACUUACCCAGCCCCAUCUCAGGGCGCCUCUCCUAGCAAUGCUGGCGGGCAGUGCCAGAAUAGAUUCUAUGCUUUACCAUCCCACCAGGAACAGGAGGACUCUCCCAAUGUUUUUUACUGGUAUACUUCGUAUAUUUCAGUUUGAUGUGUAUGCUUUGUUGGAUCCUGGAUCCAGUUUCUCAUAUGUUACACCUUUGAUUGCUGUGAAUUUUGAAAUGAGUCAUGAUUUUAUUCCUUAGCCUAUCCUAGUUUUUACCCCAGUGGGUGAUUUAAUUGUUGCCCAAAAUAUGUUUAAAAAGUGUCCUGUUACCGUUCUUCAUAGAGUCUUGUUGGCUGAUCUGAUUGAGUUAGACAUGGUAGAUUUUGAUAUGAUUCUGGGUAUGGACUGGCUAUAUUCUUCUUAUGCCUCUAUUGAUUGUCGGACCUGAGUGGUCAAGUUUCAUUUUUCGGGUGCAUCCGUCUUUGAGUGGUCUGGGAAUUCUGUGUCACCCAAGAGUCAUUUUAUCUCUUACCUCAAAGCUAGAAAGCUUAUUUUCAAGGGGUGUAUUUACCAUUUGGUUAGAGUCAAAGACACUAAGUCUAAGACUCCAACUCUCCAGUCUGUUAACGUCGUCAAUGAGUUUUCUGAUGUCUUUUCGGAUGUUCUCCCAGGGAUACCUCCUGAUAGAGAGAUAGAGUUCGGGAUUGACCUUCUUNNNNNNNNNNNNNNNNNNNNNNNNNNNNNNNNNNNNNNNNNNNNNNNNNNNNNNNNNNNNNNNNNNNNNNNNNNNNNNNNNNNNNNNNNNNNNNNNNNNNNNNNNNNNNNNNNNNNNNNNNNNNNNNNNNNNNNNNNNNNNNNNNNNNNNNNNNNNNNNNNNNNNNNNNNNNNNNNNNNNNNNNNNNNNNNNNNNNNNNGUAUGUGCAUUGAUUACCGCCAACUGAAUAAAGUCACCAUAAAAAAUAAGUACCCCCUUCCGAGAAUAGAUGAUUUGUUUGACCAAUUGCAAGGUGCAAGUUAUUUCUCAAAGAUAGACCUUCUUCCGGCUAUCAUCAACUCAAAGUUAGGGAGUGUGACAUCCCGAAAACUACUUUCCGAACUAGUUAUGGCCAUGUUGAGUUUCUUGUUAUGUCUUUUGGGUUAACUAAUGCCCCAAUAGCUUUCAUGGACCUCAUGAAUCAAGUGUUCAGACCAUAUCUGUAUAUGUUUGUCAUAGUGUUCAUCGAUGAUAUACUGUUGAACUCCCGUAAUGAGGAUGAACAUUCUGAUCACUCCAAACUGUCUUGCAAAACCUUAAAGAUCACAAGUUGUUUUCCAAGUUCAAUAAGUGUCAGUUUUGGCUAAGGUCAGUGCUUUUCUGGGUCAUAUCAUUUCUUCUGAGGGUAUUAGAGUUGAUCCCCAAAAAACCGAAGCUGUUAGAAAUUAGCCUAGACCUAUUUCUCCAACUGAUAUCCAAAGUUUCUUGGGUUUAACUGGCUAUUACCGCCGUUUUGUUGAGGUUUUCUCCUCUAUAGCGUCUCCUAUUACUCGGUUGACCCAAAAGAAAGUGAAGUUCUUGUGGUCUGAAUCUUGUGAGAAGAGUUUUUAGGAGUUGAAGACUCGACUCAUUUCAGCCCCUGUUUUGACUUUACCUGAUGGUAUUGAUGGUUUUGUGUAGUACUGUGAUGCUUCGAGAGUUGGGUUGGGUUACGUAUUAAUGCAGAAGGGUAAGGUGAUAGCUUAUGCUUCUAGACAGUUGAAAACCCAUGAGAAAAAUUACCCCACCCAUGACCUUGGGUUGACUGCUGUUGUGUUUGCUUUGAAAAUCCAUGUUGAUAUUUUCACUGAUCAUAAGAGUCUGCAGUAUGUGUUAACUCAGAGUGAAUUGAAUCUUAAGCAGAGACGAUGGUUACAAUUGUUAAAGGACUAUGAUAUGAGUGUGUUGUACCAUCCGGGCAAGGCCAAUGUUGUGGCGGAUGCCCUAAGUAAAGUGUCCAUGGGUAGUGUUUCGCAUGUGGUAGAAAGCAAGAAAGAGUUGGCUCGUGAUGUACAUCAUUUGACUAGAUUGGGGGUUAGGUUGUUUAACUCUGCUGAAGGUAGUAUAGGGGUUCAGAGUAGUUCCGAAUCCUCCUUGGUUUCGAAAGUGAAGGAAAAGCAAUACUUAGAUGCUAGUUUGGUCAGACGAGUCAGUCAAGGACUAAAAAGUAGAGGUUUUCUCCCAAGAGGGAGAUAGUGUGUUGAGAUUCCAGGGUGGUUGUGUGUCCUGAAUGUUGAUGAUCUGAGACAGAGGAUUAUGGCUAAAGCACACGGGGUAUGAUAUUCUAUUCAUCCUGGUGCCACCAAGAUGUACCGAGACUUGCGGGAAAUCUAUUGGUGGAGUGGCAUGAAGAAAGAUAUAGCAGCGUUUGUAGCUAAGUGUGAAACAUGCCAACAGGUUAAGGUUGAACACCAAAGACCUGGUGGUAUGAUGCAAGAGUUUAGUAUUCCCACCUGGAAGUGGGAAGAGAUAAAUAUGGACUUCGUGAUUGGUUUACCUCUUUCCCGACGCCAUCAUGAUUCCAUUUGGGUUGUGGUUGAUAGGUUGACUAAGUCUGCUCAUUUCUUGCCUGUUCAUACUUCAUAUACUGCUUAGGAUUACGCUAGAUUGUAUGUCCGAGAGCUAUUCAGACUGCAUGGAGUUCCCUUUUCUAUCAUUUCGGAUAGGGGUACUCAAUUCACAUCGUAAUUUUGGAAAGCUUUUCAGAAGGGUCUUGGUACCCAAGUGCUUUUGAGUUCUGCUUUUCAUCCGCAGAGUGAUGGUCAGGCUGAGCGGACCAUCCAGACCUUAGAGGAUAUGUUGAGAGCUUGUUCACUUGACUUUAAGGGAAGUUGGGAUGAUCGCUUACCGUUGAUAGAGUUUGCUUACAAUAACAGUUUUCACUCUAGUAUUGGCAUGGCUACGUUUGAAGCCUUAUAUGGGAGGAAGUGUAGAUCACCCAUAGGUUGGUUCGAGCUAGGUAAAGCGGCUGUGAGUGGUCCUAAUUUGGUAUUUGUGACUGUGGAAAGAGUUAAGUUGAUUAGGGAAAGGUUGAAAACUUCACAGAGUUGUCAGAAGUCAUAUGCGGAUGUUAGAAGGAGAGAACUUGAGUUUGAAGUUGGUGACCUAGUGUAUCAAAAAAUUUCACCCAUGAGGAGGGUGAAGAGAUUCAGAAAGAAGGGGAAGCUUAGUUCCCAUUAUGUUGGUCCUUACAAAAUUCGUAGCCGUGUUGGUAAGGUAGCUUAUGAGGUCGAGUUGCCUUCNNNNNNNNNNNNNNNNNNNNNNNNNNNNNNNNNNNNNNNNNNNNNNNNNNNNNNNNNNNNNNNNNNNNNNNNNNNNNNNNNNNNNNNNNNNNNNNNNNNNNNNNNNNNNNNNNNNNNNNNNNNNNNNNNNNNNNNNNNNNNNNNNNNNNNNNNNNNNNNNNNNNNNNNNNNNNNNNNNNNNNNNNNNNNNNNNNNNNNNNNNNNNNNNNNNNNNNNNNNNNNNNNNNNNNNNNNNNNNNNNNNNNNNNNNNNNNNNNNNNNNNNNNNNNNNNNNNNNNNNNNNNNNNNNNNNNNNNNNNNNNNNNNNNNNNNNNNNNNNNNNNNNNNNNNNNNNNNNNNNNNNNNNNNNNNNNNNNNNNNNNNNNNNNNNNNNNNNNNNNNNNNNNNNNNNNNNNNNNNNNNNNNNNNNNNNNNNNNNNNNNNNNNNNNNNNNNNNNNNNNNNNNNNNNNNNNNNNNNNNNNNNNNNNNNNNNNNNNNNNNNNNNNNNNNNNNNNNNNNNNNNNNNNNNNNNNNNNNNNNNNNNNNNNNNNNNNNNNNNNNNNNNNNNNNNNNNNNNNNNNNNNNNNNNNNNNNNNNNNNNNNNNNNNNNNNNNNNNNNNNNNNNNNNNNNNNNNNNNNNNNNNNNNNNNNNNNNNNNNNNNNNNNNNNNNNNNNNNNNNNNNNNNNNNNNNNNNNNNNNNNNNNNNNNNNNNNNNNNNNNNNNNNNNNNNNNNNNNNNNNNNNNNNNNNNNNNNUUGGCAUGUCUAGCAUCAUUCGAGGAUGAAUGUUUCCAAGGGGGGAUGAUGUAAUACCCCGGAAAAUUUUUCAUUGAAAUUUUGUGCGUAAACGUGUUGGGUUCUAUCAUCUUGAAUGAAUUAUAAAUUUUCCGUGCAUAAUGUCUUAGAUUAUGACCCACCAUUGCGUAGAGUAUCGAAUAAUCUUUCCAACGAUAUGUGGAUCAUCCAAAACGGACACCCGAGCGAUGAGUUAUGAACAUUCCGAUCGAACUGUGAAUAGUAGUGAACAGUAAAACGUGCAGGAAAAAAAUACUGAGGCCUGGCGUAUUUUUGCUCCAACUUUAACUGAUCAUAAAUCCUUGUACAUAAUGAUCUGGGUGAUCUACUAUAAAUCAACAGAAAGCUCUGCAAGUUCUCUUUCCAAUGAAAUUGGUUUCAUCCAAUUUGUCUAUUAGAGCAAAAAGUUAUGGUCGAUCUACUUCAGCCUAUCAAAAACGAAUUUUUGGGUCAACUUCAAACGAUCGUAACUCCUCAUACACAAUGAUAUGGGUGAGAUACUAUAUAUCAACGGAAAUACAUGAGAGUAUUCUUUCUAAUGAAAUUGGUUUCAUUCAAUUUGGAUAUCGGAUGAAUUAAAGGAUGAAUCUUGAACGAUAUUUAUCAUGAUUUUGAUAUUUGGGUCGUGAAUCCCCAUUGGAAAUUGUGUUUUUUUUGAGAAAGUGUGUGUUAUAAGCACGUUGAUAUUAAAUAUUUGAGAUAUUUUGAAUGAUUUGACCUUUUGGUCUUAAUGGAGUUGUUUUGAACUCGAGUGUGAAAGAAAUCCACAACGUGGUUGAUUUUGAUAGAUGGGAAGCAUGAUGGCUCCCGAUGUAUAUUUAUAUAUUACAGAAAUUGUUUUGUUAUGGAUUGUACUUGAAAUGAUCUGAGUUAAGUCCGGGAAGAAUCUUUAGCACCGAGUGGGAGGUAUAAAGCGACCUUACUUCCUUAGAAUUACGUGCCUCCGUAGGAGUGAGCAUGAGGCUGAUUUAUAUAGUAAUCACUAGUUUGUGUGGAUUUGAUAUCGAUAGUCCUACUCUGAUAGCAAAGAUAGGAUGGCUCUGCCCAACGUGCGUUGUACGUUGGACUCCAUGUAGCCCACAUGCUUUAUGUCGGUUAUAGGUUCUCUCAGUGUGUGUGUGUUUCCUUGUGUCUAUGGUGAAUGGUGAAGUGAUUUGAAAGUGGAAUUGUGAAAGUUAGUUUUUCAAAAGAUUUAAAUGAUAUUUAAAUUAUGAGAAUUGAUAUUCUUGAUGAACUGAAAGUGAUUGACAAAUUAUAUGAUGACUCACACGUGUUAUUGUACUUAUUUCAUCCUCUCAUAAUUACGAUGAUUUUUUUUGGGCUAUGUGAAUCUUUCAUACAUCCUGCAUAUUUCUUAUAAAUAUUUAUGAUGAUGAUGUUUAUACAAUUGCAUACACGCCCAUAUACUCGGUUCCUUUCCAUGGUAUUGACCCACAUCUUCGGAUGUGGGCUGGAUUUUCUUGAAAUGUAGGUUUAGGUGCUCAGUUCCAGGUUCGACAGUGAUUCUUCGGGCACACUGUUCUACAUCCUCUGUUGUGAUGAGUCCUCACGUUCCGAGGACGUGAUGUCUGAUGUUCGCUUCACAGAAUUGUUCACAUUUGAUAACUGAGUAUGAGUCAGUUGGAGCAUGUCUCAAUGGCUCGCUGGUUUUAUUGAUUUUCUUAGAGGCUUGUCAGACUAGUAUAGAUUUUGGGAGUUGACUAAUAAGUCGUAUUUUGUUGUCUUUCUUAAAUUCUUUUAUUCUUGGAUGAUGAUUACUCUGUUGAUAUUUGAGGGUUAUUUAUGAAAACCCCGUUGAUUUGUGUUGAAUUGAAUUAAAAUGGCUCAAAGGGUUAGCUUGGGGCUACUCGUAGCCUCAAGCAUCGUGUGAUGCUUCGGUACCCAUUUUCUGGGGCGUUACAUGACCUCUAUAAGUACUGAUACUGAAUAACUUAAUGAGAGACCAAGCCUAUAUUACGGGUGGUCUUUAAAUCUGUGGAACUAUCUGAGUUCCUUACUGAGAUCGAUGACUGUAUCUGACAGUCCUGAUUUCUGAUUUCUAUUCUGAAGACUGAUACUAAAACUGUAAUUGUGGGAGGUAGUCACCUAACCAACAUGCCCUGAUAUUGAACUGGUGGGGUGCAAUCUUUGCCCUGAUUGGAAGGGUGAUAAUGUCAUGCCAUGGGUAAAGCCACUGCUAACUGAACCUAGGAUGCCAUGCCUAAAUGACGGGUGACACUUGGUAGGAGUUAAGCCUAAUAUAAAGGGUGACUCCGGGUAGGUAGUCAAGCCUAAUCUAACGGGUGACUCCUGGUCCUGCACUGGCUAUGCAGUUCUGGAGUACAGGGAUUUCUGCUAAUGACUCUGCCUCUAUAGCGGGGAAGCCACCAUCUCCAUACUCGCUCGGUGCUAUUUCCAUCUCCCAAUUAAAAGACUCUAAACAGAUUAACUGAGCUGAACUGAUUGACUAAACUAAAUUGAUCAGCUGAACUGGACUGGGCUGAGUUAACUGAACUGAUACUAGCGGUAUUAUUUAGCCGAGUUAAACUAAAAUUACUUGGUUCCCUUGACUGAAGGAACUUACUGAGUUCCGACGACUGACUGAGAGUACUGAAACUACUGAGAUCGCUAGGAAUACUGUUGGUACUAAGAUCACUGAGAUUACUGAGUACUGAGAUUACUAAGAUUUUUGAGGUUUCCUGAGUCACAUGACUGAUUGAAUUCUAUAGAUCAUGACUUGACUGAGAGUAUCGUGAUAGCUUGACAUGGCUCUAGAAACACAACUGUAUUUUUGGUGUACAAGUACCCUCAGGACUCGAUGGAAGGAAACUGACACACAUGACUAACUUGAUCAUAAGAGUAGAGUCCACAAUUCACAAUAUUAUAAGUAGGGAUUUCAUACUAAGCAUGGUUCUCAACAAUCUAUCACUUGGACAGGAAUAUACAACGCGUAUAUACUUGCAUGGCUCCAAUAGCAUGGAAAUCACGUUGAACAUAAACUUAGAACAUGGAAUAGUCAUUCAGGAUCUAUUAUGUCAUAGAAGCAUGAUUUCUAGUCUCUUAGGUAUUUUCACAAACACCUUACAUGCACAUCUUAGGCAUAGGUGGAUUCAUCAAGAUUACAAGUAUUCGACCACAAAUUUCAUAUAUUUAUACAUCAUAUACCACCAUAGCUUCACAUAAACAUACAAAAAUCCCAUCUUGGGCAUCAUCAAACUCCAACAACAUGAUCAUCAACCAUCAACAACAUAAACAUCACAAUACAAAAUUUGAAGGAUGAUUCUUGAGAUUUAUGGAUGAAAGGAAUCCAUAAAUCAACAUUCGCAUACCUUAGUUAGAAGUUUCCUUGAAAUUCUACGGUGAAAUCUCUUGAUUCUUGGAGCUUCUAUGAAAACCCUAACUUGAGUUCUUGGUUGUUCUUGAGAGAAAAUCAACAAAAGGGAUGUAUUUUGGUGUUAUGGAGCUCAAAUCCCAUGUUUAAGGUGUCACGAACCGAACCGGGGCCCUGGCCAUGACGAGUAUCCCGAACCAUAAAGGCCCGAGACACCCCUAUCUGUCUGGUAUUCAUGCACAUAAUUCAUAUGAUAAUAAAAAUACGGAAUAUAAACAAUAUUACAGAAACAUGGUCAGGAAUCAUACGAAAGCAAUAAUGGGGAAUAAUGUCCCACAAUCCCAACACAUCUCUAUGACGUCUGCGAAAUCUCUACUACAUGACUGAAACAAAUAUCUAUCUGAAAACUGGGACAAGGCCCCCAGUAGACCCAAAACUAAUAAAUGAUAAAUGAAACUGCCAGAUAUCAGGCUUUCCAAAAUAUAGAAGGCUCACCAAGUGACUCUACGAAUCUGUCUGAGGAAAUCUACUAAUUUUCUAGACCCCUAGACUGUGCCUUCGAACCUGGGAGGGAAGGGGGUCAAUACAAAAGUACUGGUACGCAGAGAUAUCAAAAAAAAAUAUAAUAUUUUUACAAAAUAUAGUUGAGAGCCAUUAUAAAGCAGUUUCAUAUCAAAUCAUUUGAAAACACAUUGGCGUAAUGUAAUUGUUUUCAACAAUAAUGCAAUGCAACUGAGCUAGGUGGAAUACCCUACAUAUCACAUUUACACCAACUGUCAAACCUCGGUUGUCUUUUAGAUUAGAGUAUGAGUGAGGGGACGAAACACAAGAUGACAUAGCAAGGUGUCUCGACCCAAUGGUAGUGCACAAGAUCAGAAAGCAGGGUUCCUAACCAUAAUUCCAAUUUGGGAAUGACAUAAAGUCAGGUACGUAAGAUCACAAAGCAUGGUACCAAGUUCCCAUAUCGGCAAACACAAUUUCCAGCGAUGAGUCCUUACACUCAAACGCCUUCUUCGGGCAUCCACCUAUCUCAUGUAAAAUCGAUGCAUUCAAAUUUCAUCUGAUUCAAUCACAUACCAUAUUCUGUAGGGUAUCGUCAUCCCCGACUUGCAAGCCAUCAAUGUCACAUCAUUACUUCAUGCAGCCAUUAUAUUCAUCAUAUUUCAACAUAAUAACCCUCUCCUUGCAAGUCGAAAAUCAUAUGCACUUUCAAAAUAGUUCAUGUCAUGCUUUUCAAGAUGAUUUCAAACAAUUCACAUCAUAUAAAAAUUUCAAACAAUUUCAUAUCAAGAGAGGGGUUUCAUAUAAUUCAUGAUCUCAAGUUAACAUCUUUUGAAUCACAAGCAUAUGCAUAUAUAAUAUAUCAAAUCACUUCGGAAAUAGGCCUAAAGACCAAAAAAAUAUCAUAAAGAUGCUUGAAACAUGUUUAUAUUCAUAAUUUCAAAACCUCCAUUUUUAAAACAUGAAUUUUUAAGCCCAUGAGAUUUUUGAGAUAACCCCACGUACCUCUAUAUGCGAAUAUGAUAGGUGCUUCUUGAAGCCUACGUUGCGGGAAUUCCAAAUCUUCAAUUUGUUUUGAAAACCCAUUGUUGAAUCGUGAGUUAUUGGGGUUUUUAUUUUGAAACUUAUCCGAGAUGUACUAUGAGAUUUCCCGAUCGUAACACAACUUGAAAAUCUAAAAAUGGAUGUUGGAAAGGUUGAAAAGUUGUAUCCCGAAGAUUGCCAGCUAAAAUAACUCUAAGUCCUCAUUACACUUAGAAAAAUAUUCUAGUUGUUAGCCCCUCAAACAUAACACUAAAAAUGAAAUCGACUUGAGAAUUUUACGGGGAAUUCGAUAGGAGUGAUUACCAUACGUAUGUUAAUAAAGAAUAAUUCAGUUCAGGUCUAUAUACGUAGGAACGACGGUCUAAACUCUAGCCCAAAAAUACGGGUGUUACAUAGAGUAUAAAGAGGGUCGCAAAAGGACCAAAAUGCCCUUUGGGACACGGGGGUUGCAUUCAGAAAACUGGGUAAGCACCGAACUUAGCAGGCGACGCUUGCCCUAGUCCACCUCUAUAGACCAGGUGAUGCCUGGCUAAGAGCAGUGCUCUAGGCCGGGUGACGCAGGCCUAUCGCCUGGUGCUACAGUUUUGCAAAUCCAAACAUGCCCUUAUGCUAUCCAAAAAAUUCUGAAACUUACCCGAGAUGUACUAAGACCUUGCCCGAUCGCAACACAACUUGAAAAGACAAAAAUGAAGGCUGUGAAGUUCAUCAAAUAAAUCCUCGAAGUUCGGAGGUCUAAAAUGAGACCAAGUGUUGAAUCUUGAACACUUAGCAAAAAUUUCUAAGUCUUGGGAUCUUUCAUGGAGCUUUACGAGAUGAAUUUGACAUGCGAAUUUGCGAGGUCUUACAAUAUCUCCCCCUUGAAAACAUUCAUCCUCGAAUGAGAUAGACUGAGAGGGGAAACAAUAAGCUGAACUUGAACCGAGCAUGGAUGACUGAAACAUGAUCUUGUGACUGACGUGACAAAUAAACUGAUUCAUACUGAAUAUGCAUAUCUGAUACAUGGGUAACUAAUUCAUGAAUGAAGAACUGAGGAUUUUGAUAAACUGAGUUUUCUGAAAGAGGGGAAUGCAUAUCUAAUGCAUAACUAAAAGGCUGAAUCCAUGCAUAUCUGAUGCAUUAUUACAUAACUGAACUAACUAAUGAACAUAUGACUGAACAUGCAAUGGUAAAGGCACUAAGAUUGGACUGAAACAUGAGAACAUGACUGAAUCUGCUACAUGACAUAUGGACUGAACCUUAUGAACUGAACUGAACCUCUGAAUACUCGACUUACAACUGAGGUUUUUAACUUGAGGGUCAACUUAUGAGAACCCUCUAUUCUAGAUUGAGUUCGUUAUGCAAGAAGAAACUGAAGGAUCUAAGACAUGAGAGCAUCAAGGAACGGUGGGGUAUCUCCCCCUCUAGGAACGUUUACCUUGCUAAGAUACUGGGGUGAUGCAUAGGGCAACUACGAACUAGAUUAUAUCUGAACAUCGAAGAGCUGAAGCUAAUGAAAGAUGCAUGAAGAUAAAAGAUUUAUACAUACCCAAUUCUAUGUUAGGAAAACUUUUUAGAUCAUGGCGAGUCUGAAGUGAAUAGAGUUGGUUCUAACGCUGACCACUAUUGGUACUGGGAUUGGCGGCCUGCUAAUACGAAUCUCUACCUUUCUGAGCUAAUACUCUACACUCCCGCAUUCUGUAACCUGGAUUACCGCAUCUAAAACAUACCUGACUAUUAGCUCCGUACGCACCUAGAUGAUUCUUUCCAUAUUCUCCACAAAGAGGAUAAGUACUCUCACUUCUAACACUACUCUGGGCUUUGGAGCCUGGCGCCCCAUCAUGACUAACAUCUCUAAAAUUUGGUGUGGGCACACUAGCUGAGGAUGGAACUGGGACUGAAUUUUUCUGACUAUGGUGAGAGCGAUUACCACCCUAUGACCCAACUAGAGAAAAACUGUUACUACCUAUUCUGAAUCUCUUAUUAGAUCUCUCCCUCUUCUUAGACUUAUCUGCCUCUAUCUUCUGGGCAUGCAUCAUUAACCUAGUAAGAUCCAUGUCUCAAUUACACAUAGCUUUCCUACACUCUUUCAAUACCAACCCAAACACACCAGUCACAAACUUACUCAUACUCGCUCUGGGAUCAUCUAUCAAGUUAGGAGCAUACUUAGCUAAUUGGUUGAACUUAAGACAAUACUCCUUCACUGUCAUAGAGCCUUGUCUCAGGUUUAUAAACUCUUAUACCUUAGCUUCUCUCAUCUCUAGCGGAAAAAACCUAUCUAGAAAGGUAUCCUAAAAUAUCUGCCAAGUCAUGGGAGUUGCAUCUUCCCCUCUACUCUUAUUCCACAACACUACCCAAUCAUGAGCAAUAUCUUUCAGCCUAUAGGAUGCUAAUUCCACACUCUCUUCCUCUGACACAUUCAUAAUUUGGGUGAUCUUCUUUACCUCUUCUAGAUACAACUUUGGGUCCUCACCUGCUACUGACCCAAAGAAUUAUGGAGGGUUCAUUCUCAUAAAAUUUCUAAUUUUGGCUGCGGCUAAAUCCCCAUCUUGCUGAGGUGGGGCUGCAGUCUGUCGGUUGCCCUGAACGCUAGUGGUCACAGCUUAGGCUAUUACCUAAAAAACUACCCAAAAUUCUGCAUAUGACACACUUUCAUUCAAAGGAUCUGUGGGCUGAGGGGCUGAUUGAUUCCCUAUUCUCUUCUUAGGAGGCAUGUUCUGCAAACAGAAGAGAAACAAAGAUUAGACUGAAAGUUCAAGUUGAGCUUUUACUCACUGGCACGACAUGAAUACUGAAAGGAGAGAAACUAUUCCUAAAACAUCUUAUAGCCUCAUGUAUAUAAAUGUGGCGUGCAACACACCCAUGCACAAGACUCGACUAGAUGCGGCUUUCAUACUUCCUAGGAAUCUAUUGAACCUUAGGCUCUGAUACCAAGUUUGUAACGCCCUAAUUUUCUAAACCAAAAUACUACACGAUGCUCAUGACCUCGAAGGACCACAAACUAAUCCAUGACUGAUAUCUGUACCUAUAACUGCACAAUAUACAUAUAAAAAUGCAAAAAUAUGAACUAAAAGGCCGUAAGGUUCAAUCUUGAACAAUAAAACGUAUGAAUAAGGUGGUAUCACAGUACCAAAACAAAAUUAAAAAAAAUACUAAAGUCUGAAUCUGAAAACUCUGUAAUCGUUUGAAAGCCUCUAAACUGUCUGAAUAAAGAGUUGAAGGAACAUGUCUCCAACUAACUCCCUAAACUAAAAAUAAACUGAAACACUGGAAUGAUAAAUAUAAUGAUCAUGUUCUUGAAAGAUGAGGACUCACUGCUAACUGAACUGCUACUGUUUAUCUAGAACCUGCGCCUUAGAAUUUAUGGUGUAACAUAAAAAGAAAGAACCAUAGCACAAAUGCGUCAGUACAACUAAAGUAUUGAGUAUAUGUGGGGGUAGGCUAAACGCAUGGGGUUUAUAUGCAUGAACAUCCGACUAAUAUGAACGUGAGAAUACAUACAUACAUACAUAAUUUCUAUUGAACUCAUAGAGAUACUUACUACUGAGUCUGAAUACUGACAUCAUGACUUUACUAAUACUGAGAUACUGAAUAGAUGAAUGACUAUUUCUGACAGUUCAAAUUAUAAAGAACGGGUCUGAUUGAUCGUGUCUAAUAGUCCUGAAAAAUGAAUACUGAUAACAUAAGGUAUGACGACUGAUAUAACUGAUAUAACUAUGAUAUUGGCCUAACCGAUGUAACUAAUACUGAGUGACUAUAUCUGACAGUCUAAAUCUCCUAAUAAUUGUAAAGAGUGACUAAGCUUGAGAUCAGGCCUAAAUAACGGGUGAUCUCUGGAACUGAUAAUAUGAAUACUCAAAUAAAAUCUGAGAUUGAGAUCAAACCUAUUUGUUGGGUGACCUCUAUAAGUACUGAUAAUGAAUAACUUAAUGAGAGGCCAAGCCUACAUGACGGGCGGUCUUUAAGUCUGUGGAACAAUCUGAGUUCCUUACUGAGAUUGAUGACUGUAUCUGAAAGUCCUGAUUUGUGAUUUCUUCUUUGAAGACUGAUACUAAAACUGUAACUAUAGGAGGUAGUCACCUAACUGACAUGCCCCGAUACUGAACUGGUGGGGUCCAAUCUUUGCCCUGAUUGGAAGGGUGUUAAUGCCGUGCCACGGGUAAAGACACUAGUAACUGAAUCCAGGAUUCCAUGCCUAAUAUGACGGGUGAAACCUGGUGGAAGCCAAGCCUAAUAUGACGGGUGACUCCGGGGAGGUAUUCAAGCCUAAUCUAAUGGGUGUCUCCUGGUCUUGCGCUGGCUACGUAGUUCUGGAGUACAGGGAUUGCUGCUAACGACUCUGCCUCUAAGCAGGAAAGCCGCCAUCUCCAUACUCUCUCGGUGGUAGUUCCAUCUCCCAAUUGAAAGACUAUAAACAGAUUAACUGAGCUGUACUGAUUGACUAAAUUGAACUGAUCAGCUAAACUGAACUAGGUUGAGUUAACUGAACUGAUACUAGUGAUAUUAUUUAGCGGAAUUAAAACUAAGUUUACUAGGUUCCCUUGACUGAAGAAACAUACUGAGUUCCAAGGACUAAUUGAGAGUACUGAAACUACUAAGAUCGCUAGGAAUACUGCUGGUACUAAGAUCACUGAGAUUACUGAAUACUGAGAUUACUAAGAUUUCUGAGGUUUCCUGAGUCACAUGACUGACUGAAUUCUAUAGAUCAUGACAUGACUGAGAGUAUCAUGAUAACGUGACAUAGCUCUAGGCACACAACUAUAUUUUUCGGGUACAAGUACCCCCAGGACUCAUUGGAAGGAAACUGACACACAUGACUAACUUGAUCAUAAGAGUAGAGUCCUUAAUUCAUAAUAUUAUAAGUAGGGAUUUCAUACUAAGCAUGGUUCUCAACAAUUUAUCACUUGGAUGGGAAUGCAUACAACAUGCAUAUACUUGCAUGGCUCCAAUAUCAUGGUAAUUCCAUAUCACAACAAUAUCAUGAGCAUCUCAUACAACAUCUUCAAUUCAAGAUAAUAGCAUGGAAAUCACAUUCAACAUAAACUUAGAACAUGGAAUAGUCAUUUAGGACCUAUUAUGUCAUAAAAGCAUGAUUUCUAGUCUCUUAGGAAUUUUCACAAACACCUUACAUGCACAUAUUAGGCAUAGGUGGAUUCAUCAAGAUUACAAAUAUUCAACCAUAAAUUUCAUAUAUUUAUACGUCAUAUACCACCAUAGCUUCACAUAAACAUACAAAAAUCCUAUCUUGGACAUCAUCAAACUCCAACAACAUGAUCAUCAACCAUCAACAACAUAAACAUCAUAAUAAAAAAUUUGAAAGAUGAUUCUUGAGCUUUAUGGAUGAAAGGAAUCCAUAAAUCAACACAUGCAUACCUUAGUUAGAAGUUUCCUUGAAAUUCUACGGUGAAAUCUCUUGAUUCUUGGAGCUUCUAUGAAAACCCUAACUUGAGUUCUUGGUUGUUCUUGAGAGAAAAUCAACAAAAGGGAUGUAUUUUGGUGUUAUGGAGCUCAAAUCCCGUGUUAUAGAGUAUAAAUAAGGUGUCAAAAGGACCAAAAUUCCCUUAAGGACAUGAGGGUUGAGUGCAGAAAAUUGGGCAAGCACCGAACUUAGCAGGCGACGCCUGCCCUAGUCCACCGUUGUAGACCAGGCGAUCCCUGGCUAAGAGCAGUGCUCUAGGCCGGGCGACACAGGCCUAUCUCCUGGUGCUACUAUUUUGCAAAUCCAAAAAUUGCGUUACGCUAUCCGAAAAAUUCUGAAACUUACCCGAGAUGUACUGCGACCUUGCCCCAUCAUAACACAACUUUAAAAUCCAAAAACGAAGGUCGGGAAGGUCGUCAAAUAAAUCCUCAAAGUUUGGAGGUCUAAAAUGAGACUAAGUGUUGAAUCUUGAACACUUGGAAAAAAUUUCUAAGUCUUGGGAUAUUUCAUGGAGCUUUAUGAGCUGAAUUUGACAUGCGAAUUUGCGGGGUCUUACAGAAGGCUCACUAUUGCACGAAUCACUUCUCUAUGAACACUCUACUGCUUAGCUGGACCCCUAGAUUAAGUCUUAGAACCUGUGAGGUAGGGGAUCAAUACAGAUAUACUGGUACGUAGAGCAAAUUAAAAAUAAUAAUUUAUAUUUAACAUACAUGAGAUAAAUUUAAAACAGUGCAUAAACAUAUCAUAUAGUAAGAAAUCACACGGGCAUUUUAAAAGACUCUGUGAAAUCAUCUGAACUCUGUAACACUCUUUAUGUUACUUCUGCACUAGAUGGUAUACCCUACAGUUUGUAAUCCCAUGGGCUAUAUGGGAUCUGCCAUUAACUCGGCAGCCAAGCCCCCAACCCAAGUGUGCCACAAGGGUCGGAGUCUCUGUAUCUACUACGCCACACGGCUGUCGCCAGCGUACAAUAAUAAUCUACCCGUACCGGCAAAUACGGUUUUAGGAUAAGAGUUAUUUGAACUCAAGCCCUUUUAGAGUAACCACCUAACCCUCUUUAAGCCUAUUUUUAAUCCUUUAAAACAUGCAUUCUGUAACACCCUGUACUUUCGGGCUAGAAUCAAGACCAUCGUCCUUACGCGUAUAGACCCGAACUAGAUGAUUCCUUGUUAAUAUAUGUGUGGUUAUCAAUCUUAUAGUGUAAUAAUACCUUUGAAUAUGAAUUGAGUUCACAAAAAUUCCCUAACUCUAAGACGAGUUGAAAACAUUUUUACCAAAUAAGUUUUAGUGAAUGUUUAAAUUUGGGUCAAAUUCCAUUGACCAUAACUUCUAGUAUACGAUGAAUUAUAGAAACUAUUAUAUAUUAAAUGAAAGUUCUUCGAAUAAGCUUUCCAACGAUACCAAUUUUGCCUGAAUCCAAUACCCGAGUGAAAAGUUAUGGCCAUUUUAGUGAUUGAGACAGCUGCGAUAAGUGUAAGAUGCACGCCCUAUCGCGCGCCUCAAAUUUUCAGAUUCUAUUUCCGCAUUUUAAGGGCAAAAUGGGUAUUUUCAGCCCCCCUUCUUCAGCUUAAACAUGGAAUUUUAAUCCCAAAUGACCUCAUUAUUGAUAUUUUCAUCAAAUUACUCCAAGAACACUCUCUAGGGUUUUUAACUAAAACCCCAAAUAAAUCAAGAUUCAACCAUGGGUUUUCGAAAGUGAUUAAAGAUUUGGACUCCCCACACCAAAGGCUUCAAGAAUCAUCCACUUUUCUCCGUAAUCAAGGUACGCGGGGUUUUCCUCAAAAUCUCAUGGGCAUAGAAAUCAUGCUUUUAAGAAAAGGGUUUCGGAUUAUGAAUAUAAUCAUGUUUUAGAAGCUUUAAUGACAUUGCUUUGGUCUUUUGGCCUUUCCUCAAAGUGAUUUGAAAAUUUAUAUACAUAUAUGUAUGUGAUUUGAGUUGAUAUUUGAAAUUGAGAGCAUGACUCACAUAAAACCUCUCUUGAUGUGAUUGUUUCCAUGUCUUACAUGUCAUGAAUUGUUUUGAAAUGCAUCAUGAAAAGCUUGUUACGAAAAGCCUUGAUUUAUGAAUGAUUUGGUUAUGAAUCUUGAAUUCAAAAGAGAGGGGUGUUUGUAUUGAUAAAUGUUGAAAUUAUAUGUAAUGAAAGAGUGCAUGGUUUUUGCCAAAAGUACAUGACCACCACAUGUUUGAAUAAUCUCAAUAUAGUUUUGAUUUGUGUUUUCGAAACAUGAAAUCUUUUAUACUGUUGCAUGUUUGGGUGGUCUGAAAUGUGUUUUAAUGAAAGAAUUAUGUGUGAUGCAUUAUGGCUCAAAAAUAGGACUUGCAAGUCUUGGUGUGAUGACACAAAUUCAAAUUAUGCCAUGAUAAUUAGAAAAGAAUAGAAUGAUUGUUUGAAAUCAGACUUUUCAGAUGUUGAAACUAGAAAAAAAAAUGCAUGAUUCAGAACAGGAUAAAAUUGAGCAUAAAGAGAGCUUAGGUGGUUCACCGAAGAAGGCAUGAUUUCAGACAACUCAUUGCCCAAAAUCGUGAUUUUUCGAUCCGGGUAUAUUAUAUUACGCUUGCCUAGUGCCGUGUGGUGUAUUAGAAUAGAAACUCCAACCCUUGCGGCACACUUGGGUUGGGGACUUCCCCGCCGAGUCAAUGGCGGAUUUCAUACAUCCCGUGGGAUUUUAGAAUUGUAGGGGUGUACCACCUAGCUCAGAAUUAAUACGAAGAACAGAACUGCAUUGUCCAAAAUGAUUUAUGAUUUUACAGAAAAGUGCCCAUGUGUUUUAGAACUAUUUCAUGCAUGAUAUUUUGACAAAUUGCUCACCAACUAUUUUAUCUACAUAAAAGCUUUAUUUUGGAUUACUUUGCGUAUCAGUACAUCUGUAUUGACCCUCCCUCCUCCCUCUAGGUUCUGAGGUUCAAUCUAGGGGUCCAGAUAAGCAGUAGAUAAUUCAGACAUCUGAUCAGGUUGUGCAGUGGUGAGCCUUCUCUAUUCCAGAAGGCAUUUCUUUUCAGAUUAUGUCCCUUAUUACCGUUUUAUUCUACUGGGGGCCUUAUCCCAGUUUUAGACAGUUGUCAGAUUUUCAUGUAGUAGAGAUUUUGCAGACUGAGUCAGAUGUUAUUUAGUUAUAGUUGAUUUAUAGUUUCCAUACUUAUGUUGAAUUCAGAACUGACCAUGUUUCCGUAGCAGUUUAUGUUUCUGCAUCUUUUAUUAUUGGAAUGUUGUGCAUGAUUACUAGAUAGAGAAGGGCGUUUCGGGCCUUCAUGGUUCGGGAUGUCCGUCACUGCCAGGCCCUAUUUCGGGUCGUGACACAUUCUCUAAAAAUAUAUUCUGAAAACAUACUGUGUUAUGGCAUACAUACUUAUGGUAUCAUCAUACCAUUGACUUGUAAGUCACAUCUCUGAGCCAUUAUUAGCAUAUUACAAUUUCUGUUUUCAAAACAUAAAUUCGGGACCACCAUAUCAAUAAAUCAUUUCAAGAAACUCAUUCUUUAAAAGUCAUGUAAAACCAUGCAAGCAAUUCUCUUUAUCAACAAUUCAACAAACAAUGGUGGUCAUGUCAAAAGUCUCUAUCUCAUGCAAUUUCUUCUCUUUAACACAAAACAUAGUAAUAUCAAGAAGCACCCUCUCAACAAUUCUAAAUCAAUAUUCAAAUACUAUGACAUUGAGAAACAUCUUUCAAUUCACAAAACAUGCAUUUCAACUCUUUUCCAGCAAAACCAAAAUCUUCAAUUUAUCACAAGAGAGGGAGUCCAUAAUUUAUGCUCUCAAACAAUCUUCAAUCUCAAUUCCAUACAUAUACAUAUACAUGUAAAUCAAUUUAGUGGAGAAAGACCACAAGGACAAAGAAAUAAUAACAUUAAAACAUUUGGAAUACAUAAUCAAAAAUAUAGUUUCCAAAAUCCCUUUAAAAUAUAUGCGUCAAAACCUUUAAAUCAUGCUUUAAUAUUUUCAAGCCCAUGUAGUUUUUAGGAUAAAUCCCACAUACCUCUAUUUAGAAAAUUAAAGGAUGAUCCUUGACGCCCACGGCUUGGGGAUUCCAAAUCUUCAAUCAAUUUCUAAAACUUAUGGUUGAAUCUUGAGUUGCUUGGGUUUUCUUGUUUGAAACCCUAAGGAGUGUUCUUGAUGGUUUUUGAUGAAAAUAUCAAUAAUGAGGUCAUUUGGGAUAAAAAUUCCAUGUUUAAGAUGAAUAAGGGGGUGGAAAUAUCCAUUUUGCCCUUAAAAAUGCGGAAACCGAACCUGAAAAUUUGGAGCAUGUGACGGAGCUGGCGUCGCACGCUUGUCGCAUGACCUCACUAUCUCACUCACAAAAAUAACCAUAACUUUUCGCUCGGGUGUCAGAUUUAGGCGAAAUUGAUAUUGUUGGAAAGAUAAUUCGAAGAACUUUCAUUUGAUAUAUAGUAGACCCUCUAAUUCAUCAUAUACCAGAAGUUAUGGUCGAUGGAAGUUGACCUAAGUUUUAACAUCCACCAAAACUUAAUCAGUAUAAAUGUUUCCAACUUGUCUUGGAGUUGGGGGAUUUUUGUGACCUCAAUUCAUAUUCAAAGGUAUUAUUACACUAUAGGAUUGAUCACCACAAAUAUAUUAACAAGGAAUCAUCUACUUUGGGUCUAUAUGCGUAUGAACGACGCUUCAAUUUUUAACCCAAAAAAAAUGCGGGGUGUUACAUUAGAUGUGUUAUGGGAGAAUUGUAGGUUGGAAAUGAUGAAGUAUGUUGAUUAAUGUUUGAGGUUUAGAUAAGUUUAAGUCUAUUCGUAGUACUUUGUAAGGUAGAGAAUGCUUUUAAUCCUAUCUUCUCCGAAAUAUUAUUCAUGAUUAGUACCAAUAUAAAUCAGGUCUAUGAUCAUCAAAUAAACCCCUAUCACACGUGAUGAUAAUAAUAAUUCAUAGAACUCAUGUGCAAGAUCAUCCCUAUGCAAAAUCUCACUGCCUCAUGUUUCAUGCUUACACGUUUCGUUAGGGGUUAUCAAGAAGCUUGUUUGAUGUCUUUACAUAUUUUGUUAAGGAAACAUGUUCAAUGCGAGGUUUUGUUUCAUAUUCUACACUUUUAUAACUUCAAAAAGUCCCCACCCAUCAUUUUGGGAUGAAUGAUCCCAAGGGGGAGAUAAUGUAACACCCCGCAUUUUGGGCUAGAACGAAAACCGUCAUUUCUAGGCGUAGAUGUUCCAAAAGCCAUAAAUCCUAUGUAAAUUUAGCUUGUGAAUCAAUUAUGUAGUGUGGAAUCUAUUUGAUCAUGAAUUGAGAUCAUAGAGGUCACCUAACUCACGGACGAGUUGAAAGGUUUACUAUCGUUCGAGUUUUAGUGAGUGUCGAAACUUGGGUCAACUUCAAUCGACCAUAACUACCAAUACAUAACGAAUUAGACUUCUAAAAAUACUAAUUUUUCCAAAAUCCAAUAAUCAAGUGAAAAGUUAUGCCAUGCAAAGCAGUGAGAGGUCACGAUAGCCCCCCGACGUGGGGUCUGCUUGACCCAAAAGGGGGUCGCGUCGUGAGAGAUACUUAACCCGACUAGGGGUCGCGACGCGAUGGUAAUUCUCAUGUUAUUUCAGUUCCAUAAGGGUCAAAGGACACUUUGGUCCUUUCCCCUCAACCCCAAAUGUCCAAAGGACAAUUUAUAUCACCAAAAAGGGCGAUAUUUGCCCAUCUUCUUCAACACCAGCUCACCAAAAAUACUCCCUUCCCCAAGAACGAAAUCCAAAAUCCUUUUCUCCAAGAAUCCAAGGAAUUCAACUCUGAUCACAAGAAACGAAAUCAGAUCUGGAUUCCAUACUUGAACCUGAGUAAUCUACGGUCAAGAACUCAUCCCCAAGAUCAAGAAUUCCAUGAAAAAGAUAAAAAAAUCCAGGUUCCAUCUAUCAUGAUCUAGGUUCCAUUUUUCAAAUCUCGCAAUCUAAGGUACGUGGGGUUUAUCCUAAAACCUAUAUGGGCUUGUAAGCACUAGAACAUGAUUUAAAGAUUAUCAAGCAUGAAUUUUAAAGGGCAUUUGGAACUUAUGCUUUAAAUUUUGCAUUAUGGAUGUUUUGAUAAUAUUAUUGUUUUGGCCUUUAGGCCUUUCCCCCUUAACUUGAUUUACAUCUAUAUGUAUAUGUAUGGUAUUGAAGAUUUGAUUGAGAGCAUUAUCAUUAAAAUCCCUCUCUUUGAUGAUUUAGAGUUUAUGAAACUGUUGAGAAUGAUUUGAGAUGCAUGUUUAAUGGUUUGAAAGUGAUAUUUUCAAUAUUAAAGUAAUUAGCAUGAUUUUGAUGAUGAUGAGAGGGAGUUUCUUGAUAUGAUUUUUCUCUUGUGUUAAAGAGAAAGAAUUGCAUGUGAUUGAUAUCUUUGACAUGACCACCUUGAAUUCGUCCUGCUGACGCCACGAGUUUUGCACUACAGUUCUGUAGCUCAAUUAGUUGUAGCAUGGACGGAGCCACCUAUUUCAACGGGUAGUCAGCACACCCUUCGUUGAAAAAUUGUGUUGUGUUGUGUAGGUAUAAGUUCUAUACAAAGAAGGAAAGAAAGAAAACAGAAAAGAGUUUAAGAACUUUAUAAAAUUGGUUGACGACAGUGGCAGAUCUAGAAUUUUCACUUAGGAAGUCGAAGAACAAAAAUAUAGUUCCUAUGAUUUGAACUUGGAACUUCUACCAUGGUAUUUGGAAAAACAACAACAACAAAAUGCCCACUGAAAUCCAGCAAGUGAGGUCAGGAAAUGGUAGAGUGUACGCAGGAGUUAUCACUACCUCGUGGAGGCAGAGAGGCUGUUUUCGAAAGUAAUUGGAAAAACUAGAAAAUUUGUACAUGUCUAAAUCCCUGAUAAACAAGUUAUUUUUUCAGAAAAAUGUUGUAUUCCAUUCAUAUGAGUGAAGCUGAAAUUAGUUCUGAUGAUUGACAAACAACUACAAAAGUCUACAAUUCAAAAGUCUGAUGUAACAACUCGAAUUUCUCAACACAAUUCUAACGGAGAAUACAAGAUAAUAGUGAAUAAUACAAGGAAGAAUGUAACUAGAAGGAGAUGAGAGGAUAACAUACUAAGACAAAGAUUCAACAUAAUUGCAUAACCCCUUCAAUAAGCGACUGCCUCCAUUUAAUGUGCUUGCUUAACCCGGAUCCCAGUGGAAAUCCACACUAUUGUUGGGUUGUAACUUCACCUCAGGCCAAAGUCCAUCGUUCACUGUGUUAAUACUUGUGUGGUCAACAAAUCCCAGAAGUCGGUUCAUAACAUCUGAAGUCUUCAAUCCUUAGUAAACAUCAGUCGGAAUCAAAAUCACUUCGACUAAGUUCACGUUCAGCUGUAGCAAAACGAACAUAAAGAGUCAACUAUAAACUUCGAAAUUGUUUGAAAUUUCAAAGGCAAUUAUUGUACACACCUGGAUCGUUGUAAGAACGAACAUCCACAACUUUGCUUCCCAAGGAUUCUAGCUCUUCUUGAACUCGUCUAGCAGAAGCCACGAGUUUUACACUACAGUUCUGUAACUCAAUUAGUUGUAGUGAGUAAAUAUCUGUAAACUCAAUAGGGAUCUCUUCCAAAUGAAGGCAAUAUCUGAUCAUUUUGUUUCAGCUUCAGCUUUGGCGAAUCAGACGACAAUAGCAGUUCCAUUGUUCUUAUAAGAGAUGCUUUACUCGCAUACACCAUAUCUAUUCUCCGGCUUCCAAAAUGCAACUACGACUUGAAAGCUGCAAGUUGUAGGAGGACGAUAGUGUUAAAAUAACGCGAUUCACAAAGUUGCAAAAGCAGUGAGGUAAAAAUUAUGAAAUCAGGCAACUUCAAUCUGCACUAUUCACUAUCGUAUCUGCUACAGACGUUAUGUCUACUUCAUAUUCAUGUCAGUAUCACCUACUUUACUACACUUGAUUCGACAAUUCAGAAAUAUGAAGAAUCAACUUUAUCGGUCCAAGAAAACGUUGCAAAGAGGGAGGAAGAGGAGCUGUAUGAUGUUCGUAGGUUUCUAUUAGCUAGUUGCGAGGGCCAAUAUGACAAGGAGUUGGUUAAACGAUAGCUGGCUAAAAAAGAGUCACAGAAGUGGUCAAAGUUGCGGAGAACUCCUGGCGAUCUAUGAGUGGAUAGAUUGCAUAAGCUUGCACACGCCUCGACUAGUUCCACUAAGUACUUGCAACCUCCCACCAACACAGGUACCGGAUAACUCUGUCCCCAAAGGCUUUGCCAUAUAGGAAGAAAUCGCCUAGUGUUUUUUGCCUUUCAAUGGGAUUUAAAACUAGACCUUAGGGUUCUCGACUCACUUCAUUGACCACUGGGCAGCACCCUCGAGUGGGUUCCAAUGUUACUUCAAUGGACUUAGACUGACGUGAGAGACCAGGAUGUUACAUUUGGAGCUGUUGACAUUAAUAGGUACUGCAUAUUUUUAAAGGAUCCAAGCAACAUAGGUUAUAAAAGAAGUGCAUUGAUAAAUACCAACGGUAAUACGAUAAAUACUUUCAAGGAGAAAAUAUACUAAAGACACAUGAAUAUGAGUUUCAAACAUCAAAUUGAUGAAGCAUAAAAGAAAAGUGAAAUUGUGUCUGCUAUCAAGUUAUACAAAAUAAGUUGUAUAGACGAAAAAAAAAAAGUAGACUUUAAAGAAAUGGGAUGACAACUCCAACAAAUUGACCUUGGGAUUUGUGUCUAUCAAUGAAAAUAUAAUAUUAUAGCACAUCUGUUUUUUAACCUCUUCCCCUUGUAUUUUACCACAUAGCUACUGCCACAGGUAAAAAGCACCGGAGGCGUUGAAUUAAUUGAUGAGAUAUUCAAUUAAAAGAUUGGCAGUUCAAGUCACCAAAGAGGGAAAAGUAGAGAACCAUGGGUAGUAUUACUAACAAUUCUAUUAACUCAAAAAUAUGUUACAAUACAAAUCCAGCCACAUUAUUACAAUUUAGAGAAAUCACAUCUCCUUUGAAGCCACACAUUGCUUGAACUGAAAUGAAAUCCCAAAAGAGUCAGUAGAAGUUCGACGAGUCACAUUAUUCAGAUUUAGAGCGUGUUCAACCGAACUCACUUCUUUUAACUUUAACUUCAUGUGAAUAAACACAGAUAUAUGAAAAUCAUAUAAAAGUAUGACAAACAUUCUGAAUCUGACUCUACUAAAGCAUCUUGAGAGUAUCAUACAGGGAUAUAUGUGAUAUAAACAUACACAAUAAUUAUUAAACCAAUCAAACUAAAUCAUCAUCCAGUUCUCACAAUAUAAAUUGUUCCAUGAAGGAGAAAAAUUACAGCACAAUAAGAAUUAACAAGCUAGAAGACAUUACAACAUAAAUUUAUCGAAUCAAACUCCCCAUAUUGAAUAGAAACCGAUUGAAUGCUCUUGUUGCUUGUCCUUUCCUCGUCUUCUUUUUUCCAAAAGCUGCUCGAAGAAUCCACGAUACUUAGGACGAGCUCAAGUCCUCUUACUCGGGUAUUACUAUAACAAAAUAAAUUAGAAAUAUAAAAUCUUCCAUUUACAAUCAAAUCAACUCAAACUCCAAAAAAUUUUAGUUUUUAUGGCCAAAUUUAUUAGAUUCAAAAGCUAAUGUGGUAAAACUAUAGAUAUACUUACAUAGAUCUGUGAAAGAAUAUGGGGUAAAGCUAAAUAACUUUUGUGCAUGACUUGACCUGUGGAAAUGAGAAACAAUGUGUGACCUUGAUAAAUACUAUAGAUAUACUUACUUGGAUUGGAGAUACGAACAUCCACGGGGUUGUUUCCAAGGUCUUCUUGUUCUUGUUGAAUUCGUACAGCAGAGUCGCCAAGUUCGGGAAGACAGCUUGUAAACUCAAUCAGCUGUAGUGUAUGGAUUUCUGCAAACUCAAUGGGUAUCUCUUUCCAAUUAUGGCAUUCUUUAAGCACAAGGCGCUCAAGGACAGGAAAAUUGUCAUUUGUGGCUUUCCAGUACUUGAGAUAAUUCUCUUUCAUUAAUAAAAGUUUCAAUCGAGUAAAUCCCUUAACAUUUGGAUACCAUUCAUUGCCAAGACACGCAUAUGGCAUCAGCUUCAACACUUCAAGGUUAGGCAACUCAGCUAUGAUGUCCAAGUACGACCAACUUAAUGCAGUAAGUCUUAACUUCAGCUUCUUGAGUGUUGCUGGAAAAGCUUUUGCACUUGCUGGCAAAUAGUGAAGUUGAGAAGAUUGUUGAGAAGCCCAGAGUCCAGAAUUCUCUCAUAUCCACGUCCUCUGAUUCCUAAUUUUUUGACAUUCCGAAUCCCCAUUAUAACCUUCUUCGUGCAACAACGUGGAGACAAGUAAGAAAUAGUUUGUAUGUUUGGAAAACCCAUGUGACUCCCUUUGUCAGCAGAUCCACUUGGGCAAUCUGGCAAAUAAAAUCUGGGCAGUUUAAGAUGCCUUAAUUGCAUUAGUCCACAAAUUUCCUCAGGAAAAGUUAUUAAAACUGAUCGACCAAUGAAUUUCUGUGGCGCUUGAACAAUGAAUGUCUGCAGAUUCCAUAACCUACAAAUUUCUGGAGGUAUAUCAAAAUCCACAGGGCAGAGCAAUGAUAGGUACCUCAACCAGAUAAGGCUUAGUAUCUGUACAGGGAAAUUCUCAAUCUCUAUGUUUCUCAACUCCAAGACUUUGAGUAAUUUGAAAUGAAUAAGAUUUGAUUUGAGAGGAAAAUAGGAAUUCUUAAGACGAGAAGAGAAAAUAGAACUGGUUCGUUUCAAGAGAUCGUUGUUGUUAUCAUCUCUCAACUGACGAUGUACAGGGGUAAGAAGAGCCCUAUAAAGACCAUUGGGACAAUAAUCAAUUUUAUCACCAUUCACGCGUUUAAAGGGCUGCAUUUUUUGCAUAAUGAGAUAUUGACAUUCUGAAUAAUAAUCAAGCACAAUGUCGUUCAUGAUAAAAAUGUUCUCCCUUAGAAUUUCUCUCACACACAGGUCAUAUAUUAGAUCAUGAACCUUACAUGAUCUAAUUUUUGUUCCAUCUAAACUUUUCUUGCAGACGAGGACUAGACAUCGACAAGCUCUUGCAAACACUUCUCAGCCUCUCCUUCCAAAUCAUUUUCCAACUUUAGGAACCCCUCAGCUAUCCAUGAUCUCAUCAAAUUCUUAGCUGGUAUCUCACUGUCUUCUCUAAAAAUUCCAAAAUGCAGUAGACAAGUCUUUUGAUAGCUAGUCAAGUGAUUGUAACUCAACCCAAGCACACGUGAACAUUGUUCGUCAAGAUCAUUUGUGAGAAAUGACUUGACAUCUUUAGCUACACUUUCCCAAUCUUCUAUUGCCCUUUUAGAUUUGAGAAGUCCAGCAACCAUGACAAUAGUUAGUGGUAACCCGUGGCAUUCAUCUGCGAUUUGCUUCCCAACAGUCUCGAACUCAUAUGGUAAUGCUUCACCGGAAAAUGCUGCAGUUUUGAAAAGACUCCAACUCUCAUCUUGAUCCAUAAAGCUCAUACGCAAAGAAAGAUUCUCUAUACUAGCAUAACAAGCUACUUCAUCAUUACGGGUAGUCAACAGUAUUCGACUCCCUGCAUUGUCUUCAGUUGGAAAGCAUCAUCUCACGCCAUCCCACACUUCACAACUCCAGAUAUCAUCCAAGACAAUUAAGUUCCUCUUUCUCUUUAAACAUUUCGGCAGCAUGUCUGCUAGCUCUGCUUCCCCUCUCGUCUUAACCGUGUCAUCCAUUUUGAUCGUCGAUUGCAGAAGGCUCAGCAAAAUUUCUUUUAUGUUGUGCUGUUGAGAUACAGUAGCCCAGGCACGAACAUCAAAACGGCAUAGAAUUGAUUCAUGAUUGUAAACUUCUUUCGCUAAGGUUGUUUUACCUAUGCCUCCCAUCCCGACAAUCGGGAUGACUUUGGGUUCACCAGAGUAGCUUACAGUCAGAUCUUCUAACAAGCGUUUCUUUUGAUCAUCACGUCCAACCAUAUUAUUGCUAACAUUCAGAAUAUCGUUUGUUGAACUUGAAAAAUCAUGAACCAAUGAUUCCUUUGAUAUUAGUUUCCCUUUAUCCUGAAGCUCUGUCGACUCAUUCCAGAUACGAUCCAUGCCCUUUGCUACUUUUUGCAGGCUUUGACGAAACUUUGGACACACCUUUUUUAUCUGUCUUUUAUUUACUCCCAGUACAGUUUCUGUUAGUCUCAGUUGAAUUCUGUAUUCAACAGCACUUGCAACUUCUUUUACCUCUACUUCAAAAUCCGUCAUUUCUCCGAAAACUUUGUUUUUCUCAAAGUUCUUGACAAAUACUUCCAGGGAACUAACUUUUUCACGAAGAGCGCAAAGUUCUUCUCUGUGAUCACAGAUUACAGAUUGCAUCGGCGAAUUGGAUGUCAAGAGCGAUUCUAUUGUUCUCAUAAGAGAACCAUAUCUACUCUAUUCUCGUUUCUUUCCUUUGCGGUUAUGACCUGAAAGCUGCGGGUUGCAAGAGGUCAAUGGUAUUACAAAUAACAAGAUACGCAGAUUUGCUGAAAAGGCACACAUAAACUAAAUAAGAUCAGGUAAUGGUAACAGUGAGUUCAGUCCCAAACUCAGUAGCUUUAGCUCAUUUAACGCGUAAAAAUAAUUUAAUUCCCAGUAAGCUGUCACGACCCGAACCAGGGUCUGGCCAUGACGAGCAUUUCGAACCAUGAAGGCCCGAAACACCCCUAUGAUGCACCUAAUUCAUAUGAUCAAAGUAAUGCGGAAGAAAUGCAAUAAUUCAGAAACAUGGUCAUAAAUAUGAAAAGAAACAAUAACGGGGAAAUAAGGUUCCCCCAACAUCAAUCCACCUCUAAAUAACUACAACAACAACAACAACAAACCCAGUGUAUUCCCACCUAGUGGGGUCUGGGGGGGUAAGAUGUACGCAGUCCAUACCUCUACCUCUGAUGAAGUAGAAAGGCUGUUUCCGAUAGACCCCCGGCUCAAGACACGAGAUACCACACAAACACAUAGUAAAGCACAGAAGCAGAUUACAUAAAAUAAAUACGGCUCCCAUAAGUAAUAUAAAACAGAGGAAAGCAGAGGAAAGCACACAGAUUCGUAAUAAAACAUGGAACACGGAANNNNNNNNNNNNNNNNNNNNNNNNNNNNNNNNNNNNNNNNNNNNNNNNNNNNNNNNNNNNNNNNNNNNNNNNNNNNNNNNNNNNNNNNNNNNNNNNNNNNNNNNNNNNNNNNNNNNNNNNNNNNNNNNNNNNNNNNNNNNNNNNNNNNNNNNNNNNNNNNNNNNNNNNNNNNNNNNNNNNNNNNNNNNNNNNNNNNNNNNNNNNNNNNNNNNNNNNNNNNNNNNNNNNNNNNNNNNNNNNNNNNNNNNNNNNNNNNNNNNNNNNNNNNNNNNNNNNNNNNNNNNNNNNNNNNNNNNNNNNNNNNNNNNNNNNNNNNNNNNNNNNNNNNNNNNNNNNNNNNNNNNNNNNNNNNNNNNNNNNNNNNNNNNNNNNNNNNNNNNNNNNNNNNNNNNNNNNNNNNNNNNNNNNNNNNNNNNNNNNNNNNNNNNNNNNNNNNNNNNNNNNNNNNNNNNNNNNNNNNNNNNNNNNNNNNNNNNNNNNNNNNNNNNNNNNNNNNNNNNNNNNNNNNNNNNNNNNNNNNNNNNNNNNNNNNNNNNNNNNNNNNNNNNNNNNNNNNNNNNNNNNNNNNNNNNNNNNNNNNNNNNNNNNNNNNNNNNNNNNNNNNNNNNNNNNNNNNNNNNNNNNNNNNNNNNNNNNNNNNNNNNNNNNNNNNNNNNNNNNNNNNNNNNNNNNNNNNNNNNNNNNNNNNNNNNNNNNNNNNNNNNNNNNNNNNNNNNNNNNNNNNNNNNNNNNNNNNNNNNNNNNNNNNNNNNNNNNNNNNNNNNNNNNNNNNNNNNNNNNNNNNNNNNNNNNNNNNNNNNNNNNNNNNNNNNNNNNNNNNNNNNNNNNNNNNNNNNNNNNNNNNNNNNNNNNNNNNNNNNNNNNNNNNNNNNNNNNNNNNNNNNNNNNNNNNNNNNNNNNNNNNNNNNNNNNNNNNNNNNNNNNNNNNNNNNNNNNNNNNNNNNNNNNNNNNNNNNNNNNNNNNNNNNNNNNNNNNNNNNNNNNNNNNNNNNNNNNNNNNNNNNNNNNNNNNNNNNNNNNNNNNNNNNNNNNNNNNNNNNNNNNNNNNNNNNNNNNNNNNNNNNNNNNNNNNNNNNNNNNNNNNNNNNNNNNNNNNNNNNNNNNNNNNNNNNNNNNNNNNNNNNNNNNNNNNNNNNNNNNNNNNNNNNNNNNNNNNNNNNNNNNNNNNNNNNNNNNNNNNNNNNNNNNNNNNNNNNNNNNNNNNNNNNNNNNNNNNNNNNNNNNNNNNNNNNNNNNNNNNNNNNNNNNNNNNNNNNNNNNNNNNNNNNNNNNNNNNNNNNNNNNNNNNNNNNNNNNNNNNNNNNNNNNNNNNNNNNNNNNNNNNNNNNNNNNNNNNNNNNNNNNNNNNNNNNNNNNNNNNNNNNNNNNNNNNNNNNNNNNNNNNNNNNNNNNNNNNNNNNNNNNNNNNNNNNNNNNNNNNNNNNNNNNNNNNNNNNNNNNNNNNNNNNNNNNNNNNNNNNNNNNNNNNNNNNNNNNNNNNNNNNNNNNNNNNNNNNNNNNNNNNNNNNNNNNNNNNNNNNNNNNNNNNNNNNNNNNNNNNNNNNNNNNNNNNNNNNNNNNNNNNNNNNNNNNNNNNNNNNNNNNNNNNNNNNNNNNNNNNNNNNNNNNNNNNNNNNNNNNNNNNNNNNNNNNNNNNNNNNNNNNNNNNNNNNNNNNNNNNNNNNNNNNNNNNNNNNNNNNNNNNNNNNNNNNNNNNNNNNNNNNNNNNNNNNNNNNNNNNNNNNNNNNNNNNNNNNNNNNNNNNNNNNNNNNNNNNNNNNNNNNNNNNNNNNNNNNNNNNNNNNNNNNNNNNNNNNNNNNNNNNNNNNNNNNNNNNNNNNNNNNNNNNNNNNNNNNNNNNNNNNNNNNNNNNNNNNNNNNNNNNNNNNNNNNNNNNNNNNNNNNNNNNNNNNNNNNNNNNNNNNNNNNNNNNNNNNNNNNNNNNNNNNNNNNNNNNNNNNNNNNNNNNNNNNNNNNNNNNNNNNNNNNNNNNNNNNNNNNNNNNNNNNNNNNNNNNNNNNNNNNNNNNNNNNNNNNNNNNNNNNNNNNNNNNNNNNNNNNNNNNNNNNNNNNNNNNNNNNNNNNNNNNNNNNNNNNNNNNNNNNNNNNNNNNNNNNNNNNNNNNNNNNNNNNNNNNNNNNNNNNNNNNNNNNNNNNNNNNNNNNNNNNNNNNNNNNNNNNNNNNNNNNNNNNNNNNNNNNNNNNNNNNNNNNNNNNNNNNNNNNNNNNNNNNNNNNNNNNNNNNNNNNNNNNNNNNNNNNNNNNNNNNNNNNNNNNNNNNNNNNNNNNNNNNNNNNNNNNNNNNNNNNNNNNNNNNNNNNNNNNNNNNNNNNNNNNNNNNNNNNNNNNNNNNNNNNNNNNNNNNNNNNNNNNNNNNNNNNNNNNNNNNNNNNNNNNNNNNNNNNNNNNNNNNNNNNNNNNNNNNNNNNNNNNNNNNNNNNNNNNNNNNNNNNNNNNNNNNNNNNNNNNNNNNNNNNNNNNNNNNNNNNNNNNNNNNNNNNNNNNNNNNNNNNNNNNNNNNNNNNNNNNNNNNNNNNNNNNNNNNNNNNNNNNNNNNNNNNNNNNNNNNNNNNNNNNNNNNNNNNNNNNNNNNNNNNNNNNNNNNNNNNNNNNNNNNNNNNNNNNNNNNNNNNNNNNNNNNNNNNNNNNNNNNNNNNNNNNNNNNNNNNNNNNNNNNNNNNNNNNNNNNNNNNNNNNNNNNNNNNNNNNNNNNNNNNNNNNNNNNNNNNNNNNNNNNNNNNNNNNNNNNNNNNNNNNNNNNNNNNNNNNNNNNNNNNNNNNNNNNNNNNNNNNNNNNNNNNNNNNNNNNNNNNNNNNNNNNNNNNNNNNNNNNNNNNNNNNNNNNNNNNNNNNNNNNNNNNNNNNNNNNNNNNNNNNNNNNNNNNNNNNNNNNNNNNNNNNNNNNNNNNNNNNNNNNNNNNNNNNNNNNNNNNNNNNNNNNCUGAUAUAUGCCAGCGGUACCCCACUCACCUCCAAGCAUCUCCAAAGCACCUCCCUGGGGACUUUGUCGUAAGCCUUCUCCAGGUCGAUAAACACCAUGUGUAGAUCCUUCUUCCUCUCCCUAUACUGCUCCACCAACCUCCGUAACAGGUGGAUUGCCUCCAUCGUCGAGCGGCGGGCAUAAAUCCGAACUGGUUCUCCGAAAUAGAUACUAUCCGUCUCAGCCUCACCUCGACCACUCUCUCCUAGAUCUUCAUCGAGUGACUCAAUAACUUAAUCCCCCUAUAGUUAUCGCAACUCUGAAUGUCCCCCUUAUUNNNNNNNNNNNNNNNNNNNNNNNNNNNNNNNNNNNNNNNNNNNNNNNNNNNNNNNNNNNNNNNNNNNNNNNNNNNNNNNNNNNNNNNNNNNNNNNNNNNNNNNNNNNNNNNNNNNNNNNNNNNNNNNNNNNNNNNNNNNNNNNNNNNNNNNNNNNNNNNNNNNNNNNNNNNNNNNNNNNNNNNNNNNNNNNNNNNNNNNNNNNNNNNNNNNNNNNNNNNNNNNNNNNNNNNNNNNNNNNNNNNNNNNNNNNNNNNNNNNNNNNNNNNNNNNNNNNNNNNNNNNNNNNNNNNNNNNNNNNNNNNNNNNNNNNNNNNNNNNNNNNNNNNNNNNNNNNNNNNNNNNNNNNNNNNNNNNNNNNNNNNNNNNNNNNNNNNNNNNNNNNNNNNNNNNNNNNNNNNNNNNNNNNNNNNNNNNNNNNNNNNNNNNNNNNNNNNNNNNNNNNNNNNNNNNNNNNNNNNNNNNNNNNNNNNNNNNNNNNNNNNNNNNNNNNNNNNNNNNNNNNNNNNNNNNNNNNNNNNNNNNNNNNNNNNNNNNNNNNNNNNNNNNNNNNNNNNNNNNNNNNNNNNNNNNNNNNNNNNNNNNNNNNNNNNNNNNNNNNNNNNNNNNNNNNNNNNNNNNNNNNNNNNNNNNNNNNNNNNNNNNNNNNNNNNNNNNNNNNNNNNNNNNNNNNNNNNNNNNNNNNNNNNNNNNNNNNNNNNNNNNNNNNNNNNNNNNNNNNNNNNNNNNNNNNNNNNNNNNNNNNNNNNNNNNNNNNNNNNNNNNNNNNNNNNNNNNNNNNNNNNNNNNNNNNNNNNNNNNNNNNNNNNNNNNNNNNNNNNNNNNNNNNNNNNNNNNNNNNNNNNNNNNNNNNNNNNNNNNNNNNNNNNNNNNNNNNNNNNNNNNNNNNNNNNNNNNNNNNNNNNNNNNNNNNNNNNNNNNNNNNNNNNNNNNNNNNNNNNNNNNNNNNNNNNNNNNNNNNNNNNNNNNNNNNNNNNNNNNNNNNNNNNNNNNNNNNNNNNNNNNNNNNNNNNNNNNNNNNNNNNNNNNNNNNNNNNNNNNNNNNNNNNNNNNNNNNNNNNNNNNNNNNNNNNNNNNNNNNNNNNNNNNNNNNNNNNNNNNNNNNNNNNNNNNNNNNNNNNNNNNNNNNNNNNNNNNNNNNNNNNNNNNNNNNNNNNNNNNNNNNNNNNNNNNNNNNNNNNNNNNNNNNNNNNNNNNNNNNNNNNNNNNNNNNNNNNNNNNNNNNNNNNNNNNNNNNNNNNNNNNNNNNNNNNNNNNNNNNNNNNNNNNNNNNNNNNNNNNNNNNNNNNNNNNNNNNNNNNNNNNNNNNNNNNNNNNNNNNNNNNNNNNNNNNNNNNNNNNNNNNNNNNNNNNNNNNNNNNNNNNNNNNNNNNNNNNNNNNNNNNNNNNNNNNNNNNNNNNNNNNNNNNNNNNNNNNNNNNNNNNNNNNNNNNNNNNNNNNNNNNNNNNNNNNNNNNNNNNNNNNNNNNNNNNNNNNNNNNNNNNNNNNNNNNNNNNNNNNNNNNNNNNNNNNNNNNNNNNNNNNNNNNNNNNNNNNNNNNNNNNNNNNNNNNNNNNNNNNNNNNNNNNNNNNNNNNNNNNNNNNNNNNNNNNNNNNNNNNNNNNNNNNNNNNNNNNNNNNNNNNNNNNNNNNNNNNNNNNNNNNNNNNNNNNNNNNNNNNNNNNNNNNNNNNNNNNNNNNNNNNNNNNNNNNNNNNNNNNNNNNNNNNNNNNNNNNNNNNNNNNNNNNNNNNNNNNNNNNNNNNNNNNNNNNNNNNNNNNNNNNNNNNNNNNNNNNNNNNNNNNNNNNNNNNNNNNNNNNNNNNNNNNNNNNNNNNNNNNNNNNNNNNNNNNNNNNNNNNNNNNNNNNNNNNNNNNNNNNNNNNNNNNNNNNNNNNNNNNNNNNNNNNNNNNNNNNNNNNNNNNNNNNNNNNNNNNNNNNNNNNNNNNNNNNNNNNNNNNNNNNNNNNNNNNNNNNNNNNNNNNNNNNNNNNNNNNNNNNNNNNNNNNNNNNNNNNNNNNNNNNNNNNNNNNNNNNNNNNNNNNNNNNNNNNNNNNNNNNNNNNNNNNNNNNNNNNNNNNNNNNNNNNNNNNNNNNNNNNNNNNNNNNNNNNNNNNNNNNNNNNNNNNNNNNNNNNNNNNNNNNNNNNNNNNNNNNNNNNNNNNNNNNNNNNNNNNNNNNNNNNNNNNNNNNNNNNNNNNNNNNNNNNNNNNNNNNNNNNNNNNNNNNNNNNNNNNNNNNNNNNNNNNNNNNNNNNNNNNNNNNNNNNNNNNNNNNNNNNNNNNNNNNNNNNNNNNNNNNNNNNNNNNNNNNNNNNNNNNNNNNNNNNNNNNNNNNNNNNNNNNNNNNNNNNNNNNNNNNNNNNNNNNNNNNNNNNNNNNNNNNNNNNNNNNNNNNNNNNNNNNNNNNNNNNNNNNNNNNNNNNNNNNNNNNNNNNNNNNNNNNNNNNNNNNNNNNNNNNNNNNNNNNNNNNNNNNNNNNNNNNNNNNNNNNNNNNNNNNNNNNNNNNNNNNNNNNNNNNNNNNNNNNNNNNNNNNNNNNNNNNNNNNNNNNNNNNNNNNNNNNNNNNNNNNNNNNNNNNNNNNNNNNNNNNNNNNNNNNNNNNNNNNNNNNNNNNNNNNNNNNAGAGAGGGAGAGAGGGGCGACGCCAGAGCCGGAGGUCGGGCCCGGAGGUUGGGUCGGGUCGGCGCCGAUGGUCGGCGACGGCGACGGGGGCCGGUGAUCGAAGCUAGCAAGAGAGGGGGUAGGGAGGAAGAGAGAGAGCCGUUAGAGAGAGAUGAGAGAUGUUAGGUUACACUUUUUCUAAAACAACUACUGACUACACACAGAAAAAUCUACACACUAAAGCUUUUCUCAGUUAAAAUUUCAGCUGAAUGUGUAUGCUGAGGACAGUAAUUAUGCACCUCUAAAUAACUGUUUACGAAAAUCUCUAACAAAUGACUAAAUCAAGUAACUGUAUAUAAACUGGGACAAGGCCCCGAGUAGACCCCAAAACUAAAUAUAAGAAAAAAAAGGACUGCAGGACAUAAGACCUUCCGAAACAUAGAAGGCUCACCCCUUGUCUCUGCAACUCUGUUUGAGUGCUCUACUGAUUCUCUUGACCCCUAGACUGGGCCUCUAAACCUGAAAGGUUGGAGAGAGGAGGGGGUCAGCACAAAAGUACUGGCACACUGAGAUAUCAAAACAAAACAUAAUAUUUUUACAAAAUAUAGUUGAGAGCCAUUAUAAAGCAAUUUCGUAUCAAAUCAUUUGGAAACACAUGGGCGUAAUGAAAUAGUUUCUCAAUAACAAUGAAAUGCAACUGAGCUAGGUGGAAUACCCUACAUAAUUUACACCAACUGCCUAACCUCGGUUUCCACCGAGAUUAGAGAAUAGAUUAGAGUAUAAGUGAGGGAGAGACACACAAGACCACGAAGCAUGGUGUUUCAACCCAAUGGUAGUGUCCAAGAUCACUUAGCCCGGGCUCCUACCUAUAGUCCCAAUUUGGGAAUGACAUAAAGUAAAGUACACAAGAUCACUUAGCCUGGUAACAAAUUUCUGUGUCGGCAAACACGUUUUCCAGCGAUGAGCCCUUACACUCAAUCGCCUUCUUCGGGCAUCCACCUAUCUUAUGUAAAAUCAAUGCAUUCAAAUUUCAUCUAAUUCAAUCACAUAUCAUAUUAUGUAGGGUAUUGUCAUAACUGAAUUGCAAGUCAUCAAUAUCACUUCCACAUAUGCAUUAUCAUGUUAAAACCAAGGUGCUUCAUCAUUUACAAGUGGUGAACAAUAUUUAUUUCAGAUUCAUGCUCUCUUUUGUUGGUCACAAUAUGAUAUGGGGUAUCAAGACAUUAUCAUGGGAAUUUGAAAGCAAUUUAUCAUUCAUAUUUAUCAAACUUCCAUGGAAAAUCUCAAAUCACAUAUGCAUGGUUUCAACCAUUGAAGUAUAUAGGCAAACAAUUCCCAUGCCAUAAAGAAAAAUGACUUAGAAAUCAUAUUGAAAACAAGUUACUAGCAUUUGAUUGAAAAAAACCAUUUAAAAACAUGCAUGUUCAUAAAAACUACACCCAUGAUAUUUUUGGAUAACCCCACGUACCUUGAUUACUACGAAUAUUAGAUGCUUCUCGAAGCCUACGUUGAGAGGAUUCCAAAUAUGCAAUUUGUUCCUAAAACAUAAAAACUACACCCAUGAGAUUUUUGGAUAACCCCACGUACCUCUAUUUCCAAAGAUAAUAGAUGUUUCUUGAAGCUUGCGGAUUGGUGAUUUCAAAUAUGUAAUUAUCUUUGAAAACCUACGGUCGAAUCUAGAACUAUUUGGGUUUUUAUUUUGAAACCCUAAGGAGAAUCUUUGAGCACUUUUGAUGAAUGAAGGUGUAUUUUGGGGUCCUUGGAACUGAAUUUCGUGUUUUAGGGCUAAGUAAGGGUGGAAAAGGACCAUUUUGUCCCCAAAACAAAGUGUUUAAGUCACUUGAAUUCUUUACAUAGGCACCGCCCAUCCCAUUGCCUAUGUUUACAUAGGCGUCGCCUAAGCUAUCGCCUAUGUUUACAUAGGCGCCGCCUAGGCUAUCGCCUAUGCUUUCCAGUGGCCAUGGGCGAUUGGUUAGGUGACGCAUAUCACUUUGAAUGGCUAUAACUUCUUGCUCGGGUGUCGGAUUUUAGCAAAAUUGGUAUCGUUUGAAAGAUAACUCAAGGAUCUAUCAUUUGACACAUAGUAGGCUCCCUAAUUCGACAUAUACAGAGAGUUACGAUUGAUGGAAGCUAACACAAUUUACAACGUCCACUAAAACUUGGUCGAUCGAAAUAGUUUCAACUCGUCCACGAGUUGAAGGACCUCUAUGGUCUAAAUUCAAGCUUGAAUGGAUUCACAUGCUACACAAAUAAUUAACAUGACGUAUUGGCAUAGGAUUUUAUGGCUUCGGGGUUUAUCAACACAUUGGAAUCAUGGUCUAUAUUGUAUCCCAAAAUGAGGGGCGUUACAUUAUCCCCCCUUAGGAUCAUUCAUCCCCAAAUGAUGAUGUGAGACACAGACAGACACGAUUUCAAGCGUAAUAAAGGACUAGGAAAGAUAAGAUAGGAAUAGUACCUUCUGUCUCAUCCUCCAUCGAAGCAAAAAAAUUGGGAUAUCUAAUUCUCAUGAAAUCUUCUGACUCCCUUGUUGCUUCUUCGACUUUCUGAUUCCUCCACAGUACCUUUACUGAGGCUAUCUUUGCUCCUCAGCUUUCGAACUUGGCAAUCUAAAAUUUCAAUGGGCUCUUCUUCGUAAGAUAAAGAGUCUGUCACUUUGAUACCCUCUACUGGCAAUACCAUAGAAUGAUCUCCAAUGCAUUUCUUCAACGUGGAUACAUGGAAUACCGGAUGAACGGAACCUAAACUUGCAGGUAAUUCUAGCUCAUAAGAAACUGUACCAAUCUUUUUCAGAAUCUGAUAUGGCCCUAUAUAGCGAGGGCUCAAUUUACCCUUUUUUCCAAACCGCAUGACUCCUUUAAUCGGAGAAACCUUGCGAACCAACCAAUCACCAACUUCAAACUCUAGUUCUCUUCUCCGAACAUCGGCAUAGGACUUCUGACGACUCUGAGCAAUCUUAAGUCAUUCUCUAAUGAUCUUCACUUUCUCCAUCGCCUGAUGAACAAGAUCAGGCCCAUACAACUGAGUCUCACCCACUUCAUACCAUCCUAUCGGAGACCUACAUCUCCUCCCAUACAAAGCCUCAAAAAGAGCCAUCUUGAUGCUGGCAUAGUAACUAUUAUUGUAAGUAAAUUCAACCAGUGGCAGGUGAUCUGCCCAACUACCUUUGAAAUCAAUGACGCAUGCCCUCAACAUAUCCUCGAGGGUCUGAAUGGUAUGCUCAACUUGCCCAUCCGUCUGAGGGUGGAAAGUUGUGCUCAAAUUUACUUAUGUACCUAAACCCUUCUGAAAAGAUCUCCAGAGCUGAGAUGAAAACUGCGUACCUCUAUCGGAUAUAAUGGACACUGGUGCCCCAUGCAACCGAACUAUCUCGUUAAUGUAAAUCUUAGCAUAACCCUCUCCCGAAUAAUUAGUCCUCACAGGCAAAAAGUGGGCUGACUUUGUCAACCGAUCUACAAUCACCCAUAAGAAUCAUACUGGUUUUGGGACCUCGGAAGUCUUGUAAUAAAGUCCAUGUUUAUCAUCACCCACUUCCAUGAAGGAAGGGCUAUCUCUUAGGAAGUACCACCUGGCCUCAUGUGUUCUAACUUCACUUGUUGACAGUUUAAACACUUGGACAAAAAAUCAUCUACAUCACGUUUCAUGUUAUUCCACCAAUACAAGGUUUUCAAAUGAUGGUACAUCUUAGUAGAGCCUGGGAGAACGACAUACCUCAAAGUGUGCGCCUCAUUAAGGAUUGUUUCCCGCAGCCCAUCAACAUUUGGAAUGCACAACCUACCCUGAAAUCUUAGAAUACCAUCACCACCAAUUGCAAACGACAUAACCUUUUGUUGACCCACAUCUUUCUUGAUUUGAAUAAAUAUGGGAUCUUCAACCUGCUUCUCCUUAAUGUCAGCAAAAAGGGAUGACUUAGCUAACUCAUAAACGGUCACCCCUCCAUCUUUGGAAUCUAAGAGUCGCACUCCUAGAUUUGCAAGGCGGUGAAUAUCCUUCACCAUCUCUUCCUUUCCUUCUUCUACAUGGGAAAGGCUGCCCAUAGACAACCUGCUGAGGGCAUCGGCUAUAACAUUUGCCUUGCCCGGAUGGUAAUGCAGACUCAUAUCAUAGUCUUUUAAAAGCUCCAUCCAACACCUCUGCCUGAGAUUCAAUUCUUUCUGUGAGAAAACAUAUUGCAAACUCUUAUGGUCAGUAUAAAUAUCCGCAUGCACUCCAUAGAGAUAGUGCCUCCAGAUUCUAAGUGCAAACACCACGACUACUAACUCCAAGUCAUGAGUGGGGUAAUUGCGCUCAUGCACCUUUAAAUACCUAGAUGCAUAAGCUAUCAUCUUACCACGCUGCAUCAAUACACAACCAAGUCCUACACUGGAUGCAUCACAAUAAACCACAAAAUCAUCUACACCCUCGGGAAGGUUCAAAAUAGGAGCAGUAGUCACCUUGUCCUUGAACUUCUCAAAACUGUUUUCAAAUAAGUCAGACCACACAAACUUCAUCUUUUUCUGAGUUAGUUUAGUAAGCGGAGCAGCUAUGGAAGAAAAACUCUCUACGAACCUUCUGUAAUACCCCGCCAAACCCAAGAAGCUUCGAAUAUCGGUUGGAGUCAUAGGUCUGGGCCAUUUUCUCACUGCUUUAACUUUCUGGGGAUCCACUCUUAUCCCAUCACUGGACACAAUAUUCCCCAGGAAGGUAAUAGCAUCUAACCAGGAUUCACACUUAGAAAAUUUGGCAUACAGCUGAUGAUCCUUAAGGUUCUGAAGAAUAAUUCGGAGGUGACUGGCGUGAUCCUCUUUACUCUUAGAAUAGAUCAGAGUAUCAUCAAUAAAUACAAUGACGAACAAGUCAAGAAACUGAAGGAACACUCUAUUUAUAAGAUCCAUGAAGGCUGCAGGGGGUUAGUUAACCCGAAGGACAUGACUAAAAAUUUGUAGUGACCAUAUCAGGUUCGAAAGGCUUUCUUGGGUAUGUCUGACUCCCUAACUUUCAACUGAUGAUAACCCGAACGAAGGUCUAUUUUUGAAAAACACUUGGCACCAUGAAGCUGGUCAAAAAGGUCAUCAAUCCUAGGAAGAGGAUAUUUAUUUUUAAUCAUGACCUUAUUCAACUGGCGGUAUUCUAUGCACAUACGAAGAGACCCAUCCUUCUUUCGCAUAAAGAGCACGGGUGCACCCCAUGGGGAAACACUAGGACAAAUAAAACCUUUGUCUAUGAGGUCUGCAAGCUAUUCCUUUAACUCCUUUAGUUCCGUGGGAGCCAUUCUAUAUGGCGGAAUAGAAAUAGGACGAGUGUCUGGCAACACAUCAAUGCCAAAAUAUAUCUCCCUAUUAGGGGGUAUCCCUGGGAGAUCUUCGGGAAAGACUUCUGGGAAUUCAUUCACUAUAGGGACUGACUGCAGAGGAAGAUUUUCAACUUUUGAAUCUUUUACUCAAAUUAGAUGGUACAUACAACCUUUGGAGAUAAGCUUUCGGGAUCUAAGAUAAGAGAUAAAGUGACCUCUAGGUUCCACAGAACUUCCUACCCAUACAAUUGGUGUCUCAUUCGGGAAAGAAAAAGUGACCUUUCGGGUCCUACAAUCGAGUGUGGCAUAGCACAAAUGGAGCCAGUCCAUCCCAAGGAUGGUAUCAAAAUCAAUUAUAUCAAGUUCUAUAAGGUAUGCCACAGUUUCCCUACUAUGGAUAGACACGACACAAUUUUUAUACACCCUUUUAGAAACAACAGAAUCACCUAUAGGAGUAGAAACAGAGAAAGGUUCUACAAUAACUUCAGGUUCAAACCCAAAACCAACAGCCACAUAAGGGGUCACGUAAGAUAAAUUAGACCUGGGAUCAAGCAAUAGAUAAACAUCACGAGAAAAGAUUCAUAACAUACCGGUGACAAUAUCUGGUGAAGCUUCCGCCUCCUGGCGGUUAGUAAAAGAAUAUAACUGGUUGCAACCGCUCCCGGCAGCUAAAGGGCCACCCAUAGGAAGAGAAGCUGUGGAGGCGGCUUGGGACUUAGCCACCCCCCGCAUUUCCUCCAGUAGAAGGACAAUCUCUCUGAAGGUGACCCACUUUGCCACAAGUAUAGCAGUUUUUCCCCUCAAACAAGCACUUCCCUAGAUGAUUCCUUCCACAAACCUCGCACCGCAGAUAAGUACGAUGCUACUGGGCCACACUUCCCUGAGACUGUAUACCUAGAGCUUUCGAUCUAUGAGGAGUCUGAAAACUCUGAGUUUGUCUGUCUUUCGGUGGUCUGGGUGCUGGGGCGCUGGCUGUUAACUGUGCAUUAUUACAAAACUUCUUCUUCUUCGACCACUUAUUACCCCAGUUACCACUUUAUAGCUGACUCUGGUGAUGGUCCGUAGAUCUAGCUCUCUUAGCCUGUCUGUCUUUCUCUCUAGAUUCAGUAAUAUUUUUCUUCUGCUUUUCCACCUGCUGCAUAUGAACGGUCAGUCAAGCAAAGUCUAGCUCCUUAUUCAACAUAGCCACCUAGCACUCAAGUACUAGGUUAUCAGCAAGACUAGAUGCAAAUUUUCUUAUCCGGGUUCUCAUACUACUAGUCAACUCUGAUGCAUAGCGGGCUAGUUUAUUAAUCUUCAAAGUGUACUCCUGGACACUCAUACUGCCCUGCUUCAGAUUCAUAAACUCUUCCACUUUGGUCUCCCUCAACUCUAGAGGAAAGAAUCGAUCAAGGAAAGCUUCCAUAAAUUUACCCCAAAUUAUGGGCUCAGCACUCUCAACUUUUGCAUCUUUCCAGUCGGAAUACCACUGAUUCGCAACGUCCUUGACCUGAUAGGUUGCUAGUUCCACCCCUUCAACCUCAUCCAUAUGAAUCACCUUAAAGAUCUUUUCCAUCUCAUCCACGAACUCCUAUCGAUUUUCCUGCACCUUGGUGCCAGUGAACUUAGGUGGCUUCAUCUUCAUGAAAUGUCCGACUCUUGUAGCCUCAGAUGUAACAGAUACAGACCCAACAUCUUACAAUUGUUAAGCCUGAUUAGUUACCAACUGUGUCAGCAUAUAAAUAGACCAUCUGGUUUCUACAUUUAAAAUAUCUCCCUGAGCAGUUGGGGGACGAUUGACAUUAGACUGCGAAGUUCGAGGCGGACUGGUCGAGACUAGAGGGACUCCCGAAGUAGGGACAAGCUCUGGAGUAUGAGCUCUGUUAUGGGUUCGCAUCCCAUGGGUGGGAUGGACCUCAUCUGCCUGAGAAUUCUGAUCGAUGAUAUGACGUGGAGGCAUAACUGUGUUUCUGAAACACAAGUGAUAAUUGAUUAGGGGACAGUUCAAACUCUGAAACAAAGAAGGGAAACAUUUCCUAAACGCCUAGCAGCCUUCUACUUAUAAGUGUGGCGCACUACACACCCAUGAAUAGGACUCUACCCGAUGCGAUUUCACAGACACCCUGGGACCAUGAACCAUGCUUUGAUACCAAAUUUGUCACGAACCGAACUAAGGUCUAUCCAUGACGAGCAUUUCAAACCAUGAAGGCCCAAAACACCCCUAUCUAUCUAGUAAUCAUGCACCUAAUUCAUAUGAUCAAUGUAAUGCGGAAGAAACGCAAUAAUUCGGAAACAGGGUCAUAAAUAUGAAAAGAAACAAUAACGGGGAAAUAAGGUUUCCCCAAUAUCAAUCCACCUCUAAACAACUGUCUGCAAAAAUCUCUAACAAAUAACUGAGUUAAGUAACUGUAUAUAAACUGGGACAAGGCCCCCAGCAGACCCCAAAACUAAAUAUAAGAAAAAAAUGGACUGCAGGACAUAAGACCUUCCAAAAUAUAGAAGGCUCACCACUUGUCUCUGCAACCCUGUCUGAGUCUACUGAUUCUCUUGACCCCUAGACUGGGACUCUGAACCUGAGAGGUUGGAGAGGGAAGGGGGUCAGCCCAAAAGUACUGGCACGCUGAGAUAUCAAAACAAAACAUAAUAUUUUUACAAGAUAUAGUUGAGAGCCAUUAUAAAGCAAUUUUGUUUCAAAUCAUUUGAAAACACAUGGGUGUAAUGAAAUAGUUUCUCAAAAACAAUGAAAUGCAACUGAGCAAGGUGGAAUACCCUACAUAAUUUACACCAACUGCCUAACCUCGGUUGCCGCCGAGAUUAGAGUAUAAGUGAGGGAGAGACACACAAGGCCACGAAGCAUGGUGUUUCGACCCAAUGGUAGUGCCCAAGAUCACUUAGCCCGGGCUCCUACCUAUAGUCCCAAUUUGGGAAUGACUUAAAGUCAAGUACACAAGAUCAUUUAUCUUGGUACCAACUUUCCGUGUCGGCAAACACGUUUUCCAGCAAUGAGCCCUUACACUCAAACGCCUUCUUCGCGCAUCCACCUAUCUCAUGUAAAAUAAAUGUAUUCAAAUUUCAUCUGAUUCAAUAACAUAUCAUAUUCUAUAGGGUAUCGUCAUACCCGACUUGCAAGUCAUCAAUAUCACCUCCACAUAUGCAUUAUCAUGUAAAAACCAAGGUGCUUCAUCAUUUACAAGUGGUGAACAAUAUUUAUUUCAAAUUCAUGCUCUCUUUUGUUGGUCACAAUAUGAUAUGGGGUAUCAAGACAUUAUCAUGGGAAUUUGAAAGCAAUUUAUCAUUCAUAUUUAUCAAACUUCCAUGGAAAAUCUCAACAAGUUAUUAGCAUUUGAUUGAAAACCCCCAUUUAAAAACAUGCACGUUCAUAAAAACUACACCCAUGAGAUUUUUGGAUAACCCCACGUACCUCGAUUACUAUGAAUAUUAGAUGCUUCUCGAAGCCUACGUUGAGAGGAUUCCAAAUAUACAAUUUGUUCCUAAAACCCCCGGUUGAAUCUCGAAUUGGUUGGGUUUUUAUUUUGAAACCCUAAGGAGAAUUUUUGAGCACUUUUGAUGAAUGAAGGUGUACUUUGGGGUCCUUGGAACUAAAUUUCGUGUUUUAGGGCUAAGUAAGGGUGGAAAAGGACCAUUUUGUCCCCAAAACGGAGUGUUUAAGUCACUUGAAUUCUUUACAUAGGCACCGCCCAUCCCAUUGCUUAUGUUUACAUAGGCACUGCCUAGGCUAUCGCCUAUGUUGACAUAGGCACCGCCUAGGCUAUCGCCUAUGCUUUCCGGUGGCCAUGGGUGAUUGCUUAGGUGACGCAUAUCACUUUGAAUGGCCAUAACUUCUUGCUCGGGUGUCGGAUUUUAGCAAAAUUGGUAUCGUUGGAAAGAUAACUCAAAGAACUAUCAUUUGACAUAUAGUAGGCUCCCUAAUUCGACAUAUACAGAGAGUUAUGAUCGAUGGAAGCUGACAUAAUUUACAACGUCCACUAAAACUUAGUCGAUUGAAAUAGUUUCAACUCGUCCUUGAGUUGAAAGACCUCUAUGGUCUAAAUUCAAGCUUGAAUGGAUUCACAUGCUACACAAAUAAUUAACAUGCCGUAUUGGCAUAGGAUUUAUGGCUUCGGGGUUUAUCAACACAUCGGAAUCAUGGUCUAAAUUGUAGCCCGAAAUGCGGGGCGUUACAUAAGCAAUGAAGAUUGUGGUUCAAAACUCCGCUUCGCUUACUUAGGCAGUUCUUUCUAUGUUGCUGGAACGACUCUUUAAAAAAGUUGCGACAACCAUGUCAGAUCCUUAAAAAAAUGCACAACUUUUGAAGGAUCCAACACGUAAUCAACGUUAUUUUUGAGGAGCUCGAGCAACAUAACUAUAUACAUAGUACAAAGAGCCACUAACCUUUUAGCUUUAAAACUUUAAUUAAAUGAGAGAAUAAUUAAGGGAAACUAACCUUUCAAUGGCAGAUCAUACAGCUUCAAAAUCACUGAAAGAGAUAUUUGAGAAAAGGACAAAAGAAAUGACAAUAUUAUGAGUAACAGUAAACAAAUGUGUAAAGAACAAAAGAUAAGAGUACCUAACCAAGACAAAAUUUGAGUGGCUUAAAUGAUAUCUGCAGAAUUUAUCAUCCCAAACAGUCCCUUAACUUUACAUAGUAGGUUCACUUAGGUCCCUAUAAUAUAAUGCUGAGCAUAAAUGGUCCUUUAUCUCUUUAAAAAAAAAAAGAUGCACUUUGAAAAAAAUGUUGUGCUUUAUACACAUAGUGGGAUAUGGAGAGGGCAAAGUAUACGCAAAACCUUAUCGUUAUGUCAGAGAUAGAGACGAUGUUUCUGAUAGACCCUUUGCUAAAGAUAAAUAGCUCGAAGCAGUCGAGAAAUAGAUGCCCCUUAUUUAAAAUAUAGAGAAAUUACAUCUCCUUGAAAGCUAGAGAAUAAUGCUAAAACAUAGUAAUUAAAAUUUAAACAGUAAGAACUAUGAUGAAAUCCUUGAACUUCAAUCUUUAUUAGUAAUUGCUUUUAAAACUAAAACAAGAGAAUCACCAUAUAAAUGCACAUCUCCAUUCAUUUAAUAAAUAACGUUACCAAGUAAAUUGAGUGCGUGAUCGUGUUAACAAUUGUGAGCUCGUGAACUCAAAAAUUUAGUAAUGCCCAACUGAGUAAUAUUACUAAAAAUUCUAUCAACUCAAAAAUAAGUUACAAUACGAAAGAGAUCACAUUUCCUUGGAAGUCACACGUUGCUUGAAGCCGAUCAGGUAAUUUAUUAGUCUUUAUCAUGUUUAAGGAGAAUGUGGCCUCUUUAUAUGAUCUCCAUCAAUCCUCACCUCUUCAUCUAGCUUCUGGGUUGAGUUAGACCUAAGGUCCAUCAGUGUUGUUAAUCAGUGUCACAGAGCAGCUAACGAGUCGCACUGCAUUCCGCGUUGCUAUGCCGUUGCUAAAUGGUCCUUAACAACAGGGACAAAGCCAGACUUAAUGCUACCUAAAUGAUCGUUGAAAGGCUUAAGAGAGGUCAGGGAGGACAAAUCAAAGAGAAGGGUUGUUCAUAGAUCAGUAUAACCUUCAGCGUGAAGUGGUCGGGUGUUGAGCAAUUAGUGAAGUGUACAGCAGUACACUAAGUGAUGAGCUGUACACAGCGGUUAGUUAGGAGCAGUUAGUUAAGCUAACUUAAUUCAUCAACUAUUAGGAAGAUUCUAGAAGAGCUCUUGUCUAUAUAUAGAGGAUUAGGUAGUAGCAGUUAUUGAUCUCCUCCUCUGUAUUCAAUCUACUCUGCAGCUUAUGAUCAGAAAAUAUUUGCUUCAGUUUGAGCUCGUUAUUUGCCAGUUAACCUCUUGCAUUGCAGAAAUUUAACAUCGGGUUCACUCCUUCUCGAGGAAGGGAUUCGAUGUAUUUGGCAAAAUUCAGUAGCUUUUUCGUAUUUAGUGUGUGAAAAUAUUUAACUCCCAUAAAAUGAUUACGGUUUAGAACCAUAGACUAAAAAUCCUGGCUCCGCUUUGCUUACUUAGUAAUGUUUUCUUAGGAUGAUAUUUGGAUCUAUCCUAAAUACAGACUUGUACUAUAUAUCUAAGUUGCUGGAACUCUUUAAAAAGGUUGUCACACCUGUGUCUAAUUCUCAAAAAAUGCAGGUCUUUAUAGCCAUCAAGUACCUCUUACAAAAGGAAGCAAUAAUUCAUCGGAAAGGUGUAUCCCUUUAUGUUUAGUAAGGCUUUUCACUAAUGGUGUUUGCACCACGAAGUGAUUAAUUUUGACAUACAGCAAAGACAUUUGUGCGUUCCAAUUUUCAAGCACACAUUCUCCAAAGAGACGUAUAAAUAAAUGACUUGGUAGAAAAAUGCAAUCUUAGCAAAGGAUUUGGAAUGGUUUAGGAAGCAUGGUCAUGCCAUGCCGGUGUCAAGAAUUGAUCUUGGGCCUAACUCAAACUCCUCAAGAGGUGAGAAUUACCCAAGUCCAUAUAAGCAAACUACCAGUCCAUUCCCCAACCAAUGUGGGACUUUUUACCCACUUUAACACCCUCCUCACGCCCAAGCCCAACUGGCCUAACUCAAUCCCAAAAGCUAGCUCUUCCCAUUAGACAAAGAUAUUCAUCCCCAUGACUGCUGUGCUGAAAACGGCUAAAGACUAGGGCUGCAACAUUGACCCAGAGACGAAGGAGCCACCAAUCUCUGUACCGCCGCAAUACUCAAUUAUCGGUUUAUAUUUAGCAAACUACCAGUCCAUUCCCCUACCAAUGUUUGACUUUUUACCCACUCACACCCCACUCAUGCCCAGGCCCACCUGGCACUGGCGCAUGGACCAGGAACCCAAAACGGGGAUGGAACUGGCUCUGAUACCAUGUCAAGAAUGGACCUUGGGCCUAACUCAACCUCAAAAGCUAGCUCAAGAGGUGAGGAUUACCCAAGUCCAUAUAAGAAAACUACUAGUCCAUUCCCCAACCAAUGUGGGACUUUUUACCCACUCUAACAUCCGAAACCAUCAACUCCUGGCAUCAGCUAUGCUCGUUACUUAGAGGAGCUAUCAGAAAAGGAUCCUCAAGCAUUUAUUUUCCAUUUUUACAACACCUACUUUGCGCAUUCAGUUGGAGGUCGCAUGAUAGGGAGAAAGGUUAGUAAUGUCGUCUUUGAAUUUUUUAGUAUUAUUCUACAUUGUACUUCUGAUACUAUGAUAUAUAAAGCUAGAUUUUCAUCAUAGAAAUAUGGAAUGAGCAAAAUUCUAAGUUAUUUUUAAGUCAUAAUUUGUAGGGUAUCUGAGGACACCCAUGGGUGUGGUUUAGUAGUCAAUGUAGUGGGAGGAGAAAUAUGAUGAGGUUUAAAUCCGAGCAGUGGCAAAAAAAAAAAACACUAGGUGGUUCAUUCUGUUUACCUAAGCGUUGCUAGGUAGAGUUACCCCAUAUCUGUGCUGGUGAGAGUUAGCAGGUACUCGGUCGAAUAGGCAAAGUGAGCACAAGCUAGACUCCGUACCACCAUCGUAAAUCUUUUUCUUUUUGAAGGGUAUCCUAGGCAACUUAAUGUGGAGAACAUGGUUCAGUAAACUCAAUUAUUACGCCAUAGUUUCACAUGGGUGUGAGGAUGGAUAGUUUAGUUCAUACCACAACAUUAUGCUUCUGUCACAAACAACUUAGUUCAUAGGUCUUAGAAUUUUCUGAAUUACAUUUUUCUCCUUCUUACCAUAUUGCCGUUCGACCCCUUUUACUUGUUAGUACUUCAACUUUGAUGGUAGUUGAAAUAUUACUAGUUCCUGUCGUUAUGAUCACUUAGUUUGUUGAAAUUAUGAUAACAGUAGCAAGCAAACUAAACAACAUUGUAAAAAUGAAAAUUUCAGUAUUCAUCAGUUUUAAAAAUGUCCGGCAGACGAUAAAUUCAGAUUAGAAGAAAUGUAACAUGGAGUACUACUAAACUGUCAAUACAAAUUCCUUUGUUAAACUAGUGCUGUCGUAGAGGCCCUAUUGCAUUGUUUCUUUUCCUUCGUAGACCUACGAGUGUUAAAGGAAAAAAGGUAACCAUUUACUGUCCACAAUCUUUCUUAUUCUUGCUUUAUAGGUAGCUGAAAAGAUACUAGACAAGAAAGACAUGGAAUUCUACAAAUGGGACGGCGACCUUUCUACAAACGGGAGGUGUCCAAAAACAAAUCCAUGAGGGCUUGGCCCAAAGCGGACAAUAUCAUACUAGUGCUGAGUUACACGUGGUCCCAACAAGUGGUAUCAGAGACUAGGUUCGGGUGUGUCGGAGUGGUGGACUGUGGUUAGUGAGAAGUUCUCGGUGUAAUGACAAGACUAGAGAUCUGCAUGUUGUGCCUUGUGUCGAAAGUCUUCCUAGAGUGGUGGCCAGGUGGCGUGUCCCGUUGGGUGAUAACGACGGUACAAGAUGCUUGGCAGAUCAUGUGAAGUGACCGAGUAGUUGAGAUCUAUGGUUGAUGCCUCGUGUUGAAAGUCUUCUUGACAAGUGAUGGUCAAGCAGCGUGUCCCACUGGUUGGUAGUGGCGGUGUGGAGAGGUCACAAGUGAUGUGGUCUUGGUUUGAGGGGGGGAUUGUUGAGCAGCAAACACAAUCCCACAUCGAAAAAAUAGAGAGAAUAUUUCCAAUAUUUAAAGUGUCACCCAACUCCACUAGUAUGAGGCCUUUUGGGAAGUGUCCAAAAACAAAUCCGUGAGGGCUUGACCCAAAGCGGACAAUAUCAUACUAGUGCAGAGUUUGGGUGAAGUUGCACGCGGUCCCAACAACAUGGGUAUGUAUACUAGUUCUUGUUAAUCACUGUCGCAGAGCGGCUAACGAGUCGCACUGCAUUCUGCAUGAUACGGGUACGAUCAUGAUCGGGGUCCAAUGCGUCAAAACUCGAGCUCGGGGGGCUACCCAUCCAAGGAAUAAGCUUUGAAGUGUAGAGAACAAGUCCCACAAGCUCCAAAACUGUUAACUGUUCAUCCGCAUUCACUAUUCAUUCACCCUUUGCAAGGGUUUUUUAGUCAUUUGUAAUAAGUUAACCUAGGUAUAAAUAGAACCUCAUUAGGUCAUUUUUGGAGAAUAUAUUUUGUAGCCUCUUUGAGAGUCUUUAGCAAGGUGGAAUCCUUGUGUUGAUCAUUUGCUUAGAAACGGAGAUUACUUGAGAAUUUUGGUUCCCUUGAGGUCACGUAAGAGACAGGCUUAGGUUGUGUGUGAUAUUAAAGGUCCAAAAUUGGAAUAAGCUUUUGGGUUGUUAAUAUUAUACCAUCCCUUUGUCUAUCCAUCUAUCUUUACUUUUUUGUAAUCGUUUGUCUAUAUCUAGUGUAAUCUGUUUGUGUUCUUGUCUUGUAACCGUGUGUUGUUAUUGCAUCUUGUUCAUCAAGUGUUGUUGCUGUUUUUGUGUGUUUUACUCUUGAUAUCACUUCCCUUCUUGUUCUUCUUGCGAAUCCGAGAGAGGUCAUCAAAAGGGUCCAUAGUUCGUGAACUAGUGGACUGAUUUUGGUGUUUGUGUUGUUGUGUUCUUGGGGAGUUUGGUAUCUCUGCAGUUGCUAUGCCGGUGCUAAAUGGUCCUUACUGACAGGGACAAAGCCAUCCUUAAUGCUACCUAAACUAUUGUUGAAAGGUUUAAGAGAGAUCAGGAAGGACAAAUCAAAAACAAGGGUGGUUCGUAGAUCAGUAUGACCUUAGGCGUGAAGUGGUCGGGUUCACUCCUUCUCGAGGAAGGGAUUCAGUGUAUUCAGCAAAACUCAGUAGCUUUAUCUUAUAUAGUGUGUGAAAUAUUUAACUCACAAAAAAAGAUUACGGUUCAGAACCCAUAGACUAAAAAUCCUGGCUCCGCUUUGCUUGCUUAGUAAAGUUUUCUUAGGAUGAUGUUUGGAUCUAUCCUAAAUACAGACUUGUACUAUAUAUCUAUGUUGAGGGAACUCUUUAAAAAGGUUGUCACACCCGUGUCUAAUCCUCAAAAAAAUACACAACUUUUGAAGGAUCUGACACACAACUUUGGAUAGUAUGUUCACUUACAGAUAUUUAGGGAACUCCCUUGAACGAUGAAUCUUUGCAGAUUCCAGUUCGUAAAUUUAUUUUAAGUGUCUCUUUCCAUCAACCUAUUAAGUAAGAGAACUAUAUAUAUUUGUGCCUCCAAAAACGAACUGUGUCCUUGGAAUUUCGGUCAUAGGUUGAGGGAACUUAUACCUUUUGGUUAAAUUCUUUUUUCGAAUAAAUAGACCACAAAAAUCAAUUCAAGAACACGAGCUGCUCUAUUACUUCUAUCGAAUAUCAUUGAGUUGAUCCCAAAGAGUAUACCGUCAAACAUCAAAAAUAAAUAUGAAAUCAAGAAACUAAAGUCUAAAGUAAAUCAUCAUCCAGUUCCCACAAGAAGCUAAAAGACAUUACAACAUAAAUUUAUCGAAUCAAACUCCCAUUAUUAAAUGCUCUUGUUGCUCGUCCUCUCCUUGUCUUCUUUUUUCCAAAAGUACUAUAACAAAGCAACAUAAAUUAGAAAUAUAAAAUCUCCAAUUUACGAUCAUGUCAAUUAAAGUCGAGAUAGGAUAUAUGAAGAAUAUUUAGAUCAUGAGUACAUCAUUAUAUAUUUUUUAAAAAGAUACUAGAAGACCAUUAUAUAUAGAUAUCCCUGAAUUAUUUAUGUACUUAUACAAGAUUUCUAACACUAAUCUUGAAAGUAACAUAUAUCUUUUAAAACUCAAAGAGGAAGCCUCCAAAACAACACAAGUGAUAUAUAUGUUAGAGGAAUUGUUACAAAGAGAUCAAUGUUAUGAAGCAAAACAAGGUACACCAAAUUCCGCAACAAACAAGAAAAUAAAAAUGCCAAGAGAACACCUUGAAAUGUGAGUUCAUGUUAAAUUUUCUUUUUCACAAUUCUGUAAAAUUUACUCCACUAUAUCAAAAAUAAAUGUCAAUAAUACUUGUCCAUUUUGAAACCAGUGGAUAUAUUACCCAUUUUACCAUUAGCAUUAAAUACGAUUCAUUAUCCAAUGUAUUUUUCAAAGCAUUAGAUUUAUUGGAUUCAAAGGGUAAUAUGGCAAAACUAGCCCUAUCAUUUACUACUUCUUAACUUAUGCGUCAAGUUAAUAGUGGACAACUAUUGAUAGAUGGAGGUAGUAACAAUUAGAUCAAAUGUACUCAGAUUUAGCAAGCUUAAACUAAAGUACCAAAAUUGAUCAAAAAUAUAUUUAAGGGGACAUUUUGAACUACCCUCAAAUAUAAGAGAUAUUCUUGUUAAUUUCUCUUACAUUUUAAGUAGGGUUUUAACCAAAUUAUGUUAAAGUUAUUUUUGUGAAAGAAUAUGGGGAAAAGCUAAAUAACUGUUGUGUAUGACUUUACUUGUGCAAAUGAGAAACAGAGUACAACCUUGAUAAAUAUAUACUUACAUGGAUCGGAGAAACAAACAUCCACAGGGUUGUUUCCGACGACUUCUUGUUCUUUCUGAAUUCGUGCAGCAGAUUUCCUAAGUUCAGGAAGACACCAUUUUAACUGAAUCAGUUGUAGUGUGUUAAUAUCUGCAAACUCAAUGGGUACCUCUUUCAAAUGAGGGCAACUUCUAAUCAUGAGGCCCUCAAGGACAGGAAAAUUAUCAUUUGUGGCUUUCCAGUACUUGAGAUCAUUAAAUUCAAUUAGCAAAAGCUUCAAUUUAUUAAAUCCCCUAACACUAGGAUGCCAUUCUUCGCCAUCACAAGCAUCAUCGAUCAGCUUCAGCACCUCAAGGUUUGGCAAUGCAGCUAUGAUGUCCAAGUACGACCAGCUUAGAUAAGUUCUUUCCAAUUUCAGCUUCUUGAGCAUUGCUGGGAACAAUCGACUAAAACAAUAAGUAAGACUCAAUGUUUCAAGUUGCUGCAGAUAAAUAAGAUUGUUGAGAAGCCCGUUAGAGUCAAUCUCAUAUCUAAUGAUUCCUAAUUCUUUGACAUUCUGAAUCCCCAUAAUCACCUCCUUCGUGCAACAACCCGAAGACAAGUAAGAAAUAGUUUGUAAGUUUGAAAAAUCCAGUUGUCUCCCUUUGUCAACAGAUCCACUUGGGCAAUCUGGCAAAUAAAAUCUGGGCAGUUUGAGAUUCCUUAAUUUUAUUAGUCCCCAAAUUUCCUCAGGAAAAGUUCUUUCAACUAAUUGACAAGGCCCUUGAACAAUGAAUGUCUGCAGAUUCCAUAACCUGCAAAUUUCUGGAGGUAUGUUUAAAUUCUUAUGGCAGAACAAUGAUAGGUACCUCAACCAGAUGAGGCUUAGUACCUGUAGAGGAAAAUUAUCAAUCUCCUGUCUCAAGUCCAAGACUUUGAGUAAUUUGAAAUGAAUAAGCUCUGAUUUGAGACCACGAGAUAAAAAUGAAUCCUUAAGAUGAAAAGAGAAAAUAGAACGGGUUCGUUUCAAGAGAUCGUUGUUGUCAUGAUCUCUCAACUGACGAUGUACAGGGGUAAGAAGAGCCCUAUAAAGAACAUAGAGACAAUAAUCAAUUUCAUCACCAGUCACGCGCUUAAAGGGCUGCAUUUUAUGCACAAUGAGAUAUCGCCGUUCUGAAUCUGAUUCGUCAAGCACAAUGUCGUACAUGAUAAAAAUGUUCUCCCUUUGAAUUUCUCUCACGCACAGGUCAUGUAUUAGAUCAUGAACCUUACCUGAUCUAAUUUUUGUUCCAUCUAGACUUUUCUUGCAGACGAGGACUAGACAUCUAUUGACAAGAUCUUGCAAACGCUUCUCAGCCUCUCCUUCCAAAUCAUUUUCCAACUUUAGGAACCCCUCAGCCAUCCAUGUUCUCAUCAAUUUCUUCGCUGGUAUCUCACCGUCUUCUGGAAAAAUUCCGAAAUGCAGAAGACACGUUUUUAGAUUGCUAGUCAAGUGAUUGUAACUCAACCCAAGCACAUGUGAACAUUGUUCAUCAGGAUCAUUUGUGAUGAAUGACGUGACAUCUUCGGCAACACUUCCCCAAUCUUCUAUUGCCCUUUUAGAUUUGAGAAGCCCAGCAACCACGACAAUAGUUAGUGAUAACCCGUGAAAUUUCCCUGCAAUUUUCUUCCCAAUAGUCUAAAACUCAGAUGACAAUGCUUCAUUUGAAAAUGCCACACUUCUAAAAAGGUUCCAACUCUCAUCUUGAUCCAUGAAGUUCAUCUGCAAAGAAAGAUUCUCCGUGCUAGCAUAACAAGCUACUUCAUUGAUUCGUGUAGUCAACAAUAUUCGACUCCCUGCAUUGUCUUCAGUUGGAAAGCAUUGUCUCACGCCAUCCCACACUUCACAACUGUAGAUAUCAUCCAAGACAAUUAAGUACCUCUUUCUCUUUAAACUUUUCUGCAGCAUGUCUGCUAGCUCUGCUUCACCUCUCGUCUUAACCGGUCAUCCAUGUUGAUCGUCGAUCGCAGAAGGCCCAGCAAAGCUUCCUUUCUGUUGUGCUGUUGAGAUACAGUUGUCCAGGCAUGAACAUCAAAACGACAUAGAAUUGAUCCAUGAUUGUAAACUUCUUUCGUUAAGGUUGUUUUACCUAUGCCUCCCAUCCCAACAAUCGGAAUGACUUUGGGUUCACCAGAGUAGCUUGUAGUCAGACUUCUAACAAGCGUUCCUUUUGAUCAUCACGUCCGACCAUAUUAUUGUUAACAUUCAGAAUAUUGUUUGUUGAACUUGAAAAAUCUUGAACCAAUGAUUCCUUUGAUACUUGUUUGCCUUUAUCUUGAACCUUUGUUGACUCUUUCCAGACAUGAUCAAUGUCCUUUGCUGAUUGUUGAAGGCUUUUACGAAACUUUCGGCGUGUCCAUAUAUUCAAGACUCCUUUGAAAAAUCUUGAGCCAAUGAUUCCUAUGAUGCUUUUAUUUUCUCCCUGAACAGUUUCUGUUAGUCUCAGUUGAAUUGUGUAUUCAACAGCACUUGCAACUUCUUUUACCUCUACUUCAAAAUCCGUCAUUUCUCCAAAAACAUUCUUUCUCUCAAAGUUCUUGAGAAAUACUUCCAGGGAACUAACUUUUUCACGAAGAGCGCAAAGUUCUUCUCUGUGAUCACAGAUUAGAUAUUGCAUCAGCGAAUUGGAUGUCGAGCGAUUCUAUUGUUCGCAUAAGAGAAGUCACACUUGCAUGAGCCAUAUCUACUGUAUUCUCGUUUUUGUCCUAUGCGAUUAUGACCUGAAAGCUUCAGGGUUGAAAGAGAUCAAUGGUAUUACAAAUAACGAGAUACGCAGAUCAAAAGGAACGCAUAAACUAAAUAAGAUCAGGUAACGGUAACAGUGAGUAUAGUCCAAAAAACUCAGUAGCUUUAGCUCAUUUAACGCGUAAAAAUAAUUUAACUUUCAGUACGCAAAAUAGAUUGUGGUUCAAAACUCCGCUUCACUUACUUAGGUAUUGUUUUCUACGUUGCUGGAACUCUUUUAAAAUGUUGGCACACCCGUGUCAGAUCCUUAAAAAAAUGCACAACUUUUGAAGGAUCCAACACGUGAUCAACGUUAUUUUUGAGGAUUUCGAGCAACAUAACUAUACAUAGUACAAAGAGCUAAGUUACACAUUGACAAGCCACUACAAGUAUUGUUUUUGCUCUAAAACUUUAAUAAAAUGAGAGAAUAAUUAAUGAAAACUAACCUUUCAAUGGCAGAUCAGACAGCUUCAAAAUCACUGCAAGAAAUAUUUGAGAAAAGGAUAGAAGAAAUGACAGCAUUAUGAGUAACAAUAAACAAAUGUGUAAAGAACAAAAGAUACACAGUACCUAAACAAGAAAACAUUUGAGUGGCUGAAACGAUAUCUGAAGAAUUUAUCAGCCCAAACAGUCCCUUAACUUUACAUAAUAGGUUCAAUUAGGUCCCUAUAAUAUAAUGUUGAACGUAAAUGGUCCUUAAUCUCUGCAAAAAACAAGAUGCACUUUGAAAAAAAUGUUGUGCUGUAUACACAUAGUGGGAUCUGGAUAGAGUAUACGCAAAACCUUAUCGUUAUGUCAGAGGUAGAGACGAUGUUACCGAUAGAACCUUUGCUAAAGAUAAACAGUUUGAAGCAGUCGAGAAAUAGAUGCCCCUUAUUUAAAUUAUAGAGAAAUUACAUCUUCUUGAAAGCUAGAGAAUAAUGCUAAAACAUAGUAAUUAAAAUUUAAGAACUAUGAUGAAAUCCUUGAACUUCAAUCUUUAUUAGUAAUUGCUUUCAAAACUAAAACAAGAGAAUCAACAUAUAAAUGCACAUCUCCAUUCAUUUAAUAAAUAACGUUACCAAAUAAAAUGAGUGUGUGAUCGUGUUAACCAUUGUGAGCUCAUGAACUCAAAAAUUUAGUGAUGCCCAACUGUGUAAUAUUACUAAAAAUUCUAUCAACUCAAAAAUAUGUUACAAUACGAAAGAGAUCACAUCUCCUUGGAAGUCACACGUUGCUUGAAGUCGGUCAGGUAAUUUAUUAGUCUUUAUCAGCUUUAAGGAGCAUUUGGCCUCUUUAUAUGAUCUCCGUCAAUCCUCUCCUCUUCAGCUAGCUUCUUGGUUAAGCUCGACCUAAGGUCCUUCAGCCACAUCAGUGGGUUUAAAGGGUCCUUGGUCUCCUUAUAUGGUCUUGGGCAGUCUUCCCCUCUUGAGCUAGCUUUUGAGGUUGAGUUAGGCCUAAGGUCCAUUUCUUUAUCAUGGUAUCAGAGCCAGGCUCACCCAGUUCAUUGUUUCCGAUGUAGGGCACCCCGUCUUAUAUUGUCCACACUCCAGAGCGUGCGGGGGUUGUUGGAGUUCCACAUUGGUGGGUUUAAAGAGUCCUCCUUUUAUGGUCUUGGGCAAUCCUCCCCUCUUGAGCUAGCUUUUGAGGUUGAGUUAGGCCCAAGGUCCAUUUCAUUAUCAUGGUAUCAGAGCCAGGCCCACCCAGUUCAUUGUUUCUGAUGUUGGGCCCCCCCGUCUUAUAUUAUCCACACUCCAGAUGUCCAGCCCAGGUGUGCGGGGGGUGUUGGAGUCCCACAUUGGUGGGUAUAAAGGAUCCUUGGUCUCCUUAUAUGGUCUUGGAAAAUCCUCCCCUCUUGAGCUAGCUUUUGAGGUUGAGUUAGACCCAAGGUCCAUUUCUUUAUCAGUGUCACGGAGCGGCUAACGAGUCACACCGCAUUCUACAGUUGCUAUGCCAGUGCUAAAUGGUCAUUACUGAUAGGGACAGAGCCAUACCUAAACGAUCGUUGAAAGGCUUAAGAGAGGUCAGGAAGGACAAAUCAAAGAGAAGGGUGGUUCAUAGAUCAGUAUGACCUUUAGCGUGAAGUGGUCGGGUUCACUCCUCGAGGAAGGCAUUCAGUGUAUUCGGCAAAACUCAGUAGCUUUAUCUUAUUUAGUGUGUGAAAAUAUUUAACUCCCAAAAAAAUAUUACAGUGCGGAACCCAUUGACUAAAAAUCCUGGCUCCGCUUUACUUGCUUAGUAAUGUUUUCUUAGGAUAAUGUUUGGAUCUAUCCUAAAUACAGACUUAUACUAUAUAUCUAUGUUGCUGGAACUCUUUAAAAAGGUAGUCACACCUGUGUCUAAUCCUCAAAAAUUACACAAAUUUUGAAGGAUCUGUUGUUUCGGGUAUAGAAUCUACAUGUUUGCAAAACCACUUCAACACAUGUUCAAGAUUAUAGCAAGAACAAUCAUGAAGUUUUUCAACACCUUCAACACAAGUUUAAUAUGAAUUAUCAAAGAAGUGUGUUACUUUUUUUUUUUUUUAAGAAAUAAGAUGAAACAGAAUAAGAACCAAGUCCUCCUAAUUCAGGGAGUGUGCUUAAGGAAUUAAUUCCCCUCAAGUACCCGAGGUUGUGGAAUUUUUCCUCCCAAGAUAAAACGGUUCACAAUUCGACGGUAGCGGUACCUCAAACUAUCGAAUUUAUAAAACACACUCAACAACAGCUUGAUCAUAAUGAGUUUUUGGAAGUAGAAGAGUGUUUAUAAUUCUGAAAAAUUUUCGUUACUACCUGUGGAAAAAAUGCAGGUAUUCAUAGCCAUCAAGUGCCUCUUACAAAAGGAAGCAAUGGUUCAUCGGAAAGGUGUAUCCCUUUAUGUUUAGUAAUGCUUUUCACCAAUGGGGUUUACACCAUGAAGUGAUUGUGCCUUCAAAUUUUCAAGCACACAUUCUCCACAGACGUAUAAAUAAAUGACUUAGAGGCUCUUUCGUUUGACUGCAGAUACUGAGUUCAGGAACACAGGAUUAGAAAGGUCAGAGGUCUUAGCAAAGGAUUUGGAAUGGUUUAGACAGCAAGGUCAUGCCAUCCCGGAACCGUUAAAUCCUGGUGUCACCUAUGCUCGUUACUUAGAGGAGCUAUCAGAAAAGGAUCCUCAAGCAUUUAUUUGCCAUUUUUACAACACCUAUUUUGCGCAUUCAGCUGGAGGUCGCAUGAUUGGGAGAAAGGUCAGUAAUGUCUUCUUUGAAGUGUUCGUUUUAUUCUACGUUGUACUUGUGGUAUAUAAAGCUAGAUUUUCAUCAUAGAAAUAUGGAACGAGCUAAAUUCUAAGUUAUUUUAAGUCAUAAUUUGAAGGGUAUCCGAGGACACCCAUGGGUGUGGCUUAGUAGUCAAUGAAGUGGGAGGAUAAAUAUGACGAGGUUCAAAUCCGAGCAGUGGAAAAAAGAAACACUAGUCGGUUCAUUCUGUUUACCUAACCUUUGCUAGGUAGAGUUACCCCAUACCUGUGCUAGUGAGAGUUAGCAGGUACUCGGUGGAAUUACCAAAGUGAGCACAAUCUAGACUCCGCACCGCCAUCGUAAAUCUUUUUCUCUUUGAAGGGUAUCCUAGGCAACUUACGUGGAGAACAUGGUUUUAAACUUAAUUAUUACACCAUAGUUUGACACUGAGUUGCUCGGACUCUCCAAAAUGUUGCUGCUCCCAUGUCAAAUCCUUUAAAAAUACAGCAUUUUUGAAGGAUCGGACACGCAUCCAAGCAACAUGGGUUUCACAUGGAUGUGAGGGUGGAUAGUUUAGUUCAUACCAAAACAAUACGCCUCUGUCACAAACAACUUAGUUCAUUGGUCGUAGAAUUUUCUGAAUUACAUUUUUCUGCUUCUUACUAUAUUGCUGUUCGAUCCCUUUUACUCGUUAUUACUUCAACUUUGAUGGAUAGUUGAAAUAUUACUAGUUCCUUUCUUUAUCAUCACUUUGUCGUAACAUCAACAUUGUAAAAAUGAGAAUUUCAGUAUUCAUCCAUGUUAAAAAUGUCCGGCAGGCGAUGAAUUCAGAUUAGAAGAAAUGUAACAUUGGAGUAAUCCUAAACUGUCGAUACAACUUCCUUUGUUGAACUAGUGCUGUCGUACAAGUUGUCGCCCUAUUGCAUUGUUUCUUUUCCUUCUUAGACCUACAGACAUUAAAGGAAAAACGGUAACCAGUUACUGUCAACAAUCUUGCUUCUUCUUGCUUUAUAGGUAGCUGAAUAGAUACUCGACAAGAAAGAGCUGGAAUUCUACAAAUGGGACAGCGACCUUUCUCAGCUGCUGCAGAAUGUUAGAGCUAAGCUGAACAAAGUUGCAGAAGUAUAAUCCUAUCAACUUUUUAAAACUAUUGUCAUAUUCUUUUACAUAACUUGUUAUUAUCAACUUAACAUGAUCCAUUUUCAUCAAUGCUUUUGCGCAGAACUGGACUAGAGAGGAGAAGAACCAUUGUCUGGAAGAGACAGAGAAGUCAUUCAAGUUCUCCGGGGCCAUCGUCCGAUUGAUAUUCUCUUGAUGCACUACUUCACACUUUGUUUCCUUGUUAACUUGUACAUCACGGAUGUUCGAAACCUGCAAAUUUCUGUGAAUAGUCGUGUUUCUUUUCGCGUUUAAUUCUGUCAAUGGUGUAUAAUAACUUGAUUAUAAUUCAAGUGUUACAUCAUUACUCAAUUCUCAAUGUUGCUGAUACUUAAACUAUGGGCUAUCCAGCCUCAUAGAAACUUAAUUGAAGGUGUAAAAGUAGAAAACUGACGUGUUCUAUGUUGCUUGUACUCUCCAAAAUAGAUGCCGUACCCGUGUCAAAUCCUUCAAAAAUGAACAUUUUGAAGGAACUAACACACACACAUUGACAUUUUUGAAGAGCAACAUAGCCAGUUUGAACCUUCUAUUAGCAAAAACAUCAACAUACGAAAUCCUCCCUCAAUUGGACGCCAUUCUAGGCCACGACAAGCAUUUGGCUUCAGCUUCAGCACCUCGAGGUUAGGCCAAUGGCCUAUGAUGUUCAAGUCCUCCCAUGCUAGACAAGUUCCAACCAGCUUUAACUUCCUGAGCUUUGUUGGAAAUUGUGUUGCACUAGGUACACAAACGGUCAAUUUGUGUGAUCUUGAACUCCAGUGACUUACGUGAUAACGAUCAACUGUAAUACUCAAUGUUUCUAGCUGAGGCAGAUCAACAAUUUCGCGGAAGUCCAUAACUUCUUCACGCAUCUGAUAGUCAUAGACGUGCCCCCGAAUACAUAAUUUCUUAAUGUUUUGAAUCCUGGACAGGACUUUUUUAGUGCAACAAUAAGGAAGCAAGCCCGAAACAGGCUGUAUGUUUGACCAAACCAGGUUCCUCUCUCCAUCAAUGGAUGAACUCGGAGGAUCCGGCAAAUAAAAGCUUCUGAGUUUCAGGUGUCUCAGUUGCUUUAUUUCCCAAGUUAGUUCUGGAAACUUUAUAUAUGAGUGAACUGACCCUUGAACAAUGAAAGUUUGUAGAUUCAAUGAUUUGCGAAUUCCUCGAGCCGUGGCGGAGCCACCUUGUGGUUAGGGGGUUCAUCCAAAGCCCCUUCGAUGGAAAAUCAUACUAUUUAUACAUGAUUAAGAUUAUUUUUUAUGCAUAUAUAGGUGAUGUUGAACCCCCUUUGGCUAGUUCGUGUGCUUACUUUUUUGAUUUUGAACCCCCUUAGUAAAUAUUCUAGUUCCGCCAUUGCGGCUCGAGGUAUGCCAAAAGAUGUGUGAGUCGAAGAGGAUAGGUACCUCAACAAAAAGAGAGAAAGUAUCUGCAGCGGAAAACCGAGAAGUACAUGGAGCUCAUGUCGAAGACUCUAAUUAAAUUCAAAUGACCAAGCUCUAAAUUGGAAUUAGUACUGAGAGAAGGUGCUAGUCAAUCGACAGCCCACAAGAGGAACUGUUUCUGUUUUAUCAUUUCUGAUAAACAAAAAGUUUUGGGUUUGUGCUUCUCUCAAGCAUAACUCAUUGAUGAAGCAUAAAGAAAAUUGUAUUACCUUUAAUGGAGGUUGAAAAGUGAAAUUGUGUCUGCUAGCAAGUUGCACAAAAUAAGUUGUACAUAUGAAAAAAAGAGUUCGAGUUUAAAGAAAUGGAAUGACAACUCCAAUAAGUUGACCUUGGGAUGACAAAAUCCCCGGUUCUGAUUUCUAAUUUUUUAACAUUCUGAAUCCCCAAAAUAACCUCCUUCGUGCAACAACGUGGAGACAAGUAUGAAAUAGUUUGUAAGUUUGAAAAAUCCAAGUGUCUUUCUUUGUCAACAGAUCCACUUGGGCAAUCUGGCAAAUAAAAUCUGCCCCAAGAGUUCAAUCGCUCGGCUCUUGAUCUUCUUUACUGAUAUCCUUCUGAAUCAAAACCACAUGAAGAGGAAUUUUCUGCUCUUCAUGAAAAGAUUAGUCCCCUGGAAGUAGUUGCCAAGAACUUUGAGAAAAACAAUGUUUCGGGGGAAAUGACAGAUUUGGAACUACAGAUAAAAGAAGUUGCAAAUAUUGUUGAACAAACAAUUCAGCUAAGAGUAACUGAAGUUGUAUUGGCAAAUGAUGAAAAUCUGAGAGAAAAGGCACAUGAUAGGCUUUCUGAUAGCCUGCAACAAGUAGAAGAGGACAUUGAUCGUAUCUGGAAAGAGUCAACAAAGAUUCAAGAUAAAGUCAAACAUGCAUCAAAGGAAUCAACAGUUCAAGAGUUUCCAAGCUCGUCAAGAAAUAUUCUGAAUGUUGAGAACAGUAUGGUUGGACGUGAUGAUCGAAGGAAAUGGUUGGUAGAAGAUCUUACUAGAAGCUACUCUAGUGAACCCAAAGUCAUCCCGAUUGUCGGGAUGGGAGGCAUAGGUAAAACAACCUUAGCGAACGAAGUGUACAAUGAUGCGUCCAUUCGUUUUCAUUUUGAUGUUUGUGCCUGGGUUACUGUUUGUCAACAACACAUUGUAAAGGAAAUCUUGUUGAGCCUUCUGAGAUCUACUAAAGGUGGCACAUUUGACAUGAAUGAUGAGGCAGUGCUAGCAAACAUACUACAAAAGAGUUUAAAGGGUAAGAGAUAUUUAAUUGUAUUGGACGACAUGUGGAAAAGUGAAGCAUGGGAUGCCGUGAGACUAUGUUUUCCAAGUGAAAACAAGGGGAGUGGAAUAUUAUUGAUGACCCGUAACACUGAAGUAGCUCGCAAUGCAGGUACAGAGAAUCUUUCUUUGCAGAUGGAUUUAAUGGGUCCGGAUGAGAGUUGGAACCUUUUUAAAAGUAUAGCAUUUGCAAAUGAACCAUUACCAUCUGAGUUCUAGACUAUUGGGAAGCAAAUUGCAGAGAAGUAUCACGGGUUACCACUAACUAUUGCCGUGAUUGCUGGGCUUCUCAAAUCUAAAAGGGAUAUAGAAGACUCAGAAAAUGUUGCUAAAGAUGUCAAGGCAUUUUUCACAAAUGAUCCUGACAAACAAUGUUCACAUGUGCUUGGGUUGAGUUACGAUCACUUGACUAGCGAUCUAAAAGCACGUCUUCUGCAUUUCGGGAAGACAGUGAGAUACCAGUGAAGAAUUUUGAUGAGAUCAUGGAUGGCUGAGGGGUUCCUGAAGUUGGAAAAUGAUUUGGAAGGAGAAGCUGAGAAGUGUUUGCAAGAGCUUAUCAAUAGAUGUCUAGUCCUCGUUUGCAAGAAAAGUCUAGAUGGAACAAGAAUUAGAUCAUGUAAGGUUCAUGAUCUAAUAUAUGACCUGUGCGUGAGAGAAAUUCAAAAGGAGAACAUUUUUAUCAUGAACGACAUUGUGCUUGGCGUAUCCGAUUUGGAAUGUAGAUAUCUCAGUAUGCAAAAAAUGCAGCCCUUUAAACGCGUGACUGGUGAUGAAAUUGAUUAUCGUCGCUAUGGUCUUUAUAGGGCUGGUGAUGAAAUUGAUUAUUUAUCGCUAUGGUCUUUAUAGGUCUCUUCUUACCCCUGCACAUCGUCAAUUGAGAGAUCAUGACCACAACGAUCUUUGGAAACGAACCCGUUCUAUUUUCUCUUUUCUUCUUAGGGAUUCAUAUUUUAUUCUCAAAUCAGAGCUUAUUCAUUUCAAAUUACUCAAAGUCUUGGAGUUGAGACACAUAGAGAUUGAUAAUUUCCCUCUACAGAUACUAAACCUCAUCUGAUUGAGUUACCUAUCAUUGCAAUGCGAUGAAAAUUUAGACAUUCCUCAAGAAAUUUGCAGGUUAUGGAAUCUGCAGAUGUUCAUUGUUCAAGGUAGUCACAUGGGGGUUUCAGUUAUAACAAUAACUUUUCCUGAGGAAAUUUAGGGACUAAUGCAAUUAAGGCAUCUCAAAGCGAAGAGAGUUUAUCUGCCAAGUCCCUCAAGCGUAACUGCUGACAAAGGGAGUCGCAUGGCUUUUCCAAACAUACAAACUAUUUCUUACUUGUAUCCACGUUGUUGCACGAUCGAGGUUAUUUUGGGGAUUCAGAAUGUUAAAGAAUUAGGAAUCUGUGGAUAUGAGAUUGACUCUAAUGGGCUUCUCAACAAUCUUGUCCAUCUGCAGCAACUUUAAACAUUGAGUUUUAUACUUUGCUUUAACCUUUUGCCAGCAAGUGCAAAAGCUUUUCCAGCAACACUCAAGAAGCUGAAGUUAAGACUUACUUCAUUAAGGUGGUCGUACUUGGACAUCAUAGCUGAGUUGCCUAACCUUGAGGUGCUGAAGCUGAUAACUAGUGCUUGUGAUGGUGAAGAAUGGCAUCCAAAUGUUAGGGGAUUUGCUCGAUUGAAGCUUUUGUUAAUUGAAGAUAAUGAUCUCAAGUACUGGAAAGCCACAAAUGACAAUUUUCCUGUCCUUGAGCGCCUCAUGAUUAGAAGUUGCCAAAAAUUGAAAGAUAUACCUAUUGAGUUUGCAGAUAUACACACACUAAAGCUGAUUCAGUUAAGAAAGUGUCCUCCCGAACUUGGGGAAUCUGCUGCACGGAUUCAGAAAGAACAAGAAGACCUCGGAAACAACCUUGUGGAUGUCCGUAUCUCCGAUCCAUGUAAGUGUAUAUAUAUAUAUAGAUAGUAUUUAUCAAGUCUACACUCUGUUUCUCAUUUACACAAGUCACAUCAUAUGGUUGUUAGAAUUUAAGCUUUCUAAAUUUGAGCAUAUUUGGUAUCCAUCAAAUACUUAACAAACUCUAAUUGUUAAAUUUUACACAGUUGUGAAAAAGAAAAUUUAAUAUGAACUCACUUUUUGAGGUGUUCUUUUUGCAAUUUUCAUUUUUUUUUCUAUUUUGUUUAUUGCAAGAUAUGGUGUUACUUGUUAUGCGUAAAUAAUCUAAAUAAAAUGGCCGCUAAUUCCCUUAUUUUGAUCUGUAGCUGAUGUGUUGGUGUUUAAAGUAUCGUGGUCGCGUGCAAAAUGAUUUAUAUAUCAUAUUGCAUAAACUUUCCGAAACUGAAUGCAGAAUCCUCUGUUAAAACUUUUCUAAGUCAAAGAGGAAGAACUCAAGUCGAUUACAUCUCACAUAUCCCCGUAUGAUUUGCUCAAGAUGCUUUAUUGACGAUCCAUAAUUUAGAGUCAGCGGAUUCAAAAUAUUUGUCACACUUUUAAAUAUUGUCACAUGUGUGUUCCUGUGUGUGUCAGUGUUUGUGUGUGUGUUCUCACAUGAAGUUGAGUUGAAAGAUGUGAGUUUGGUUUAACACGCUCUAAAUUUGCAUCUGAAUAAUGUGACUUGUCAAACUUCUACUGACUCUUUUUGUUUCUUCUCAUUGAAGGAGAGUGAUUAUGAUAUAGAAUAAUAUUUUUGAGGAGUUCAAGGGCAGAAGGAUUGAACCCUUGGGAUUUCAUUUCGGUUCCUUGGUCGCAAAUUACCAGUUUCAAGCAAUGUGUGGCUUCCAAGGAGGUGUGAUUUCUUUUGUAUUGUAACAUAUUUUUGAGUUGAUAGAACUUUCAGUUGGGCGUUACUAAAGUUUUGAGUUCAUGAGCUCACAAUGUAAACACACGAUCACACACUCAUCUUAGGUGGUAAUGUUAUUUAUUAAAAGAACGGAAAUUGCAUUUAUAUGGUGAUUCUCUUGUUUUACUUUUUUAGUGUUGAUGUUCCGUUAGCGGCACAGCUAGCAGACAUGAUACCAAAAAGUUUAAAUGGUAAGUGUACUUCAUUGUUGACGGGUUCCAUGGAUCGAUCCAUGUGAGAGUUAGAACCUUUUUAAGAGUAAAGCAUUUGGUACCCCUGAAUUAUGACCAAAUUUGCUACAACACACUCCAACUUUACGGGGUCCCUACUGCCCCCUCCCCCCUCCCAAACUAAAUUUUAGCGUAUUUUUGUCAUCCCUUUUAGCUGACGUGGGGCCUUUGAAGUGGGCCCAGUGUUGUAGCAACUUUGGCCAUAGUUCGAGGGGGUACUGGAUGCUUAUCUCUUAAAUAGUGCGGUGUUUAUAAAUGAAGCAUUACCAUCUGAAUUUGAGACUAUCGGGAAGCAGAUUAUAGACAAAUGUCACCUCGGUUGUUGGGAUUUUGUUUAAUCUAAAGAUAUUGGAAGAUUUGAAACAUGUUGCUGAAGAUGUUAAGUCAUUUGCAGCGGAUGAUCCUGAUGAACGACGUUUACAUGUCUAAAUCUAUCUAGAAUUCAAUUAACAAAGUGGGAAAUAGUCUGAUAACUGAUGGAUCAUAAAAUGGUUCACUGUAACAUUGGUUUCAUUUGCCUUGUAGAUCACAGUUGGCUGUAACUUUGUUGGUUGGUUAGCUUCUCAGUUAGUAGGUUAGUGAGUGAGUGGAGUGAGCUCAAUGAGCUGGAAAAUAGAAUGUUCUAGGAGUUGGUUAUUAGAUAUUUUGUAUCACUUUCUCAUCCUAAGGCACAACAUGUCACAUAUCUCAGAUUGUAACUUUUACUCCAUAUUAAAAAUGGAAAAGUCCAAUCCGCAGGAAUAUGUUUAGUCAAUGUCAAUAUAGCUGGUGGUUUUCGCUGGGACCGCGCACCUGGAAGAAGCUUUAGUGUACCGAGCGACCCUUUUUAAUGACAACAUAGCUUUUACUCAAGUACUGUAAGAUAUUUCUAGAAUGAAUCGAUAGCAAAGAGUAUGUACUUACAAUGCACCAUAGGUUCUGUUUAGGUGGACACAUGCAGAAAUGAUAGUUGAAAAGAGAGUUACACUUAAAACUUCAGGUAGAAUAAAAUCUCCAAACAGUGCAAAAGCAUUGCAACAAAUAUUUUGAGAAAAGAAUACAAGAAACACAAAUGUGAAUAACAAUCCUUAUGGAGCUAUUUGAUGCUUAUUGUGCAUCUUCGCGUACACCGCAUGCUCCCCAGAGCCCAAUUGUGGGAUCGCACUGGUAUGUUGUGUUGCUGCUGUAAUACUCGUGACGACCUAUUAAAUGAAUUGUGUUGCUUUAGUGUUUGGGACAGAACAUAUAAGCGAAACAUAAACAUCUCAAAUUUGUCCAGUUUGAGAUACGUUAAUUGCAUAGUCCACAAAUUUUCUCAGUAAAGAGAACUAUACUCGUGCCACCAAAAAUAAAAUGUUGUUGAAGUAUUGAGUUAUUUGCUGUUAUUUUCUUUUUUAGUUUAGUAAUUUUAUUUCUGAAAUUCAGUUAUCUAAGUUGAUAUAGAAUAGGAUUUAUUAGUAUCCUAGUUGAAGUUAGAAUAGGAUUCUAUUAGUUUCCUUGUUAGAAAUAGAAUAGGAUUCUUUUGUCUAUUUAUAUUCUCAGAUGUGGAUGACUAAAUAAGAAGAAUAUUUUUUUAUCCUCAAAUAUUUUCUUCUUCUCUGUGUUCUAUAGAACAACAAUUGGUAUCAGAGCCAAUUUCUUGAGGGAUCCGUGAGAGAGAAGACCCCAAAAAUAACCGUGUAAAAGUCAAUAUUGUUAUGGCUUCCAAUAAUUUUUCAAUUCCCUCACCCCCAAUUUUUUCUGGUGAGAAUUAUCCAAUUUGGGCUAUCAAAAUGAGAAUAUACUUGCAAGCAUAUGAUCUGUGGCAAGUGGUAGAGGUUGGAGGAGAGGUAAAUCCUUUGCUAGAUAAUCCAACAAUGGCACAAAUUAAGAAUCACAGAGAAGAGGUUGCAAAAAACUUUAAAGCUCUCUCUUGCAUACAAUCAGCACUUUCGGAAGUAAUUUUCGCUAGAGUUAUGGUGAGUGAGACUGCAAAGGAGGCUUGGGACAAGUUGAAAGAAGAAUUUCACAGAAGUGAAAAGAUUAGGCAAAUAAAAGUGAUAAAUCUAAGAAGAGAGUUUGAAAUUCUCAAAAUGAAUGAUUCUGAAACUAUUGAAGAAUUCUCCAACAAGUUGAUGAAGGUUGUAAACCAAAUCAGACUUAUGGGAGAAGAGAUUACAGAUUCAGAAUCGUGAAAAAGGUUCUAGAGAGUUUGAUGGAAAGAUUUGAAGAAAAGAUCUACUCACUCGAAGAUUUAAAGGAUCUCACAAAACUGUCACCUUCAGAACUUAUACAUGCUCUUCAAGCUCAAGAGCAAAGAAGAUCCUUGAGGCUAGAAGAAGCUACUGCAAAUGCUCUUCAAGCCAAGUUCAAAGGAAAGAUGUAGAUGCCGAAGGAAGAUAAAAUCCCAGAAACUUCUACUAAUUCUAGUAGAAAUAAUCAAGGCGAUUCUCGCAAUGGAGUCAAGAAAAGAGAAAAUUUUCCACCAUUCAAGUAUUGCAGAAAAAUCAAUCAUAAAGAGGAUGGUUGUUGGUUCAAGGGAAAGAAACCAUCUCUUCUGUGUAGAUAUUGCAAUAAGCUUGGUCAUAUUGAAAGGUUUUGCAGAGUGAAGAAGGAGAACAACCAACAAACUCAAAAAGCCAACGUUUCAUAAGUUGAAGAACAGGAGGAGUUUGUGUUUACGGUGAUGGCAUCAACAAUAUCUAAUGAUGGAAAUACAUGGUUUUUGGACAUUGGUUGCACUCAACACAUGACCAGCAAACGAGAAUAAUUUACGAAAUUGAAAUCUGCCAAAGGUAGUGUCAAGUUGGCCGAUAAAACAACGCUGGAUAUUGUUGGUAAAGGAACUAUGGCAAUUGAAGCUCCCAAAGGUACUAAAUUUAUUCAAGAUGUUUUGUUGGUACCUGAUCUUGACCGAAAUCUUUUGAGUGUUGGUCAAAUGCUAGAAAAAGAUUAUAUGUUAUUGCUCAAAGACACAAAAUGUGUUGUUUCUGAUUCUAGCGUCCAAGAAGUGAUUAUGGUUGAAAUGAUAAAAAGAAGUUUUCCUUUGAGUUGGAACUCAGAUUCUGAGCAAGUUUGUCUAAGUAAUCAAUGUGAGCAGGUUAUUGUGACCACCAAGCAAAACGAUGACAAUUUUAUUUUUUAUUCUGGAAAAAUUGAAAAUUGUUGUGCGACAAUGAAUGUUGAAAUCGAACAAAUCACUUCUCAAGAAAAUCCUCAAAAGCUUCAAAACAAUAAUGAGGAUAUAACUAAGGAUAAUCCACAUACUGUAGCUGUGACCACAUCCGGAUCUCUAGACUAUGGAAAUAACAAUAAUUCCAAUUCAGACCUCACAUUUCAUGAAGAUCAGAAUGCGGAGAUGAUGUGAUGGAUGAUUGCGAUGAUGUGUCAAACUAUGAUGAUGUAGAUUACUAUUUAUCAGAAUCCCGUUGCAAGAAUGAUAGUGUUCCAGAAAUUAAUCUGUCUAAGGAACUAGUGUUGUUGGACAAGGACCAGCCACAAUGUGUUAAUGAGGACCAUAUUGCAUAUUUGGAACUUAAAAACAAGGGUAAAAGCUUUCUUGAACUACUAUCUGGUGGUGCGGAUUAUUGUAAUAGAAACAAUCAUGAGCGAUUUCAAGAGGCUCCUGUCAAAGCGAAUGGUCACUUGGAGCUAUAUACUUUUUCUCGAAUGCAAGAACCUGUGGUUCUUGACUUUACAAACGCGAACGCAGAAUUAAAUAUGCCUGACUUCUUGGAUCCGUUGGAUGAAUACAUGGGUGUCACAGUGAAAUCCAAUGAACCUUGAUGCAGACUCAGGAAGCUACUGGUGAAGUUAAUGGUCUGUUAGGGCUAACUGCGUCUUUUUCUCAAGAACCUGCUGUGCCAGAAAAUAACAUGCCUGAAAUGUUCGAUGUGGGCGAAACACUAUUGGAGAAGAACCAGAUACAACAUCAACCAUCACCACAAGAAGAAUCUGAGACACUUUGUGAAACAGAACAAUCCAGCUUUGAUGUUUCUGAUCUUGUGAAGGCCAUGUUAGAUUAUACAACUAUGGAGGAAAAAUUGGCUGCACUUAGGGCGAAUCAGAGUUCAUUAAUCUCCAACCAACAAUCUUGGCAUCUAGGGCGCAUUUACCAUAUAUGCUACUGUGAAGAAUCCAUACUUCCUGGACAGUCUUUGCUAACUUUGUGGACAGUACUAACUAGCUUAGUUCAAUUUUUUGAAACUCUUCGUGAACAACUUGGAGUUACCAGCAAACACCUCAAGGAGGAGUGUUGAAGUAUUGAGUUAUUUUCUGUUAUUUUCUUUUUUAGUUUAGUAAUUUUAUUUCUAAAAUUCAGUUAUCUAAGUUGAUAUGGAAUAGGAUUUAUUAGUAUCCUAGUUGAAGUUAGAAUAGGAUUUUAUUAGUUUCCUAGUUAAAAAUAGAAUAGGAUUCUUUUGUCUAUUUAUAUUCUCAAUGUGGAUGACUAAAUAAGAAGAAUAUUUUUUUAUCCUCAAACGUUUUCUUCUUCUCUAUGUUCUGUAGAACAACAAAUGUGUGUUCUUGGAACUUUAAUCAUAUGUUGAGGAACUUCUAUUGAAUAAAUAGAUCCUAGGAAUGAAUUUAAGAACACGAGCUACUCUAUUACUUCUCUCGAAUAUCAUUGAGUUGAUGCCAAAGAAUAUACCGUCAAACAUACACAAUAUAAAUUGCUCCAUGAAGGAGAAAAAGUACACAACAACAAGAAUUAACAAGCUAGAAGACAUUACAACAUAUAAAUUUAUCGAAUCAAACUCCCCAUAUAGGAUAGAAACCGAUUGAAUACUCUUGUUGCUCGUCCUCUCCUUGUCUUCUGUUUUCCAAAAGCUGCUCGAAGAAUCCAUGAUACUUAGUCGAGAUCAAAUCUUCUUUAAGAUGCGUGUUGCUAUAACAAAGCAAUAUAAAUUGGAAAUAUAAAAUCUCCCACUUACAAUCAAAUCAUGUUAAUUAAAGUAUAGAAAUAUCAAGAGGAAUCGUUUAAGUAUACAUUUUUACAUUAGUGAUAUAUAUGUUAGAGGAAUUGUUACCAAGAAAUCAAUGUUACAAAGCGAAAUAAGCUACACCAAAUUAUGCAAUAAACUAGAAAAUAAAAAUUCAAAGAGAACACCUUGAAAUGUGAGUUCAUAUUAAAUUUUCUUUUUUUCACAAUUCUGUAAAAUUUACUCCACUAAAUCAAAAAUAAAUGUCUAAUACUAGUCCAUUUUGAAACCAAUGAAUAAUUUACCCAUUUUACACUAAGCAAUAAAUACGAUUCAUUAUCAAAUGUGUUUUUCAAAGCAUUAGAUUUAUUAGAUUCAAAGGGUAAUAUGUAAAACUAGCCCUAUCAUUUACUAGUUUUUAACUUAUGUGUCAAGUUAAUAGUGGACAACUAUUGAUAGACGGAGGUAGCAAGAAUUAGACCAAAUGUGUUCACAUUUAUCAAGCUUAAACUAAAGUAGCAAAAUUGCUCAAAAAUAUAUUUAAGGGAACAUUUUGAACUAUCCUCAAAUAUAAGAAAUAUUUUAGGUUAGAUUUUAACCAAAUUUUGUCAAAGUUAUUUUUGUGAAAGAAUAUGGGGCAAAACUAAAUAACUUUUGUGUACGACUUGACUUGUGGAAAUGAGAAACGGAGUGUGACCCUGAUAAAUACUAUAUACUUACAUGGAUAGGAGAUACGAACAUCCACGGGGGUGUUUCCGAGAUCUUCUUGUUCUUGUUGAAUUCGUGCAGCAGAUUCCCCAAGUUCGGGAAGGCACCCUGUUAACUCAAUCAGUUGAAGUGAGUUGAUUUCUGCGAACUCAAUGGGUAUCUCUUUCAACCAACCAGAAUGUCUAAGCCCGAGGCUCUCAAGGAUAGGAAAAUUGUCAUAUGUGGCUUUCCAAUACUUGAGAUUAGUAAAUACAAUUAGCAAAAGCUUCAAUCAAGUAAAUCCCUUAACAUUUGGAUACCAUUCUUCUCCAUGACAUGCAUCAGCCAUCAGCUUCAGCACCUCAAGGUUAGUCAAUUCAGCUAUGAUGUCCAAGCACGACCAACUUAGAAAAGUUCUUUUCAACUUCAACUUCUUGAGCGUUGCUGGGAAAGCUUUUUCACUUGCUGGAAUAAGCCUAUUAUGCAAAUAUAGAAAACUUAAUGUUUCAAGUUGAUGCACAUUGUUGAAAAGUCCAGAGUCCCGAAAACAUCCAUAGUCAUUCUCAUCUUGUACGAUUCCUAAUUUUUUGACAUUUUGAAUCCCCAAAAUAACCUCCUUCGUGCAACAACGUGCAGACAAGUAAGCAAUAGUUUGUAAGUUUGAAAAAUCCAAGUGCCUUCUUUUGUCAACAGAUCCACUUGGGCAAUCUGGCAAAUAAAAUCUGGGCAGUUUGAGAUGCCUUAACUGCAUUAGUCCCCAAAUUUCCUCAGAAAAAGUUAUUUUAACUAUUCGACUAGGCCCAUGAACAAUGAAUGUCUGCACCUCUUGAACAAAUGUCUGCAGAUUCCAUAACCUACAAAUUUCUGGAGGUAUGUCUAAAUUCUCACAGCAUUGCAAUGAUAGGUACCUCAACCAGAUGAGGCUUAGUAUCUGUAGAGGGAAAUUAUAAAUCUCUAUGUGUCUCAACUCCAAGACUUUGAGUAAUUUGAAAUGAAUAAGCUCUGAUUUAAGAACACGAGAAAGAAAUGAAAGAUGAAACGAGAAAAUAGAACGGGUUCGUUUCGACAGAUUGUUGUUGUCAUGAUCUCUCAACUGACGAUGUACAGGGGUAAGAAGAGCACUAUAAAGACCAUAGGGACAAUAAUUAAUUUCAUCACCAGUAACGCGUUUAAAGGACUGCAUUUUUUGCAUACUGAGAUUUCCACGUUUUGAUACGCCAAGCACAAUGUCAUUCAUAAUAAAAAUGUUCUCCCUUUGAAGUUCUGUCACGCACAGGUCAUAUAUUAGAUCAUGAACCUUACAUGAUCUAAUUUUUGUUCCAUCUAGACUUUUCCUGCAGACGAGAACUAGACAUCUAUCGACAAGCUCUUGCAAACACUUCUCAGCCUCUCCUUCCAAAUCAUUUUCAACUUCAGGAACC
rnacentral:lncRNA from 1 species